GGGAAUCUGACAGGUCUGGUGCAGAAAACCAAGGAUAUGACAUUUUGGACACUCUUGUUCGUGCAUGUUUAUUAGAAGAGGUGGAAGAUGAUAAAGUAAAAAUGCAUGACGUUAUUCGUGAUAUGGCUAUAUGGAUAACCUGUGAAAUUGAGAAGGAGAAGAGAAACUUUUUGGUUCGUGCAGGUGCUGGAUUAAAAGAGGCACCGGAUGUUAAAAGAUGGGAAAAUGUGAGAAGAUUGUCAUUGAUGCAAAACCAAAUUGAAACUCUGUCAGAGGUUCCUACAUGCCCUCAUCUCCUCACUUUAUUUCUUAACUUUAAUAAGGUGGAGAUGAUCGCGGAUGGCUUCUUCCAAUUUAUGCCUUCUCUCAAAGUUUUGAAGAUGUCAGACUGCGGGAAUUUAAUUUUGGAAUUACCUUUUGGGAUGUCAAAGUUGGGUUCACUGGAACUUCUCGAUAUUUCACAUACCCACAUAAAAGAGUUACCAGAAGAGUUAAAGUUGUUGGUAAAUCUGAAAUGUUUGAAUUUGAGGUGGACAGUUUGGUUAAAUAAAAUUCCACGGCAACUAAUAUCAAAUUCUUCAAGGUUACGUGUGUUGAGAAUGUUCGCUAUUGGCUGGUUCAAUUUUCAUGAAGCAUCAGAAGAAAGCGUUUUAUUUGGUGGGGGUGAAGUUUUAGUACAGGAAUUGCUCGGUUUGAAAUAUUUAGAGGUAUUGGAGUUGACCUUGGGAAGUUAUCAGGCUCUCCAAAUUCUUUUGAGCUCAAAUAAGUUAAAAAGUUGUAUUCGAUCUCUUCAACUCCGGUUGGUCAGAGAUACACCGUCAAUUAUUGAUGCUACGGCUUUCGCAGAUCUAAACCACCUCAAUGAAUUGUAUAUUUUUAAAGGUAUUGAGUUGGAAGAAUUGAAGAUUGAUUAUACGGAGAUAGUACGAAAAAGGCGGGAACCUUUUGUUUUCCGGAGCCUUCACCGUGUUAUUAUUGGGGAGUGCCAUAAAUUGAAAGAUGUGACAUUCCUCGUUUUUGCUCCAAACCUCAAGUCUCUUCGGCUAUUCGAUUGCGGUGCUAUGGAAGAAAUAAUCAGCGUCGGAAAAAUUGCUGAGACUCCUGAGAUGAUGGGACAUAUAAGCCCUUUUGAAAAUCUCCAAAGUCUUGAUUUAGACGAUUUGCCACAUUUGAAGAGCAUUUUCUGGAAGCCAUUGCCUUUCACUCAUCUGAAAAAAAUGGCGGUACUUAUGUGCGAUCAGCUUAGAAAGCCUCCACUCGAUUCCAACAGUGCAAAGGAGCGUAAAUUUGUUAUUCGUGGAUACACAGGGUGGUGGAACCGACUUCAAUGGGAGGCUGAAGCCACUCAAAUUGCUUUUCGUUCCUGUUUCCAACCUUAUUCCUGAGCCGUGGUCGCAAAAUUUGAUUUCUGGUGAGUGCGUUUGUCUUUUAAAAGAAGAAUUUAAAAGAAAUUUAUUCUUGUCGUUUGUUUUCUUCUCUUUUUAUUUCAGUUUCUUUAUCUCUCUCUCUCUCUUUGUCUUCUGCAAAUCACAAUUAAAUGUUGAAUUAAUGGAAUUAAUGCUUCAUAAAUUUGCCGGCACUGCCAUUACUUUUUUUUUUUAAUACAAAUUGAUACUUUAUUUAUAUCUUCUUAGCGAUUUAAUUUCCUGUCAAUAGACGAACGAGAAGAACAUACGACUUAAACCAAUUGAUACUUUAUUUAUGUGCGUUGUAUGUAAUAAAUAUUAAGUAUACUUUAUUUUGCCCUGUUCUCCGUUUUUAUUUCAGCCUCUCUCUCUUUCCUGUCUUCUGCAAGUCAUAAUUAAAUGUUGAAUUAUAUGGAAUUAAUGCUUUAUAAAUCUGCCUGCGCUGGCUUUUUUUUUUUUGUGGGGUCGAAUUGAUGCUCUGGUUUUCGACUAGUUUUUGUUGUCAAAAUUUUCUCUGUUUUUUUCAAAUUGAUGCUUUAUUUAUAUCUUCUUCGUGAAAAGUGAUUUAAUUUCCUGCCAAAAGACGAACGAGAAGAACAUUAGAGUCAAACUAAUGCUCACAUAAAUUUCCCGUAAGAAUAUAUAUAUAAUUAGACUGGAAUGCACACCUCUAGAUUGAACAGAAUUGAAGCUGAGAAAAUAUUGAGUAUAGUAGCCCUCUUUAAAGUUAAUUUAGAAAAAGAUAUAUUCUUGAUUAAUCCAUUUUCUGAAGUUUUUUAUUUUGUAUGGUCAAUUAUACCUUCAUACUCAAAAUUUCUGAAGUUAUAAAUUAGUGCAAAUUGACAAUUUUUACUGAUGAUAUCUUCUAUUUUUCCUUUCUUUUUUUUUACUCUCAUAGAAUGUUACUGUCAUUUUACUUACAAAUAGGUUUGACUUUGAGCCCAUGAAACGAUACUUUGAUUGCCAAACCACCGUCCAAUUUUUUUAAAAAAAGAAAAAAAAUAUGUAAUCCAUGAAUCUGGUUAAUUUUGUUUGUUUGUUUUUUUUAAUCUGUUAUACAUUUGAAACAUUCCAUUAAUUGCCAAUUAUGUAAGCGAGAUAGUAAUUAAUUUUUUUAUUUAAAAAAAAGUGAAAAUUAAUCCUAUGCAAUGUGAAUAAAUUUCUUUCCUUUUUCCUUCACUCUUUUUAUUUGAUAAUUAAGUUUCAAUCUAUGUACGCAAAAUUUCUGCAACAACUGCAAAACAUAAAAAUAUAUGAUUGUUAAGGGAAACACGCAGAAGUUCAUCACUUCAAUGUUCAGUAUUUCCAAUUUUGGCAUUAAGCUCUUACGAAUAUAUUCCACUUAGAAAGCAAAAUAUUAGAAUUGUGAUUUUAAUUCAUUCAUCAUAUCUCAUUUCAAUCCCAAAAUAUUCAAGUGGAUCCAAGUUACCAUAAGACUUCAGAGGCUCGAGCCUUAGCCAGAGAUGGUUAAUUGAUAGACUAUGUGCCUGGGUCGAGCACUGGAAGCCUGCAAUGCAGACUGAUUGAUUUAUCAGUUUGACGUGUUCCAGGAAUGAAGAACUGGAAUAUCACCCUCAAGCAAACACCCUGUGGAGCAAUACCAUAGAAUGCACAAUCCGGCUUUGCAAGGUGACACUGGAGGCUUUUUGAAAAGUGCUUCACGCUCACUUGCACUGAUUGAGCAUCCCCUCUGGAUAUUGCCCUCUCUGAUCGAGUCUGAGCACUCAAAUUUCGGUCCUCAGAUGGAGCUACAGCUUUCUCUCCAAUAACCAACAAUUUUCUAAACUCAGCACCUAGUGUGAUCAGAGUUGUUGAUAUUUGCAAAUGGAGAUCCCCAUAUUUGCAAAUGGAGACAUUUAACAAAUCACCAACAUGCUUCAUCCGGUGUACAAAAUUCUGCAGCUGAUUCAAAUCUGGAACCUGAACCAGAGUCGGAGGUAAAUCUUGAGCCAUAUCUAAAGCAGUUUGAAGUUCAAGUACUUGAGCCCUUGACAAUGGUUUUGAAAUUGGAACAUCUUGGAUUACUGCAGACUUGUACCCCUUGGUUUCAAAGGUAAGGAAAGGCAUUGCUUGAGUACAAUUUGGAGGCAGCGGAUCCAGCUGCACCAACUUCAGAGCAAAUACUGACACUACUUCGAACAGCACACUGAAGAAGUGAUAUGUCUACGGCAAAGGCAAUGCAGUCCUCAUUUUGGCUUGAGAUGCAGUAAUCAUCGAAGAGAGUUUCCUUGUGAAACUGGGCAACACAUUGAAUCCCUUUGCCACUGAGAAGGUUGUGGAGGAAGUAAGCUUUCUCUCUAGUGAGGAAGAGGUGGCAUACCUUCCCCAUUUUGUCUAGGGCAGGUAGGAAUCUUUUUUCUAAGAGAUUUACUUCAUUCUCGGUGAGAAAUGCUUUGAACUUCAUCCCUCUGUCUCUAUCCUCACUUAUCAGAAAAUAAGUUGAAAGCACUACGGAGAGAGAGAGAGAGAGAAUUAAGAUAUAUAGACAAGAAAAAUAUUAGACGGUGAUCUUACAAACUAAUACUUCAAGCAGUAUCCUAGAAAGCUAAAAACUGCAAGAUGGCUUGAAAUUUGAAAAGAGCACGUGCUUUUCCUCCUUAACUUGAGAAAAUGUUUAAUAUAGUGCACCUUACAGAAGCAUUUAAGCAAUUAGAACUAUGCACAAAAACAUCACGAAGACUAAACAAAUCAGAUGCAGUGUCUUUGUCCAAGCACAAAUUGCAUUUUGUCCUCAACUUUAAUAUUUAUUGAUGAGAAUCAAUACAGGUCCCUCAUUUGUUAUAGAAAGCUUUCUUGUAGUCUCACCAGUUAAUUCACAGGUCUAUAAUCAUCUUGCAAAGUUAAGGGCAUUUCUUUCGAUCUAAAGUCUUUGCAUCACCACCUCAUCACACGCCAAGCCAAUAUUCCAUUUACCUCUACAACAAAAAGUUUUAAGUAAACAAUCCUAAUGCACGCAGCCAAAUAAAAUGCAGUAAGAAUAUUCAACUUAAAAAUCUGAAAGCCAACUUGGUGAAUUGCCUCCUUAGGUGAAGUUCCAUGCUUUACUAUAGUUGACAGAACUCAGCAAAAGCUUCCAUACAACAGAUUUUGAAAAUGAUGAUGCCAAUAGAUACUCAUUCAAUCCAUUGAAAAUCCAAAGGUUCAUUGUUAAUAGAAGUUUACAGAGUUUUGGUCAUCAAAUAGCUCAGACCUAAUCCCAAACAAAAAACGAGUGAAAAUUAGAUCACGAGCAGCUAAUUGUAAAUUCUAACUUAACUCUUCAUCUCCUUUGUAAACAAGAAACAAAAUGAAGACACGCAAAAUGAAUAUGGAGAAAAUUUGAACUCAAAUGAAAUGAGGGCACGAAAGCAAACAAAUGGCAUGCACAAAAAAACCAAGCCUCAAUCAAAAACUAAUUAACCAUUAAGAAAAAAAUUGGUCUGAGAAUGAACUCCAAAUUCAGGAGUGAAGCAAGAAGCUUUCAUUAUUUCAGAAGCUCCUGUACAAAUUAAUAAGUUAUGCUCUUUGGAAGCAAACCUAAAUUCCAAGAGAAACAGAACCCAAAAAAUUUGCAAUUUUACGCAAAGGAAGUGAAGCACAGGAUUCUGUCACACAUAGGAAUUGUAAAACAAGAGAUCGAUAUAUCGAAUUAGAAAACUCAAUUCGAAUUUAUGUCAAAAAUCAAAAUUAGAAGAUUUCACAUUUUGAGAGGAACAAGCAACAGAUGAAGUUCAAAAUUUCAGCCAUAACAUGCUAAAAAUGCUACACUUAACGGUUCAUUUUCAUGGAUUUUCUCGGGAAACAAACAGAAAAUUACGGUUCAGAGAGUUGACUGACCUUUUGGCUUUUGAAAUUGAGAAGAUCGCGCGCCAAAUUGGAAGAGGGAAAGUGAAAGUGCGAGUUUUAAUAUGGGUAUUAGAUAAGGAAAUUUAAUUAGGUUGCGAGGGUAAAAAAGGAAAGAGAUAUCAUUAUUUUAUUAUCGAUAAUUAUUAAAUUUUUUUCCAAAAAAAAGAACAAGCAAGGAUAUUUUAUUUUCAUUACUAAGUUAAAAAAAAUUGUUUCAAAAUUACUCGAGUCAUAUCCAAUGGACCAACAAAGUAAUCGUUUUUAUUUUUAUUGAUUUUUGCAGGAAAUUAAUAACUUCUUAUUUCAUAAUCCAACUCCAGUACUAAGUUAAAAAAAAUUGUUUCAAAAUUACUUGAAUCAUAUCCAAUGGACCAACAAUGUAAUCGUUUUUAUUUUUAUUGAUUUUUGCAGGAAAUUAAUAACUUAAAAAUACUGAAAGCUAUUGUAAAAAUUUUUAUUAUCAACCUCAUAGUUUUUUUUUUUUUGGGAAGAGAAUUCAAACUUUUUUUUUUUUAAUUUCCAAGAAUUCUUGACACCCGUCUUAAUUAAAAGCUAUAUUUUAAUUCAAAAGUCAUGCUAUUCAUUCACUCACAGACCAAAGGCUUUCCGCAGCAAUAUUAUUAUUUAAAUUACAACAAAGGGGAAAUCAAAUACGUCAUACAGAAGCUUAAAGCUGAAUCUACAAAAUCUAGAGCUCGCAACUACAAAAAUUACACUUGAUGAUCCUCUACAAGAUGAAGCUUGUUCAAUAUCUCAUCCAAAGCUUGUAAAGUAACCUUGUAACGAUCUUGAGAUUGCCUGCCUUCCUCGACGACCUGCACGAUGCGUUUGUACCAAUCAUCAUACCUGUGCACCGGAUUUUUAAUAUCAACGCCACUGCAGCUGUGAUCAAGAACAUAAGAGCGUUUAACAUCUUUUCUCCAUCGAGAAAGAAUGUAGUGAGAUGGGAUCUCCUCCAUACCACUCUGGUUUAGAACACAAAGAAUGUGUCUGCAUAAAUAUCCUCUGAAAUUGAACAACCCACAAACACAAAGCACCUCCAAGUCGGAGGCAUUGUACAAAACAUCGAAAGCCCUUGAAUCUUUCUCGUUGCUACCAACCUCAAAUUCUUCCUUCACUAUGUAUGUUAUAGGUCCAUCAGCACUGACAUGUUUUGUGCUAUAGCAAAGAGUACAUAGCCUCCACCUCCGUCUGAAACUUCCUUAACAUUUCAUUUGUGUACAGUUUUGAGAGUUGAAAUUCAUAGUAACAUCUUGGUUUCUGGAUACAACUUGAAUUUCUUGAAUCCAUAUCUGCCAAGGCUUCCAGUUGAUAAUUCGCCUGCAGUGCUUGAUCAGACUUGUCUAAGAAUUCUUUCAAAGGAGUAUUCUUAUCAAGAUAUCCUUCAAAGUAUGAAGUAGAAACCUCAUUCUGCAGGAACGAAAACACUCCUGAUAAAAAAGCUUCCUUCAAAUAAAUAGGAGCCCACCUUUUACGAUCUUCAUAUAAAGUUUGAAUCCAUCCGUGAUCCUUUAUUCCAUGACGUUGAUGUUGAAAAGUCAAAAGAGUUUUGGUUGAAAAAGAAAAGUGAGUAUUAAAAAAGGCGGGAACCUUUUGUUUUCCGCAGCCUUCACCAUGUUACUAUACAAAGCUGCCAGAAGUUGAAAGAUUCGACAUUCCUUGUUUUUGCUCCAAACCUCAAGUCUCUUUCGAUGGUCAAAUGCAAUGCUAUGGAAGAAAUAAUCAGCGUCGGAAAAUUUGCUGAGACUCCUGAGAUGAUGGGACAUAUAAGCCCUUUUGAAAAUCUCCAAAUGCUUGAUUUAAUAGGUUUGCCACAUUUGAAGAGCAUCUUCUGGAAGCCAUUGCCUUUCACUCAUCUCAAAGAAAUAUAUGUGGGUUAUUGCCCUAAUCUUAAAAAGAUUCCACUCGAUUCCAACAGUGCAAAGGAGCGUAAAUUUGUUAUUCGUGGAGAAGAAGACUGGUGGAACCGACUUCAAUGGGAGGAUGAAGCCACUCAAAUUGCUUUUCGUUCCUGUUUCCAACCUCGUUCCUGAGCGGUGGUCGCAAAAUUUGAUUUCUGGUGAGCGCGUUUGUCUUUUAAAAGAAGAAUUUAAAAGAAAUUUAUUCUUAUCGUUUUCUUCUCUGUUUUUAUUUCAGUUUCUCUCUCUCUCUUUGUCUUCUGCAAAUCACAAUUAAAUGUUGAAUUAAUGGAAUUAAUGCUUCAUAAAUUUGCCGGCACUGCCAUUACUUUUUUUUUUUAAUACGAAUUGAAACUUUAUUUAUUUCUUCUUAGCGAUUUAAUUUCCUGUCAAAAGACGAGCGAGAAGAACAUAUAUAUGACUUAAAUUUUUUGUUCAAGGAUUUUUAUUUCGGGUAUUAAUAAUAGUCCACCAAAAGAGGGAACACUUGGAUGCUGCUCUAAGGGUCUCUCUAAUCAAUAGCUGGAAGCAAUUGAGAAGGCGGUCGCUACUGUGUACAAAUCCAUGCAGUAUUUGCUAUUCAUCUUAAUAAUUAUGAAGCUUUGGUAAAAUUUUCAGACAAAGUUGACAUGUUAUUUUGAGAUUUGGUUCGUGAUUUUGUAUGAAUAUCGUUGUUCCGUUUGAGUUGGAUAUGAAUUCGAGUCUAAAUAUUCUUUGGUUUUCAAUUUUGAACUCAAUUUUUUUUUUCUCAAGCAUGUUAUGCAGAAAUGAUUUUUACUAAAUCAUUUUUGAUGAAUUAUUUAAAUUAAACAAUUGGAAUCAGAAUUGUAACGAUUUAUCACAAGCAUGCUAAUAUGAUAAUUCUGAAACUAUCAUUUUUUUUUUCAAUUUGCUGCAGGGAAAGCCAAAUUUUGUAUUUUUCAGUUUUAUCUGAUAUGGAAUUUAUUUCCUCUACACUAGCUACCUAAAGAUUUAUCAAAUUGCUUCUCUUCCCUGCUUCAAAUAUCUUCAUGGCAUCAUAGGAAAAGAGAGUUUGGGUUGUAUUUAUUAUAGUUUUUAUUUUUUUUUCGUUAUAAGCAAAUUUAUUUUAAAUACUUUAGUAGUAACAGUUUUUAUUGAAUAAUAAUGGGGGAUGAUUAUUAUAUGUUCAAAUAGUUGUUAGAACAUUAUAAAAAGUCUAUUUGCUAUCAAAUGUUUUAAAUUGAUGCAACAUGAUAAUUGUCUCAUAUAAUUUUUUUAUACUAUAUAUGUCCCAUAAUCUUAACAUGAAUAAAUGAUUUUCAAUGGUUAAAUUUGACACGAUUAUUAAAUAGAUCAUAUCUAUAUUAAUUCGAUUUAAAAUCUGGUCACAUUUGGAUUUAGAGUUUCUAACAUGGUAUCUUGUUUUAUGACAUAAUUUACUAAUCAAUUAAUAGAAAAUCAAAUGUUAGUCAAUUAAAUAUGUGGUACAUUUGUCAUAUUUUAAAAAUUAUUUAUUUAUAUUUGAAAUAAAUUUGACUAGACUUUGUGCAGGUAAUACUGCAUAAUUUCUAAAAAAAUGUAAUAAAAACAUGUUAAAAUGUUAUUUUUAUGAAGAAAAAUUGGAAUUUUAUUAAAUAGGAGACACAAUAAUAAAUGGAUAAAAAUUGAGAUUAUUGAUAUAAUGAUUAAAUAGAUUGAAUUGAAGUGAGUUUCAAUUUUGAGAAGAUAAUAAGACGACGCGACACAAAUACAACCAACCAGUCAACCCAAAUUGCCACCUUUUACUAUCUUCUUUGUGUUAUUUCUCUAAAAAUUUGUGCCUUCUCUUACACUUUUAAAUCUUAAGUGUUUGAACUGGAGUACACAAAUUAUCUCUCUACAAUUCCAAAACAACCAAUUUGUAACUUGGUAAAUCUUAAUCAAUGGCAGGAAGCAAUUGAGAAGGCGGUCGCUACUGUGUACAAAGCCAUGCAGUAUUUGCUAUUCAUCUUAACAAUUGUUGAGCUUCGGUAAAUUUUCAAAUAUAGUUGACUUUUUAUUUUGAGAUUUGGUUCAUGAUUUUGUAUGAAUAUCGUUGUUCCGUUUGAGUUGGAUGUGAAUUCAAACCUAAAUAUUCUUUGGUUUUCCAUUUUGAAUUCAAUUUUUUUCCUCAAGCAUGUUAUGCAGAAAUGAUUUUUACGAAAUGAUUUUUGAUCGAUUAUUUAAAUUAAACAAUUGGAAUAAGAAUUGUAACGGUUUAUCGUAAGCAUGCUAAUAUGAUAACUUGUUUUACGAACGAUUAGUUAAUCAAUUAAUAUUAAAUUGUAUAUUAGUCAAUUAGAUAUGUGUUAUAUUUGUCAUAUUCUAAAAAUUAUUUAUUUAUAUUUCAAAUAAAUUUGACCAGAGGUUACGUAGGUAAUACUACAUAAUUUCGAAAGGAUGUAAAAAUUUAAAAUUUCAUUAAAUAGGUGACUCAACAAUAAAUGGAUUUCUGCAAGAAUUGAGAUUCUUGAGAUAAUUAUUGCAUAGGGGGAAUUUUGGUUAGUUCAAUUUUGACAUGAUAAGAAGACAACACAGCGCAGAAAACCCAAAUUGCCACUUCUACUAGUAAUAAAAGAUGAGCGAAUUGCGUGGGAUAUACUUGUUUUCCCUCAAAAUACCCAAAAUAUACCUCCACAUAUUAAAAUUGCUAGCUUUACACAUAUAUACUUAAAAAGAUCAGAGAAAAUACAAAAAUAACCUUAAUAAAAAUACUCGACUUAUUUAAUAUGCUUACUCGACUCAUUUAAUAUUCUUACUCGAUUUCUUACCGGACCAUAUACUCGACUUAGUUAAUAUGCUUACUCGACUUAUUUAAUAUUUUUAUUCGACUUAUUUAAUAUUCUUACUCGACUUCUUACCCGACCAUAUACUCGAUUUAUUUAAUAUGUUUACUCGACUCAUUUAAUAUUCUUACUCGACUUCUUACCGGACCAUAUACUCGAUUUAGUUAAUAUGCUUACUCGACUUAUUUAAUAUUCUUACUCGACUUCUUACCGGACCAUAUACUCGACUUAUUUAAUAUGCUUACUCGACUCAUGUAAUAUUCUUAUUCGACUUCUUACCCGACCAUAUACUCGACUUAUUUAAUAUGCUUACUCGACUCAUUUAAUAUUCUUACUCGACUUAUUUAAUAUUCUUACUCGACUUCUUACCCGACCAUAUACUCGACUUAUUUAAUAUGCUUACUCGACUCAUGUAAUAUUCUUACUCGACUUCUUACCCGACCAUAUACUCGACUUAUUUAAUAUGCUUACUCGACUCAUUUAAUAUUCUUACUCGACUUCUUACCCGACCAUAUACUCGACUUAGUUAAUAUUCUUACUCGACUCAUUUAAUAUUCUUAUUCGACUUCUUACCUGACCAUAUACUCGACUUCUUUAAUAUGCUUACUCGACUCAUUUAAUUUUCUUACUCGACUUCUUACCCGACCAUAUACUCGACUUAUUUAAUAUGCUUACUCGAUUCAUUUAAUAUUCUUACUCGACUUCUUACCCGACCAUAUACUCGACUUAUUUAAUAUGCUUACUCGACUCAUUUAAUAUUCUUACUCGACUUCUUACCCGACCAUAUACUCGACUUACUUAUCUCUAAUUCUUACUCGACUAAAUUCUCGAUUUACCCGACUUUGUACCCGACUUCGUACCCGACUUCUUCCUGCACUGAUUCUUCAAUCAUUCAUAACUUAAAUGUAGUCUUAAAUCCCUACAUUGAAAUAGUGUGUGUGUGCAAGCACAAAAAAUGAAUAAUGUACUACUAAAAUUCAUAAAUCAUUAGGAAGUACACUUAUAAGAAAAAUAGAGAAUGGUGAGAGAAGCCCAAAAAAGAGAAGCAAUGGGAGAAGAGAGAUGUGAAUUCUUAGUUUUUUUAAGGUUAUUUUUGACUUUUUCUAUCUUCAUAAGGUAUAUGUAUGUAAUAGGAUAUAAAUUUGGCAUUUAAGGGUAAAUUAAGGAUAUUUAAAUAAAAAACCCAUAAAAGAUACCUGUUUCAAAAGUAAUUAUAAACUAUCUUCUUUGUGUUAUUUCUCAAAACUGUUAUUUCCCUGGAGAAAAGUACGAAAUACCCACUUUCACGUUGGCAGAAGCAAAGCAAAGCUAUGAGCUAUCUCUGUAUACUUGAAACGCCAUUGCUAAACGAUUCUCGAUGAUGGGUGCCACUGGGCCAGUGUUGUCGCUGAUUUGCAUGAUUUAUUAGUUGUCCAGAUGCCAGAGAAACCAUGGUGGCAUUGAAGUUACCCAGAUGGUUAGUUUUCUGAUCAUUUUUUUAUUCAAUUAUUUAUUUUUUUUAGAAAAAUGUAAGAAAUAUGUAGAAAUGUUGACAGCUAUGAUUUUGAAACUUUGCCUAAAAUUGUUAUCAUCACUUAUUUAAAGAGAAAUCCUAGAAACAUGACAUGAUUAGUAGCCUAAUUCAAAAUUAGACAUGAUUACAACAAGAGAAAAGUGGAGAGAACUUGAUAGUCGAGUGCAUUUAGAAUUUAAUUUUUCUUUUAGCUGCCAAUCAUUAAAUUUUCGAUUUCAGAAAAUUAUACCUAGAAUAUUUCAAGGAUAUACUAUGAAGAUUAUGAAGGUUUGAUUACAUGUCACUAUCAAUUGCCCCAAUCAUUUGUAGUAAAUUAAUUGAUCAUUUUGAUGCAAAUGAUUCCCUACUAAAAAAUUCAAGUCAAGGCUGAAUUGCACAGUAGUUAGUCGCGCUUGCACUUCAAAUUAAGUAUUGUAUUUUCUGCCUGGUUUGGUUGAUUAAAGUAUGUGCAUUUGCUUAUGAAAGUUGUAGUAUAGAAAUCGAAACAUUUGUUUUUCGCUAAGCCCAGAAGCAAAGUUCUUUGUACUGUACUCAUCACUUCUCUUCGUUCUCUUCAUUGAAAUUUUAUCCAAACAGCGGUUUCUUCGAAUUUGUGCCUUCUCUUACACUUUUAAAUCUAGCAAAGAACCGUUACCUGAGAAGAUUGCCAUCAGGAAUUUCUAAAUUGAUUUCACUAUAAUACCUUAAUCUUUCAAAUACUCCUCUCACUGGGUUGCCAAUAGUACUAAAAGCCUUGGUGAAUCCUACGUGUUUGAACUGGAGUACAAAAGUUAUCUCUCCACAAUUCCAAAACAACUGAUUUGUUACUUUUCAAUGCUACACGUUCUGCGAACGUUCAGUUGUGGUUAUCUUGCUGAAAUACCAGAAAAUAGGGUUCUAUUUGGUGGUAGUGGAUUCUUGGUUGGGGAGUUGCUUAGUUUAAAACGUUUAGAUGUAUUAAGCAUCACCUUAAAAGGUUUUUCUUCUGUCCAAAAACUUAUGAGCUCCCAACAGUUUCAAAGCCGUACAAAAAUGUUUGGAGCUUAUAGACUGUGAUGAUUCAAAGUCGUUUGCCUUGGCAGAGUUGAAGCAUCUUGUAAAACUAGGUUUGUCAAAUUGUGGAAAUUUGGAAGAUAAAUUACAUUUAUAAACUGUGGAUCGCCCUUUAUAAGUAUUAGGCUUAUUCCAUACUCGAGCAAUGUGGAAUACCUUUAUAAGCAUUAAGCCUCUCCCAUACAAUUUCUGUACAUGACUCUUCUUUUUUUUUUUUUUUUGAAGACCGUUCAAAGUGGUUGAUGAUCCGUUUUGUAAUAUCAUAGAGGGAUCAUGAAUUCCUUUUCUUUUCUGUGGCUAGGCAACACUUUUGGGCCAAAGUAAGGGAAUCUAUUUUAGGUCAUGUAAAAACCAGUUGUGGGAUGUAAUAGUUUAUUAUGCACUGACAAUAACUUUUUGUAUAAUUGUCAGUUUAAUGAAUACGAGAGGAACUCUGUUGGCAAAUUCAUCCAUGAUAGAUGCUAAAAUUAUACCAGUUGCCUUAACUUAUUUUUCUCAACACUGGUAUUGAACAGGAAAAUGAAUAUGCAAUUUGUAUUUGUGCCAUUGUGGAGAAUUUGGAUAUUCUUAUUUUUAGUAACAAGGAGAGUAUUGGCCUCAUCUUUAAAAAAUGAAUCUUUGAGAAAUGAGGAGUGGGUGAUUGGCAGUGUCAGAGUGUCUUCCUGUAAAUGUUCAUUUAUUUGUAUUUUGAACUAUUAGUAGAAUCUUUAUAUGCCAAAUUAGUAAUACAAAUAUUCAGAUGAUUUUUCCUGUUGAUCAUUUCAUUCUUGAGAGCCAUGUACAAUACUAGUAUACCAGAGAAACCAAGGUAGCAUUGAAGUUGCCCCAGUGGCUAGUUUUCCGAUCAUUUUUUAUUCAAAUUUUUAUGUUUUAGAAAAAUGUAAGAAAUAUGUAGAAAUGUUGAUAGCUAUGAUUUUGAAACUUUGCCUAAAAUUGUUAUCAUCACUUAUUGUUUCUUAUUUAAAGAGAAAUCCUGGAAACGUGACAUGAUUAUUCCAUACUUGUUUUUAUAUUAUUUAUUAGCAGCCUAAUUCAAAAUUACACGUGAUUAUUUGUUACUUUUAAUGCUACAUAUUCUGGGAAUAUUCAGUUGUGGUUAUCUUGUUGAAAUACCAGAAAAUAGCGUUCUAUUUGGUGGUAGUGGAUUCUUGGUUGGUUUAAAUGUAUUAAGCAUCACCUUAGAAGGUGUUUCUGCUGUCCAAAAACUUACGAGCUCCCAAAAGUUUCAAAGCUGUGCACAACCUUUGGAGCUUAUAGACUGUAGUGAUUCAAAGUUGUUUGCCUUCACAGAGUUGAAGCAUCUUGAAAAACUAGGUUUUUCAAAUUGUGGAAAUUGGAAGAGUUUAAGUUCUGCUGUGUCGAGGAUGGAAAGGCUCGAGAAUGUUUUCGUGUGAACAGCCUCCAACGAGUUAAGAUAAAGGCUUGUCAUAAAUUGAGGGAAGUGACAUGGCUUGUAUUUGCUCUGUAUCUUGAGGUUAUUCAAAUAGACAAAUGUAUGGGGAUGGAAGUAAUAAUCAGUGCAAGGAAAUUGGGUGAAGUUCCAGAGAUGAUGGCAGAUCUAAACCCUUUGGUAAAACUCCAAUAUCUUGGCCCACGAGUUCUACCAAAAUUAAAAUGCAUCUAUUGGAAUCAAUUGCCCUCUCUACAUGUCAGGCAAAUUUUGUAUCUGAAUGUCCAAUUCUCAAGAAGCUUCCACUUGGUUUUAACAAUGCAAAGGAAUCUAAAACUAUCAUUAGGGGAGAAGAACACUGGUCGAAUGAGCUGCAAUGGGAGGACAAAGUGACCCUUAAUGUUCUUCUUCCUUGUUUCGGAUCCAUUUGAGGGCAUCAACAUGGAUUGAUACUUUGCAGUGGAGAAAUUCGAAUAAAACCUGGUAAGUGCUUUUCCAUUUAUUGCAUAUUUAUAUCUAACUUUUGUUUUCCUUUGUGGUUAAACUUUGCUCUAUAUACGUUGUUGUACGGUGACAUUCUCAUAUCAAUUAUUAGCUUUUUAAUUCUCUUCUCACAUUAACUGCCCUUUUGAUCAUGUAGGAUAUGCUGAUGUCAAAGAGUCGUAAUUUGGACUGCAAAUGUAAGAAUUAGACAGAUGACCAGUUGUUUUGAAGCGCUCGAAGAAGGAUUAAUUACGUCAUUGAAAGCCUCCAAUUUUAUGACUUUUUUUUUAAUUUGUUGUUUUUCUAUUUUUAGAUAGCUUGAUUGUUAGUUGUCGUGACGUAAUGCUUUAGUGUAGAAAAAUGAUAUUCGGCCAAGACAACAUUAGGAGGGCACCUUGUGCAUGCAUACUAGUGGAUAAUUUUGGCAUGCUAAAUCCAGUUAGGGUGGAUGACCUUUUAUAAGCAUUAGGCUUCUCUCAUACCCGAAAACAAUGUAGAAUAUGCUUAUAAGCUGUGGAUCACCCAUUAUAAGUUUUAGGCUUCUCCUAUACUCGAGCGAUGUGGAAUACCUUUAUAAGCAUUAAGCUUCUCCCGGUAUCUUUAUGUUAAAAAUAAUAAUAAUAAAAGAAAUCCAUUUUAAAAUAGACUCUUUUUGCUUUUUCUAUAUAAACAAAUGCAUUCUUCAAAUCAAUUGUGGGCAGAAGAAGUUAGUAGAAAAGAACUAGUCCCCUUUCAUUCCCCCUUAAACCUCACCAAAGCCUCUUUUGUAAGCUUUUCGGAUUUUCUUUCUAUAUUGCUUACGAUCUCAUUUUUGAUUGAAUCACUUCUUUUGCAUGCUGCAUUUUUUGUUUGUUGUAUUUGGAUAUUAUCGUAUUUGGAAUGCUGUUAUGAUUGAUGGAACAAGUAAUCGAUUUUUAGUCUGAUGGAAGUUGACUUAUUUAUUUAUUGUUAUUUUUAUUGAAAUUAUGUACAAUUGCAUUUCAUUCAUUUCUUCCCCCCUAACAUAUUUGUUAUGUAUAAUUGCGUUUCAUUUGAUAUUGAUCAUGCUGUAGAUAACCAUGUGAUUGUAGGAUGGGGAUUUCAAGUUUGUUGAAUAUUCAAGUAAGUGAAGUAACUGUCAAAAUACUAGUGAAAUUGGGAGCUUUAUUCAUGAGCUUGUGGUUUUGAAAAGUACCACAGUUCAACCGAUGAAGGUUCCUUUUUGGGGUUUGUUGAUGCGAGAUUCUGGUUAUGCUCGUCCUACGACCAGGAUAUCUGCUCGAUCAACCUCACCUCGAUCAGGAUCUCUCCUCGUAUGCUUUCUUCUCCAAGUAUCCCUGCGUUCACAGAAACGAGUCAGAGCACGCCGGUUGUUUUCUCGGCGUAAACCCUCCGACGCUCAAGUCAGAUGUGAAGGUUCUGGGAACGCUUGCCACAGAUCUUAUGGCUUUUCUAUAAUCUCAGUUCUUAGAGUUCUCUUUUCUUAGUUCCAAAAUCAAAAAUUCUAAACCUUUUACCUUCGUUGGCUACCUUUUUAUAGGCUUCCUCUGAAUCCAGAUCUUCCGCAGUCCACGCCCGCCAUUCUCCCCACUUUCGGGUGUGGACGCCCCAUUACCGCCAUUGUCGGCGAAUAGAGAUGGACCUCGUGUCUUAAUUCUCGGAUAGGAAUGCACGUCCUGCCAACUGUCGUUGACUGGGUCUCCUCGCCUCGAUGCCUAGCAGGAAUGACCUUAUGCCUCUAAUAGGAGUUCGGCCUCACGAAUGGCAUAUUCGUGGACGAGCAGAAUACUCCUGCUCGUAUUCCCCUGCUACUUGGCUCUUGCAGGAUACCCCUGCUCGCAGAACCCUGCCACCAACCACCUGCUCAUCAUGUUUGGUCGCCUCGAUAUAUUUCCCUCAAACACCGGUCCCCCAGUUUCUGGUGUUGGGUAAUGUAAUGGACCAGCAGUAGAAACUCAACGGUUCUUGCUCGCGUGGGACUGGAGAAGGCUGCCAAGAGUCGUGUCGCAUUUAAUUGCGGACGAGGUGAUGUGGCAGAAAUCUGCCCCUCUAUUUGAAUUUCAAACCAACGGUUACGAGGCCCUUGGGGUUUGGUUCCGUUAAAUGCUGGCAACCUAAGAGUCCGUCCCCUUUAUGAAACCCACCUCCUUUCGUACAACAAAUUCAUCAUCCACUCCGUCUCCGUCUCCGUCUCUCCGGCAAAGAAGUUCCGGCAUAAAGGCCUCCAUCUCUGUCUUUCACCGACUGAAAAAUUACUUCAGGUACUUCUUCUAUCUCCUUGGUCUCGAAUAGUUGUAGAUAAUUUCUCUUCUCUUUUGUUCGGGUAAUAGUUGGUGGUGGCGUUGUGGUUAGCGCUUAGGGAAUGUCGAAAGGUAAAGAGAAGGUCGUUGAGGUUGACGACGAUGAGUUGGACUUCCUGCCUGGUCUGCUCACCGAUCCUGCUUUUGACCCCGGGAUCCCCUUAGAGCCCAUCAGAUCCAGUGUUGGUACUAGCGCUAGGAGGAUGUCUCCCCAAACAACCUCCUCGAGCGGAAAUAACGAUGAAGAGGGGUCUUCUGGAUCGGAGAACACCCCGAGUGAGGGUCGAGGAGAUGAUUCUGGUGAGGUGUCCCCAUCAGGAGCGUCGCGACCAGAAGAGAGGAGUACAAUAGGAGGUAGAGCCCUAUCGCGGGAUUACGCUAUUGAUUAUAUGACGUGCACGACCACGUUUGAUGAGCUCGAUGACCUCCGGCUUAGGUAUAGUAUUCCUGGUGAAAUACCUCUUAAGGUCCCAGGAAAGAAGGAUGCUCCUAGCCGGCCUCCUAGGGGAUAUGUUACCCUAUAUCUGGAUAGCUUUAAGUAUGGGCUGAGGUGUCCCUUGCAACCUUACUUUGCCCGGAUACUUGACGGGCUGAAUCUAUCUCCUGGUCAGUUGAACCCAAACGGUUGGAGAGUGCUCUCUGGUCUGUUCAUAUUGUGGGACAGAUGUUGCCAAAGCGAGCCCACAAUUGAUGAGGUGAAGCACCUGUACCAGCUAAAGAGCAGCCCCAAAGAUGCCGGCUGGUACUACUUCCAAUCUAGCACCAAGACCAGGAAACCUAUAACCGACCUCCCUUCUGGUGGUGGUGGGAAUUGGAAGAGAAAGUUCUUUUUUGCUGGGGGUCCUUGGGGUCAGGUUGCACAAAUGGACGGGAAGGAUUAUCGGGUCCCACCCCGUUUCACAGUCCCAGGUUGCCUGCUCGCUUGAGAUGUCCUGUAUCCAUAAUUGUUCUUGCUUUAUUGGCUUGUCUCUAACCAAGUGUCUGUUUGUGUUGUAGUUUCUUGGGGUGUUCAUUUCCCGCUCCAACCUGGCCAGCUCAAACAGGUUGAGGCUGUGCUAGUCAAUUCCUGCCCGAGCCGAGAGCUGUUAACUACUUACAACUUGCUCGAGUCUCGUUUGAUACUACCUGGUCAUAAGAUGGAGGACGUUGUGAUUGGGGCUCUGAACAGGAAACGUUCUCGACCUCAAACCACGAAGAGGGACCAGAAUAAGGACGCCCUUACUGCAAAGCGGGCCAACAUCGUGCAGCAGGUCUUUCCCUUGAAGACUUUACCUCCUGCUCCUGCCAAAGUCGGGGAAACUAGUGGAGCAGCCACCGAUCCUGCUUCUUCUUCUCCUCCUGUCGGGCCGCGAUCUCGCUUACCUGAUAGCCGAGCAGAACACUUGGUCCUCUAUCUCAAUGAGUUAUCUAAGCUCGUGAGCAAGAAGGACCUGGAGGACUUUGAUGGCUGCACUCUGGGCGAGCUGGUGGGAGCCAUGCAGUAUAGUGCUUUCCAUCUCAGUUGCAUGACCACCUACUAUAAGGCCAAGGUUGGCCGUUAUGACAGGAAGAUGAAGGAGGACAUUCAGUCGGCGACGACCAGAGCUGACGUUGCUGAGAAGAAAGCAGGGGACUUAAACCUCGAGAAUCUCAAGUUGAUUGAGCGAGAAUCUCUUGCUCAAGCCAAGGCUAUUACUCUCGAGGAAGAGCUGGCCAAGGUCAAGGAAGAUCUGCAGAGGCAGAAAGCUAUGUACGAGGCUCAGCUCGAAUCUCUCCGUGAUUCCCACCGGGUUCAGGUCGAGAACUUAGAGAAGGAGGCUGACAACCAGUACGACCAGGGACUUCGGCAUUCCUAUCGUUGCAUCAUGGCCGUCCUCGGGAAGCAACACCCUGAUCUAAAGAUGGAUGACCUUGCAGUUGGUGUUGCUCAACAUAUGGAUGAGGAGGCGGCCGAGGAAGAUGCUGAAGGGGUAGAGCCGAUCGUGAUUGAGGAGGAAACCUCUCCUCCUCGUGCAGUCCCUGCUGCUGUUGGCGAGGCGAGCACCCCCCCGGACGCAACUGGUGAUACCCCCCCUGCACCUGAGGAGGUCCAGACAACCGAUGCUGCUCGGCUUACUGAUCCACCAUCUUCUUAAUAUAUUUCUUGUACUGUAAUGAACAAUUUUUGUGACGAUUAUCUCUUCUGUUAAUUACUAACAAUUAAUAAAGAUGUUUUUUAUUACUUUCUUAUGUUGUAAUCACGGCUUAUUUUCCGUUUGAGAAUCUGCUCGUCCUUGUCCGGUCGAGCAAGUUCUGGCUUGGCAUAUGGUUUUGCCACAUGCCUUAGAAAAUUCUUCGAUGUUCGAGAUUCUGCUCGCCUUCGCGCGAUCGAGCAGACCCUUCCACGCUUGACUUCAUUCUCGCCAUAAACAGGCUUUGAGACUUGACGAGCCUUUGCAUGCCUUAGAAAUUUUUUCGAUGCUUGGGGAUUCUACUCGCCUUCGCGUGGUCGAGCAGAUCCUGGCACGCUUGGCUUCUGUCUCGCCAUAAACAGGCUUUGAGACUUGACGAGCCUUUGCAUGCCUUAGAAAUUUUUUCGAUGCUUGGGGAUUCUGCUCGCCUUCGCGUGGUCGAGCAGAUCCUGGCACGCUUGGCUUCUGUCUCGCCAUAAACAGGCUUUGAGACUUGAUGAGCCUUUACAUGCCUUUGAUUCUUCAAGGACUGGGAUUCUGCUCGCCUUCUCGUGGUCGAGCAGAUCCUGGCACGCUUGGCUUCUGUCUCGCCAUAAAUAGGCUUUGAGACUUGAUGAGCCUUUGCAUGCCUUUGAUUCUUCAAGGACUGGGAUUCUGCUCGCCUUCUCGUGGUCAAGCAGAUCCUGGCACGCUUGGCUUCUGUCUCGCCAUAAAACAGGCUUUGAGACUUGAUGAGCCUUUGCAUGCCUUUGAUUCUUCAAGGACUGGGAUUCUGCUCGCCUUCUCGUGGUCAAGCAGAUCCUGGCACGCUUGGCUUCUGUCUCGCCAUAAAACAGGUUUGAGACUUGAUGAGCCUUUGCAUGCCUUUGAUUCUUCAAGGACUGGGAUUCUGCUCGCCUUCUCGUGGUCAAGCAGAUCCUGGCACGCUUGGCUUCUGUCUCGCCAUAAAACAGGCUUUGAGACUUGAUGAGCCUUUGCAUGUCUUUGAUUCUUCAAGGACUGGGAUUCUGCUCGCCUUCUCGUGGUCGAGCAGAUCCUGGCACGCUUGGCUUCUGUCUCGCCAUAAACAGGCUUUGAGACUUGAUGAGCCUUUGCAUGCCUUUGAUUCUUCAAGGACUGGGAUUCUGCUCGCCUUCUCGUAGUUGAGCAGAUCCUGGCACGCUUGGCUUCUGUCUCGCCAUAAAACAGGCUUUGAGACUUGAUGAGCCUUUGCAUGCCUUAGAAAAUUUUCACAGUUUCAAGCGAAUGAAAUUCCUCAUUGAUUUAUUAUUGAGUUCGGCUUACAUGAGGUUGCUUUGAAAUAAGAAAUCAAAAAUAGAAAACAACGGACACGAACAGAAAAAAAAAACUUUAAAACAUGAAUAAGUCUUACUAGAAAUAUUUCCUGAGGUGUGCCGCGCUCCAGGGGCGUUUCACCUCGUGGCCCUCCGUGCGAACCAACUUGUAAACUCCGGGUCCAACUAGCUGCCAUUCCCGGCUUCCACUCGGGUAUCAAGGUAUGUUAUCUGCAUUGCUUCCCUUGCUGCCGAGGAGUAACAGCUUCGUGCGAUUCUCUGGUCUCCUCGUACCACUCCAACUACCCCAUUCACCCGGUACUUGAGAGCCAGAUAAUGGUUGGACAGCACCGCUUUGCUGAUCCUCAGAAAUGGCCGGCCUAGGAUCAUCUGAUAAGGACCUUCCUCAUCCACUACCACAAAGUCCAGUAUCAUUGUCCUUUCUGUCGGGGAGCUCCCAAUCGUGAUAGGCAGCUCGACCACGCCCAGAGGGACCAGCUUUCCUCCUCCAAACCCCUUCAAGGAGGUAUUGGUGUACUCCAACUUCCGGUCUGCUAUUCCCAUCUCUUCCAAGGUUGACUUAAAUAACACAUCAACUGAACUCCCUGUAUCAACCAGUAUCCGGUCACACUUCUUGCUAGCGACAGUAGCCUUGAUGACUAAAGCAUCCUCGUGGGGGUAUAGAAUUCCUUCCUCAUCUUCAUCCGUCCACAUGAUUGGCACUUGCCUGACCCUUGCUCGUUUGGCUGCUGGGGUGUUGAAGAAUACCUCUUUACUAGUCAUGGCGUAUCUAGCAUAGUUCUUCCUAGAUCUGUUGGAAUCUCCAGCCAAUGUCGGGCCCCCAGCAAUCACCCUUACUGUAGGCUGCUCGUGCCUCAAAUUUCUGCCACUCUGGUCCCCUUCACAUGUCGAGGCCACCAUCGGGAAAGUCCCAUCUACAAACUCGUCCAGGUACCGAUUUCUCACCAAAUCUUCAACUUGGGUCUUGAGAUCUUUGCAUUCUGCGGUGGUAUGGCCAUGAGUGCCAUGGAACUUACAAUGACGUCCCCUAUCCCUCCUGCCGGGUAGCUUUGUUAUUGGGGCAGGGAGGUACAUCGAUCCUUGGUCCUUUAUGGCCUCGUAUACUUCGUCCAGGGACAUCUUCAAGGAAGUGUAUCGCCCAUACUCCUGGUUCUGGUCAAUCAGGUGCACUGCUCUUUCUCUGUUUGCUCCGUUCUGAGUUGGGUGCGGUGGCAGUACCUCUGGUCUGCUCCCUCUGCUACCGUGGGAGUGUUGAUGACCACCAUAUGAUGAAUCGUGCCUUCUCCAAGGCUCCCUAGCUGGGGAGCGAGGAGGCUGCGCCCUGCUGCGCUGAUACUGUGGUGGCCUCUGAUGAGGCUGGUAAGCAAUUACCCGACCUCCUGCUCCACUAUCCGAGGCCUGGUGGUCCCUCCUCCUGAUCGGCCCAUUCCCCGGUAAUGCUUUCUUCUCUUUCCUCCCCAACCCUUCUAACUGGUCUAUCUUAAUGCGUGCUGCCUUCUCCUCUUCGAUCUCAAUAUCUCUCUUAGCCUGCUCGUAUGCGGCCGCAUACGUCUGGAUAGCUGGGCUUCUCAAGUUGUACCACAGCCUUCCUAUCUUCACUCCUUCUUUCAAUCCCCUUAACGCCUGAGGGUGGUUGAAGGCUCCCAAGUCGAGGACAGCACGAUGAAACCUCUUGAUGAAUUCCCGAAGGGUUUCUUGCUCCCCUUGUUUCAUGCUUUUCAGCUCCAUCAUGUCAUCUUCUGGUGCCAUUGCCCCACUAAAUUGCUCUGCGAAUUCCUGGCACAUCUGCUCGAAGGUUUUAAUGCUGCCCCGAGGAAGUUUCCUGUACCACUCGCGUGCACAUCCCUCCAGGGAUAGUGGGAACACCCUGCACCUUUGAGGCUGAGAUAAUCCUUGUACCCCCGUUAUGUCAUUGAAGCGUUCUAUGUGCACCAGCGGAUCAGUUCGUCCCGAAUAUCUAAGGUCCGGGAGACGGAAAUCUCUCGGAAUAACUGCCCUCAUGAUAUCUGCUGCGAGCGGUGACUCUCCGUCCAGCAUUAUCCUCCAACCAGGAGCUCUGCUCCUUCCUUGCAUAUCGUCAAUUAUCUGCGCUAGUCUGCGCACUUCCUCCUCCAGCUGCACCGCACGACCAGGGUCACGUGCUGUAACUUGAUCCCUCUCUUGCUCUACAUCAUGCAAGUGUUGCCUCAACUCUGUUUCUUUUGCAUUCGCCACCCCAUCGUCCUCGUAAAAAAUCUGUCUUGCCGGGGAUUGCUCUUCGUCUCUAUGGAAUUCUCCCCGCAGAGGUAUGUUACCUCUCUCACCACCAAGUCUCCCGGUGGUUUGACUUCUCCUUGUACCAUCGGGACCUGGUGCCACUCCACCACCUCUCACCAUUUCCUCCUGAGUUACCCUUCGUUCACUCCGCAACUCAUGCAUGAUGGUUGUCAAGGUCUCCAUCUGCUUUUCCAUCCGUUCCAUUCGGUCGAACAUGGCUUUUUCCCUGGCUUCGCUGGCUAUCUCCCUCAGCAUCACGGAAUCGUUCAGCCUCAUAUCACCCCCUUGUGCACUACUUCCUCCUGUCUCCAUUACUUUUCACUUGCUUCACUCCUCUUCUUGCUAUCAACAUAAGCUUUUUGCUCAGUUCCCCACAGACGGCGCCAAAAUAUUGAUGCGAGAUUCUGGUUAUGCUCGUCCUACGACCAGGAUAUCUGCUCGAUCAACCUCACCUCGAUCAGGAUCUCUCCUCGUAUGCUUUCUUCUCCAAGUAUCCCUGCGUUCACAGAAACGAGUCAGAGCACGCCGGUUGUUUUCCCGGCGUAAACCCUCCGACGCUCAAGUCAGAUGUGAAGGUUCUGGGAAUGCUUGCCACAGAUCUUAUGGCUUUUCUAUAAUCUCAGUUCUUAGAGUUCUCUUUUCUUAGUUCCAAAAUCAAAAAUUCUAAACCUUUUACCUUCGUUGGCUACCUUUUUAUAGGCUUCCUCUGAAUCCAGAUCUUCCACAGUCCACGCCCGCCAUUCUCCCCACUCUCGGGUGUGGACGCCCCAUUACCGCCAUUGUCGGCGAAUAGAGAUGGACCUCGUGUCUUAAUUCUCGGAUAGGAAUGCACGUCCUGCCAACUGUCGUUGACUGGGUCUCCUCGCCUCGAUGCCUAGCAGGAAUGACUUUAUGCCUCUAAUAGGAGUUCGGCCUCAUGAAUGGCAUAUUCGUGGACGAGCAAAAUACUCCUGCUCGUAUUCCCCUGCUACUUGGCUCUUGUAGGAUACCCCUGCUCGCAGAACCCUGCCACCAACCACCUGCUCAUCAUGUUUGGUCGCCUCGAUAUAUUUCCCUCAAACAGGGUUCUUCUUUUUCUAGGCUGCAAUUAGGAUAUGUACAUGUUAGACAAUCUUUUGUGGGUUUAGCAUAUCUUCUCUGAUUUUGUCUUUUAUUCCCCAAUCUUGUAAUUACACACCAUGAAUGUUGAGUGAUUGUAUAGAUAAUUUAUGUUAGAACCAAAGCAUUGUGAAGGAGUUAAGUUAGUGGCUUCUGUUUUUUUGGCAUUGAUUGGGUAGAUUAUGUGUUACAGUGAUUCAAUUUGUGAUCCAAACUUUGCUUUAAUUUCUGUUUUCCCUAAUUAUUUAUGUCAAAUUUAAAUCCAGAAGCAUGUGCUGAUUUUUUCUUUUUGUAUUAAUCUGUGAAGUUUAUUUGGAAUGGAAGUAUCUGGGUUGGGUCUAACGGAUUAAAUUAUGACAUUGGGGGGAAGGCAGUAAAGGGUUUGCUUGACACAUUUGGUUCUGUGUUUACUUUGCAAGAAAUAGCUUUUGGUUCUCGCAAUGCUGGGGGAAAUCCCGAUUUGGCCAGUGAAUUUCUUUGUGACAAAUAGGCGAACACAUCAACCUCUUCUAUCCAUCCUUCUACUCGUAAGGCAAGGGGUAAAGAGUCUUCAAAAUCAUCAAAUAGUAACAUCUCUGAGAAUUCAUUUUAUGCAAAUGGAAAAUCUUGACCUUCUAAGACAAAAUGGCGUCCUGUAUCAGGAGGUACCGUUUCAAGUUUUCUUGGUAAAAAUUAUGUUAAACCUGCACAGCCAGCUAAUGGCACAUUUCUAGUAUCAAAGCCAUUGAAGUUGGAUCCAAAGGGGUUUCCCAUGUCUCCACUUUUGUGGAGAAGAUACUAAACUGAAACAAUCAAAGGAUGACCAUUUGCAGAAGGAUAUUGAAGAUUUUCUGUUUAAAUUGCUAGGAGAAGUGUUCCAAUUUAAUACAUAUUGUCCUUUUCAAUGUUCUUUCUUUCUUUCUCUUCUUUUCUUCUUCUUCUUCUUUUUUCUUUUUGUGUGCGUGUGAUCACUAAUUUGGUAUUGUAGUUAAGUUGCAGAUAGUUGUGGAUAUGAUAUGCAAAAGGCAAGGACUAUAUCUUCCUGAUGGAGGCCUCUGCUUUUUCCUUUAUGUGUAAUUUAAUAAAUUGCAUCUUCCUUUCCGAUUGUUAGAUCAUAUCAAAGACAAGUCUUAAAUACUGCUGUCAUAUGUUAAGGUUCAACUUGCAGUUUGAUUAACAUUCAUGGCUCAAAGGCCUGCAAAAACUUGCCAGUAAUUGUAAAAUGACAUUCUUUGCUUUUAAUGCAAUAGAGGGAACAGGGAAGUAUAGCUUUGGAAGCCUGGAUUGGUAACUAUAGAGAGACUUAGUAUUUAAUUGAUAAAAAUUCCCAUAACCCAAGGGUCAAGAAAAUUUUAGAUCGUUAAAGACUUCAUUUUGUUUCGGCCAGAAAUGUUUGUUUCGAUCGAAGACUUGAACCAUUUUCAUUGAACCUGAUUAUGAUGCUUUACGUUAUGCAUGUUCCUCUUAAUCAAGAAAAGUUGAGGUGAUGAUUUUAUAUUUCUAUAUUGUAAGUUGAAAUAAUAAUUGGUCUGCUUGUUUCUGUAGCUUGAUAACAUGAAUUUUCCUUCUCAAGUUAAUUUAAUCAAUAAAGUAAUUCUUCAAAGAAAAUAUGCCCAUUCUAUAAUCAUUUUCUUAACUAACAUGUUUUUUUCUUCACUCUUCAGAGCAUGUUGAAACUAAUUGUUUCGGCAGAGACUUUGGGUGAGAAGACAAAAUUUCUCGGUAAAUCCUCUGAAAAGGUAUGCAUAAUUCCGGAGUAUUAAAUAACCAAUGGUCAUAAUUUUUGUACAGGACUCUUUUCUUGUGGAGAUGAUUAAAAGUGGCUGAUGAUCCAGUUUGUAUAUCAUAGAGAGCAUCAAUUCCUUUUCUUUUCAGUGGCUAGGCAACACUUUCAGGGCAAAGUAAGGAAAUCUAUUUUAGGCAAUGUAAAAACCAAUGGUAGGAUGUAAUAGUUUAACAUGCACUGACAAUAACUUUUUGUAUAAUUGUCAGUUGAACGAAUACAAGAGGAACUCUGUUGACAAUUCAUCCAAGAUAGAUGCUAAAAUUAUUUAUGCAUGCCAGUUGCCUUAACUAAUUUUUCUUGACACUGGUAUUGAAGAGGAAAAUGGAUAUGCAAUUUGUAUAUUGUGCCAUGUGGAGAAUUUGGAUAUUCCUAUCUAAGUAACAAGGAGAGUAUUUGCCUCAUCUUUAGACAAUGAAUCUUUGAGAAAUUAGGAGUGGGUGAUUGGCAGUGUCUUCAUGUAAAUGUUCAUUUGUUUGUAUUUUGAACUAUUAUGAGAAUCUUUUAUAUGCCAAAUUAGUAAUGCAAAUGUUCAGAUUAUUUUUUCUGUUGAUCGUGCAUUUGUGUCUGCAAACAACCAUUGUAUAUCACUUCAUUCUGAUGUGCAAGUCUCUGUAGUUUAGAAGAAAAGAAAUAAUAAUGAUAUAUUAUUGCUUGAUUCAUGAUUAUUAAAUGAUUAUGGCUUUAAAAAGCCUACAAAUUCCUUCUGUUGAUAUAUGAAUGUACCAAGUUUGCUAUAUCUUAGAUUACCAUUUCCAAGAUUACAAGUUCAAAUUUUUUCUUUAUCCUUUUCCAUCACAGUUGCAUUUUAAGUGUAAGAUUUGUUAUUAAUACCUGGUUUCCCGUCAUUAUGAUUUCAUAAACAGUGUAUGGGUAUGUGCUCUACUUUUGGAGGGCCUCCACGUGAAAGAAAAAUUGCAACAAUUGAAUUCUUCCAGAUUGUAUGGUAUUUAAUUUAUUUUCUCAACCUCUUGUAAGACUAAUAUAUUUUCCUUCAGUAGACACGGCAUGGUGGGAAGGGUUUUUUAUUGAAAGAAUUCUGAUAUUUCUUAGACUUUGUUUUGGAAGGGGGUGCAGGGGUUUCUCAUCCAUAUAUGGUUACUUGAUUAGCUUUUGACUGUAUUGCCUUAAUCAUGCAAAGGAAGAUCCAAAUACAAACGAAGGAGAAUUGUUUAGACACCCAGAAGAUGGAAAUGAACUACAGAAGGAAGUUUUUGCUGCUUUAUUUAGUGCUCCUGAGAAAUCUGAUGAAUUUCCUGAAAUUACGGUGAAGACCAAGUGUGAGGUCCAAAGCAUUAGGAAAGGUGGUGAGUGAACUGCCGGAGGAAUUGGUACAGAAUACAAGGCUAAUGUGGUGGACUUGCAGCAAGAUAACCGAAACAGUCCGUGCUCUUAUAUUAACUAUAUUGACUGGAUUUGCUAGUGUGUAUAUUUUUGUGUGUAUACUCACUUUUGUAUUUAUGCAUAUUAACGUGUGUAGGAUUCUUGAUUUCUGCCACUUACUGGAGAACUAGUGGAAAGCUUUAUACUGAUAUAUGUGCUAUAACUAAUGGAAACUAUGAUAUUAAUAUUUUCUCUCGCUUGGAGAACUGCAUAACAUAUAUACUUUGUGGCUCUGGAAUACUAAAGAUUCUGCAAUAACUAAUGGAAACUAUGAUAUGAAUAUUUUCUCUCACCUGGAGAACUUUGUAACAGUUACACUUUGGGGCUUGGAAUGUCUAAAGAAUUUUGUCUGCUUCAGUUAGAUCAAAUAUCUUUUAGUUGCAUACAUUAUAGAAAAGAUAAAGUUCUCUGAAUCUGAACGACUUAAAAUUUUGCGCAUUUCUUGAAAGGGAAAUAUCUGUAGAUACUAGUUCAUGCAUUGUGGUAGCAUCAGUGUUAAAGAAAAACAGCAGUAAGUUAUUAUAUAGAAUUAGGUUGACUUGCUUUAAAUCCUGGUCUGGUCAACCAUAUGAACCUGUAAGUGGUUCUGUAGAAAUAUAUAUAUAUACGGGGAGAAAGUAGCUAAAUUUUCCUUUCAUUUAUGGGUUUGGUCAUUUUUUCCCCUUAUUUAUGUUUUCUCACACAUUUUUUAAAUGCCCCAGACAUGCAAUUUUGUAUGUGUCAAUUGCCUUUUAAGUUUUAAAAACCAUAAAGUAAGAAUACAGUUUCUUGUCAGGCUAUUGAUGCAUUUGCUCGGGGGGAUCAUGCUCGAGCAGGAAAACUUCUAGAACAGGUAAGGUUUCCAUCUACAGCCAUUUAUUGACAACAUAUAUAUUUUCAUUCAGCAAGCACUGUUAGCAUUCAAGAUGCUGGCAGAUUCACUUGAUUCUUAUUAGUUUGUUUAGUAGCAAAGCAUAUAACCUGUAUUUCAAAGCUAAGUUGUGCUAUUGAUUAUGUUAACUUUAUUGUUCACAUAAAGUGAUAUAGAGGAAAUAAUCAAUGUAGGAAAAUUAGGUGAAGAGAUGAUGUCAAAUCUUGAACCUCUUACAAAACUCUAAGCUCUUUACUUGAAGAAGCUACCAAAUUCGAACAGCAUGUACUGGAAGGCCUUGCCAUUCCCUGAUGCAUGCAGAAUUUUUGUAUUUAAAUGCCCAGAGCUUAAGAAGCUGCCACUGGAUCUUGAAAGGGCAGGCCAAGGUAAAAUUCUUAUGAAGGGAAAGAAAGAUUGGUGGAAACAAACUUCAAUGGGAGGAUCAAGUAACUCAGAAUGCAUUGCUUCCAUUUUUAAAAUCAACCAACAAGUGAUUGAAGGGGGCAUCAUCAACAUGGAUGGAGAGAUUCUGGAGCAGAUCAGCGGGGUUUAGUACGACCUGUGGUGGUUGCUUUUUUGUGACUUUUUUCCCUUUCAUUUUUUCACUCCCUGUCAUAUUAUCAUUUCUUUGUCUCUGUUUCUAUUGCUGGUGUUGCUGCAUGCUUGCUGUCCUUGACAAAGUUAGCUAGUUUUUUUGUUUAUUAAAUUUUGUAUGUUCGGGACAGUCACAAAGUACUACUUGUUCUAUAAGGGGGUGAUGUGAAUCCACUUUUCAAUUAUAUAUUCUGUGGUAAUUGUGAAUUCAAUUCAUUUGUCUCCAGCAAAUUAUGAAGAAAGUGCAGAGUUACAAUAUGGAAAAGUUCACUGGCAAAUACUUUGUAAAAGCUUCGGAGUGAAACAGGGAAUGCACUGGCAACUAAGGACAAAUUGGUGGCCAGCUAAUGCAUUCAUUUUAUGUACAUUCCUCUUUUUAAUUAUUGAAGAUAAGUGGUUCGUUGCUUUUGUUGUAGAUAAAAUUCAGACGACCUCAAUUGUGAGAUGACAAUAUUUAAAAUAUCUCUUAAAUUAUUAUAAACUUUAAUUUAUCUUAAUUUUAUUUAAAAGAUAAAAGAAAAAUGUGGUAUAUGGAUAAAUUUUUUUUUAUCUUCUUAAUAAAAUGAAAUAAAUUAAAAUUUAUAAUAAUUUAUAAUAUUUUAAAAAUUAUUAUUUCAUAAGAGAUUAAUAUGAAAUUAAUCCUUUUUACUUUUUGAAUGUGAAAGGACAGGAAAAGAGAAAGCAAGUGUCACUGCUUUUUAUUUUAUUUGAAAUCGGAGUUAUCCCAUAUACUUUACUACUUUAGCUCUAACAUUACAAUGUUUUUAGGCUACACUUUUAUUUUUCUUUUUCCCCCUUUUUUUAUACAUGCAUGUGGAUUACUUUCCUCUAAGCGCCUUAAUAUUUAAGACAAAUCAUAAAAGCGAUUGAAGUAUAACCAGAUGAUCAAAACAUUUAACCCAAAAAAAAAAAGAAAUAAAACAUUGAAAAUGGAGAUGUUGAUUAAUUUAGAAGAGAUGCAAGUAAAAGAUAUUCCCAAAAAAAAGAAAAAAAGAAAAAAGCAACGUUAGUUCAUCCAUGUCUGUCAAUGCGUUUUUUAUGGUUUUUUUUCCAGUUGUUUGUUGUAAUAGAUUGAUUGUAAAUUGAUAUGAACUUGAUGUUGUAAUAUGUUCCCUUUUGUGGAAUUAAAUUUGAAUAUUCAAGAUUAUUCAAGUCUUAUUUAGUAUGUGUUUAGUUGUGUUGUCGAUAACUUUGCAUUCGAAUAAGUUUUCACCUAAAAUAUUAGCAUGAGUAGUAGUCCUUGAAACUUUGGUCAAAAUUAUUGUUAUUGUUUCUUUUAGAGGAAAUUUUUUUAUUAAAGCCUCGUUAACACUAUUUCUUAUUAAGAUUAUAAGUUAGUGUCGGUGUAGGAUUUGCAACGACAAAUCCUGUCUAGCCACGUGUCAAAAGUACAAAUAAAUCAAGGGAAAGCACAUGUCGCGGAUUAGGAUCCAAUAAAAUUUAAAUCCCAAGGAAAAGGACAACUGUAUCCUAAAGUUUCAAUAAGAGAUACUGAUAUAUCUUUUGACUAAUGUUAUUUUUUGGCUUCAUUAAUAAAAAGAUCCAAUAGUUUAUAACAAAUAAAAAUAUAGCAUUAAGCUAAAUGUGAUAAUAUAUACAUUUUACAUAAUUUCAAUAAAAAAACAUUUUAAUGUUUUACGAUCUAUCAGACAUAUUUUAUUAAAUUAAUAGGAAUUUUCUGAUAAAUAGCAACAUAAUAUUAAAAUAAAUUUAUAAAGAUUUAAAUGUAAAAUAAUUUUAGUAUAAUUAAUACAUGGGAUAUAUUUUGUAAAUUAUAAAAUUACUUAACCCAAUGAUUUUUAAAAAUCUUUAAAAUAAAUAAAAAUAAAUUAUUCACAUUUUGAUGUAAAUAUUUAAAACAUUUUUAUACAUUAGUCCACAAUUAUUUAUGUUAUAUUUGUAUUUAUUAGAAAUUUUGAAAGUGAAAUGUUUUUCACCUCUAUCUUAUUAGAAUUAUUGCACACAGAGAAAGAGCCAUAUAUGCUUUAUAGCUUUAAAAUCGGUUUGUUUUAUAGCUGGGAACAGAGAUGAUCAUUAUUAUAAGGAUUAAAAAAAGAUAAAGAAUAUUAAUGAUUAACGAAAUCUUUAUGGAAAUUGAAUUUAGUAAGAAAAAAUUGAGCUGAUUUUAGUGGUAUAGUCAUAUUUUAUAUAGAGAAAAGUAAAAGUUGCACCCCGAAAUGUUCAAAACUCUUUUUUAAUAAUAAUAUCCUUUUUUCUAGAUAACUUAAAAAUUUGACUCUAAUAUUUUAUAAUAAAUAAAAACAUAUAAUCCUAAAAUAAAUAAAAUAAUAUAUAUUUUAAAAUAAUCUCAAUAUUUAAAAUAUAUUUUAACAUUUUAUAGUCUAUCAUAUAUAUUUUAUUUUUUUAAAGUAAAUUUUAUAAUAAAUACCAACAUACUAUUAAAAAAGAUAUAUAAAAAAUUUAAAAUAUUUUGAAUAUUAUAUAAAAUAACUUUAAUAUUGUUAAUAUGUGAGAUAUAUUUUAUUAAUUAAAAAUUCUAUUUAACCCAAAGAUUUAUUUAAGAUAAAUUAAUAAUUAUAUUUUUGAAAUUAUUUCAAAUAUUAAAAAAUAUUUUAAUAUUACUAACUAUUAGAUAGACUAAACUAUUUAUAUUAUUUUAUAUUUAUUAUAAAAUUUCAAAGUUAAUCUUUUUAACUACUAUUCAAAAGAUAUUAUGAUAAAAACAGAAUUUUUGUGUUUUUAUUGACAAUUUGGAGUUUACAUCUAUUUUUUUCAAAUAUUCGGGGUGUAAAUGUUUUUUCCCUUUUAUAUAUACGAACGGUGGUGAGAAAGCUUGAUUUAACGUUAUUUAUUUAAAUAAAAUCUCAGUUAAAAAUGUACAGAGAAGAAAUUUCUGUUGGUAUUUUAGUCUUUUACCAAUUAUCACGAUUAGGCCUUGGCCUUGAAACAUUAAUUGUUUCACUUUUAGCGCUAGUGGCGUUGAAAGUUGUCAAGAAAAAAGCAAGACCAUAUUCCACAAAAGCAAAAGUAACGUUGGCUCUUUUAUUAAAGGCAAAGUAUAAAGUAGUCAAGAAUCGAAUAUCCUGUCGUCUACUCUUUUUUAAAUUCUUCUUUUAUUAUCUUUUAGAAUAGUUUUUGGUAAUUACAAUCAUUAUUCAGAGUUAUUGUUAUCUUCCGGGGCAGUCUCUGUUCAUCGAACUCGUUACCCUUUUUUAUAGAUUAGUUCCAGUGGUCAGCAGUAAUUUUCUUAGAACUCGGAUCUUUAAUUCGAGUUUCUGUGUGAAUUAAUAAUAAAAAAUUUCAUUACACGCAAUUUAAGCUACGAAUUACUUUUUGCAAAGUUGAAUAUGAAAUUGGAGAAAUUAAGUAAUUUAGAAUGUUGGUAAAAAUUGACGAACAUAUCUCCAAUUACAGUAAAACCUCUCUACAGUCAUAACAUUAUAAUAAAAUUAAUUUUAUUACUAUGUUGAGGUAAUAUAGGUUUAGUUACAAAAUUAUUGUUUUAAUAUGGUUAGUGUCAAGUGAUAUAAAGGUUAAGUAUGUAGUACAUUGAUAAUUAAAUAAUGAAGCGUGUCAAAUCUAAUGUAUAUAUAUAUAUAUAUAUAUAUAUAUUUUUUUUUUUUUGGUUUUGACCACGAGGUAUCCUGGGGAGGGCCCCAACUGUGGGAGACACCUUUAAGCCCGUACCACAACCCAGACUAGAAGUCCUCACUCGAAUCGAGAGGCACAGGUUCUCCCAACAAAGGCGACUUCCCUACGACUCGAACUGGGGAGCAAACCCAGUCAAGCCACUUAAGGGGACUCCAUUGCCAGUGGAGCCAACACUUUGUUGGUUAUAUAUAUUAAUGAUAUAGAUAGACAUAGUUUUAAAAAACUAAUUAAUGUAUAUUUAUGUAGUGUUAUGAAUAUGGAAAGUCAAGCCUACACUUUACAUUAUCCUUAAUUUUUUCUCUCAGUUAAAUUCUACAAAAAUUUUACAAUGAUUGGGCAAGAACUCUAAAUUAAGAAUAAAUUAUUGUCACAAAUAAUUUUAGAAAAUAUUUUAUUUCGUCUUAAACCUUUAAUGUAAGUAAACAUAUAUAUAUAUAUAUAUAUAUAUAUAUAUAUAUAUAUAUAUAUAUAUAUAUAUAUAUAUAUGUGCAUAUUUUGCAACGUAUAGAUAAUUGUUAGUAUAUGGAGACAAGUCUUUUAAGGUAGGACCUAGGAAAAUUUAUAACUUACUACACUGGGGAGUUUUUAUUCCUUUUUAUAAUUGGCUCAUAUUGAUACAUUCUUACACAAAAUAUUACCACUGACAUAUUUUAUUACAAUUAGUUUAGAACAUUUGUUAGGAAAAAAAAAGAAAAGAAAACAUCCCUUGGAUGUAGCUCUCCUGAUUAUUUAAAUCUUUUAAGGAAAAAAAGAAAAAAGAAAAACUAACACAUUCAAAUCUUGAAGCAAUUACAUUAAAACCUCUCCAUAAUGAUAGGAAUAAUCUCCAUUUAGUAAUAAAAAAUUUUGUUCGCAAUUUAGGCAUAGUUAUAAAUAAGAAUAAAAUCCUCAUUGUAAUAAGUUAUAUUUAUUAUGGAUCCCAUCCUAAGGAACUUGUCUCUAUAUAGUAAUAAUUAUUUGAAUAUUAUAAAUAUAUAUGUUGCAUUAGAUUAAAUGAACUUGUCUCCACAUACUACUUAGACAACGAGAGAAAGUUAUUAAAGAGAACACAAAUAUUUAAAGAUUUUUAAGAUUACUUUGUAUAUUUAUAACAAUAAUACAUUGAUAUAUGUAUUAGUUUUUUGAUAUAUUAGAUUUGACAUGCUCUAUUAAUAAAUUAUUAAUACGAUGCAUACUUCAUCUCUAUAUCCUUGCAAUAAAAGUAACUAAGUUAUAACGAUAAUUUUUGUAACUACAUGCUUAUUAGGUUUUAACUACUUCAUAAUAAUAAAUUAGUUUCGUCCUAAUAUUAUAAUUAUGUAGAGUUGUGGUGUAUAGACACACCCAAUUUAAAUAGUAUAUCAAAUAAAAUUGUCCCCACAAAAAAGAAAAAAGGGGUAAAGGAUUGUUAUUUCUUCAAACAUUAGGAUCACGUUUGUACAAGUGCGAUGCCUUUCUUUUGAAGGCAACGUCAGUGGGUACCCAAUAGGACGUGUGUAAAUCUUUCCAAAAUUUCUCCGGUAUAACGGACAGAGAUCAUUACUUUUCUCUUCCAUAGACCACAGCAGCUUCAGUUAAUCAGACUCAAUCAAUUUUCUUGGUUUCUUCGCUUAUCAAAAUUCCAAAGUAUGGGUAGCAUAUUUCAAAUCACAUGCGAUGGUGCUUUUUUCAAUCGUUGCUUGGAUUGCUUUCUUGGAAAAGUAGCAAACACAAGUAAGCUCCAUGAUAACCUUGUUGCCUUGGAGACUGAAUUGGGAAAACUAAUCGCAGCAAAGAACGAUGUGAUGAUGAGGGUUGUCAAUGCUGAACGGCAACAACUGAGAACGCUGGACCAAGUGCAUGUGUGGCUUUCGAGGGUGGAAGCUGUUGAAACUGAAGCUGAUGAAUUGAAAAGACACGGCUCUCAAGAAAUUGACAAAUUAUGUGUUGGAGGCUACUGUUCCAAGAACUGCGCGUCAAGCUACAAGUUCGGGAAACAAGUGGCUAAAAAGCUACGGGAUGUGCGGACUUUAAUCGACGAAGGAGUUUUUGCGGCGGUGGCUACCGAGGUGGUGCCUGAGAGAGCUCCAGAACCUGUAGCAGAUGAAAGACCCACUGAGCCAACAAUAGUAGGCUUGCAAUCACAACUUGAACAAGUUUGGAGAUGUCUUGUAGAAGAAUCAGUGGGAAUCAUUGGCCUAUAUGGUAUGGGCGGUGUUGGUAAAACUACACUAUUGACCCAUAUCAACAAUAAAUUUCUUGAGAGUCCAACCAGUUUUGAUUGUGUGAUUUGGGCCGUAGUUUCAAAGGACUUGCGACUCGAAAAAAUUCAAGAAGAUAUUGGGAAAAAGAUCGGUUUGGUUGAUGAUUCAUGGAAGAGUAAAAGUGUAGAGGAGAAAGCUCUCGACAUCUUCCGGAGUUUAAGAGAGAAGAGAAUUGUAUUGCUGUUAGAUGAUAUAUGGGAGCGGGUUGAUUUAACAAAAGUGGGCAUUCCACUUUCCGGACCAAAAAAUACUACCUCAAAAGUCGUAUUCACAACCCGUUUCGUCGAUGUUUGUGGUAGCAUGGAAGCUGACAAGAAGUUCCAAGUGGCAUGCUUAUCAGAAGAGCAUGCUUGGGAACUGUUUCGAAAAAAAGUUGGGGAAGAAACUCUUGAGAGUGAUCAUGAUAUCGUUGAGCUAGCCCAAACUGUGGCCAAAGAGUGUGGUGGUUUGCCACUCGCACUUAUUACUAUUGGUCGAGCUAUGGCCUUCAAAAAGACAGCCGAGGAGUGGAGUCAUGCAAUUGAUGUGCUAAGAACAUCAGCUUCUGAGUUUGCAGGUUUGGGAGAAAAGGUGUAUCGUCUUUUAAAGUUUAGCUAUGAUAGUUUGCAGAAUGAGACGAUUAGAUCUUGUUUCUUAUAUUGUUGUUUAUAUCCCGAGGAUUAUGGCAUUCUUAAAUGGGACUUGAUUGAUUGUUGGAUUGGUGAGGGAUUCUUAGAGGAAUCUGACAGGUUCAGUGCAGAAAACCAAGGAUACUACAUUGUGGGCACUCUUGUUCAUGCAUGUUUAUUAGAAGAGUUAGAAGGUGAUAAAGUAAAAAUGCAUGACGUUGUUCGUGAUAUGGCUCGAUGGAUAGCUUGUGAAAUUGAGAAGGAGAAGAGAAAAUUUUUGGUUUGUGCAGGUGCUGGAGUAGGAGCGGUACCAGAUGUUGAAGGAUGGGAAAAUGUGAGAAGAUUGUCAUUGAUGCAAAACCAAAUUGAAAUUCUGUCAGAGGUUCCCACAUGCCCUCAUCUCCUCACUUUAUUUCUUGACUUUAAUUAUAAAUUGGAGACGAUCACCGAUGGCUUCUUCCAAUGUAUGCCUUCUCUCAAAGUUUUGAAGAUGUCAAACUGUGGGCAUGUCAAAGUUUUGAAAUUACCUUUUGGGAUGUCAAAGUUGGGUUCACUACAACUUCUUGAUAUUUCACAUACCGGCAUAAGAGAGUUACCAGAAGAGUUAAAGUUGUUGGUAAAUCUGAAAUGUUUGAAUUUGAGGUGGACACAUAUGUUAAAUAAAAUUCCACGGCAGCUAAUAUCAAAUUCUUCAUGGUUACGUGUGUUGAGAAUGUUCGCUAUUGGCUUCGAAAAUUCUAAAGAACCAUCAGAAGACAGCGUUUUAAUUGGUGGGGGUGAAGUUUUAGUACAUGAAUUGCUCGGUUUGAAAUAUUUAGAGGUAUUGGAGUUGACCUUGCGAAGUUAUGAUGCUCUCCAAUUUUUUUUGAGCUCAAAUAAGUUAAAAAGUUGUAUUCGAUCUCUUUUCCUCAUUAAGCUGGGAGAUACAAAGUCGAUUCAUGCUACGGCAUUCGCAGAUCUAAAGCAUCUCAAUGAACUAUGCAUUCGUUCGGCAGUGGAGUUGGAAGAAUUGAAGGUUGAUUAUACAGAGAUUGCGCCAAAAAGGUCGGAACCUUUUGUUUUCCGCAGCCUUCACCGUGUUACUAUGGAGCGGUGCCAUAAAUUGAAAGAUUUGACAUUCCUCGUUUUUGCUCCAAGCCUCAAGUCUCUUUCGCUAUACGGUUGCAAUGCUAUGGAAGAAAUAAUCAGCGUUGGAAAAUUUGCUGAGACUCCUGAGGUGAUGGGACAUAUAAGCCCUUUUGGAAAUCUCCAAACGCUUUAUUUAACUGAUUUGCCAGAGUUGAAAAGCAUCUACUGGAAGCCGUUGCCUUUCACUCAUCUCAAAGAAAUGACGGUACAUGGGUGUAAUCAGCUUAAAAAGCUUCCACUCGAUUCCAACAGUGCAACAGAGCGUAAAUUUGUUAUUCGUGGAUACACACACUGGUGGAACCGUCUUCAAUGGGAGGAUGAAGCCACUCAAAUUGCUUUUCGUUCCUGUUUCCAAUCUCAUGAAAUAUAAAUUCCUGAGCGGUGGUUGCAAAAUUUGAUUUCUAGUGAGUGCUUUUUUCUGAAACUCUUACAUAUAUUCUCGUCGUUUGCUUCGUGCAACAGACUAGGUUUUUAUUUCAGAUUCGUUUUUUGUCUCCUGCAAAUCACAAUUAAAUGUUGAAUUAUAUGGAGUCAAUGCUUUAGAAAAUUUUCAAGGCACUGCCAUUUCCUUUUUCUUUUUUCUUUUUUUGGGGUCGAAUUGAUGCUCUGGCUUUUUUCUUCUUCUUGUCAAAUUUUGCUCUGUUUUUUCAAGUUGAUGAUUGAAUAGUUGAAUUCAAUUAAUGCUCACAUAAAUUUGUUUAGUUGCCGUAAAAGGAUAUAAUUAGACUGAAGUACACACUUCUAGAAUGAAUACAAAAUGUUAAGUAUACUAGCCCUCUUUACAGAAAAUCAAAUGAAAAUCAAUUUUUUGGGGCUUUGAUUUUCUAUGGUCUAUUAUAUACUCUUUUUAAUAUCUUCUGUUCUAACUAUAACCAAAUCCUUUGUUCAAGGAUUUUUAGUUGGGGUAUUGAUAACUGUCCACCAAAAGAGUGAACACUUGGAUGCUGCUCAAGGAUCUCUAAUCAAUAGGUGGAAGCAACUGAGAAGGCGGUCGCUACUGUUUACAAAGCGAUGCAGUAUUCGCCAUUCAUCUUAAUAAUUGUGAAGCUUUGGUAAAAUUUUCAAACAAAGUUGAACAUGCUGUUUUGAGAUUUGGUUCAUGAUUUUCGAUGAAUAUCGUUGUUCCGUUUGAGUUGGAUGUGAAUUCAAAAUCUAUAUAUUCUUUAGUUUUCAAUUCUGAACUCAAUUUCUUUUUCUCAAGCAUGUUAUGCAGAAAUGAUUUUUAUAAUUACUAAAUCAUUUUUGAUGAAUUGUUUAAAUUAAACAAGUGGAAUAAGAAUUGUAAAGGUUUAUCAUAAGCAUGCUAAUAUGAUAAGUUGUUUUAUGAACGAUUAAUUAAUUAAUCAAUUAAUAUUAAAUUAUAUAUUAGUCAAUUAGAUAUGCGUUACAUGUCAUGUUUAAAAACUAUUUAUUUAUAUUUCAAACAAAUUUGACUGGAUGUUGUGUAGGUAAUACUACAUAAUUUCAAAACAAAAAAAGUAACAAAAACAAGUUAAAUUUUGUUUUUAUGAAGAAAAAAUUUAAAAUUUUAUUAAGUAGGUGAAAAUAAUAAAUGGAUUCGUGUAUGGUUUGAGAUUCUUGACAUAAUUAUGAAAUAAGCCGGAUUCAACUUAGUUCAAUUUUGACGCGAUAAGAAGACGACACCACACAAACACACGAUAAGAACCGUUACCUGAGAAGAUUGCCAUCAGGAAUUUUGAAAUUGAUUUCACUACAAUACCUUAAUCUUUCAGAUACUCCCAUCACUGAGCUGCCGGAAGAGCUAAAAGCCUUGGUAAAUCUUAAGUGUUUGAACUGUACACAAAUUAUCUCUCUACAAUUCAAAAACAACUGAUUUGUUACUUUUUCAAUGCUACAUGUUCUGCGAAUAUUGAGUUGUGGUUAUCUUGUUGAAAAAUCAGAAAAUAGAGUUCUAUUUGGUGGUAGUGAAUUGUUGGUUGGGGAGUUGCUUAGUUUAAAACGUUUAAAUGUAUUAAGCAUCACCUUACAAGGUUUUUCUGCUGUCCAAAAACUUAUGAGCUCUCAAAAGUUUCAAAGCUGUACAAAAUGUUUGGAGCUUAUAGACUGUGAUGAUUCAAAGUCUUUUGCCUUGGCAGAGUUGAAGCAUCUCGAAAAACUAGUUUUUCGAAUUGUGGAAGAGUUUAAGUUCUGCUGUGUUGAAGUUGGAAAAGCUCAAGAAUGUUUUCGUUUGAACAGCUUUCACCGAGUUAAUAUAAAGGCUUGUCAUAAAUUGAGGGAUGUGACAUGGCUUGUAUUUGCUCCAAAUCUUAUGGUUAUUCAAAUAGAAAAAUGUAUGCAGAUGGAAGCAAUAAUCAGUGCAAGGAAAUUGGGUGAAAUUCCAGAGAUGAUGGCAGAUCUAAACCCUUUUGCAAAACUCCAAUAUCUUCGCUUCCGAGUUCUUCCAAAAUUAAAAAUCGUCUAUUGGAAUGAGUCACCCUUUCCACAUGUCAGGGAAAUUAUUGUAUCUGAAUGCCCAAUUCUCAAGAAGCUUUCACUCAAUUUUAACAAUGCAAAGGAAUCUAAAAUUGUCAUUAAGGGAGAGGAACACUGGUGGAACGAGCUGCAAAGGGAGGAUGAAGCGACCGUUAAUGCUUUUCUUCCUUAUUUUGGUUCCAUUUGACAGGCAUCAACAUGGAUUUAUAUUUUGCGGUGGACAACUUGUAGUAAGUGCUUUUCCAUUUAUUACAUGUUUAUAUCUAACUUUUGUUUUCCUUUAUGGUUAAAUUUUACUAUAUAUAUGUUGUUAUACGGUGACAUUCUCGCAUCAAUUAUUAGCUUUUUAAUUCUCUUCUCGCAUUAAUUGUCCUUCUGAUCAUGUAGGAUUUGCCGAUGUCAAAGAGUAGUAAAUUGGGAUACAAAUGUAAGAAAUUAGCCAGAUGACAUGUUGUUUUGAAGCUUUCGAAGAAGGACUAAUUAUGUCAUUCAAAGCAUCCAAUUUCGCUACUUUUUUUUUUCAUUUGUUGCUUUUUCUAUUUUUAGAUAGCUUGAUUGUCAGUUGUCGUAAUGUAAUGUUUUAGUGUAGAAAAAUGAUAUUCGGCCAAGACAUCGAUAGUAGGGCACAUUGUGCAUGCACACUAGUGGAUGAUUUCGGCAUGCCGAAUCCAAUUAGUGUGGACAACCCUUUAUAAGCAUCAGGCUUCUCUCAUACCAGAGCAAUGUAGAAUAUGUUUAUAAACUGUGGAUUACCCUUUAUAAGUAUUAGGCUUCUUCUAUACUCGCGCGAUGAAACAAAAUGCAUUCUUCAAAUCAAUAGUGGGUGGAAGAAGUGAGUAGAGAAGAACUAGGCCCCUUUCAUUCCCCUAAAACCUCACCGAAACCUCUCUUGUGAACUUCUCAGAUUCUCUCUCAAUAUUUCUUAUGAUCUCAUUUUUGAUAGAAUCAAUUCUUUUGCAUGCUGCAUUUUGUGUGUCUUUUUUGGGUAAUAUCUUAUCUGGAAUGCUGUUAUGAUCAAUAGAAAAAGUAAUCAAGUUUUGGUUUGACGGAAGUCGAUUUAUUUAUUUACUAUUAUUUUUAUUUGAAAUUUUGUACAAUUGUGUUUCAUUCAUUUCUUUCAUUUUUUUAAAUAUUUAUUAUGUAUUGUUGAUGCUGAAAUCUGCUCGCCCUUUGCCCAAUCAGAUCUUUCCACCAAUGUUUACGUGGCUAGAAGAGAAGGUGUCACUUUCUUCUUGUUUCGACUGUUUGCUCAAGCCGCUGGGGUUGGAAUCACCCUUCCUUCUUUUACUAAACAUGCGUUCACAAAAAUGGAUCAGAGACGCCGGUGGUUUUAUCGGCGUAAACUCUCCGAUGCCUAAGUCAGCACAAGGUGUUUAUGGGAAAACAGUGCAGUUUAGAUUUUGAGAUUGCUUAUAAUUUGCUCAAAGUUUGUAUAGAAGACGGCUUGGUUUCAAUUUGGCAGAGUUUUCCCCCCUCUCAGUUUUUCUGUCCCUUCUCCAUUGGUUUUUCCUUAUUUUUAUAGCCGUUGUCCCACGUUUCCGUUCACCCUUCAUGCCCCCCCUUUUCUCGGGUAGUGGCAACCCCUCAUGGGACUCCAACUGCUAUAUUGUGGGUAAACGUGGGACACUGUGUCUCCCUCUACGAUUUUGGGCACAGCGCAACUGGCGUGAUUUCGUGAGAUCGUGUUCCCGCUCUUUGGGGAAUGGGUAUCUGCUCGGUAUAUGUCUCUGGUCGGUGCAUUCCUCUGGCUGGUACUCGUCUCUGGUUGGCCCAUGUUUGUAGAAGGCUCAUUAUCAGUGUUCUGCUCGUACCAUUUGGCUGAGGUGAUCCCUGCCGAGGUGGGGAUGAUGGCAUGGCUGAGCUGAUGCUCUUAUUUACUUAACAUGUAUAAUUGUGUUUCAGUUGAUAUUGAUCAUACUCUAGAUAACUAUGUGAUUGUAGCUGGGGAUUUUAAGUUUUGUGAAUUCAAGAAACUGUCAAAAUGCUAGUGAAAUUGGGACCUUUAUUCAUAAGCUUGUAGUUUUGAAAAGUAGCCCAGUUCAACUGAUGAAGUUCCUUUUUGGGAUUCUUUUUUUCCUAGGCUGCAAUUCGGAUAUGUACCUGAUAGACAAUCUUUUGUGGGUUUAGCAUAUCUUCUCUGAUUUUGUCUUUUAUUCCUCAAUUUUAUAAUUACACACCAUGAAUGUUGAGUGAUUGUAUAGAAAAUUUGAGUUAUAACCAAAGCAUUGUGAAGGAGUUAAGUUAGUGGCUUCUGUUUUAUUGGCAUUGAUUGGGUAGAUUACGUGUUACAGUGAUUCAAUUUGUGAUCCAAACAUUUUUUUAAUUUCUGUUUUCCCAAAUUAUUUAUGUCAAAUUCAAAACCAGAAGCAUGUGCUGAUUUUUUCUUUUUGUAUUAAUCUGUGAAGUUUAUUUGGAAAGGAAGUAUCUGGGUCUAAUGGAUUAAAUUAUGUAAGUGGCAGAAAUUCCUACACACAUAAAUAUGCAUAAAUACAAGAGUAUACACAAAAAAAUGCACACACUCAUACAUCCAGUCAAUAUAGUUAAUGUAUGAUACCAAUUGUUGGGGAAAAAUUAGGUUUUUAAUUUUUUAUAAAACCUUUUGAAGAUCGCUCUCAUAUAAUAUAUAAGAAUUUGUAUUCUAGAAAUCGUACCUUGAAAAUCCGAGUUGGCUUUUUCCGCUGAAGUGUUUUAGGCUCCUAGAUCACGAUCCGCCACCACCGCUCCUGUUAGAUCACGAUCCGUCACCACCACGCUUGUUAGAUCACGAACAGUCUCCAAUGAUCUUCCAGGUUAUGACUCAGGUUCGAUCUGCACUUGACGUGUAGGCGCCUUUAUCACUACCAAAGCAACUAGCACGAGAAAAUUUUUCUCUCAACAAUAGAGAGAAAAAUCUUUUUCUCUGAUCUGUAUAAAGUGGCUUCUCACUUUUUCUUUAGGGAAAAAUAAGCCUUUUAUAUCACCCUUUAGUGAAAACCCUAGGCUCCAAAUAAAUGAAAAAUAAAACCCACGUUUAUUUGCUUUUUCAAUAGGGGACCCACCUUGUAAAAUAACAUAAGGCCCCUUAUACAAAAGCUAAUUAAAUGGAGCCUCCCACUAAAUGAUAUAUUUAGGCUUUUGACCCAAAUAGCUGGUUAUCUUACUUAUUAGUCCAGUAGUGGUGCAGUCAAUUAAAUGAGCUAACCCGGGGAUCAUUUGGGAACAUACAAUAGUGGCUACAAUAAUUAGGCCUGUAAUUAAACUAGCCCAAUUAUUUAAUUCCAAAUCUACUCCAUUAAAAGAUUGGAACUGACUUCCAUAAUUGUAUGCUCGAAUAAUAAUUCGUCCCAAGCCACAUUGAUUUCUUUACUGCACAAUCCUUUGUACCACAUCGUUAAUUAAAUUGAUAUCUCAACUGUCCAAUCAAUUUAAUAACAUCUUAUUCCUUGAUCCUUACUGGUUUUCUCUAAUGAUCAUUUUCAACAUACUAAAUAUGUUGACACACUCUGGCCAGAGAAUUCUAUGAUCAAGUGCCGAAAACCCAUGAAGAGAUGUGUUGUACAAAUUCUAUAUUGUUAAUCUAUAACUCCAAUACUCAUAAUUGCUCCCACCAAGAUACCGGGUAAUCUUGACCACAAGGAUGUGUCGUGCCCAUUGGUAACUCAAAUGGAAUAACAAUUACAAUCAUGAAAUCAUAAUUAACUCAAGAUUAAGAUUACAGUAAAAUCAACGCCUAUGAGAUUUAAUAAGUCUGACAGUUAUUACAAAGUUAAUUAAAUCUCAUAUGUGAUCCUGUUCAAUGUAGUCGUACUACAUCAAUAAAUUCAUACAUGAUUAAGACAAAUCAUUCAAUGAAUUUAUUACAGUCUAUACCUAAAUAAAGUGCCCAACUUUAUUUAUCAACUGCGAACUAAAUUUAUUUAAUCAUAAGAUAACAUGUAUUUAUGUCUUCUGUGAAUCCACAUGGUAAUCACAUAAAUACAUAUAAUAUGAUUAAAUGGACUUUAAUACAAGUAUUAAUGCAAUUAAGAUAUUUGAAUAAAAUACCUCAUUUAUUUUAUUAAUCAGAAAAAUAGUUUAUUACAAUUAAAUAAACAUAUAUGCUUUUAAAGAGCAUAUUUUCCCAACACAUACCGGUUUGGUUAUCUUGCUGCAAGUGCACCACAUUAGCCUUGCAUUCUGGUGCCAACUCCUCCGGCGGUUCACCCACUACCUUUCCCAAUGCUUUGGACCUCCAUUCGGUCUCCAUCAGAUUUCUCAGGAGCACUAAAUAAAGCAGCUAAAACUUGCUUCUGUAGUUCAUUUCUGUCUUUCGGGUGUCUAGGCAAUUUUCCUUCGUUGGUAUUUCGAUCUUCCUUUACAUGACUGAGGAAAUACAGUCAAAAGCUAAUCAAGUAACCAUACAUGGAUGAGAAAUCCCUCCACCCCCUUCCAAAACAAAGUCUAAGAAAUAUCAGAAUUCUUUCAGUAAAAACCCUUCCCCCCAUGCUGUGCCCACUGAAUGAAAUAUAUUAAUCUUAUGAGAAGUUGAGAAAAUAAAUUAAAGACCAUACCCUCCGGAAGAAUUCAAUUGUUGCAAUUUUCUUUCACGUGGAGGUCCUCCAAAGUUAGAGCACAUAUCCGUACACUGUUUAUGAAAUCAUAAUAACAGGGGACCAUUUAUUAAUAACAAAUCUUGACACCUAAAAGUCAACUGUGAUGAAAAAGAUUAAAAAGAAUAUGAACUUGUUAUCUUGGAAGUGAAAAAUAUUUGAGAUGCUUGAAUAUGGUGAAAAUAGUAAUUGUUUUUGUUACUUCUACAAUUCUUGAAUUUUACAAAUAUAUAAAGACAUUCAAGAUGCUGUACAAGGAAAGACAAUAUUUACAAUAAUUAUAAUAAUCAACUAGCCGUUGUGAUGAAUCCACCAUGACAUGUGCUACUAUAUUCUCCAUCAAUUAUGGCUUAGACGAGAUGUUGGAAAUCCUCUUGCCAUGGCGGUACAAGCUACCAUAUUUGUUGCUUGUGACUUGUCCUUAUCAGCCCCCUUUAAGCUAGGCAGUGACAUGCGAUGAACACCUAGCUUGGUUCGUAGCGUGAGAAAUUGAUGCUUCCCCAAAGGUUUUGUAAGAGUGUCUGCAAUCUGAAGAUGAGAAGGCACAUAUCGUGUAAAUAAUGACCCUUUAGCAACCUUUUCACGAACAAAAUGCACGUCAAGCUCAAUAUGUUUCAUUCUAGCAUGAAACACUGGGUUCUUAGUCAUAUGAAUUGCACUCAAAUUGUCACAGAGAAGCGUGGGUGCUUUCGGAAUACAGAACCCAAUGUCAUUAAGUAGAUAUGUGAGCCAUGUUAACUCGGCAGCGGCAGAGGCCGUGGACCUAUAUUCGGCUUUGGCACUUGAGCGAGAGACUGUGUGUUGUUUCUUGGAGCUCCAAGAGAUACAAUUGCUUCCAAGAUAAAUGCAAAAUCCUGUUGUACUUCGUCUUGUUAUUGGACAUCCAGCCCAAUCGGAAUCAGAAAAGGCAUAGAGCUUGAGAGAGCUUUGAGACAAAAAUCUAAGGCCAAAGUCAAGGGUACCGUUAAGGUAACGAAGGAUCAUUUUCACGUCCUUGAGGUUGGCUUUUGUUGGCGCUUGGAAGUGUUGAGAGACUCAAUUGACAACAAAUGUGAUAUCGGGCCUUGUGUAGGUGAGAUAUUGAAGGCGUCCAACAAGGCCUCUAUAUUCGGUUGCAUCCAUAGGUUCAUUAUCAUCCGAACAUGGUAUUGAUCGUAUAGCCAUCGGCGUGUUGAUAGGAGAACAAUCCUGCAUUCUUGCCUUGGAAAGAAGGUCUUUAGUGUACUUCGCUUGAGAUAGGAAGAUGCUAUGCGUGAAUUGUUGAACUUCAAUGCCUAGGAAGUAAUGUAGGUUGCCAAGAUCUUUUAAAGCAAACUUUGAGCUCAGAUUGUUGAUGAUUGAUUGAAUUUCCUUCUCAUUAUUUCCUGUAAUGAUCACAUCGUCAACAUAAAUUAAUAUAAGUAUAAGAAUGGAUUUGUUAUUAAAUAUAAAUAAAGAACUAUCAGCUUUGCUACUAGAAAAUCCAAGAGAAAUUAAGGCUUGAGAAAAACACUCGAACCACGCUCUAGGUGCCUGUUUCAGGCCAUAGAGCGAUUUUUGAAGCUUGCAAACAUAUGUUGGAUGACGUGAAUUGCGAAACCCGGGAGGCUGCUCCAUGUAGACAAUCUCCUUUAGUAGUCCAUGAAGAAAAGCAUUGCGAACAUCCAGUUGCUUGAUAAGCCAUUUUGAGCUCACAACAAUUGCAAGGAUAAGGCGAAUAGUUGUGGCCUUUAUAACGGGACUGAAGGUUUCAUCGAAGUCGACUCCUGGAACCUAUGUGAAUCCCUUGGCAACUAAUCGAGCUUUAUAGCGAUCAAUGGUUCCAUCUUCUCUGUAUUUGAUACGAUAUACCCACUUCGAUUUGAUGACAUUAACAUUGUUAGGCCGCGGCACAAGGACCCAUGUAUGAUUUUGAUGCAAUGCUUGAAGCUCUUCUUUCAUAGCUUGAGUCCAAAGUGGAUUCUUUAAGGCAAUUUUGAGUGUUUUGGGUUCAAUUUCUCUACUGUCGCUGGCUUGAAGGGCUAAUUUAGGAUUUUGUUUGAGUUUAUUGCGUGUCAUCAUGGGAUGAGUAUUUAUGCUUUGCAGUUCUGCAGCUGUGUUUGGUAUCUUAAGUUCCACAAAUAAGCGAUUGGAUAUGUCAGGAUAAUCUGGUUGUGAAUUUGUGGCAGGGCUGUUGUCCGUAUUUCUGGACAAAUUAAGUGGUUCAGUUGCAUGUGAACUACUAGAAUUUGAAUCAUUUGUAGUCAAAUGUUGCAUUGCAUGUGGAGACUCCAAAAUAUUUGGAAUUGCUUCUGACUUGUCGUGUGGAGUUGCUGAAUUCAAAUUGUCCUCUAAAUUGUCUUGUGGGAAAUCUAAAAUAAUUGGAGAAGUGGCAUUUUAGUUGUUGUCCAAGUUCACGUCCUUGUGGGGCAUGAAUUGCACAUGUGGUGUUGAUAUUGUAGCGCCUUUACAAUUGUUUACUUUGACAGCACGUGAAUCAUUAAGAUUCUCACAAUUGGGAGAAUUCUUUGGGAGCCACUCAUCUUGUUGAGGGAAGGUGGUCAAUGUACUAUGUUCCUGCACAUUAAAAAAUGAUGUUAAAAUUUUUGAAUGGUAAAUAAUUUUCAUCAAAUACAACAUGCCCAUAUAUAUAUACACGAUUAGUCUCAGGUUGUAGACAACGACAUCCUUUAUGGAGGGGACUAUAGCCUAUGAAAACACAUGGAUAUGAUUUUUUUAUCAAAUUUUGUUUUACUGUAAUCCUGAAGAUAAGGAAAACAUCUACAACCUAGGACUUUUAACCCUCUAUAAUCCGGUAAUUUUUUGAAAAGAAUUUCAUAAGGGCUUUUAUUUUUUAAAGGUGAAAGAGGCAGCCUGUUAAUGAUAUAAGUGGCUGCAAGAAAAGAAUCCACCCAUAAUUUGAGUGGCAAAGAAGCAUGAAACAUCAUCGUCAAGGCUGUCUCAUUGAUGUGCCUAUGCUUUCUCUCAGCAACACCAUUUUGCUCCGGAGUGUAUGGACAAGAAAUUUGUCUUGUGAUGCCGCAAUUUUCAAGAUGUUUGAUGAAGGCCGUAUCCAUCACUUUGAAAUAUUGUGAUCUUUUUGUCCAAUUGUUUUUCAACUUGUUUCUGAAAUUUCAAGAAGCACUCCAAGAAAUCAGAUUUUUGUUUUAAGGGAUAUAACCAACUAAAACGUGAGUAAUCAUCUACAAAUAAUACAUAGUAACGAAAAUGUUGAGUAAAAGUAAUGGGAGCUGGACCCCAUAUAUCACAAUGCACUUUUUGUAAAGGAAAAUCUGCUUUAUUAUUAGAUAAAUUAAAAGAUUUCCUACAACUCUUGCCUAAUUGGCAAGAAACACAAAUAUGGGGUGCUUUAGACCAACUAGAAAAGUCAAUAAAAUUAUUGCGUUUUAAGGCCUCCAAGAUUUUAGGAUUGGCAUGGCCAAGCCUCUUGUGCCAUAAACUAAAACCGCUAGAUUCUCCUUGAAUUGUGUUGAAGGCAGCAUGAAAGUCUCAUUCCAAUGUGUAUAGCUUCCCUUGCUUACUCCCCUUUGCUAGAACCUUGUUUUCCUUUCUCUUCACAAUAAAACCAUCAGUGUUAAAUUUAAAAACACAUUUAAUAUCAUCAAUGAGUUGUCCAACUGAUAAGAGAUUCUUUUUGAGUUUUGGAACAACUAAAAUAUUAUUUAAGUGCAAAGAACCGUGAUUUGUAUUUAAAGAAGCAGAACCAAUAUGUGAAAUAUUUAAAUCUUGACCAUUGCCAACAAUUAUUUUGUCAUUACCUCUAUACGGCCUUACAUGAUCAAGAUUAUCUGUGUUAUUUAUCAUGUGUGAUGUUGCUCCAGAAUCCACAUAGAACUGUUGAUCAUUAUUUUCUUGAAGAUUCAUCGCAGCUAGGGCAUGUGGAUCCUCUUCAUUGUCAUAGUCGUAUCUGUACCAACAUUCAGCAGCACUAUGUUUGCGUUUGUGACAGAUUUGGCAAAUAACUUCUUCAUCUGAGGUAUUAUUUUCUUUAUUUGGUUUUUGAGGCUGCUGUUGUGGUUUACGGUUGUUGCCAUUGUUGUAGUUGUUGGGGUAAUUUCUACCACCUGAGUUGCGUUGAGAUCCUCUGCCUCGGUAUGGAGGUCUUCCACCUCUUUGAUUUCUGCCUCUUCCACCUAUAUUAUGGAAAAGAUAGAGUUCUCUGAAUCUGAAAGACUGAAACAUUUUGCAUAUUUCGUGAAAGGGAAAUAUUUGUAGAUACUAGUUCAUGCAUUGAGGUAACAUCAAUGUUAAAGAAAAACGGCAAUAACUUAUUAUAUAGAAUUAGGUUCACUUGCUUUAAAUGCUGGUCUGGUCAACCAUAUGAACCUGUAAGUGUAUCUGCAGAAGUAUGGUCAGCCAUAUGAACCUUUUUGGGGGGCAAAUUAGAAAAAUUUUCCUAAAAAAGUGAAAAAAAUCAUUUUUUUUUUUUUAAAAAAAAAAAACUUUAAAAAUUUUUUCAAAAGCUUUUUUUUUUUUUUAAAACCAAUGGUUUGAGGCUGCUGUUGUGGUUACGGUUGUGCCAUUGUUGUAGUUGUUGGGGUAAUUUCUACCACCUGAGUUGCGUUGAGAUCCUCUGCCUCGGUAUGGAGGUCUUCCACCUCUUUGAUUUCUGCCUCUUCCACCUAUAUUAUGGAAAAGAUAGAGUUCUCUGAAUCUGAAAGACUGAAACAUUUUGCAUAUUUCGUGAAAGGGAAAUAUUUGUAGAUACUAGUUCAUGCAUUGAGGUAACAUCAAUGUUAAAGAAAAACGGCAAUAACUUAUUAUAUAGAAUUAGGUUCACUUGCUUUAAAUGCUGGUCUGGUCAACCAUAUGAACCUGUAAGUGUAUCUGCAGAAGUAUGGUCAGCCAUAUGAACCAUAUGGGGGGACAAAUUAGCUAAAUUUUCCUCUUAUUUAUGGGUUUGGUCAUUUUUUCCCCUUCAGCUUUCCUUCUCCUGAAGUAUGUUAACAAUUGCAGAUAAUGACGAAGAGGACCGCUUCCAGGCUCUUCGUAGAGCUGCGAUGUAAUAUAGGGGCACAAUGAAGGAACAUUGUAAAGCUGUAGGUUCUUUUUCUCCUGUCAUUUAUGUUUUCUCACACAUUUUUUAUAUGCUCCAAGCAUCCAAUUUUGUAUGUGUCUUUGCCUUUUAAGUUUUAAAAACCAUAAAGUAAGAAUACAGUUCCUUGUCAGGUUAUUGAUGCAUUCACUCAGGGGGAUCAUGCUCGAGCAGGAAAACUUCUAGAACAGGUAAGGUUUCCAUCUACAGCCAUUUAUUGACAACAUAUAUAUUUUCAUUCAGCAAGCACUGUUAGCAUUCAAGAUGCUGGCAGAUUCACUUGAUUCUUAUUAGUUUGUUUAGUAGCAAAGCAUAUAACCUGUAUUUUAAAGCUAAGUUGUGCUAUUGAUUAUGUUAACUUUAUUGUUCACAUAAAGUGAUAUUGAGGAAAUAAUCAAUGUAGGAAAAUUAGGUGAAGAGAUGAUGUCAAAUCUUGAACCUCUUACAAAACUCCAAGUUCUUUACUUGAAGAAGCUACCAAAUUCGAACAGCAUCUACUGGAAGGCCUUGCCAUUCCCUGAUGUAUGCAGAAUUUUUGUAUUUAAAUGCCCAGAGCUUAAGAAGCUGCCACUAGAUCUUGAAAGGGCAGGCCAAGGUAAAAUUCUUAUCAAGGAAAAGAAAGAUGGGUGGAAACAACUUCAAUGGGAGGAUCAAGUAACUCAUAUUGCAUUGCUUCCAUCUUUAAAAUCAACCAACAAGUGAUUGAAGGGGGCAUCAUCAACAUCAUCAACAUGGAUAGAGAGAUUCUGGAGCAGAUCAGCCGGGUUUAGUACGACCUGUGGUGGUUUCUUUUUUGUGACUUUUUUCCCUUUCAUUUUUUCACUUCCUGUCAUAUUAUCAUUUCUUUGUCUCUGUUUCUAUUGCUGGUGUUGCUGCAUGCUUGCUGCCCUUGACAAAGUUAGCUAGUUUUUUUGUUUAUUAAAUUUUGUAUGUUCGGGACAGUCACAAAGUACUACUUGUUCUAUAUGGGGGUGAUGUGAAUCAACUUUUCAAUUAUAUAUUCUGUGGUAAUUGUGAAUUCAAUUUCAUUUGUCUCCUGCAAAUUAUGAAGAAAGUGCAGAGUUACAAUAUGGAAAAGUUCACUGGCAAAUACUUUGUAAAAGCUUCGGAGUGAAACAGGGAAUGCACUAGCAACUAAGGACAAAUUGGUGGCCAGCUAAUGCAUUCAUUUUAUGUACAUUGCUAAUUUGUAUGUUAAUUAUUAGAUAAUCAAUUAUUUGGAUAAUCCCUUGUGUUUUAUCUCUAAUUAGAACAUCAAUCUUCACAAUAUCUACAAUGCUACAAUGGCUAUAAAACAAAACCUGUUUGCAAAUUGUCAAGGAUACUUAUCCUUUCGCUUGACAAGUCAUUUGGAAAAAUAUUGUCCCUUGGCGGCUCCAUGUCUUCUCUGCCCCUCCUUUUGGUCUUAAUGUACGGUUGCAUAAUGAUAGUUUAGGCCCUUCAGGGACUACUUUCCCUGGUGUUGUUAAGUCUUAGCUUGUGCUAGGCUCGUUUUUCUUACCAAAAGAAAAGGAAUACUUCUCCUAUAAGAAAUAAUCUCUAUAUAUAGGGUAGUUGGAUUCACUUGUUUACAUAACAAAUCAAUUAGUUCUCUGUAAGUAGAGAGUUUCAAGUAUGAGAGAAACGGUAGGUCUAUCGAGAGAUUAUGUGUUAUUAGGAUUUUGGUUGUGAAGAAAAGUACUAGAGUGAUUGUGUUAAUUUUCUACAUAGUGGAUUUUUCUAUCGUCAUCUUUGUGGCUGUGAUUUUUCUUUUAUAUAGAAGUUUCCCACGUAAAUUGUUAUGUUAUGUGAUUAGUUUUAUUCUCCAUCUAUUUUUUGUUUAUUAUUUGUUUGAUAUUUUAUUUGUAAGAUGUUGGAUGGGAUUAAAAUUCCUUAACAAAUAACGGAUUAAAAAUAUUGAAGAAAAAGCUCAAGAGAUCUUCAAGAUUUGAAGUGUGAAAAAGUUCAUAUUACUGCUAGAUGAUAUAUAGGAGCGGGUUGAUUUAGUAAAAAUGGGUGUCCCUCUUCCUAGAUCAGAAAACAACACAUCCAAAGUGAUAUUUACAAACCCGUUCUGAGGAAGUUUGCGGCUUAAUGGAAGCUCGUAGGAGUUUUAAAGUGGCGUGCUUAUCAAAUAAAAAUGCUUAGGAUUAUUUCGAUACAAAGUUGGGGAAGAAACUUUGAACAAUCAUCUUGAUAUCCUUGAGCAAGCACAAUAGUUGUUAAGGAGUGUGGUGGUUUGCCACUUGCACUUUUUACCAUCGGCCGAUCUAUGGCGUGCAAGAAGACACAGCCGAAGAAUGGAGAUAUGCUAUUCAAGUGUUCACUUCGUCCGCUUCCUGUUUCCAGGUCUGGAAGAAGGGAUAUAUACUCUUGUAAAAUUCAGUUAUGAUAGUUUACCCAAUGACACAAUUACACCUUGUCUGUUAUAUUGUAGUUUAUAUCCAGAAGAUUGUUGCAUUUCUAAAGAGAAUUUGGUAGAUUGUUAGAUCAAUGAAGGAUUUUUUAAUGAAAGUGAUUGGUUUGGAGAAAAAAUCAAGGAUACUUCAUUUUGGGCAUUCUUCUUCAUGUUUUUUUUUGGAAAAGGGAGGAGAUUGUGAAGUGAAAAAUGCAUGCAUGACGUUAUUCGUGAUAUGGCUUUGUGGAUCGCAUGCGACUAUGAGAAGGAGAAGGAGAACUUUUUGGUUUACGCUGGUGUUGGUUUAGCUAAGGUACCGGAUAUUAGAGAUUGGGAAAAGGUAAGGAGAUUGUCAUUGAUGAAAAAUAAAAUUGAGAAUCUAUCUGAGGCUCAUACAUGCCCUCAUCUCCUCACUUUCUUUCUUGACGAUAAUGAGUUUCGGAAGAUCCCCGGUGAUUUCUUCCAGUUUAUGCCUUCUCUCACUGUUUUAAACUUGUCAUGUAUUAAACUAAAGUCAGUUCCUUUAGGGACUUCAAGGUUGGUUCCACUACAACAACUCGAUCAUUCAUAUUCAAGCAUAAAAGAGUUGCAAGAAGAGUUAAAUGCCCUGAUUAAAGUUAAAUGCUUGAAUAUAGAUCAUGUAGAGGAGCUAAUUACAGUUCCACAACAACGGAUAUUUAAUUUUUAAGGUUAUAUGUGUUGAGAAUGUUCGAUACUAUUAGUUUAAAUUUUCAAGAAGCAUUAAAUAAAGACAGCAUUUUAUUUGGUGGGGAGGAAGUUUAAGCAGAGGAGUUGCUCGGUUUGGAAUAUUUGGAGGUAUUGAGCUUCACUUGAGAAGUGUUCGUGCUCUCCAAUUUAUUUUGAGCUCACAUAAGCUACGAAGUUGUACUCAAGCGCUGUUCCUCCAAUCCUUCAAUAAUUCGAUAUGGCUUGAUAUUUCACUUUUGGCAGAGUUAAAAGCACCACUGCAGAUUUAAGUAUUUUUGGCUGUAGAAAAUUGGAGGACUUGAAGAUGGAAUAUACAGGGGGAGCGAAAAACAAGCGGCAACCUUGUGUUUUCUAAGGCCUACAUACAGUUCACAUAGAGGUUUGUUCUAAAUUGAAGGACUUAACAUUCCUUGUUUCUGCUCCAAAUCUCAAGAACUUGGAAAUACAAAAUUGCCCUGCUGUGGAAGCAAUCAUCGGUGUGGGAGAAUUUGCGGAAGCUCUAGAUGUGGUGGAAAAUCUAAACCCAUUUGCAAAACUCCAGUUUCUUGGACUAGAAAAUCUGCCAAAUGUGGAGAGCAUCUAUUGCAGGCCUCUGCCCUUUCCAUGUUUGAAAAGAAAUGACUGUGGAUAGUUGCGGUUGUCUUAAAAAGCUUCCACUCUACUCCAACAGAGUAAAAGAGUGUACAAUUGUUAUUUCAUCAUUCGGAGAGUUAAUGGUGCAAUGAGAUUUGGCAGUUAACUCUCGUGGGAAGAGCUUUAAUGGGAAGACGAAGCCACUCGAAUUGCUUUUCAUUUCUGUUUCAAAUCUCUAAUUGGAUUGGAGAUUGCAUUUCGCCUCAGGUUCGUACUUUUCUUGAAUUUUUCUUGUUAACUUCAUUUGUUCAUUUAUCCAUUUUUUUUUUAAAGGAAUCAGAAGGGUUAAUAUUUUUGGUUGUGUUAGGUCGACUUCUAAUCACGAGGCAGAAGGAGCUGAGAUGAAGUUUAAUUUUGGUGGAGAAAUUGUUUGAUUUAAAAAAUUUAAAUGAGUUGACCAUCAUUCUUUAGCAUAUUUGUAUGAACAGGAGUGUGUAAAUAUGCAAACUGUCCAGCUGUAUGUGUAUAACGUAAUAAUUUUGAGGAGUUAAAACAUUGAAGAAUAUUGAUGUUUCCAUUGUCAAACCAAAUAUACUUAAUUACUUGAGGAUAAUGAUUACUGCUAAUACAUUUGCAAAGAAAAAAACAUGCCUAUUGAAAAACUCAUCUUAUUAGCAACAGCAUUAUAAGUAGUAUCCAAUCAUAGUUUCAUGCAAGAUUUUGAGAUUUUUCAAAUGCUGAUUCCGGGAAUGGAGAUUAAUAGAUAAUGGAGACAGGUUGACUGCAAUGGCUAAUUGCAAGAGGGAAUUUUAGUCGUAAAAACAGACCAACUAGCAAAGCAGAUUCCAAAUCUUGGAAUGAAGUAGCAAAAAAACGAAACAAACAACUGGCAAGAGGAAGUGACUAUACAAUAAUAACAUCGACUUGCAAUUCAACAUUUAUAUAGUUAUACACACCAAGAAAAGAGAAAAUUACAAUAGCAAUUUGGCUACUAGAAGAUGUUCAUUCAUGCUUAUGCCUGUCAUAUGGAUUUGAAACAAGGAGUAAAAGCAUUUAGAGUGGCUUUAUCCUUCCACUGCAGCUCAUUCCACCAGUGUUGCUCUCCCCUAAUAACAAGUUUGCGUUCCUUGGCGCUGUUGUAAUCGAGUGGAAGCUUCUUGAGGUUCGGGCAUCCAGAUACAAACAAUUCCAAGAGAUUUGGAAAGGGCAAUGCAUUCAAACAGAUCUUCUUCAAAUUUCUUAGAACUUGCAACCGAAGAUAUUGGAGUUUCGCAAAAGGUUUUAGCCCUGGAACUUCUUCCACUUUCCAAACACUGAUUAUUUCUUCCAUCUCAUAACAACGUUCUACAUGCACCAUCUUCAGAUUUGGGGCAAAAACAAGCCUUGUCAUCUCCCUCAAUUUACUGCAAUAGUCUAUGGUAACACUUUGAAGGCUGUUGAAACCAUAAGUUCUCUUGUUGUUUGAACUUCUGCAUAGUCAACCUUUAGCUCUUCCAAACUUGUACAAUACACAAAAUCUAGUUUGUCAAGGUACUUGAGAUCUGCUAUGGACAAAAUAUUCCAUGACCUUGAAUCCUCACAGCGGCGAAGCUCUAAAGCAUAUUUACAACUCUUGUACUGUUGGCAGCUCAAAAGUCUUCGUAGAGCAUAAAAACUUCUUAACGUGACGCUUAAUACAUUUAAAUGUUCCAAAGUAAUCAACUCCUCUACCAAAAUUUCACUACCACCAAAUAGAACGCUAUCUUCUGGUACUGUAUUAGCAGAGCCACAAUCUAGCAUCCUCAACACCUUUAACCCAGAAAAAUUACAAAGCAGUUGCCGUGGAAUCGUAUGGAGAUAACGCAUGUACUCCAAGUUCAAACACUUUAGAUUUUUCAAGGCUUUUAAUUCAUGUGGUAACUCUUUGAUGAAAGUUUCUGAAAGAUUAAGAUAUUGUAGUGAAACCAAUUUUGAAAUUCCUGAAGGCAAUUGACUCAAGGAGCGAUUCUUUGAUAGGUUUAAAACUUUUUUUUUUUUGGUGAGAGGGGGCUCGUCAAAACGAGCUAAAUAGAAACAAAACGGGGUUGAGUAACCCCAAACAAGUCUUGCGAAAUGAUAGAAUAUAUACCCAUAGGAGGGUCAGAGAACACUUGCAAUCCAAGAGGAGCUGAAUGAGCCAUAUUAGCCAUGAAGUCCGCAGCUGAGUUUGCUUCACGAUAGAUAUGGGUGAUAGCAAUCUGCCAAUUUCUACUUAAUAAUUCGUGGACAGCUACUAUUAAAGCAUGGAACACAUUAGGAACGACCACCUGCUUAGAGAUUAUUUGUGUAAUACAAAGACUAUCCACUUCCACCAACAGCCGUUUUAUGCCUACAUCCCAAGCCAGAAUUAGACCCUGAUACAGCCCCCAAAGCUCAGCCAUAAGCACUGAACUCUCCCCAAUUCUCAUACAAAAUCCGGAAAUCCAAUGACCGACUGAGUCUUGAAUGACACCUCCUGCUCCUGCUUCCCUGUCAUUUUUACGAGAGCCAUCUGAAUUUAAUUUGCACCAUGGCCAUGGCGGCGGAAUCCAACGAAUAAAAAUCUCCUUUCUCCUCGGCUGUUGACUUAUACCGGAAUUAUAAACUUUGUAAAUUUCAUUAGCUCUAGCCAUAGCAUCCAUAUAGACUGUUACACCAUCCACCAACUUCCCCGCAAACAAGAAAUGGUUCCUCCAGAACCACAGCCUCCAAACCACCACUCCAAAGAUACAAUCCCAAGGGAGGGAAGAUGCAAUCUUCCAUUUGUUCUGCAAGUUCCCAGUAAUCCAUUCACGUAGAUUCGAAUUGAAGAAAGCGUUAUGAGUUGCCAUUGGGACAAGCUUACGCCAAACCUGAUUAAUACAGCAGUAAUCUCUCAAUGCAUGGAGAAUAUCUUCAACCGCACCCCCACAUCUAUCACAGCCCUCAGGAGCAUUGAUAUGGCGCCUAGCUAGCUCAACAUGAGUCUUUAAUUUCCCAUGCAUCAGCUGCCACAGAAAAAGACGGAUGGAUUGAGGCCCCUUCCAACUCCACGGAAGCUUCCAAAUUCUGUCAUGAUCAGCCAAGUGAUGAUAGCAAAGGGAUGCAUAAGCUGAACGAACCGUAAACAUGCCGCUCGGAUCCAGACCCCAGUAAAUUUUGUCAGACCCAAAAUGCGGUCUCGGAGGCAUGACUGAUGCGAUCUGCAUGAGAGUAUAAUGUGGCAGCAAAUGCUCAAAGCUCGACCAAUUCCAUCCCCCCUGACCAUUCGUAAACUCACUCACGGUGGCGUUGAUAAGCUCCUGAGGAAUCGGCUGGAGAGCUAGGCUGCUCAAGGGAUAUUUCGUAGCCCAACAAUCUAUCCAAAAGCGAGCUCGACCUCCAUCGCAAACAGACCAGCGAGCUCCCUGAACUAUUGUCAACCACUUGCUACGAAUAGCUCUCCAAAUCUGAGAACCCGGUUUAUCUGGAAGGGACAUCGGUAAAUUUGCUGGAAUCCAAUCCAUAUUUGGAACAGAAAACUUUCACCCACAAUUUAUCCGAGCUGGACACAAUCUCCCAGCUCAAUUUCAUUAUCAGCGCCUGGUUCAUCUCGUCCAUUUUUUUGAACCCCAGACCUCCAUAUUGUUUCGGCAUGCAGAUUUUGCUCCACCCCACCAUACUCAUCUUAGGACUCUUUGAAUUCCCAUCCCAAAUAAAUCGCCGACAAGAUUUGUCUAUUUUAUGCCUCACUGGAGAAGGAAGAAAUGUCGUUUGCAUGGCAUAAAUAGGCAUUGCUUGCAGAACUGAUUGAGCCAGGGUGACGCGUCCAGCAAAAGAGAGAUGAGUCGCAUUCCAACCAGUAAGUCGGUUAUCGACUUUAUCAAGGAUGGACUGAUACGUGGAUUUAUUAACCCGCGUGUGAAUUAAUGGCAUUCCAAGAUAAUCACCCAAAUUAUUUGUGGCCGAAAAACCCAAAGUAGAGCCUAUGAGAUUGGCAUCCCGAGUAUCAACAUUUUUUGAGAAGAACACCUUGGUUUUCAACUUAUUUAUUUUUGCUUCAGAGCUCCUACAAUAGUUUUCCAGAACAACAUCAACCACAUAAGCUUGGUCAAUUGAAGCUUCCACAAAUAAAAGCAAAUCGUCUGCAAAAAAGAGAUGAGUUAAGGGAGUUCCAUAUUUGGCCAACCUAAUAGGCCUCUAUCUCCCAUCCAUUACCGCUUGGGUUAUCCCAUGACUCAAACGCUCGAUACACAGAACAAAAAGAUAAGGCGAGAGGGGAUCUCCCUGACGAAUACCUCUCCCUGGAGUGAAGGUCCCUGUAACCUCACCAUUCCACAAAAUACUCAUACUAGCUGAAGUUACGCAAUCCAUGAUAAGUCUAGAUAAAUGAGUUGGAAUACCAGUCUGUUGAAGCGUAUCAAAAAUGAAAUCCCAAUUAAGCCAGUCAUACGCCUUCUCUAGGUCAACCUUAAUGGCCAUAAAUCCUUUCCUGCCAGUUUUUCUGCGCAUUGAGUGAACAACUUCCUGAGCCACAACAAUAUUAUCUACGAUAUUCCUCCCUGGAACAAAACUUGUCUGAUUGGGGCCUAUUAGAUUGGGCAACAGCGAUUGCAAGCGAGUGGCUAUAAUUUUAGUCACCGUCUUGUAAGCCAUUGUGCAUAGGCUUAUGGGCCUAAACAUCUUUAAGCUAGUAGGGUGCUCCUCUUUUGGAAUCAAAACCAGGAGGGUAGUAUUUAUCUCUUGCGGCACUUUGCCCGUGGUAAAAAUAUCAUCAAUAAACCUGCAAAACGACGGACCCACAACAUACCAUUGGGAUUGAUAAAAAAUAGCAUGCAACCCAUCCGUAUCUAGAGCUUUCAGCGGCUUCAUACUAAAAACGGCACUUUUAAUCUCCUCCCUCAAAAUUGGGGCUGCGGCACCAUCAACGUCAUGAGAACUCAAGUCUGGAAAAAAAUUUGGCACAUGGUAGUUCUGAUAAAUAGCAUUUUCUCUUUUAAAUAAUUCUGAAAAAUACCCCACUGCAUGCCUCUUUAUAUCUUCCUCAUCAUACAGCCAAUUCCCUGAACUGUCUCGGAUAGCCUCGAUUCUAUUCCGCCGCCUUCGAGCAAUAGUUUUUUUAUGGAAAAAAUUCGUAUUUCUGUCUCCAUGUAAAAGCCAAUCCUUUCGAGAUUUCUGGAGCCACAGAAUUUCCUCCUGGCUCAUCACCAUUUCGAGCUCAUUACGCAAUCGGGCCUCCAAUCGCCUCAAACUGCGAGAGCUAUAUUUCUCUAGGGUGGCUUGAAUUCCAUUAAUCCGAGCCAUAAGCCGGCGUUUCCUCUGAAAGAUAUUCCCAAACACAUCUCGAUUCCAAACUUGAACCUCCUGAACAAAAUGAGAAGCUGCUGCACUAUAGUGGGAUUGCGGAUUCCACAUCCGCUUAACAAAAUUGUUAAAGUGCUCAUGAGUUAACCAAGCAGCCAAGAAGCGGAAAGGCCUGGUGUUGAGUGUUAGAAAAUGCAUAUUUAUAAAGGAGAAAACCGUCAUUUUACAUUUUAAGUCUUACUAACAACCCUUACUUUUAUAUAUUUAACCUUCUUGUGAUUUAAUUACAUGUGUUUUAUUUUAAUUAAGUAUUUUAUGUAUUUUAGGGGCAUUAUAGUCAUUUCACAAUAAAGGAGAGAUCAGACGGCAAAACGGACAUCACUUUUGAACUCAGGACGGUCGAAAACCUUAGGAGGAGCAUAAAAGGAAAAAUGGCACUAUUCACAUGUACGGUACUAUUCACGUAUACGGUACUGUCUACGUUACUGUUCACGACACUGUUCACAUAGACGGAUCGAUGACGUGGCAUUGACCGAUGAUGUGGCAUUGACUGAUGAGGUGUCACGAUCCUGUUGGGCUAAAAUUCUUAUGUACUGUUGAUGGUGACGUGGCAGCAUAUCAGUGGACGAAAAAUCUCGUGUACGGUGCAUGCAUCACACAGGAUUAUUUUCAACCAAACCGCGUUACUGUUCAUCCGGGUCAAACCGCGUUACUGUUCAAAGUCGGGUCAAACCGUGUUACUGUUCAUCCGCGUGGUCAAACCGUGGACUGUUGACUGAUGACGUGGCGCAAUCCUGAGCGUCCAAACUGUUUUUAAUCCGAUGGCCAUGAUUUACUCCAUGUAUCUAUAAAAAGGGGGCCUCCCCCCCCUAAUUUGAUAUCUCUGAAUCCAUUUUUGGGAUCCAUUUUCUGUAAUUCCUUCUCCAUCUUGUAUUUUCUUCGUAUUUUAAUAAAUUCCCAUUUUGCCCCUAGUUCAAUUAUGAGUGGCUAAUUUUCUUUCAAGCUUGGGUUGAAGGUGAAGUCUCAACAUGUGUCAUGGGCUUAAUUUGGUAAAUUUAUUUUCUCUUCCCCUCUAGUUUUUGUGGAUGUUUUGACUUCUCGUCGACAAAUAAUACUAAUCUUGUCUAGUACCGCCUUGGUUUCACCGGCUCUCUAGUAUAAGGUUAUUAUUAUUUGGCACGAUAAGCCCUUAGCACCAUAUUGAUUAGAGCGUGGUUCAUGCGGUGUGGAUUCCCCCCUCAUGAUUUAAUUGGUAUUAAUAAGGAAUAUUUAGCCUAUGAUGCAUGUUGAUACGGAUCCAGAUACCCAAGUACGUCAUUUCAAUAGAAUUCUCUUCAAUUUAUUCUCACCAUUUCAAUACCAAUUUUAGAAUUUAUUCUCUCCAUUUUAAUUUAAGUUUUAGCAUAUUCCAAUCAUUUCCACCACAAAUCUAAUCACCCAUUCACAAAAUUAAUUCUACACAAUUAAAAUCCACCUCCUCGUGGGAUCGACACUCGUCACCAUUAAUCUAUACUACAACAGAUUCGUGCGCUUGCGAGUACAUUAAAAUUUGCACAACAAGUUUUUGGCGCCGUUGCCGGGGAGGUAAGUAAUUUUAAUUCAUAGAAUUAAUUUUUGUGAAUAAUUUCUUUUAUUUGUUUUCUUGUAUUUUUUUUAUUAUUAAAAAAAAAGAAAAAAAAAGUGAAUCUACAUUUAAAGGUUAGUAUUUCUUUUCUUUUUCUCUUCUUUAAAAUUCUGUAAUUUAAUUUUCAAUUUAUUUUUUCUUUGUAAUUUUUGUUUAUUUUAUUAAUUUAAUUUUUAGUUAAUUUCACGUAUUUGUUUUUGUGUAUUUUUAUAGUAAGGUUGUAAUAGCGCAAUAAGGUUAGUAUCGUAAUUUCUCCCUCUUCUUUAUUUUUAUUUGUUUUGUUCCCAUCUUUAUUUUUUGUUUUGUUUGCAUCUUUAUUUUUAUUUUAUUUAUUUGCAUGCAUGGUCGUAGGUCAUUAUUACCUAAUCUUGAACCUAUAGACCUUGAAUUAGAAAAAACACUUCGCACACACAAACACGUUAAAAAUAAAAUGGAUUUACAAGCACCACAGGAGAGGCCAUUUAAGGACUAUUUUAGUCCCUUAGCUAAUUUGAGCACGUCAUGCAUAAGAUACCCAAAUGUAGCUGCUAGGAGUUUUGAAUUAAAACCUAGUGUGUUAAAUUGUCUCCCUACAUUUUAUGGCCUAGAAAAUGAGGAUCCAUAUAAUCAUUUGAAUGAUUUUCAUGCCAUUUGUCAAACAUUCAAAUAUGAGAAUUUUUCAGAUGAUGAUGUUAAACUUAGACUAUUCCCAUUUUCUUUAAAAGAUAGAGCUCGUUCAUGGCUUAAUACAUUGCCUGCUAAUAGCAUUGCAUCAUGGGAACAAAUGGUAACGAAAUUUUUGAAUAAAUAUUUCCCAGUGCAUAAAACCAAUGCUAUUCGCAGGGAAAUCUCAGAGUUUACUCAGAGAGAGGACGAGCAGUUUUUCGAGACAUGGGAGCGAUUCAAUGGGCUACUCUUGAAGUGUCCACAUCAUGGGUAUGAGAAAUGGCAUCAAUGCCAAUACUUUUUGGAGGGAUUACUACCGAAUGUGCAAGAAUGGCUAAUGGCAACAAGUGGAGGAGAGCUAAUGUCAAAAAGUGCAUCAGAAAUUUGGGAGUUUUUCCAGCGACAAGCGGACAAUUCCCAACAACGGAGUCGAUCACUCAGGAAUACUAGAAGGAUUAAAGGAGUGAAUGAGGUUCACAUUGGCGAGUCAACUUCGGGAAUCAAAGAAGUCAAGGAGAUGGUUGAAGGUCUUGCUCGACAAAUAGCAUCAUUAUCGAUUGCUAAAUCAACAGAACCACAUGACCAUGACUCAUACUCAGAUCAAGCCAAUGCCAUAGGUGUAAUGAGAAAGCCAUCAAAUUACAACCCAUACUCCAACACAUAUAACCCUGGAUGGAGAGACCACCCUAAUUUUUCAUGGUCUCAAGGAUUCCAACAGAAUGGACCAGCAGCUCCAGCUCCACCAAUUCCACAAAAUCCUCAAGCCUCUCAGCCAUCAUUUAGACCAUUCAAUCAGAACCAUAAUUAUUCUCAACCCAGACCAUGGGAGGAUGCAUUUCAGAAUUUCAGGAAUGUUACUCACUCCACGAUUGAGCAACAGAACCGCACCAUUGAUGGAUUACGAAAUGAGUUGAAAGCGGGCUUCAACUCACAAGCCCAAUCAGUUUCAAGCCUUGAGAAGAUGGUGGGACAACUUGCUUCUUCAGUUCAGACCUUGGCAAUGACCGUUGAGAAAGGCAAAUUUCCAAGUCAACCAGUACCUAAUCCUAAAGGAGUGCAUGAAGUAAGUACCAGUUCACCACAGCAGCAUGGAGAGGUCAAAGCAGUAAUGACCUUGCGAAAAGGAAAGGAAGUCGACAACAAAGUGGAGAUGCCGGUGACAAAAGAAAAUCAAAUUGUACCUGUGAAUGUUGAGGACUCAUCACCGGAGGAGAAAGAAGAAACUAACCCACGAGAAUAUGUUCCGAAAGCUCCAUUUCCCCAGAGGUUAGCUAAAGGCAAGAAGGGAAAAUCCACAGGUGAGAUUCUCGAAAUCUUCAAACAGGUAAGUGUUAACAUCCCUUUACUUGAUGCUAUUAAACAAGUUCCAUCUUAUGCCAAGUUUCUUAAAGACCUUUGUACUAAAAAGAGAAAUAUGCAUGUUCAAAAGAAGGCAUUUUUAAUAGAAAACGUUAGUUCUAUACUCCAACAUAAAAUUCCUUUAAAAUGCAAAGACCCAGGCUCCCCCACUAUCUCAUGUAGUAUAGGGAACCACACAAUUGAGAAUGCUUUAUUGGAUUUAGGAGCUAGUGUAAAUCUUUUGCCUUACUCUGUAUUCGUGAAACUUGGACUUGGAGAAUUACACCCAACUCCAGUGGUGUUACAACUUGCAGAUCGGUCCACAAAAAUACCUCGUGGUAUUGUGGAGGACGUGCUUAUCCAGGUAGACAAGUUUUAUUUUCCUGUUGAUUUCAUUGUAAUUGACACUCAACCAAUACAGGAUUCAAGGAAGCACAUCCCCAUUAUUCUAGGCCGACCUUUCUUGGCAACUGCGGAUGCUCACAUUCAAUGCAGGACUGGAAAUAUGCAGUUGUCUUUCGGCAACAUGACUAUGGAGCUGAACAUCUUCAACAUUGCCAAACAACCUCACAGUGCAGAUGAUGGAAUUGUUGAUGUGGAUUUAAUAGAAACAAUAGUUGAUAAUACUUUUCUUUCAAACCUUAGUGAUGAUCCUUUACAAACAUGUUUAACUCACUUUGGUUUGGAUUUUGAUAUUGACAGAUCAGUCGAUGAGGUCAACGCCCUGCUUGACUCAACACCAUCCAUGGACACUAAUAAAUGGAAGUCAAGAGUUGAACAACUAACACCAUCAGAGAAGAAACUCAUCACAUCAUCAGAAUCACCACCGAAACUCGAGCUCAAACCAUUGCCCAACACAUUAGAAUAUGCGUUUUUGGGAGAAGAAAGUUCUCUGCCGGUAAUCAUCUCAUCAUCCCUUAAUGACGAACAAAAAGGUAAGUUGUUGGAUGUUUUGAAAGAGCAUAAAGGGGCAUUAGGAUGGACCAUAGCAGACAUAAAAGGUAUAAACCCUGCAGAUUGCAUGCAUUACAUUCACCUUGAUGAAAAUGCUAAAUCUACUAGGGAAAUGCAACGUCGGUUAAAUCCUAAUAUGAAAGAAGUUGUUAGAACAGAAGUCCUUAAGCUAUUAGACGCAGGUAUCAUUUACCCAAUUUCUGAUAGUUCAUGGGUCAGUCCUGUACAAGUUGUCCCCAAAAAGUCAGGAGUCACAGUAGUUACGAAUGCAGAUAAUGAAUUGAUACCCACUAGAGUAACUACAGGAUGGCGUGUACGCAUUGAUUAUAGAAAAUUGAAUUCUGUCACACGUAAAGACCAUUUUCCUUUACCAUUUAUUGAUCAAAUGCUUGAUAGAUUAGCAGGCCAUGAAUUUUAUUGCUUUCUAGAUGGUUACUCAGGAUAUAAUCAGAUUCCCAUAGCACCAAAAGAUCAAGAGAAAACUACUUUCACUUGCCCUUUUGGCACAUUUGCAUAUAGGAGAAUGCCAUUUGGAUUAUGUAAUGCACCUGCUACAUUUCAACGAUGCAUGUUGAGCAUUUUUUCUGAUAUGGUGGAACGAUUCCUUGAAGUCUUUAUGGAUGAUUUUUCUGUCUUUGGUGACUCGUUUGAUCAAUGUUUACAUCAUCUAACACUAGUUCUGCAGAGAUGUAUCGAGAAGAACUUGGUCUUAAAUUGGGAGAAAUGCCAUUUUAUGGUAAAACAAGGUAUUGUUCUCGGUCACAUCAUUUCGAGCAAAGGUAUUGAGGUUGACAAAGCCAAGGUGGAUCUCAUUUCUAAUCUUCCUCCACCCAAAACAGUCAGAGAAGUAAGAUCUUUCCUUGGGCAUGCUGGUUUCUAUAGACGUUUCAUUAAAGAUUUUAGUAAAGUUUCUAGACCCUUAUGCAAUUUGCUUGCUAAGGAUGUACCUUUUGUCUUUGAUGAUUCAUGUCUUGUUGCGUUUGAAAAAUUAAAGCAUUUGUUGACAUCAUCACCCAUCAUUCAGGCCCCAAACUGGAACUUACCAUUUGAGCUAAUGUGUGAUGCAUCUGAUUAUGCAGUAGGAGCAGUAUUAGGACAAAGAGUUGAUCGAAUUCCCCAUGUUAUUUACUAUGCUAGUAUGACAUUGAAUGAUGCACAGUUGAACUAUUCAACUACUGAAAAAGAAAUGCUAGCAGUAGUGUUUGUAUUGGAAAAAUUUCGAUCAUAUCUCAUUGGUUGUAAAAUAAUUAUAUUCACAGAUCAUGCUGCUCUUAAAUAUCUUCUCACAAAGAAAGAUGCAAAAGCCAGACUAAUUCGUUGGGUGUUACUUUUGCAGGAAUUUGACUUGGAAUUCAAAGAUAAAAAAGGGACAGAAAAUGUUGUGGCGGACCACCUCUCUCGUCUCCAUUUUGACACAAUAAUAGAACAAUUACCAUUAAAUGAGUCAUUUCCAGAUGAACAAUUAAUGAGUGUGGAAGUAUUACCUUGGUAUGCUGAUAUAGUUAAUUAUCUUGUUACAGGUAAACUUCCAGAGCAUUGGACCAAGCAAGACAAGGCUAAAUUCUUUGCAGAGAUAAAGAAUUUCUUUUGGGAUGACCCGUAUUUGUUCAAGUAUUGUGCGGAUCAAAUUGUUAGACGAUGUGUCCCAGAAAGUGAAAUUCAGAAUAUCCUUUCAUUCUGCCAUGAACAAGCUUGUGGAGGCCAUUUCAGUGCUAAGAAAACAGCGACUAAAGUUUUACAAUGUGGUUUCUAUUGGCCAACACUAUUUCGAGACGCUUACACUUUUUGUUCUUCAUGUGAUAGGUGUCAACGAAUGGGGAGCAUUACACGAAGGAACAUGAUGCCACUAAAUCCAAUUUUAGUGGUUGAGAUUUUUGACGUAUGGGGUAUCGACUUCAUGGGACCCUUUCCCCCUUCUUUUGGCCAUCAAUACAUAUUGGUUGGUGUUGACUACGUCUCAAAAUGGGUAGAAGCAAUUCCAUGUAGGACCAAUGAUCACAAGGUGGUGAUAGGAUUUUUGAAAAGCAACAUUGUCUCGCGCUUUGGAUUCCCUCGAGCAAUAAUCAGUGAUGGUGGUGCCCACUUUUGUAACAAAGCAUUCAAAGCUCUUUUGACAAAGUAUUCAAUCACGCACAAAGUGGCGACCCCGUAUCAUCCGCAAACCAGUGGCCAAGUUGAGAUCUCCAAUCGAGAAAUAAAGCACAUAUUAGAAAAAACGGUGAGGCCGGACAGAAAAGAUUGGUCAUUAAGACUUGAUGAUGCCUUAUGGGCAUAUAGAACGGCUUUCAAGACCCCGAUUGGGAUGUCACCCUACAGGCUAGUGUAUGGAAAAGCUUGCCACCUACCUGUGGAACUCGAGCAUCGUGCGUAUUGGGCCAUCAAGAAAUUCAAUUUUGACAUGCAGCAAGCCAGCUCAGAAAGAAGAUUACAGCUGGCAGAACUUGAAGAAAUUCGCAAUGACGCGUACGAAAAUGCCAAGAUUUACAAGCAACGAAUGAAAGUCUUCCAUGACAAGCAAAUUAUGAGAAAAUCUUUCACCCCAGGUCAGAAAGUGCUUUUAUUCAAUUCUCGCUUGCACCUAUUCCCAGGUAAGUUACGCUCUCGAUGGUCUGGCCCAUUUAUUGUUCAUACUGUUUUUCCACAUGGGGCAAUUGAAAUUAAAGACCCAAAGAACGGUGUCACGUUUAAAGUUAAUGGUCAAAGAUUAAAGCCAUAUCUAGAGUACCAACCACAUGAAGAAGACACCGAAAUAAAUUUGAGUGACCCACCAAAUUUGAAUUGAUUUUUUUUUUCUUUUCGUUGAUUUGAUUUUUCUUUCUUUCUUUUUAUUAUUAUUCUUUUGCUAAUUGAAAUUGUUUUUGCAUAAGUGUGUUUAUUUUACCAUUAAGUUUUCUCUUAUCAUUUUUAAUCAUGAGUCUCAUACUUAGACCGUUCCUCCUGAACAUUCUUAAACCACUUCAACGUGUCAAAACUCAUCUCAAAAGACAGAUUCAAUUUUGUAAAACACAUCGCAUUUGGGCUCUACAACCACCAGAGUUAGUAGCCUAUGUUGAGGGUUUAGAACACCAACUCAGAGACAUUGAGAGAAGUGUUUACGACAUCCAGUUGGAGCUUGAGGUAAAUUCAAUAAGAGGACGAUUUUAAUUUUCUUUGUGUGUUUUAAUUUGUUUUUCUAUUUGUGUGCUUUAGUUUGUUACCCCGGUGAAAUGGCGGAUAACGGUACUCCGUGACAAUCAAGUCGGUUACUUCAGUCUCCCAUAAUAACUGAUAUUCUGAGGCGAAGGUAUGGACAGAAACGAGAUUCUAGCGAAGCUUCACAAGCGAUUCCCUUCACUUCCUCAGAAUGCCCUCCUUACGAUCUAUAAAGCUCGGUCCGAACGCAUGCGAUUACUCAUGAGGAAUAACAUACCUGCUGACAUCCGUUGGUUAAUCGAGGCUAAAGUACGAUCGGCAGGUGAGUUACCUCCAAAAUUUAUUGCAUACAUGCCUGGUUGUGGUAAAGGAAAUUAUGCAAGAAAACGACGAGCUCGAAGAAUUUCUGUUGCUUGUCAUAAGUGUGCCAGAAUGAGUUGCAAUAAAAACCCAUGUUCUUUAGGAAUGGUGUCUGAUAACAGGGAAGAUAAGAUUCAAUUCAUUAGGGAUGGCUUGAAUAAGGAGUCAUUGGAUGAUAUCCUUUUGUCUCUUGAAACGCAUCCCAGUGGAUAUGUGCAAGGAGCGAUUCUCCAGUUAUGGCCAUUAUUCCAGAAAGAGCAUGCACGAUAUAGUCUCGGGAAUCUGACUAUAAACGACCCUGUUUGCCAGUUUAUAAGAAAAUUGGAUAGGAAGCCUAUCCUCGACCCAUAGAGGGCGUUCAAGCCGUUUCUGGACGUAAAACCAGAGGAAGAUGUGAGCCACAGUCGCAACUACCUGUAAAUAUUCUUUUACUUUAUUAUUUCACUAUUGUCUUAUUGUUUGCAUUAUUGUCUUUAAUAAUUUUAUUACUGUUUGCUUUUUUUCUUUUUACUGUUUUCUUUUUGACUCGCGAGCCACGUGCUUUACGCGUUAUUUGACAUGGACAUGUGACCUCAUACACAACUAUGACCCAUUAUCACCAAGACUCUUAAAUGUGAUUUUCUUUGUCAAUCACUCACAAAUUAUUUUUGCGAAGUAUCACAAUGGCAGCUACUCCCAAUAGACAAUUCAAGAACAUUUGUGUGCUUUCUGGAUUUACAUAUGGCAAACAUAAAGAGUUCGUUGAGGCAGCCAUAGAUCUUGGUCGAAGCAUAGCAGCGAGAAAAUUACACUUGGUGUAUGGAGGAGGUAAUCGAGGGUUAUCAAAAAUGGUCUCAGAAGCAGCUCUUAUCAGAGGAAGUCAAGUGUUAGGCAUCAUCCCAAGAGUCUUAAAACCAUUGGGCAGUUCGUCUGACUCAUCAACUGGAGAAGAGUUAGUCGUCUCAAGUAUGCAGGAAAGAAUAACUGAAAUGCUUAAUCAUGCUGAUGCUUUUAUUUUCCUUCCAGGAGAUCUUGCAACACUAGAGGCACUUAUGACACUAGCAUCUUGGGCCCAUCUACACAUUCACCAGAAACCCAUCGGUUUGUUAAAUGUCAAUAACUUUUAUGAUGGCUUUAUCGCAUUUCUUAACCAUGCAAUAAAAAACUAUUUCAUUCCCUCUAAUGCGAAAAAACUCUUUAUUUGUGCUCACACUGCUAAUGAGCUACUUGAUAUGUUACAAGCUUAUCGACCGGAGCCAGACCCCUGGACCUUUGUGUUGGAGCGUCCAAAUAAUGAUGGUAACAGUAGCCGCAGUAAGAAGUACAAAUUAGAUUUAACUCUCCGCCUGUAAAUAUUUUCUUCUGUGUUGCACCACCCAGGUGAUGUCUUCUAAACUCUACUUCUUUCAUUUCAAACAUUGAGGACAAUGUUUCGUUCUGGUUGGGGGGAGGGAAUAGUCGACAAUUGUGGAAUUUUGGUUAAGUUUUUACUAAUUUUUUGUUGUAGAAACUAACUGUUGCUAACUUUUUGUGUUGAAGAUGGCUGAAUAUGGAGUGUAGUUACUCUAGAAACGCAUCUUCAUUGUUUGAAAAAAAAAAUUCAAAAAAAAAAAACAAUUCAGACAUUUUCUUUUUCUUUAUUAUGUGUUUAUGUUUAUUUUUCUUCUUUAAUUUCUCCUCUAUAAAUAUAAAUUUUCCAACUUUUGAGUCGAAGAUGGCUGAAUAUGGAGUGUAGUUCCUCUAGAAACGCAUCUUCUUUUAAAAAAAAAAAAAUCAUUUUCGUUUUCUAUCAUUUUACGUGUAACUUUUCUAAUUAGUUUUUAUACAUCAUUUUCACAUUUCUGCAUGCAUAUUUUCCUUUCAUGUUUAGAAUAGGUUGGGGGGUAGAAUGAUGUUUAAAAAAAAAAAUGUGUGAUUUGUUUUAACAUUGGAUGACAUGAUUAAUUUCAAAUUUUAGUAUUUGUAUUAUCUUUGGUCUUAAGUGAUGUUACGCUAUGUUUGCUACUUUACAUGUUGAUGUCGGAGACAAAUGUGAGUUGCUUGAAGGAAUGAAUAUGUCAUAAUAAGUACCAAGUGAGUUUUUGAGCCUAUUAUUUUUCUUGGAGAAUAACCCUUUUGCCCACUCUUUAUACAGCUUAGCAGUUUAUUAUUUUAUACACGAUCUCUAAAUUACUUUUGAGUUAACCCUUAAAAAAAAAAUUGUAAAAUAAAAAAAAAGAGAAAAAAGAAAAAGAAAAAAGAGUGUGUUGCUACAUUUGGAGGCCCAUCUAACUAGUAGAUAUGGAAGAUUAUUUAGAGCCCUAAAAGACGAUGGAGAGGCCAUCUUUGAUCCGUUUGAGCCUUUCAAGCCAUCCCUUUUUAAUAUCCAUAGUUAACCCUUUUGAGCCUAUAAAAAAAAAAAAAAAAAAAAAACCUUUUCUUUGUCAACUUAUCAUCUUGACCCACUCCGAUUUGGAGUAUUACCCGAUAUCUUAUAAGUUCCAUCACCUAUUUAUGUUUGAGAAAAUGUAAAUAAUUAUUUUGUUCAGUGAAGUUAUGCCAAAUAAAAAAAAAACAAAAACAAAAGUUGUUGUUUCAAAAGAAUAAAAAUAGGUGAAAUCCACCUUGCAACUUCCAAAAAAAAAAAAAAAAUUCUCUGCAUUUUUCUCAAACAUACACUUUGUUUUCCUUAUUUUCCUUCUUUGUUAGCCAUGUCCCUAGCCUACGUUUCGUCCUAAUAAAAGUCCUUCUUGAUUUUAGGGAACUAUAGUUUGAAGUAGAAGCUAGUUAUAUGGGCUAAAAAGAUGUAGUGAUGCAUAAUUAAAAAAAAAAAAAAAGAUAAAUAAAGUGGGUUGACUAACAUUUUAUUUGACUUGAGAUCGUAUUAUUUCUAAGCUGAGGGCAUAUUUAUUUCAUCUUGGUGAGAGCAUGUGAUAUCACUUCUUUAUUAUUUUCUCUCUCAAUUACCAUUCAUUGGAGUGACUAUUUUUAUUGGGAUUAAUUUAUUUGUGAGAGUGUCACUACUUCCAGUGAGAUUUUGGGGUUUGACAUUUCAUUCUUGAGAGUAGCUAUAACAAAGUCUACUGGGCUAAUUCAUGUGGAUGGUUGAUGUGGGUGUGAUGUUGCUUUAGACUGGAGAUAAUGCUUAUACUUUUAUUUGAUUGCUAUCAUUAAUCUGAUGGAAUAAAUACGAGUGUUUCUAUUAAAAAAAAAAAAAUUAUUUUGAAUUUGAAUUUUGUUUUCGCUUUAUUUGCUAGGGACUAGCAAUAAGCUGGUUGGGGGGUGUGUUGAGUGUUAGAAAAUGCAUAUUUAUAAAGGAGAAAACCGUCAUUUUACAUUUUAAGUCUUACUAACAACCCUUACUUUUAUAUAUUUAACCUUCUUGUGAUUUAAUUACAUGUGUUUUAUUUUAAUUAAGUAUUUUAUGUAUUUUAGGGGCAUUAUAGUCAUUUCACAAUAAAGGAGAGAUCAGACGGCAAAACGGACAUCACUUUUGAACUCAGGACGGUCGAAAACCUUAGGAGGAGCAUAAAAGGAAAAAUGGCACUAUUCACAUGUACGGUACUAUUCACGUAUACGGUACUGUCUACGUUACUGUUCACGACACUGUUCACAUAGACGGAUCGAUGACGUGGCAUUGACCGAUGAUGUGGCAUUGACUGAUGAGGUGUCACGAUCCUGUUGGGCUAAAAUUCUUAUGUACUGUUGAUGGUGACGUGGCAGCAUAUCAGUGGACGAAAAAUCUCGUGUACGGUGCAUGCAUCACACAGGAUUAUUUUCAACCAAACCGCGUUACUGUUCAUCCGGGUCAAACCGCGUUACUGUUCAAAGUCGGGUCAAACCGUGUUACUGUUCAUCCGCGUGGUCAAACCGUGGACUGUUGACUGAUGACGUGGCGCAAUCCUGAGCGUCCAAACUGUUUUUAAUCCGAUGGCCAUGAUUUACUCCAUGUAUCUAUAAAAAGGGGGCCUCCCCCCCCUAAUUUGAUAUCUCUGAAUCCAUUUUUGGGAUCCAUUUUCUGUAAUUCCUUCUCCAUCUUGUAUUUUCUUCAUAUUUUAAUAAAUUCCCAUUUUGCCCCUAGUUCAAUUAUGAGUGGCUAAUUUUCUUUCAAGCUUGGGUUGAAGGUGAAGUCUCAACAUGUGUCAUGGGCUUAAUUUGGUAAAUUUAUUUUCUCUUCCCCUCUAGUUUUUGUGGAUGUUUUGACUUCUCGUCGACAAAUAAUACUAAUCUUGUCUAGUACCGCCUUGGUUUCACCGGCUCUCUAGUAUAAGGUUAUUAUUAUUUGGCACGAUAAGCCCUUAGCACCAUAUUGAUUAGAGUGUGGUUCAUGCGGUGUGGAUUCCCCCCUCAUGAUUUAAUUGGUAUUAAUAAGGAAUAUUUAGCCUAUGAUGCAUGUUGAUACGGAUCCAGAUACCCAAGUACGUCAUUUCAAUAGAAUUCUCUUCAAUUUAUUCUCACCAUUUCAAUACCAAUUUUAGAAUUUAUUCUCUCCAUUUUAAUUUAAGUUUUAGCAUAUUCCAAUCAUUUCCACCACAAAUCUAAUCACCCAUUCACAAAAUUAAUUCUACACAAUUAAAAUCCACCUCCUCGUGGGAUCGACACUCGUCACCAUUAAUCUAUACUACAACAGAUUCGUGCGCUUGCGAGUACAUUAAAAUUUGCACAACACCUGGUCCUCUGGUGGCCAGCCACAUCUCUCUCAAAACGAACCAGCACCGGCCUGUGAUCCGAAGCAAUUUUCGGGAGAUGGAGCACAUAAUUAUUCAUAUAUUUAAGCAGCCAUUCACUAUUACACAAAGCUCUAUCAAGCCUUUUAAAAAGCAAUCCACGUGACCAAGUAAACCUUGGACCCUUAAAUUUCAAGUCAAAAAGUUUAUGCCCAUCAAACCACUUCCGAAACAGAUUACACACUCCUGAGUUCCUGGCCACACCCCCUUGCUUUUCUGAGGCGUAUAAGAUAGAGUUGAAAUCCCCACCUAUCAACCAAGGCUCUUGAAUUAAAGGCGCAAGGUUCUCCAUAUGGCACCACAGCUGUCUCCGCAACAUUGGGUUUGGACUGGCAUAAACAGCCGUUACCCAAGACACAAAAACAUUGUUCCUGCAAAUUUUAAAAUGGAUGAACUGCCUGUGAUUAAUUGAGACCUCCACCUCUAUAGAACUUCGCCAAAGAAGCCAAAUUCCUCCAGAAAAACCCACAGCUUCCACCCGGUGCGAGUAAUCAAAUCCACUUUUCUUUAUAAAUUCAUCGGCUUUCACCCCACUAGUACGAGGUUCCAUUAAUACCACCAUCGAUGGGUUGUAAUUUUUAAUAAUAGUCCUAAACGAGCACCUGAAUUCCCCCGAGGCUGCCCCUUGGACAUUCCAGAACAUAAUACUGACUGUCAUAAAAAAUAUAAGAAGAGAGAACAUGAGGCUACUGUUGCUAUCCAGAGACAUCAUCCAUCAAUGCCAACGGCGUUUCCUGAACCAUCGAAAAUUCAUCAUCAGUCAUCCCAUCUCCAUCUAUACCACUCAUAGGAACAUCUGGAUGGUUACAAACAUGUCCACCUUCUUUCACCCGAGAAGUGUUAUGGUUAUCAGGAGGGUCUGCUAAGGGUUGCGGAUCCGAUCCCUGCAUCUCUAUAUGAUCCGUGGCCACUUCCCUUACAUCUCCAUUAAGAAGUGUUGGGGGAGAACAAAAAACCAUUGUGUGUUUAGUAGGAUCCAAGGUGGAUUCGAAAGAAACCACACGUUGGUUACUAGAUACUUUCUGGGGGAAACUAUGUGAAUUGGAUUUUUGGUUGGCAUGGGGUAAGAGAGUUAUAUCCUCAUCUCUGAUACUUAAAUCACUAGGCUGGAAAGGGUUACUAGUAGGGACCACUGGAGCAUUUAGCUUUUUGCUCUGAUUCCUUAUUACCACGGUCUUAUUUUGCAGCUUUCGACGAGCUAAAAUCUGUACUGUGUUAUUUGUUUUGGCUGUAAAUGUAGGGUUUGAGGCGGAUAUGAAAGGCUACCGUGAGGUGGAGGGGAAGUCUGUGCAAGCCUCCUGCACUUGGUGUCCUCCUUCAUCCGGGACUUGGGAUAGAAUGUGAAACCUUGAGGUACCAGCUCCAGUAAACUCCCUAUUCCGAUUUAAGUCUCUAGUAUUCAUCCUUCCAUUAUUAGGCUUUCUUCCUCUCCUAGGAGCCAUCAUCCAGGGACCAAAUGGUUCCACAGUGCUGUCGCCAUUACAACCUUUAGCCUGUUGGCCAGGAGCCUCGUUUCCCGGCAUUGCCUGAUGGGAUUGACCAGCUUCUUUAGAGCUUGUCGAGUUCUUAGCAUCUUUGCAAUUAUUACUAUUGUGCCCGUAAAGUCCACACUUAUAACAAAUUACUGGCAAGCCCUCAUAUUCGACCUUCUGUAUCUUCCCAUCCAACUCAAACUGAGACACCAGUGGCCUAGUUAAAGAGAUACUCACUGCAAGGCGGGCAAAUCUUCCACGAGAUGAGGAGGCUGUAUUCAAAUCGAUUGUAAUCACGUUCCCCACUAACUGACCCAGCUUUUGAAGAACUUUUCGAUCGUAAAGAUGAACAGCAAGGCCAGGUAAUCUGAUCCACACCGUGACCUGUUCAAGAGCCGUGUUUGUGAAGUCAAAGGAUGGCGUCCAUGGCUGCACCGUUAAAUAGUGACCCAUGACAAGCCACGGCCCCUUGGUUAAUGCAUCCAUAGCAUCCCCUACCGAGCGAAACCGAACCAGAUAAUAGUUAUUCUCCAAGUCUAUCACUGAAAACCCCAUGGCUGAUUUCCACAUGCCAUUCAAUCUUGCACAAAGGGCUCUAUAGCCAAUUGUGCGGCCAAGCAACUUUACAACAACCGAGUUCUUCCAAGGCUCACUUAACUUAGCAUGAACCCUAGCCGAAAAAGUGAUGGAUGGCAUGGAUCCCUCGUUACUUUCAGUAACGUCCCCUUCCUCAAAAUCCCAGUCAUCUAGUCCACCUCCAACUCCUUGCUCCAUCGCUUGCGUUGCAUUCACUAGGGUUUCUUUGUACGAUACCUGAGCAGUGGGAUCACCAGCAUGUUCCUCAUCGCGAAACCUCGCUUUUUUAGUCGUUCUAGCCUCCCUGAACGGCGGGGGAAAAAUCCCUCCGGAGAUAGGGUUUCCUUCACAUCCGUGGUUUUCGGAGCUUUCCAUUGAAUUUCGCUUGAUUCACUAAAAAAAUUAACGUUUUUAUGAAGGCUCGAACCAUUGCACUCAACAUUGUAAGUGCAUAUUGGAGUUAUUGGUAAAAUCACAAUUUUAUUUCUCAUCAACGAUAUCCUUCUCUUAUCUUCCCAUUGUUUAACCUCGGGUGGUUCAGUUAAUUCAAUACCGGCAGAAACCAAAAAGUUUUCAUUCUCCACUUCACAGGCUAUCCACAAGGUCAUAUCACGAAUCACAUCAUGCAGUUUUACAUAAUCUGAUCCUGCUUCUUCCAAUAGGCAUGCAUGAACAAGAACACCAAUAAUGUAGUAUCCUUGGUUAUGUACUCCAUUAAUUCCUUUAUAUUCCUUUAGAAAACCCUCACCAAUCCAACACCCUACCAAUUCAAUUUUGCUAAUUUGAUAAUCCUCAAGAAAUAAACUACAGUAUAACAGACAAGAUCUAAGGACGUCACUAGACAAACUAUCAUAACUGAAUUUUAAAAGACGAAACACCUCUUUCUCCAUACCUGGAAAUUCAUAAGCUGAUCUCCUUAACAUCUGAAUUGCAUAGCUCCAUUCUUCGGGUGUCUUCUUGCUGCUCAUGGCACGACCGGUGGUAAUAAGUGCAAGUGGCAAACCACUACACUCCUUUGCCACAGUUUGGGCUAACUCCGGAAUAUCGGGAUGACUUUCAAGAGUCUCUUCUCCGACCUUCUUUAGGAACAAUUCCCAAGCAUCUUGAUCUGCCAAACACUCCACCUUGAACUUUUUUUGAGCUUCCAUGAGGCCACAGACGUCCACAAGACGAGUCGUAAAGACUAUCUUUGAUGCAUUUCUUGAACUCCCAGGAAAAGGGACACCCACUUUGGCUAAAUCAAUUCUUUCCCAUAUAUCAUCUAACAAUAGCAGAAAUUUCAUUUUGCUCAAUAAAUUGAAUAUGCCUGAUGCUUUCUCUUCAAAGCUUCUAUUCUGAAGCCAUCCUAUUCUUUCUCCGAUUUUCUGUUGAAUUCUCUCAAGUUGCAUGUCUUUUGACACCACCACCCAAAUCACAAUAUCAAAAUAAUUUGGUGUAUUAAGGAACUUGUUGUUGAUUUGGGUUAAUAGUGUAGUCUUGCCGACUCCCCCCAUGCCAUAAAGUCCGAUGAUUCCAAAUUGUCCUUCUACAAGACAUCUCCAAACUUGAUCAAAUGAUGAUUCUAGGCCGAUUAUUGUUGGCUGAAGAGGCCUUUCAUCCACUGCUGGUUGUGGUACCUUUUCAGCUACCACUGCAAAAGCUCCAUCAUCUAUUAAAGUAGCCACAAGCUGCAGCUUUUUAGACACCUUUUUCCCAAACUUGUAGCUUGACUUGCAGUUCUUGGAGCAGUAGCCUCCAAGACAUAGUUUUUCAAUUUCUUGAGAGCUGUCCCUUCUCAAUUCACCUACUUCAGCUUCCACAGCCUCCAACCUUGCACUCUGUUCAGCCGUCUUAGUUGUUGUUGCUCAGCAUUAGCGACCCUCAUCAUCACAUCGUUCUUUGUUUCAAUUAGUUUCUGCAAUUCGGUCUGGACGGCAACCAGAUUAUUUUCAAGCUGGCUUAGAUAUGCUGCUUUUCUGCGGGUACAAUUGAUGAAGCCAGUGGAAAGGGCAUCACAUGUAAGUUGGAUUCCCAAAAUAUUACCCAUAGUUUGUAUGAGAUUCAGAGUACAAUAGAAGGAAUGCAACACAGUAUGUAUUCGGUUGUGGUGUCUAUGAUUUUACAGUCGCAGAAGCUUAUUCACCUUGUGAGGGCUGGUCAGGUGGGCACCAUCACUCUCCUUACUCUUUAUAGAGAGCGAUAGUCCAUGUGGUCAGAUCUCAUUCAGAUAACUAGCCAAGUGGGCAAUCGCUCCACCUUAUCAAAAUUCUUCAUCUUAUAAUAAUAUCAUGAGUAGGCCUUGAAUUUUUCUUUUAAUUUUAACAUUUAAAAGGUAGAGGUGAAAAAGUCUACAUAGUAUUUUUGUCCUCGUACUUUAAUAACAUUUCUUGAAAGUCACUCGAUCUCAAAAUUUAAUUAAGAAGAUAUUAUAGAUUUAUAAGCCCUUAAAUUUUAUUUGCAAGUAAGCCCAUAAGACUUACUAAAAGUCGUCAACUCGUCAUGACCAAAAUUGAAAAUUCGUCCGCGCGUGAAAUACGGCAUGCACAGUCGUAUUAAAAGCAAAGGCCAGCUAUGAUAGUCUUCGUAUACUUGCAUUCCCUAUCAUCUUAUUAAUAAUUUCAGACACGUAGUUCGUUGCUUGUGAUUUUUCAUAUGCAAAAGCACAGUCAGUGUUACAUUUUACAAUUACAAUUGAGUGCCACCUAUAUACUCCUUCAUUCUUUUCAAAAUAUGUUGUAGGAUGGGUAAUUGUGACAAAAGUGAUUUUUAAAAAAAAUUAACUUUUAAUUUUUUUUAAAUUACUUUUGAGAUUUGUGAAAAAAAUCCUAAACGGGUCUCAGAAGUAUAAUUAGCACCGCGAAUUUAUAAAAUGAUCAAAGGAAUCCAUCGCCUAAUAUUAUAGUACGCAAUUGAUUGCUAUAAACUAAAUUGCUAUGAUCUCACUUCAUAAUAAUUUAUUUUCAAUCUCCAUCAUGGUAGAAAAAUUUCAUCAAUCAACAUACCCUACCACCACCCAAUAGUCGACCAUUUAUCAUCUUCUAUCCGUAAAAAACCGAAAAAAAAAAAGAAAAGGAAAAAUUUAGUCCACAAAAGAAUAUAUCGCAAGACCAAACAGAGAGAGAAAAUAGAAAAAGCAAAGAGCUGUACUGAAUACCGGCGGUGAUGGCUCCGUACUUGACCAUUUAGGUUUGAUUCUGCAUUCACAUAAUAUUUUUUCUACACUGCAGUCACAUCACAACCAUUGAAUAGUCGUGAUCUAUUUUUCUAAAGCGAAUAAUAUUAUCUUCUCGUGUCGGUGGCUUGAUCAUAUAACAAAAUAGACUAAUAAUGUUUCAAUAGACAUUUUGGUAAAUGGAAGAAGUUAUGAUCUGUCCAUUUUUAUGUUACUUUAUUUUAAUUUGUUAAUUACUAUUAAUAUCUUUGAGUGGGAUAGAAUCUUGACCUAAGAUAUGACUAGGCUCCACAUGUUAUAUAUUAAUUUGAUUAAGCCUAGCUAAUUGUUAAUUAUUAAUUUGAUUGCGGCUUUUUAUUUUACCCACAUUUUUUAUGCGUGAAAUCUUUCUUAGUGAAAAACUACACGUAUUUGCAAAUAUUCGGAAUGGACAUUUUCGAAAAAACAAGUAAAAGAAAAUGACUAAAAAGUAAAAGAAAAUAGACACCCAAUUGUAAUUGCGAGGACAAUAGAAGGAAUGCAACAAACAGCUCUCUCCUUACACUCUUAUAGAGAGUUAUAGUCCAUGAUCUCAUUGAGAGAACUAGCCAAGUGGGCAAUCGCUCCACCUGAUCACAAUUCUUCAUCUUAUAAUAAUAUCUUGAGUCGGCCUUCAAUUUUUUUUUUCAAUUUUUAUCUUUAAAAGGUAGAAGAAGUGAAAAAGUUAAAUAAUAUUUUUGUCCUCCUAUAUAACAUUUUUUGAAAAUCACUCGAUCUUAAAACUUAAUUAAGAAAAUAUUAUAGAUUUUUAAGUUAGUGGCCCUUAAAAUUUAUUUGCAAGUAACAAUUAGAGAAAAGUCGUCAUGCCCAAAUGACUUACUAAAAGUCUGCAACUCGUCAUGACCAAAAUUCUUCCGAGUGUGAAAUACGGCAUGCGCAGAUGCAUUAAAAACAAAGGCCAGCUAUGAUAAUCUUUGUAUACUUGCCUUCCCUAUCAUCUUAUUAAUAAUUUCAGACGCGUCGUUCGUUGCCUGUGAAUUUUCAUAUGCAAAAGCACAGUCAGUGUUACUUGCAUUCCCUGUCACCUUAUUAAUAAUUUCAGACACAUCGUUGGUUGCCUGUGAUUUUCAUAUGCAAAAGCACAGUCAGAAUUACAAUUUACAUUUGGAAUUGAGUGCCAUCUAUUUAUUCUAGCUGGAUCUAAAAUGAUAUUGCAGUAUUGCACUGACUUUUCAGUCACAGCGUUUCUCUAUGAAUUCCUUAAAGUUUAGACCCAUCAUGGAAUAAUUAUUUUCUUAAAGACCAAAUUAACAUAAUUCUUAAAUCAUCUUCCGAGUGUCAAAUACGGCAUGCGCAGAUGCAUUAAAAACAAAGGCCAGCUAUGAUAUUCUCUGCAUACUUGCAUUCCCUGUCACCUUUAUUAAUAAUUUCAGACACGUCGUUGGUUGCCUGUGAUUUUCAGACACAUCGUUGGUUGUCAGAAUUACAAUUUACACUGAUUUUUUAGUCACAGCGUUUCUCUAUGAAUUCCUUAAAGUUUAGACCCAUCAUGGAAUAAUUAUUUUCUUAAAGACCAAAUUAACAUAAUUCUUAAAUCAUUUAUAAAACAACAUUUAUCAUAUAACAGAUCGUACAUGAAUAAAUUUACCUUGAACCGUAGCAAACAAACAAGAAUCUCAACCACAUCAAUAUCAUAAUCCCUUCUGACCUUAACAAUAAUUUUAUUCGUCCUUAAUUCAUAGGUAUAAGUAUCCCAAUAUAUACUUGAUGUCAACCUUUACAAUUCUUUACAGAAUUGCAGCAGACCAAAUUUGUAUGCAAAACUGAAAUCAUACAGUAAUUGAAUACAGUGAUAGUAAUUAGUAUAUAUAAAUAUCUUAAUAAUUUAAAAGUUUCUUAAACUGCUUUUACAUAUCUGAAAAAUUAUAGAAAUCGGAACUGCUGCAGAAAUCAUAAUUUCCCAGCGAAUGUGUUACAACUUCAGAAACUCAUAAGAAAUUAAAUUCUUGGGAUCACAAAAUAAUUCAAUAGAAAGCUUAAGAUGUCUAGUUCAUAAAAUCUGAAUUUUUUUUUAAAAAAUAAGAUCUUUGGAAUUUAAGAGAUUCAGCAGUACUUUUAUUACAUCAAUUCUUCAAACAAUCACCAAUCUAACAUUCAUCAAAAUUAAGUCAUAAAAAUCAUGUGGUUUAUAAAAAGAAUUACCUGAAAAAGAUUAGCCUUCCCCUUUCAAAAGCAACGUGAAACUCCAAAAACUCUUCUUCCAUUGCCUAUUCAAACAUGAAAAAAAAAAUUAGUAUAUCUUCUUUAAACGCGUGAUGAGUGUGCUCUGUUUUCUCUGUUCUUCUUCUUCUUUUUUAGAUUUCGAAAACGUAAAGAGUGUUGGAGUCUUUAUUUUCUAAAAACAAGACUUUUCCAUGUAUUCAGUUAAAUUAAAUUAUGUCCUAAUGCUAUGUCAGUUCCAUCAUUAGCAUUUUUUUUUUUGGCUUUUAACACCAACAUUAGCGUAUGUUAAGUAUCAUAAUCCAUAGUUGGACAAUUUGAAAUCUCUUCGUGGUUUAUCUCAAAGUAGAGCUUCAAUCAAUUUGUACCUCAUAAAUUUACAAUAUCUAUGAGGGCUAAUAAGACCAAACUCUGGCAUAUUGUCAAAUGUGCUUAUACUUUCGCUUGACAAGUCAUUUUAAAAUUGUCUUUCAAUGCCAAAAAAACCACAUCAACUAAUGGUCCACUACUUUAAUUUGAAAGCAUGCAUGCGAUCGCCAAUAAUCAAGGAUGUUAGGGUCAUGCUACAGAGUAUAGAAUAUGAUUUUAUGGUAUAGCCUUCUUUCUUUAUAAUUUUUAAAUUUAAUACUGUUACUUAUGUAGCACAUAAGUUGGAAAACAUAACAUAAAAUUUGAAAAAUGUAUAGUUUUCGUUCCCUUUUUUCCCCUCUAAAAAUGGGAAAAAAGAACGUAAUUUUGAUUUAUUUAAAUUACUGUUGUGAUAACAAUUUUUAUUUUAUUGAUUAUUUACCCAUUCAUGUGGCAAAUUUUUUAAGAUAAGGUGAAGGAUGAAGCUCAAAAACAUAAAUUAUAUAAUUAAUUACCCUCUCUAGUAAGUUUAAAGUUUAUUAUUUUGAACUACAUGUUUAUAAUUUAUUUUUAUUAUGUGUUAAUAUAUAGAUCUAAAUUCACUUUGGAACCAUAUACAUAUUUAGACCUAAUGUGCAUGUUAAUCUAUAGAUCUAAAUUUACUUCUAAAUUCACUUUAGAUCUAUAUGAGUAUUUAGACAUAACGUAUUGCAACCAUAUUGGCAUGUUCUCACUAUAGUAUUGGUGUAUUGACAUUAUAUCUAAUUGUCCCUAUAAAUCCAAAAAUAAUCUAGAUAUACAAAUUAACAUAAAAUAAAGAUAAUUGGUAGAAAAUGCAAAUUAUAAACAUAUAAUUGAAAACGAUAAAUUUAAAUUUACUUAAGAAAGUAAUUAAUCACUUAUUUCUUUUUUAUAAUAUGACAAAUAUUAUAAUAAAUAUUAAUUAAUAAUAAUUAGAAUAACAAACUAAAGAUAUUUUAGUAACUUAAAAUAAUUCAUUUUGAUUUCGAGACAAAAUAAACACAUCAAUCGCAAUACAACUCAUUCUGAUUCCACUCAUUCAGAUUUCAACAUAUUUUAAUUAAUUCAAGUGCUCUCCAUUAUAAUUGAAGCCGCUGCCCCAUCCCACUCGUGAUUCCAAACUUUAUCUUUUUCCUUUUUUAAAUUAAUGCAAGCAGCCGCUGUCCUUUUUGUUAAUUAAUUAAUUAAUUCGGCCGCCCACAUUUCUUUUCCUAAUGUCUUCGGCUUUCGAUUUUCUUUUAUUUUCUUUUUAUUCUUAAAAUAGACUUAUAAUAAUAAAAUAUAAAAAUAUAAAAAAAAUUAACAUAAUCAAAAUAUAAUUUAACAGAAAAUUAAGAUAAAAAUGUGAAAAUAAUAUAUAAAUUAUGAGCGUAUCAAUCAAUAAAUGAAAAAUAAUAAUUUUUAUUUUUAUUAAAUAUAUAUUUUUCAAUAUUAAUCAGUUAUCUAAAUAACUAAAAUCAGUUAAAAAUAAAUAAAUAAAUUAUUCUUAAAAAAAAAAAACUUUUUAUACCACUCACUAUGCUGGCUGUCAAGGGUAGAAGCUUUGGGGACUGAAGUUGGUAACUUCUACAAGUAGUCUUAAGUUGACUGGCAACAACUAUAUUGGCAUUUGGACAUAAUGUUCUGCAACCAUAUUGGCAUGUUCAAUUGUUCUCACUAUUGUGUUGGUGUGUCGAUAUUAUCUCUAACUGCCCUAUAGAUCCAAAAAUAAUCUAAAUUUAUAAUUUAACAUAAAAUAAAAUAAUUGGUAGAAAACAAUUAUGGUUCAUUUACUUAUCAGUAAUUAGAAUAGACUGAAAUCAGAAUGAGUUGUACUGCCGUUAAUGUGUUUAUGUUGUCCUUGAAUCGGAAUGAAUUAUUUUAAUUUACUAAAAUACCCUUGGUUUGUUAUUCUAAUUAUUAUUAUUUAACAUUUAUUAUAAUAUUUGUCGUAUUAUUAAAAAGAAUUAAUAAUGAUGAUAAUAUUAUCAUUAUUGUUUGUUAUAUUAUUAUUAUUAUUUAAAAAGUUAUUGUUAAUAACAAUAAUAACUUUAUUUCAAUAAUAAAAAUGAUAAAAUUAAUAAUAACAAUCAUGACAACAACAAUAAUUAUUUAUUAUGCCAAAAAUAACAAUAAUAAUAAGAAUAAUAAUCAUCAUCAUUUCAAAAAAAAAUCAUCAUCAUCAUCAUUUUUGUAGUGGCUGCCUAUCGGCUGUUGCUUUCAUGCGAGAUUAACUUGCGACGCUUCAACUGCUAUUAUUUCUGGCAAUGUCAGGUGUUGUUGUUUCAAUGGGGGGAGAAGCUGUUUCGGUGCACUAACGAUGGGAGGUGUUGUGGCUGCGAUUCGAGGAGCUACUGGUUCAGUGCACUAAUGACGGCAGGUGUUGCUGCUCAAUGCAAGGUCCAUGGCCAGUUGUCUUGUUUUACACCCAGCUCUUGUAGGAAAUUCUUUAUCAAAAAUAUUUUUUUUGUAACCUUCAAUAAUUGUAAUAUCAUUUGCUUCCGUGGUAGAAAGGACAACUCAUUACUAAGUCUAGAUUGUGAUGAGACUGCUCUCCCUACAAAAGUGAGCAAAUAUCAUUGUAGGGAUUUUUCAGAAUCAACAUCUCCUGUCAUAUCUACACACUUGUAACACAAGUUUGUCACCACCAAAAUAUAAACAUAUUCUGGAAAUGCCUAUAAGAUAUCUGAGAAUUCAUUUCACUGUUGUCCAGUGCUCUUUGCCGAGAUUGAAGAGAAACCGACUGACUACACUGACUGCAUAGGCAAUAGCUGGUCUUGCACAAAUCAUGGUGUACACCAAACUGCCAAUUGCCUAAGCAUAAGGAACUCCUCUCACUGAGAAAUGGGUUUUGCUCUUGAGAUUUUUGGGAACAUGAAGAAUAAAGAUGUAAUUUCUUGGACUACCAUUGUGUUGGGGUAUAUAAAUAGAAGACAAGUCGAUAUAGCUCGACAGUAUUUUGCUCAGAUGCCAGAACGAGAUUAUGUCUUAUGGACUGCCAUGAUUGAUGGGUACCUUCGAGUGAAUAGGUAUAGAGAGGCUUUGACACUUUUCCGGGAGAUGCAAACUUCAAAUAUAAGGCGAGACGAGUUUACCAUUGUUAGGAUUCUUACAGCUUGUGCGAAUCUGGGGGCACUAGAACUGGGAGAAUGGAUAAAGACUUACACUGACAAAAACAAGGUCAAGAAUGAUAUAUUUGUGGGGAAUGCUUUGAUAGACAUGUACUGUAAAUGCGGAGAUGUUGAGAAAGCUCAAAGGGUAUUCAGGAAGAUGCUUCGAAAGGACAAAUUCACAUGGACGGCCAUGAUUGUUGGCCUUGCCAUCAGUGGCCAUGGUGAUAAAGCUCUUGAUAUGUUUUCCCAAAUGCUUAGGGCUUCGAUCAGACCAGAUGAGGUAACUUAUGUUGGUGUUCUGUCUGCCUGUACUCACAAUGGUAACGAAAAUUUUGUGAUAAACAGUUGCAACUUAAGGUGAGAAUUGGAGGAAACGAAAUAGACUGAAGUUGUUCAAUCAUCGGUGGUUGCUAUUUGAUUUUAAGUUGUUCAAUCAUCGGUCGUCUCUAUUUGGUUUUCUCCAAUAUCUCAUCUCCAGUUUUGACUCAGAUUCUGUCUUACCACUAGUAAUUACAUAGACUUGUUGCCAAAGGUAAGAAUGGGAAUAAAUUAAAUAGAUUAUGUCGAUAACGAAAUAGAUUUACUAUUGCUAUGUGCAUUCUAUUUGGUUCCUGCAAAAUAUUUUCUCCUGCCUAAAAUUUUUUGAAUCAGUAAGUUUUUACCUUAUGCAAGAAUUGUGCUAAGAGUAAUUCCAGUCUCUCUAUGUUUCAAUGAAGACGUAAAACUUGUGUUUUAGAGCACCAAUGUUAUGCUUCUUACAAUUGGAUUUUAAUUUACUUCGUAGAACUUUUGUCAAAAAGUACUAAGAGUGUAUUUGAAAUUGAUGUACUGUAUCUUUUAAGCUACAGCUGCUGUGGAAAAAAAAACUGUAACUAUGAAAUAAAAGUUAAUAAUAUAUAGUAAAUAUAAAUUUUAAAUAAUAAUUUUGAUAAAAUUAUUAAAGAUAUAAUAGUUUUUUUAUUAUACAAGUGAAAAAUUAUAUAAACAUAGUUUUCAAGUUACAGCAGCUAGUGUUUAUCAAACACUUUAGUACUGUAUCUUUUAAGUUACAGUUGCCCGAGUUCAAUCUCAAACGCAACUUAACGAGUAGUGCACCAAACACCAACUUUAUUACAGAGAGGACUUUGGUUAAACUUUAAGAAAAACACUCAAAGGAAGAGUUAUAAAUUAUUAUAGAAAUAUUUGACAUAAAUAAAAGCCAUUCCACAAUGCGAAGAUCUUGCUAUCAUCACCAGAAACCAUCGGGAGCUUUCAGGGUUUCCAUGAAAACGCCAUUUCAUUCCAAGAGUCAAUGGUGGGUAGAAAGUGGUGCAAACGAUACUCAUUGUUAAUGCUAUAAGUUUUUGCUAAAUUAUGUCUUACCCAAAAUGAUGAUUUAAUUUCCAUUCUCAAUUAAUUUUCAAAUUUCAACACUUUUCUUUGUAGCAUGACAUUGGAAAGAUCUUGUACUACUAAAAGCUAGCACCACACGUUAAUUAUUGUUAAGUUCUUUUUCAACGUGAAAUAAAGGAAGUAGUCCUUCGUUAAAACCAUUAUAGCCAAAUUUCAUGUAAUUGGACACUUACAGACUUUCAUUUCAAGCUGGAAUUUGGUCCAACGUUUCAAAGUUGACCCAACUAAUUGUCUGGUCAAGUCCUACACAGCUAAGACCCUCAAUGAAUGAGGGUGAGACUGCUAAAAAUUACGACAGUUGAUAUUAUUAUUAUUUUGGGAUAAAUCCUCACCAAGGUGAGUGAGGAGAUUUUAUCAAAAUAAAAAUAAAAAUAUAACAAGAAAACUAGCUAAAUUAAAAUAUUACAAAAGCUAGAUGAAAUGAAAGGCAGCCUAAAAACAACCUUAUGCAAAAGAGAAGCAACAUGCUAGUAUUCCAAGCUUCUUGUUAUAAAAGUGUAGAAUGAAGUAGGUGAUGUAGUUUUAAAUUACACCUCCAUGCCCAAUCACAAUAUCAAAUAAUGCUUAAAGUAGUUAUAUUAACUCUUAAAUUUAUAAAUAAUUAAAUUUUUAAAAGUUUGGAUUUAUAUUAAAAAAUUUCUAUAUAAAUAAAUAAUCUAUGCAUUUUUACAACAUAGUCUUUAAAUUUAAACUUUUCUAGAAAAAUCUUCUGGAUAUCUUUUCUAUUAAAAAAGAGAUUCUCAAAAUUUAUAAAAGUAACUUAAAGUUUUGUCUUCCCUUUUCUUUUAGCUUAUACAUAUGUGUGUGUAUUCUUUUAUAGCAAUAACUAACGUUAUUUAUUUUUAAAUCAUAAAAAAAUUAUGAAAAAAAAAUGUACCAAAUUUAAUUGGACCCAGCACAAUGCACAUGCAUAGAACACAUUCUGAAAAGCCAUGCUAUUCGGAAAUUGACGAAUGGAAAGUGAAGAGGCAGCAGUCAAUGCUAUUUCGGCUUGGCCCAAAAUUUCACCAGUUUGUUAAUCAGUGUUCUGCAGCUCUUGCUGCUUUCCUAGAGAUUCUACAUCUUUUGCAAUCUGAUAGAUUUAAAAAAAAAAAAAAAAUUAGUGGCCAUUUGGAAUGGAGGAGAGAUUUGUGUGAAUGGUAUAGGUGAAAAAUUGGAUGAAAAUAAACAGGCAACCGUCCGUAUAAAACAACAAUAACAAUAUACAAAAAGAUAAGUAAUUCACGAAAGGAAAUUUACGGUUGUUUCUGGAAAACAUACAUAUUAAUUUCACUUAUACUCUAAGAUUUGCCAUCAUGACUGGACUUGUGAGGAAUUUGGAAACAUGUAUGCUGUAGAAAUGCUGAAGUAGCUUGAACCCGAUAAAAAUUGAUUGGUAGAAUUGUUAAAAAGUCUAAAUUUUUAGUUCAAACCUAUUGCAUAUUUAAGAAAAUCUCAAAUGAAUUGCUUAUUGCUAUCGUCAUCAUCAUUGCCCAUAUAAUUAUUAUUAUUAUUAUUAUUAUGUCUUUAUAAUUAUUAGUAUCGCUGUUAUUAUUUUUAUGGGUAAAUGGUUUUUCUAUCCUGGCAAUUUAAGCCAAUUACCUAACUAAUCCACGUAAUUUUAAAAAUGUUUCAAAAGAUCUUUAUUUUAUAUAUGUUUCCACUACAAUUUAUUUAAUGAUUCUUUAUUUUUCAAUUAUUGCAUGUUCGAUAUUUUUGAGUUCUAAGCUAUAUCAAUAGAAAUGUUAUCUUAUCCAUAAAAAGUUAGAUCCAGCAAUUAUGAAAAUUACUAUAGAGCUGCUUUGAAUAAUUUUAAAAAAAUACCACAAGCAAAUAAUAAUUAGUUUAAAUAGUGGAGACUAAAAAGCAUUCACCCUUAUUCUUUAUCUGUUAUUUGUUUUUUUUUUUUUCCGUUAAUGCACAUAUUAUACAUUUUAAACAUUCCGUUAAUUGCCAAUUAUGCAAGCGAGAUAGUAAUUUAAAUUUUUUUAUUUUAAAAAAAAGUGAAAAUUAAUCCUAUGCAAUGUGAAUAAAUUUCUUUCCUUUUUCCUUCUCUCUUUUUAUUUGAUAAUUAAGUUUCAACCUAUGUACCCAAAAUUUCUGCAACAGGUAAAAAAACAUAAAAAUAUAUGAUUGUUAAUGUAAACACGCGGAAGUUCAUCAUUUCAAUGUUCAGUAUUUCCAAUUUUGGCAUACGAAUAUAUUCCACUUAGAAAGCCAAAUAUUAGAAUUGUGAUUUUAAUUCAUUCAUCAUAUCUCAUUUCAAUCCCAAAAUAUUCAAGAGGAUCCAAGUUACCAUAAGACUUCAGAGGCUCGAGCCUUAGCCAGAGACGGUUAAUUGAUAGACUAUGUGCCCGGGUCGAGCACUGGAAGCCUGCAAUGCAGACUGAUUGAUUUAUCAGUUUGAUGUGUGCCAGGAAUGAAGAACUGGAAUAUCACCGUCAAGCAAGCACCCAGUGAAGCAAUACCAUAGAAUGCACAAUCCGGCCUUGCUAGGUGACACUGGAGGCUUUUUGAAAAGUGCUUCACGCUUACUUGCACAGAUUGAGCAUACCCUCUGGAUAUUGCCCUCUCUGAUCCAGUCUGAGCACUCAAAUUUCGGUCCUCAGAUGGAGCUACAGCUUUCUCUCCAAUAACCAACAAUUUUCUAAACUCAGCACCUAGUGUGAUCAGAGUUGUUGAUAUUUGUAAAUGGAGAUCCCCAUAUUUGAAAAUGGAGACAUUUAACAAAUCACCAACAUGCUUCAUCCGGUCUACGAAAUUCUGCAGCUGAUUCAAAUCCGGAACCUGAACCAGAGUCGGAGGUAAAUCUUGAGCCAUAUCUAAAGCAGUUUGAAGUUCAAGUACUUGAGCCCUUGACAGUGGUUUUGAAAUUGGAACAUCUUGAAUUACUGCAGACCUGUACCCUUUGGUUUCAAAGGUAAGGAAAGGCAUUGCUUGAGUACAAUUUGGAGGCAGCUUCUUCACCAAUUUUAUUUGGAGGCGAUUGGCAGCGGAUCCAGCUGCACCAAUUUCAGAGCAAAUACUGACACUACUUCAAACAGCACGCUGAAGAAGCGCUAUGUCUAUGGCAAAGGCAAUGCAGUCCUCAUUUUGGCUUGAGAUGCGGUAAUCAUCGAAGAGAGUUUCCUUAUGAAACUGGGCAACACAUUGAAUCCCUUCACCACUGAGAAGGUUGUGGAGGAAGUACGCUUUCUCUCUAGUGAGGAAGAGGUGGCAUACCUUCCCCAUUUUGUCUAGGGCAGUUAGGAAUCUUUUUUCUAAGAGAUUUACUCCAUUCUCUGUGAGAAAUGCUUUGAACUUCAUCCCUCUGUCUCUAUCCUCACUUAUCAGUAAAACAGUUGAAAGUGAUACAAGGAGAGAAAAGGAGAGUACUAAGAUAUAUAGACAAGAAAAACAUUAGGUGUCGAUCUUACAUGUUAAUACUUCAAACAGUAUCCUAGAAAGCUAAAAACUGCAGAAUGGCUUGAAAUUUGAAAAGAACACAUGCUUUUCCUCCUUAACUUGAGAAAAUGUUUGACAUAGCGCGCCUUACAGAAGCAAGCAAUUAGAACUUUGCACAAAAACAUUCAAGAAGACCAAUAUUUCAACUAUUUUACUGAUGAAAAUCUCAAAGCACAAAUGGCAUUGCAUUUUGUCCUCAACUGUAAUAUUUAUUGAUGAAAAUCAGUACAGGUCCCUCAUUUGUUAUGGAAAGCUUUCUUGUAGUCUGACCGGUUAAUUCACGGGUCUAUAAUCAUCUUGCAAAGUUACGGACAUUUCUUUCGAUUUAAAGUCUUUGCAUCACCACCUCAUCACACACCAAACCAAUAUUCUGUCUACCUCUACAACAAAAAGUUUUAAGUAAACGAUCCUAAUGCACGCAGCCAAAUAAAAUGCAGUAAGAAUAUUCAACUUAAAAAUCUGAAAGUAUCUUGGUGAAUUGCCUUCUUAGGGGAAGUUCCAUGAUUUACUAUACUAGACAGAACUGAGCAAAAGCUUCCAUACGACAGAUUUUGACAAUAAUGAUGCCAACAGAUCCUCAUUAACUCCAUUAAAACUCCUAAGGUUCAUUGUUCAUGGAUGUUUACAGAGUUUUGGCCAUCAAAUAGCUCAGACCACAAUCCCAAAGAAAAGACGAGUGAAAGUUAGAUAACGAGCAGCUAAUUGUAAAUUCUAACUUAACUCUUCAUCUCCUUUGUAAAAAGGAAACAAAAUGGAGACGCGUAAAUUCUAACUUAACUCAAAUAAAAUGAGGGCACGAAAGCAAACAAAUGGCAUGCACAAACAAACCAAGCAUCAAUCAAAAACUAAUUAACCAUUAAAAAAAAUAAAAAUUGGUCAGAGAAUGAACUCCAAAUUCGGGAGUGAAGCAAGAAGCUUUCACUAUUUCAGAAGCUCCUGUACAAAUUAAUAAGUUAUGCUCUUUGGAGACAAUCCUAAAUUCCAAGAGAAACAGAGCUCAAAAAAAUUUUGCAAUUAUGCGCAAAGGAAGUGAAGCACAGCAUUCUACCACACACAGGAAUUGUAUAACAUGAGAUCGAUAUAUCGAAUUGGAAGAACUCAAUUCUAAUUUGUGUCAAAAAUCAAAAUUAGAAGAUUGCAUAUUUCGAGAGGAACAAGCAACAGGUGAGGUUCAAAAUUUCAGCCAUAACAUGCUAAAAUUGCUACAUUUAACGGUUUAUUUUCAUGGAUUUUCUCGGGAAACAAACAGAAAAUUACGGUUUAGAGAGUUGACUGACCUUUUGGCUUUUAGAAUUGAGAAGAUCGCGCACUGCAUUAGUCCAUAGUAUAAUUAUAGACAGUUUUGAGUCAAAGUGUAGUUUCAGUGAACAGUAUUACUGUAGCAAAAUUCAAAAAUAACGGUAAUAUUACUGUUCCUGAGCGGCUAGCCGGAUAAUCAAGCGGCUAACCGCUUGAGCACGGGAUUUUGCCUAUAACGACUAGUUUUUGGGCUUCCACUAUAAAAACUCAACUCAAACUUCUUUCUAAGGACUAAUGCACGCAAAUAUAAGAUCAUACAACAUAUAUUGAGCUUCCAAAACGUAAAUCAUAAUUGAUUGAAUCAUUGUUGAGCUAUUAGUUGCAUAUCCACUCUUAAAGAGAGUUUUUGUUGUAAUUUUCAUUUCUUAUCAAAUUGUGAGUGUGUAAGUGUGGGAAACACUUGGGGUAAAGAGAUUAGGGAGAUAAUCUCUUGGUUGUAAAGGUUCAUUGACACCUUGGAAGGCAAUUGUAAAAACUUGAAGCCUUGGGAGGCUUGGAUAGUGAAAUCCUCGAGCUCGGUUGGCUUGGAGGCGUGGACGUAGGCGGGGAUUGCCGAACCAGAUAAAUAUCCGCGUGUUUGCUUUUCUCUUCCGUAACUCUUUUAUUUUUAUGCUUGCUUGAAUUUAUUGUUCUCCAUUUCAUUAAGGCGUUAGAUUGAUUUUAUUGUGCGAAUUGUAUUGCAUUAAUUUUAAAAAUCCAAUUCACCCCCCUCUUGGGUUGCGUUACUUAUAUUUCAUUUGGUAUCAGAGAUUGGUUCUCUUGUUAGGACUUAACCGUCUAGAGUAAAAGAUCUAUGGCAAUCCAAAUUGAUUCAACCUUUAGGGAAGGACAAUCCACAACUAGGCCACCGUUCUUUGACGGAAAUGACUACCCAUAUUGGAAAACUAGGAUGAGAAUUUAUUUACAAGCAUUAGAUUAUGAAAUUUGGGAAGUUGUAUGUGAUGGUCCUUUUAUGCCUUUGACUAAAAACGAAAUUGGGGAAGACAUUCCAAAACCUUCACGGGAAUGGAAUGAAUUGGAAAAGAGAAAAGCUUCUCUAAAUUCCAAAGCCAUAAAUGCCUUGUUUUGUGCACUCGAUAAGAAAGAGUUUCAUAGAGUGUCUAGUUGUGAAAGUGCUAAUGAAAUUUGGCACAACUUGAAGUUGUUUAUGAAGGCACGAAUCAAGUGAAAGAGUCUAAAAUUAGUAGGUACACUCGGCAAUAUGAAUUGUUCCAAAUGGAACAAAAUAAGAGUGUGUAUUCUAUGUAUACUAGAUUUACGGACAUAGUAAACACUCUAGGAGCCCUAGGAAAGACGUUUUCAAAUAGCGAGAAAGUUGAGAAAAUCAUUAGGUCAUUACCUAAGGAAUGGAGACCAAAAAGGACUGCCAUUGAGGAAGCUAAAGAUUUGAAUAUCUUACCUACUGAUGAUUUAAUUGGUUCUCUUAUUUCUUAUGAGAGAGAUUUGGCAGCUGAAUGAGGAAAUGAGGAAAGAAAGAAAAACAUUGCUCUCAAGGUCACCAAACAUGAGAGUGAUGAGGAAAGUGAGCCGGAUGAUGAGGAGUUGGCUAUGCUAGCAAGGAGGUUCAGAAAAUUUUUCAAGAAAACUGGUGACCAAAGAAAAUUCAGAAAUUUCAAAAACCAAAAGGAGAAGAAAGAGGUAAUCAUAUGCUAUGAAUGCAAGAAGCCUGGCCAUAUAAGAUCGGAAUGCCCACUUAUCAACAAACUCAAGAAGAAAGCUAUGGUUGCUACUUGGGAUGAUAGCGAUGAAGAUUCAAGUGAUGAAGAUGAGUCACAAGAAGUAUCAAACCUAGCAUUUAUGGCACUAGGAGAUGAUGAUGAUCUCAAUGAGGUAAGUGAUCCAACCUAUGAUGAAUUGUAUGAUGCUUUUAAAGAAAUGCAUGAUGAGUUGAUGAAAAUUGGUAAAAAGAAUGCAUGCCUUAAAAAGAAAUUGCUAGAAUCUACAAAUGAAAAGGAUACCAUGCAAAAAUGCAAUGAGCCAUUGAAUGAGAAGACUAAAGGAUUAGAAUUAGAGAAUAAAACCUUGCAUAAUAGAGUUGCAUUAUUAAAUGAAAAAUCUAGCACUUCACAUGAGCAUUUAGAGUCACAUGUACAUGAUUUGAAAAAGGAAAAUGAAAUGCUCAAGAAAAAGAAUAUUGAACUUAGUAAUGUUGUUCUAAAAUUUACAAAUGGACAAAAGAUGUUGGAUAACAUGCUUAACUCCCAAAAAUGUGUUUUUGAUAAAAGAGGACUUGGGUAUAAGCCUAACUUGAAGUAAAAGUAUUAUAAGAAUUAUUUUGUUAAAGCUACCUCCACAAAUGAUCAUAAGAUUGUUUGCGAUUAUUGCAAUCAAAAUGGUCACAUGAAAUAUAGAUGUCUUGUAAAAAGGAAUGCAUAUAAUGGUGUCAAAUGUGUGUGGGUUCCAAAAGGAACCGUUGCUAACGAUCAAGGGCCUAAAAAGGUUUGGGUACCUAAAACAUAAGAUUUUCUUUGAAGGGCUUGAAGAAAAAGAAAAAUAAAUGGUACUUGGAUAGCGGAUGUUCUAGGCAUAUGACCGGAAACUAUGCAUGGUUCUCAAGUUUUACCAAAAUCGAAAAUGGUGGAGAUGUAUCUUUUGGAGAUAACUCAAAAGGAAAAAUUCUCGGAAUUGGAAAUGUUGGUAAAAUUUCUUCAACUCUAAUUGAAAAUGUAUGUUUGGUUGAAAAUUUGAAACACAAUCUGAUUAACAUUAGUCAACUAUGUGACAAAGGCUAUAAAGUUAUUUUUGAUAAAUCAAGAUAUGUUAUUGAGAAUGCAUGUGAUGGGAAAAUUUUGUUUAUGGGAAAUAGAUGUGGCAAUGUUUACACGAUUGAUAUAGAGUGUGCAUCUACUCAUGAUAAAUGUUUUUCGGCAUUGCAUGAUGAUUGAUGGGUGUCGAAGCCAACAAAAAUAAAUUCCUACUCUAAAUAAAUUGUGUAUAGUGAUUGAGCAGGGUCGUGUCCACAGAGAUCGGUAAUUAAUUAAAUCCUUUUGAAACGUAAAACGUAAAAUGGGGGAAUUGUUGACAAUAAUAAAAAUCAAAUUAAAAUAACAAGAAUACAAAUUAAAGUUGUAAUUCAAAUUAGAGAAAGCUCUGGUUGAAGGAAUUAACUCAGCUUGAUUCGACUACUGAUCAUUGAUUCAAAUAUAGAUUAUUAUUACUCAUGAAUAGACCGGUUAUAGCUACUGAGACCCUCUAAUAGCCAAUCUCUCCUUAACUAGUCGAUAACCAAGGUACGACCGUUGGUUAUUUCCCUAAUCAAUAGACAACCCUAGAUACGAUCAUAGAAUUUAAUCAAUUGACAGCCUGAAAAACCAGAGAGACCCAAAUCCUAAUCAACACAUAUGAUGAUUCAUUUAAAUUAGAUUGUUUAUUCUCACAACACAACUCUCUGCUAUGUUAUUUGUCACAAGCAUUAAAUUCUUUAUACGAUGAAUCCUUUAAUUGACAAUAGAUUAAGUUGAUAAUUAAAUAGUGGCCAAUUACCUAAUUAACAAACAUAAUCAUGAAAAUAAUUCAGAGAAUAAACAAAUACCCAAAAAGUAAUAAAACAAUUAAAGUAUAAGAAAGAUCUCACAGUAGUGAUGAAUCAAAGCUUCAUUAUCCUUCAACCAGAAAAAUAGGUUUAGUUCUUCAUAAAGAGAAGAGAAAAAUUAAGUCUAGGGUUUCUUUCUUUCUCCAAUCCCCCAAAAAAUCCCCAUUUUCCACAAUAGAUUCCUCCCUUAAAUACUCUCUCUCUCUUCUCUUUUAGAAUUCUAUUUAAAAUAAAAUCCUAAUAUCUGAAAUAUUAAAUUCGUAAUUACAAAUAUAGCCAAAAAUAUAAAACACGUUAAACUAAAAACUGCAGGUCCGCAGUUGACAGCACGCGCCCACGCCUUAUCAACAAAGUUCUUCUGCCGCUCAUAAUUUCUCCAAGGGAACAAUCAUCCCUAAACAUCAUCUUGUAGCUCAAUUUUAUCACCAAUCAAUAGAAUUGCACCUACAAAAGUAAAUCACAAGUAAAUCACUAUUAUUAAGUGCAAAACAUCGAUAUUAAGAGAAGUAAACAAUGCAAAACUAGUGCAUAAAUUGCACUCUAACAAUGAUGGUUGGUUAUGGCAUAGAAGACUAGGACAUGCUAGCAUGGAUUUAAUUUCAAAAAUUUCGAAAAAUUAUUUAGUUAAAGGUCUUCCAAAAAUUGGUUUUCAAAAGGAUAGAAUUUGUGAAGCAUGUCAAUUUGGAAAACAAAUCAAAACCUCUUUCAAAAACAAGAAUCAUAUCUCUACUUUAAAACCUCUUCAAUUACUUCACAUAGAUUUGUUUGGACCCUCUAGAUAUGCUAGUUUAAGUGGCAAAUUUUAUGCAUUUGUAAUUGUAGAUGAUUAUUCUAGAUACACAUGGGUAUUAUUCUUAGUUAAUAAGGAUGAUGACAUUGAUGCAUUUAAAAUUUUCUGUAAAAAGGUUCAAAAUGAAAAGGGUUAUUAUAUUACUUGUAUUAGAAGUGAUCAUGGUGGAGAGUUUGAAAAUCAUGCAUUUGAAAAUUUUUGUAAUGAUUUUGGCAUUGAGCAUCAAUUUUCAUCACCUAGGACUCCACAACAAAAUGGAGUUGUUGAGAGAAAGGAUAUGUCUAUUCAAGAAAUGGCUAGGACCAUGUUAAAUAAAAAUGCAUUACCGAAAUAUUUUUGGGCCGAAGCCGUCAACACCGCUUGUUAUGUUUUAAAUCGGGUGUUGAUUAGACCUUAUCUCAAUAAAACUCUCUAUGAGCUUUGGAAAGAUAGAAAAUCCAACAUUGGUUAUUUCAAAGUUUUUGGAUGCAAAUGUUUUGUUUUAAACACAAAAAAUAAUCUUGGUAAAUUUGAUCCAAAAUCUGAUGUUGGCAUCUUUCUCGGGUAUUCAAACUCAAGCAAAGCUUAUAGAGUUUAUAAUAAAAGAACUUUAGUUGUGGAAGAAUCCAUGCAUAUUACGUUUGAUGAAUCUAACCCCUCCUCUGCUGAGAAAGGAGUUGUUAAUGAUGAUACAAAUGGAGAGUUACAAGAAGAAUCAUCAAAAGAGAAUCAAGAGAAUGCACCAUAAGAAAAUCAAGAGGAUAGACAAGAAGAACAAACAAAUAUGGAGCUGGAGCAACAGGAAGGUAGUUCUCAAACACUCCCCAAGGAGUGGAGGUAUGUUUCCUCUCAUUCUAAGGAUUUAAUUGUAGGUGAUCCUUUAAAAGGUAUCACAACUAGAUCGUCACUUAGAAACACAUGUGAGCAUGCUGCAUUUAUUUCUCAAAUUGAACCAAAAUCUUUUGCGGAUGCGGAAAAUGAUAAGUUUUGGAUUAUGGUAAUGCAAGAAGAGUUAAAUCAAUUUGAGAGAAAUAAAGUAUAGGAAUUGGUUCCUAAACUGGAACAUCAAUCCAUUAUAGGCACUAAAUGGGUAUUUAGAAAUAAAAUGGAUGAAUUCGGUAUGGUUGUAAGAAAUAAAGCUAGAUUAGUGGCUCAAGGAUACAACCAAGAAGAAGGAAUUGAUUUCGAUGAAACAUUUGCACCUGUAGCUAGAUUAGAAUCCAUUAGGAUGUUGUUAGCAUUUGCAUGUCAUAAAGAUUUUAUUUUGUUUCAAAUGGAUAUCAAGAGUGCUUUCCUAAAUAGUUAUAUUAUGGAGGAAGUUUAUGUGAAACAACCUCCUGGUUUCGAAAAUGAGAAAUUUUCAAAUCAUGUGUAUAAGUUAUCAAAAGCAUUGUAUGGAUUAAAACAAGCACCUAGAGCAUGGUAUGAUAGACUUAAAAAUUUCUUGUUGGAUAACGAUUUUUUGAUGGGAAGAGCGGAUACUACCCUCUUUAUUAAAAAUAAAAAUCAAAAUAUAUUUGUUGUUCAAAUUUAUGUUGAUGAUAUUAUUUUUGUUCUACUAAUGAAUCUUUGUGCAAAGAAUUUUCCUCUUGUAUGAGUAAGGAAUUUGAGAUGAGCAUGAUGGGAGAAUUGAAGUAUUUUCUUGGACUUCAAAUCAAACAAAACAAUGAGGGGAUUUUCAUCAACCAAGCUAAGUACGUCAAAGACUUGCUCAAGAGAUUUGGUAUUGAUGAAUCAAAUACCAAGAAUACUCCAAUGAGUACAACAAUCAAGCUUGAUAAAGAUGAGAGAGGUAAAGAGGUUGAUAUUAAAAAGUAUCGAGGUAUGAUCGGAUCCUUACUUUACUUAACUGCAAGUAGACCCGAUAUCAUGUUUAGUGUAUGUUUGUGUGCAAGAUUUCAAUCAUGUCCCAAGGAAUCUCAUUUGCUUGUUGUUAAAAGAAUUUUUCGUUAUUUAAGUGGAACCAUAGAUAUUGGCCUUUGGUAUCCUAGAGGAACUCAUAUAGAUUUAACUUGUUAUUUAGAUGCCGAUUUUAAUGGUCACAAGGUCGAUAGAAAGAGUACUAGUGAAACUUGCCAUUUUCUUGGUCAUUCACUUGUUUCAUGGUUUAGUAAGAAACAAAAUUUUGUGGCACUCUCAACUACUGAGGCGGAAUAUAUUGCCGCAGGAAGUUGUUGUGCACAAGCACUUUGGAUGAAACAAACACUUAGAGACUAUGGUAUUGUUCUUGAAAAAAUUCCUAUCAAGUGUGAUAAUACUAGCACCAUAAAUCUUUCAAAGAAUCCCAUUCAGCAUUCUAGGACCAAGCAUAUAGAGAUUAGGCAUCAUUUCUUGAGAGAUCAUGUUCAAAAAGAUGAUAUUGCAUUAUAAUUUAUCUCUACGGAAAAACAACUUGCCGAUAUUUUUACAAAACCCCUUUGCGAAGAACAAUUUUCAAAAAUUCAGCAUGAACUUGAGAUGAUGAAAUUUUCGCAUUAACAUCUCUAGUUAUGUUAUUUAAUCUAUUAAAAUUGUUUGGAAAACAAAGGAUUCGUUGAAAAUCCCAAGUCUGCACAAGCUGUAAUGAAUUGGUCAUAACUCCUUCUAGAGAACUCCAAAUCCAGCUCUAUAAAAUUUAUUGGAAAGCUAACUUAAUUAUCUUUCCAACGGUAUAUAGUUUGCACAUUACUUCUGGCUCAAUCAAUACAGUUUUUAUUCCGAAUUUGACAUUUCUGCAUUUUAUUAAGUUUUGAAUGCUUAUAUGCUUCAUGAUUGUAUGCUUGUUGGAUGGAUUAUUUGUUUGAAUUAACUAUCUUUUGGAUGUUUAAAAUCAUGAAUCAUGCAUUAAAUUGGCUCUUGAGAUGUUUCGGGAUCACAAACUGGUCACGAAAUUAAUUAAAAUUGGCCGAAAAUUAACUAAGGUACAGCUGGACAACAACCAGGAGGCUAGCCGCUUGGAAAUGUCCCCCCAACCCGAGAGCAAGCGGCUAGCCGCUUGGUCACGGGUGUGGCAAUUGUUUUUUGCUUCUUCUUCUUCCUUUGUUAAUUUUCUGCACAUGCUUUCUCUCUCACUCAAAACCGUGAGCAACCCAUCCAUUUUCACCUCCAUUUUCUUCCUUUUUCAUCUAUUUUCAUGCCCAAAUCAACCAUUCAAACUAAUACCCAUGCAUUUCAUCUUCAUUAAACACUUCUCCAUCAUGAUUUCUUCAUUUGUUUUUCAUCAUUUCAUCAUCAUCUCUCACGCGUGAACAGUACCUCUCCAUUUCUCUCUCAAAAUUCUUCAUUUUUCACUCACUUUCUUGUUAAAAUCAAUCAUCCAAAUCAUUAUUCAUCCAUUACUCCUUCAAUUUUCGUUCUCAAAACUUCAUUUCAUCAACUCUCCACAUAAAACCCAAAAUCAAAAAACCUAACUCUACCCUUUCUCUCUCUACAUUUUCAAGCUUCCUUUAGCCCAUUUUUGAUCCAAUCUACAUCAUAUAUUAGCUUCAUUCAUCUCUAGGAUCAAUUUUCUUGGCUCAAACAAAUCCAUUUCACUCAAUUUUUGUAAACCCGAAAUUGCAUAUUUAAGCUCUUUUUAGUCCACUUUUGAUCCAAUCAACACCAUCCAUUAUCUUAAAUCAUCUCUUGGAUCAAUAUAAUUGGUUUAAAAUCAUCUAUUUCACUCAUUAUUUUACAAAAUUAAAUUUGUGCAUUUUGGGUAUAUGCACCUACAUUUUCAUAUGCAUAAUUGUUUUAAUUGUGGAUUACGGAUGAUGGUUGUUUAAUAUUAAGAUAAUUUAUAUUUGGAUGAUAUUUUCUGAAUUCUUAGAAUGAAUAUGACUCUUUAGUUAAUUGCACGCUUAAUUUUUAUAUGCUUCUUGAUUAAUCAUUGAGAUAUUCUUUUUGGUAUAAACAUGGAUUUAUAGUACUUUUGAUGAUUGAUGAUUAUAUGUGUGUUGCUUGAUGAAUUAAUGGAGUUGUUGGUUUGUGUUACUUGUUUAAGUUCAUAUGGAAGUGUUUUUAAUCACAUUGUGUAUUUGAGGAUUUGUUCAUUUUUAAGGGGAGACUCUGCCGAAAUUUUUACUCGCACACAAUUGGUAAUAUCUUCCUUGAAUCAUUUUUUAUGAUCUUGCUUCAAAUUGCAUUUUUCUAUUUUUUAUGAAAUGGGAGAUAAAUAUGAUAUGUUUUUGGAUAAUAUUAUUUUGGUUAAAUUUUUUAAUUGGCCAUAUAUUUAGGGGGAGCAUACAAUAUGAUUUUGGAUAAUACGCAUUUUGAGCAUUCUUUUGAUGGCAUAAUGGUUCAUGAUCAUUUAAUGGUUAAUUGGAUGUUUGGUUAUUAUAUGUUUCUUGAUUAACCAUUGACAUAUUAUCGAUCUUCGGAUGAAUUUCUAGUAAUUUUGAUGAUGAAGGGGGAGAAGUCAUGUAUUUUGAAUAUGAAGACAUGUAAUACAUAUUUUUGUAUUUCAAGUAUUUAUGCAUGUUUUUGAAAUAUUAAGGGGGAGCUUUCAAAUUAUCAUAAAUCAAAUAUUCAGGGGAAGUUUUUGAUUUAUAUAUGCCAUGUAUUAAGGGGGAGUUUAAUGUCAAAAUAAAUGAGAUGUUUGUCAUCAUCAAAAAGGGGGAGAUUGUUAGCCUAAAGGGCUAUACAUAAUGUAAUUUUGAUGAUAACAAAUAUAUGUAUUAAGUGAUUUAAUAAAUAUUGUAUUUCACAUUUUCACUAGUUUUUUAAGGAUAAUAUUUAUGCAAGUGAAUCAAAUGAAAUCAAGAUUGAAGACACUCAACGGACAACGGCGACAUCAAGAAUAGUCUAGAGCUCAACGAACAAAUUAGUGCGAUAAAUUCUUAUAAAGCCGGUAUGAUUUAAUUGAUGCAUGAUUUAGCAUUUGAGAAGCUCAAGAGAUUAAUUAAUUAAAUAUUUUUCAUAAACUAAAAUGUUUUAUUUUUAAAAAGUAAAGUAUUUUGUGGAUUUGAGUAAAUUGGACUUAAAUGUUAAGAUUUAUAAUCUUUGAGUUUAAUAAAUAUUAUUUUGAAAUUCAAAUUUGGACUUAUUUGCAAAGGUUUGAAACGUUUUGAGGCAUAUUAUAAUUUAUGAAAGUUUGAGGACCCGAAUGUAAUCUAGACACUUGAAAUCCAAAGUUGGACAGAGAGGAAGCGGCUAACCCCCUGAGCGCUAGCGGCUAGCCGCCUGAGGGAAAUCUCAUAUUUUCAAUUUUUGGACUAAAGUGAAAGAUUUUGAUAACUUUAAAAAAUAUGGGUAUUAUGCUAAAUUUAAAAAGGACCUCUUUGAAAAAUAAUAAUAUCUUUGGGGCUAUAUCAUAAUUUUAGAAAGUUUUGGAAAGAUAACUAAUCUUAAGUAAUUCUAAAAUUAGAUCUAUUUGCAAACUUUUCUGACGUUUUGGGUCAUAAUAUAAUUAUAGAAAGUUUUAGGUCAAAGUGUAGUUUCAGUGAACAGUAUUACUGUAGCAAAAUUCAAAAAUAACGGUGAUAUUACUGUUCCUGAGCGGCUAGCCGGAUAAUCAAGCGGCUAACCGCUUGAGCACGGGAUUUUGCCUAUAACGACUAGUUUUUGGGCUUUCACUAUAAAAACUCAACUCAAACUUCUUUCUAAGGACUAAUGCACGCAAAUAUAAGAUUAUACAACAUAUAUUGAGCUUCCAAAACGCAAAUCAUAAUUGAUUGAAUCAUUGUUGAGAUAUUAGUUGCAUAUCCACUCUUAAAGAGAGUUUUUGUUGUAAUUUUCAUUUCUUAUCAAAUUGUGACUGUGUAAGUGUGGAAAACACUUAGGGUGAAGAGAUUAUGGAGAUAAUGUCUUGGUUGUAAAGGUUCAUUGACACCUUGAAAGUCAAUUGUAAAAACUUGAAGCCUUGGGAGGCUUGGAUAGUGAAAUUCUCGAGCUCGAUUGGCUUGGAGGCGUGGACGUAGGCAGGGAUUGUCGAACCACGUAAAAAUCCGCGUGUUUGUUUUUCUGGUCCCUAACUCUUUUAUUUUUACGCUUGCUUGAAUUUAUUGUUCUCCAUUUCAUUAAGGCGUUAGAUUGAUUUUAUUGUGCGAAUUGUAUUGCAUUAAUUUUAAAAACCCAAUUCAUCCCCCUCUUGGGUUGCGUUACUUGUAUUUCAAAAAGUGCGUGUGAAGUGUAAAAUUAGGGUUGGUCUUUUGGCUUUAUGUGUUAUGCUUAAAAUUACAAUAUUAGUUUUCAUAUUUUAAAAAGUUUCCAAAUUAAUUUAAGGAUAAAAAAGUAAUUUAAUUAAACAAAUUUUAAAUGAAUCGACCUAUAUUUGAUUCGUUUAUAACUCGUUUAUUAAAUGAAUUUUAAACAAAUAAAUGAAUCAAAAUCUUCUAACCUGCAAUUUGUUUAAUUAGCGAAUCGAAUCGAAUCGAAUUCAUCCAUUUAUUAAAUUAAUUAAUUUUUUCAAACUUAAAUUUAUUUAAUUCACAUCUAAUCGAAUUAAAUAAAUAAAUCCUUACCCAUAUUAGUACCCGUAAACGGAUCAUUAAUGUUACCGGUCUUUCCUAUAUUUUAUUGCAAAUUGAUGCUAACAAGAAAAAGCUAGAUCAUAUUCCACAAAAGCAAAAGUGAUAAAACAACCAGCUGGAUUCUUUUAUUAAACUACAAAUUAAAAUGGACUUUUUUUUAAUAAACUAUAUAUGAAACUGGAAUCUUUUGAAUAUACGUGGGGUAGGUUCCCUUUCAAAAAAAAAAGCGGGGUAGGCUCUUUUAUUAAAGACAAGUCACAAGACGAUUAGGGUCUUUUAUUAAACUACAAAUUGUAUAAUAUUUUUCAAAUUGUACAGACAUUUAUAAAUUGGUGGUCCCUUGGAAAUUUAAUGCCAAUCAGAGAAAAGUCAUCAUGCACAAUCUUCAAUAAUUGUUUCGAUAUUUAUAAAUUGGUAGCCCUGCGUCUUUAAUAAAUGAAAUCAUGUUACGAUUGCAUAUAGUCGUUAGAUGCACUUAAAUUAGUGAGAUUUAUUAAUAUCUAAUAAUUAGAUAUAAUUAUAACCCAAUACAAUAGUUACACCAAAGUUUCCCCCAAUAAUUAUUCGGAUACUUAUAAAUUGGUGACCCCUUAGUAAUUUUACAGCAGCUUGCAAGUGCCAACUAGUGAAAAGUCAUCAUUCACAAUCUUCCAAGUGAAACAGGGGAUAUACAAAGAUUAAGACAUGUCAUUUUUUUUUUCAUUCCGUUUCAUGUAACUUACACCCAAAUAUAUAAAUAAUAUAAAAUGAAUGGAGAGAUGCCGGAGCAGAUCGGCAGGGUUUGAAUAUGACCUUUGGCGCUUGCUUUUUUUUGUGAUUUUUUUUUUCAUUUUUUCCUUCCUGUCAUUUUAUCAUUUCUUUGGCUUUGUCUCUGUUGCGGGUGUUACUGCAUGCUAACUGUUGCUUGACAAAGUUUGCUAGCUUUUCCUUUUGUUUAUUAAUUUUUUUAUGGUCACAAAGUAUUACUCGUUCUAUUUGACAGUGAUGUGAAUCAAUUUUUCAAUUUUAUAUUUUGUGGUCAAUGUGAAUUCAAUUUCAGUUGUCUCCUGCAAUUAUGAAAAAAUUGCAGUCAUAAUAUGGAAAAGUACGCGGGCAAAAAUUUUGUAAAAGCUUCGGAGUGAUACGGGGAAUUCACUUACUACUAAGGACAAUUGGUGGCAAGCUAUUCCAUUCAUUUUAUGUCCAUCCAUCUAUUUAGUUAUUGAAGACUAGUGGUCUAUUUAUAAAUUUCAGAUUGUUUCUCUCUCUCUCUCGAAAUAACAAUAUUUAAAAUAGAGUAAUGAUACAGCUACAAACUCUUGUACAAACUUAUUUUGUACAAACUGACGUGACAUUAAUUCAUUGGUUGAAUGAAAAUAUAAAUUAAUAAAAACAAAUCAUGUGGGACAAGUGAUAUUUAAUUCAACCAAUCUUAUCAUGUCAUAUCAGUUUGUACAAAAUAAGUUUGUAUAAGAGUUUGUGGCAGUAUCAUUACUCUUUAAAAUAUCUCUUAAAUUAUUAUAAAUUUUAAUUUACUCUCGAUUUAAAAUGGAGCAUGUCAAUAAAUUUUUUUUCUUCUUAAUAAAAUUGACGUAAGUUGUGUUUACAGUAGUUUGAAGUUUGAAAUAUUUUAAAGAUUAUUAUUCUAUAAGGGAGUAAUAUGAAAUGAAAUUUACUUUUCAUGUGUGAAAUGAAAAAGGACGAAGCAAGUGUCCCUGCUUUUAUUUUAUUUCAAGGAGGAGUCAUCUCACAGACUUUAGCUCUUAACAUUACAUUUUUUCUGGUUACAUUUUUAUUUUUUAUUUAUUUUUACACAUGCGUGUGGGUUGCUUUUCUGUAAGCUCCUUAAUAUAUAUUUAAGACAAAUUAUGGAAGAGAUGGGAUUAUAUCAAGAUGAUCAAACCAUGUAAAAAAAGAAAAAAGAAAAAAAAUUAAGAAGUAAGACACUGAAAAUGGAGAAGAGAUGGAAUCAAAAGAUAUUCCAAAACAAAGCAAUCUGUCCCCUUUCCAGGGCAGACUUAUCAGGUUUAAAAAAGUACAUGCUUUGGAUUGGUAGUUGCAAUCAAUUGAAAAUAAAUAGGAUCCAAUGAAAUUUAAAUUUCGGAGAAAUAAAAUAAUCAUGCAGAUUUUUAAGAUUUUAAUAAGAGAUACUAAUAUCUUAUUUUGAUUAAUAAUAUUCUUUCACUGUGUUAACUCAAAAAAAUAUAUUUUAAAGUUUUACAGUAAAUAAAAAUAUAAUAUUAAAAUAAAUGUGACAAAUAUAUAUAUAUAUAUAUAUAUAUAUAUAUAUAUAUUAAAUAAUUUCAAUAAAAAAACAUUUUAAUGUUUUACAAUCUACUACACAUAUUUUAUUAAGUUAAUAUAAUUUUUCAAAUAAAUAGGGACAUAAUAUUAAAAUAAAUUUAUAAAAAUUUAAAUUAUUUUGAAUUUAAAAUAAUUUUAAUAUUAUUAAUAUUUUAUAUAUGUUUUAUUAAUUAUAAGAAUUAUUUAACCCAAAGUUUUUUUAUAAAUAUUUUCAGUGGAUAUAAAUAUAUUAUUUAUACUUUGAUUAUUUAACCAUUAUUAGUCUACAAUUAUUUAUAAUUAUAUUUUCAUUUAUUAGAAUACAGUUAAAGUCAAAUCUUUUGCACUUUUACCUAGCUAGAAUUAUUGCACACAGAGAAAUAAACAUAUAUUCUUUAUAACUUUAGAAAUCGGUUUUUUUUAUAGCUGGGAACAGAGAUGAUGAUUAUUAUAAGGAUGGAGAAAAGGAUAAAAAAUAUCAAUGAUUAACAAAGUCUCUGUGCAAAUUGAUUUUAGCAGUAAAAUAGUGAGCUGAAUGAUGUACGCGAUUAGUGGUAAUAGAAAUCUUCUCAUAAAUCUCCUUUUUGAGUUAUAGUUAUUUUAUUUCCGAAAUAUCCUUUUUCUUCUUUAAUACACUUCUAAUUUUUCAUUUAAUUUUUUUAUUGUUAAACUCAAAAUAUUAUUGUGAUAUUUUUCGUGUCUUUUGCAAUCUUAUUAUUACUCUACACACGAAUUAAAAAAAUUUUUUAGGUGAUGAACUUUUGAAUGUUAAUCUUGGCUUAAAUUUCACAUAUUUUACAUUAUAAUAUAAAAUUAAUUACAAAAAUAUUUAAUCAAUAAAAAUUAUAAAAAAUAAAUUAUUUUAAAUUUAUACAAUUUAUUUUAAUUAGAUAAGCAGUAACAACUACAAAAAGGAUUUGGUUAUGAAAUUUGUUGCAGCUUAAUAUUCCACAAAAGCAAAUCGUAAUAUUCCACAAAGGAGUACGAUCCACAAAAGCAAACAACCAGCUGGAUUUUUUUAUUAAGCUACAAAUUAAAGUGGAAUCGUUUAUUAAACAACAAAUUAAAGUUUGAAUAUUUAAGUAGUAGUGCGUUAGAUGNNNNNNNNNNNNNNNNNNNNNNNNNNNNNNNNNNNNNNNNNNNNNNNNNNNNNNNNNNNNNNNNNNNNNNNNNNNNNNNNNNNNNNNNNNNNNNNNNNNNCUUGUAGCUAAUUUGUCAAUAAUAUUAAACUACAAGUGCUGACAACAAGUGCGAUGCUCUUUUUCUAAAGAGAAUUAAAGUUGGUCCCGAAUAGGACGUGCCUAAAUCUGUUUAAAUUUUUUCCAGUAAAACUAACAGAGGUCAUUACUAGAAUUAUUUAUAUUGUUUUAUAUUUAUUAACAAAUUUUAAAGUCAAUCUUUUUAAUUAUUAUUCAAAAGAUAUUAUAAUUAAAAAAUAGUGUCUACUAUUAAAAAUUUAGAAAUUUACAUUACCGUUCUCUUAAAUCUCUAAAUAUUUAAGAUGUAAUUGUUAUUUUCCUUUUAUAUAUAUUAGGAAAUAGAACCGCGCUUCGCGCGGUUUGAGAAAAAAAAAUUAGUAUUAUUAUUUUUUCUCACUUUGCAUUUGAUGAAAUUGAUAAAAAAUUAUGAAUUAUUUUUUUUAAGAUGAGACAGCCUCAUAAAACUAAUGUCAUUUAUGAAAUAAUUAUUUUUUUUGUUAACUUUUAAAAUAUAUAUUAAUAUGUAUAGUGUAAGUGUACAUACCUUAUACCUUUUGUAGUUGUUGAUAAGUUCCAAGUUAUACUCAACUUGCUAAUCUGUUAGAACUUUUAUAUAUCUUUUUUUUUCUAACUAGUUCCAACGAUCUCAAUAUCACCCACACUACAUAAACUUCUGACAACGUCUGUAAUAUUAUGAAAAAAUAAUAUAAAUAUGUUAAAACAUAAGGAUCAAUAAUUUCUAAUAUACACUUAAAGAUUAACGAACAUUAAUAAUUUAAAAAUAAUAUCUGAGAGGAUUGUAUUAUCAUUCACACGUAUAUCAAUCAAAUUCAGAGAUAUGAAUUGAAAUCUAUUAAUCGAAAUCUUAACAGUUCCUUCUUCUAAACUCUUAAGUGAAGUUAUAAGCAAGAAAAUUAAUUUUAUACUGAUUUGAAAGUAGUCUGUACUCGCCUGUAGUUGAAACAACUUUCAAAUUCUUGACACUAUACAAAGAACCAUCACUCAACAUGUGCCUAAACCUUGUCACUAAAUUUUUCUUAGUUGUUGCAUGCAUUAGAAUGUCCUAUAAAAAAGAAAAACAUGCUACAUUAAGCGUAAAACAAUUGGGAAAAAAAAGAGAAAAUAAGGGGAGAAUGAAUUUUUUAUACAACCUUUUCAUCAAUAAAAAUUAUGUUCACACUAAUCAAUUAUCCAUUCUUUUUAGUAUUAACAGACUCCCACAUCCUAAAAAACAUAAUCCUUAUCAUCUAACUAUCUUUAUCAUUGUUCAACUCAUGAAGAAAAUAGUACUUCAUGAAGCACACAAUACAAAAACUUUAAAAAGUCAAAAAUAAAAUCAUGAGGAUAUUUUUAAAGAGGAUAUUGGUUAAAUAUUUAAAAAAAACUCAAACAUAACAAAUAUUAAAUACUUAAUGUUUAAAGAGUUUUAAGAAGUCAAAAGACACAAAACAAAAUGUUGAAUAAUUAAAUAUGAGAUUAUUGCAUUAAAAUUAUACUCUAAUGCCAUUGGUGAGAGAAGAUGAAGGAACCUUCCUUCAUUUAAUAAUUAGUUUAUGUAUUUUAAGCCACUAAAGUUUAGUUGUUGGCUUAAUAAAAUAAAUGAAUGUUUCAAGACUUAUAAUUAAUUAUUAUUAAUGGUUACAUAUUGUUGAAUUUAAUAGAAAGAUGAAGAGACAUGUAAUCUUUUGCAAUCUAAUAAUUAUUUUCUAUUUUUAAUACUUUGUAAUGUAAUUAUUUUUUAAUUGCAACCAAUUUAUUAAAUAAUAGAGAAUAUAAGAAGAUGAGAAAUGGUGAUGCCACAUCACCUCCUGUAGUCCCAGCUUUAUAUAUAUACUAGGAAAUAGAACCGCGCUUCGCGCGACUUAAAAAAAAUUAAUAUAAUUUUUUUCUUACUUUGCACUUGAUGAAACUGAUAAAAAUUAUGAAUUAAUUUUUUUAAAGAUGACACAACUUUAUAAAACUAAUAUUAUUUAUGAAAGUUCAUUUUUUUGUUAACUUUAAAAAUAUAUAUUAAUGUGUACACAAUAUUUUCAUCAAUAAAAAUUAUGUUCACAAUAAUCAAUUCUCCAUUCUUCUUGAUAUUAACAGACUCCCAUAUCCUAAAAUCUAACCUUUAUCAUCCAAUUAUCUUUAUCAUUGUUCAACCCAAGAAAAUAGUACUCUAUGAAGCACACAAUACUAAAAUUUUAAAAAGUCAAAAAAUAAAAACACAAGAACAUUUCUAAAGAGGAUGUUAGUUAAAUAAUAAAAAAAACUCAAACAUAAUAAAUCUUAAAUACUUAAUGUUUAUAGAGUUUAAAGAAGCCAAAAGACACUAAACAAAAGGUUGCAUAAUUAAAUAUGAGAUUAUGACAUUACAAUUAGGCCCUAAUGACAUUGUUGAGGGAAAAUGAAGGAACUUUCCUUUCUAUAUUAAUUAAUUGAUGUAUUUAAAACACUAAAGUUUAAUUAUUGGCAUAAUAAAAUAAAUGAAUGUUUCAAGACUUAUAAUUAAUUAUUAUUAAUGGUUACAUAUUAUUGAAUUUAAAUAAACAGAGGAAAGGACAUGUAAUCUUUUGUAAUCUAAUAAUUAUUUUUUAUUUUUAAAAUUUUGUAAUGUAAUUAUUUUUUUAAUCUCAACCAAUUUAUUAGAUAAUAGAGAAUACAAGAAGAUGAAAAAUAGUAAUGUCACAUCACCUCUUCUAGUUAAUUAAUUGAUGCAUUUAAGCUACUAAAGUUUAGUUGUUGGCUUAGUAAAAUAAAUGUAUGUUUCAAAACUUAUAAUUAAUUAUCAUUAAUGGUCACAUAUUGUUGAAUUUAAAUAGAAAGAGGAAGAGACAUGUAAUCUUUUGUAAUCUAAUAAUUAUUUUCUAUUUAUUUUUUAUUUUUAAUAUUUUGUAAUGUAAUUAUUUUUUAAUCUCAACCAAUAUAUUAGAUAAUAAAGAAUAUAAAAAUAUGAGAAAUAAUGAUGCCACAAAUCUUAAUUACUUAAUAUUUAUAGAGUUUGAAGAAGGCAAAAGACACUAAACAAAAUGUUGCAUAAUUAAAUAUGAGAUUAUGAUAUUAAAAUUAGGCCCUAAUGGUAUUGUUGAGGGAAGAUGAAGGAACCUUCCUUCCUAUAUUAAUUAAUUGAUUUAUUUAAGCCACUAAAGUUUAAUUGUUGGCAUAAUAAAAUAAAUGAAUGUUUCAAGACUUAUAAUUAACUAUUAUUAAUUGUUACAUAUUAUUGAAUUUAAAUAGAAAGAGGAAGAGAUAUGUAAUCUUUUGUAAUCUAAUAAUUAUUUUUAUUUUUAAAAUUUUGCAAUAUAAUUAUUUUUUUAAUAUCAACCAAUUUAUUAGAUAAUAGAGAAUGCAAGAAGAUGAAAAAUAGUGAUAUCAUAUCAUCUCAUCUAGUCCUAACUUUAUUAUCUAUGUAAGAAAAUAAAAAAAUAGUAAUGGCACAGCACCUCCCCUAGUCUCAUCUUUAUAUAUAUAUAUAUAUAGAUAUAUAAAAACCACGGUGGUGAAACUUUAUUUAAUAUUAUUGAUUUAAAUAACAAUAUCUCAAUUAAAAAUGAACAGAGAAGAAAUUUCGGUGGGUAUAUUAGUCUUUUACAAUUAUCAUGAUUAGCCCUUCCUCUUGUAACGUUGGUCAGAAAAGUUUUCUUUUACUUUUAACGUUAGCGGCCUUCCUUAUAUUUUAUUACAAAUUAAUCCUAACAAGAAAAAGCGAGAUCAUAUUCCACAAAAGCAUAAGUGACAAAACAACCAGUUGGAUUCUUUUAUUAAACUACAAUUUAAAAUGGUUUUAAAGUGGAUUCUUUUGAAUACAGGUGGGGUAGACGAUUAGGCUUUUUCAAAUUCUUGUUUUAUUAUUUUUCAAAAACUAGUUUUUGGUAAUUACAAUCGGGUCAUUAAUCAUUAUUCAGUGUUAGUUUUAUCUUCGGGGGCAGUGGGUAAAAGGCUAAAUGAUAAUUACUACCUGUUUUUCCUUCAAAAGUUAGUGGCUCGUGUUUUGCAAGUGUGAACGUGCGAUGCUCUUUGUCUAAGGGCAAUUACAGUGGGUCCCGAAUCGGACGUGCCUAAAUCUUUUAAAAAAUUUUCCGGUAUAACGGACAUAGGCCAUUACUAAAAUUUCUCUUCCACAGGCAAUUACAGCAGCUCGAGUUUAUCAAACUCAACCAAUUUUCUUUCUUAACAAAAUCCAAAGAUGUGUAGCAUUUUUCAGAUCACAUGCGAUGGUGCUUUUUUCAAUCGUUGCUUGGAUUGCUUUCUUGGAAAAGCAGCGUACAUAAGCAACCUCCAAGAUAAUCUUGUAGCCUUGGAGACUAAAAUGGGAAAUCUGAUCGCAGCAAAGAACGAAGUGAUUAUGAGGGUUGUCGCUACUGAACGGCAACAAUUGAGAAGGCUGGACCGAGUGCAAGUGUGGGUUUCCAGGGUGGAAGCUGUUAAAAUUGAAGCUGAUGAACUUAUCAGAGACGGCUCUCAAGAAAUUGACAAAUUAUGUGUUGGAGGCUACUGUUCUACGAACUGCACGUCAAGCUACAAGUUCGGGAAACAAGUGGCUAAAAAGCUACGAGAUGUGGAGACUUUAAUCGCCGAAGGAGUUUUUGAGGUGGUGGCUGACAGAGCUCCAGAGUCUGUAGCAGAUGAAAGACCUACUGAGCGAACACUAGUAGGCUUGCAAUCACAACUUGAACAAGUCUGGAGAUGUCUUAUAGAAGAAUCAGCGGGAAUCAUUGGCCUAUAUGGUAUGGGCGGUGUUGGUAAAACUACACUAUUGAUCCAUAUCAACAAUAAAUUUCUCGAGAGUCGAACCAACUUUGAUUUUGUGAUUUGGGUAGUAGUUUCAAAAGACCCGCGACUCGAAAAAAUUCAAGAAGAUAUUGGGAAAAGGAUAGGUUUGGUUGAUGAUUCAUGGAAGAGUAAAAGUGUAGAGGAGAAAGCUCUCGACAUCUUCCGGAGUUUAAGAGAGAAGAGAAUUGUAUUGUUGUUAGAUGAUAUAUGGGAGCGGCUUGAUUUAACAAAAGUGGGCGUUCCACUUCCCGGACCAAAAAAUACUACCUCAAAAGUCGUAUUCACAACCCGUUUCUUCGAUGUUUGUGGUAGCAUGGAAGCUCACAGGACGUUCGAAGUGGCAUGCUUAUCAGAAAAGGAUGCUUGGGAACUGUUUCAAGAAAAAGUAGGAGAAGAAACUCUUAAGAGUGAUCAUGAUAUCGCUGAGCUAGCCCAAACCGUGGCCAAGAAGUGUGGUGGUUUGCCGCUCGCACUUGUUACUAUUGGUCGAGCUAUGGCCAGCAAAAAGACAGCCGAGGAGUGGAGACAUGCAAUUGAAGAGUUAGGAAGAUCAGCUUCAGAGUUUCCAGGUUUGGGAAAAGAGGUGUAUCCUGUUUUAAAAUUCAGUUAUGAUAGUUUGCCGAAUGAGACGAUUAGAUCUUGUUUCUUAUAUUGUUGUUUAUAUCCUGAAGAUUAUGGCAUUCUUAAAUGGGACUUGAUUGAUUGUUGGAUUGGUGAGGGAUUCUUAGAGGAAUCUAACAGGUUUGGUGCAGAAAACCGAGGAUACUACAUUGUGGGCACUCUUGUUCAUACGUGUUUACUAGAAGAGAUAGAAGAUGAUAAAGUAAAAAUGCAUGACGUUGUUCGUGAUAUGGCUCUAUGGAUAGCUUGUGAAACUGAGAAGGAGAAGAUAAACUUUUUGGUUUGUGCAGGUGCUGGAUUAAAGGAGGCACCGGAUGUUAAAGGAUGGGAAAAUGUGAGAAGAUUGUCAUUGAUGCAAAACCAAAUUAAAGUUCUGUCAGAGGUUCCUACAUGCCCUCAUCUCCUCACUUUAUUUCUUGACUUUAAUAGAGAGUUAAUGAUGAUCGCGGGUGGCUACUUCCAAUUUAUGCCUUCUCUCAAAGUUUUGAAGAUAUCAAACAUUGGGUAUUUCAACGUUUUGAAAUUACCUUUGGGGAUGUCAAAGUUGGGUUCACUAGAACUUCUCGAUAUUUCACAUAGCAGCAUAGAGGAGUUACCAGAAGAGUUAAAGUUGUUGGUAAAUCUGAAAUGUCUGAAUUUGAGGUGGACAGAUGUGUUAAAUAAAAUUCCACGGCAACUAAUAUCAAAUCUUUCAAGGGUACGUGUGUUGAGAAUGUUCGCUACUGGCUAUGAUCGUUUUCAUGAAGCAUCAGAAGACAGCGUUUUAUUUGGUGGGGGUGAAGUUUUGAUACAGGAAUUGCUCGGUUUGAAAUAUUUAGAGGUAUUGGAGUUGACCUUGGGAAGUUAUCAUGCUCUCCAAAUUCUUUUGAGCUCAAAUAAGUUAAAAAGUUGUAUUCGAUCUCUUCUCCUCUUCGGGUUCAGAGGUACAAAGUAUUUUAUUGAUGCUACGGCUUUCGCAGAUCUAAAGCACCUCAAUGAAUUACAGAUUCAUGAUUGUAGGGGGUUGGAAGAGUUGAAGAUUGAUUACACAGAGAUAGCACAAAAAAGGCGGGAACCUUUUGUUUUCCGCAGCCUUCGUCGUGUUACUAUGGUUUCGUGCCAUAAAUUGAAAGAUUUGACAUUCCUCGUUUUUGCUCCAAACCUCAAGUCUAUUUCGCUAGGCGAUUGCGAUGCUUUGGAAGAAAUAAUCAGCGUUGGAAAAUUUGCUGAGGUUCCUGAGAUGAUGGGACAUCUAAGCCCUUUCGAAAAUCUCCAAAAUCUUGACCUAUCGUAUUUGCUGGCUUUGAAGAGCAUCUACUGGAAGCCAUUGCCUUUCACUUAUCUGAAAGAAAUGGUGGUAAAUGGGUGUGAUCAACUUAAAAAGCUUCCACUCGAUUCCAGCUGUGCAGAAGAGCGUAAAUUUGUUAUUCGCGGAGAAGCACACUGGUGGAACUGCCUUGAAUGGGAGGAUGAAGCCACUCAAAUUGCUUUUCGUUCCUGUUUCCAGCCUUAUUCCUGAGUGGUGGUUGCAAAAUUUGAUUUCUGGUGUGGUCUUUUAUUCUCUGUUUUUAUUUAAGUUUCUUUUCCUUUCCUUUUCCUUUUUUUUUUUAAUUUCUCCUGCAAAUCACAAUUAAACAUUGAAUUAUAUGGAAUUAAUGCUUUAUAAAUUUGCCGGCACUGCCUUUUUUUUUUUUUGUCGGAGUGAUACUCUAGCUUUUGACUUUUGGUUGUCAAAUUCUGCUCUGCCUUUUUAAAUUGAUGCUUUAUUUAUAUUUUCUUAGUGAUUUAGUUUCCUGUCAAAAGACGAACGAGAAGAACAUUUGAAUUAAAUAAAUGCUCGCAAAUUUGCGGUAAAAAGAUGUAAUUAGCCGAGAAAAUAUUAAAUAUAGUAGCCCUCUUUACAGAAAAUCAAGUGGAAGUUAAUUCAGCAAGUUAUAUUCUUGAUUAAUUCCUUUUCUGAAGUUUUUAUUUUCUAUGGUCAAUUAUACCUUCAUACUAAAAAUUGCUGCUAUUGGGUGUUGAGUGUUAUGCUAAAAUUUUGCCCUAUUUUGGGCCAAUAUUUUAGAAGUGAAACAUACUUCAGAGUUGAAGUAAACUUUGAAAAUAGAGAUAAUGAUUAAUUUAGAAGAGAUGCAAGUAAAAGAUAUUCUAAAAAAAAAAAAGCAAUAUGUCCCUUUGGAGGGCAAACUUGUCAGUUUGAAAAAGUUACAUGCUUUGGAUUGAUAGUUGCAGGAUAUUUGUUUUGUCACUGUGUAUUAGGUGCGUUUGGAAUUGAAGUGUUGUAGUUUUUAAGUUAUAAUUGUUGUAAAAAAAAAUUGUAACUAUAAAACAAAAGUUAAUAAUAUAUAAUAAAUUUAAAUUUAAAUAAUAAUUUUAAUAAAAUUAUUAAAGAUAUAAUAGAUUAUUUAUUAUACAAGUGAAAAUUAUAUCAACAUAUCUUUCAAGUUACAAUAGUUAUUGAUUACUAAACACUUUACUGUUGUAACUUUUAAGUUAUAGCUAUUUAACCUCAAUUCCAAACGCAUCGGAGAAGUCACGCCUAGUGAAGAAUGUUAUGAAAGAGCAAAGGAUAUUCCUAAUCGAGCUCUAUUUGAUUAUGUAUCCAGUGAAUGGAUGUGUUGUUGGAAGAUAUUUGAGUGCAUUAGUUCAUUUGUGUCGGUCAAUGUGCUUUUAAUGAUUUUUCCACUUGUUUGUUGUAAAAGAUUAUUGUAAAUUGAAAUGAAUUGGAUGUUGUAAUAUUUUCUCUUUAGUGGAAUUUCACCUUGUAUGUAUUCAGUUGUGUUGUCUAAAAUUUUACAUUCGAAUAAGUUUUCACCUAAAAUAUUAGCAUGAGUUGUGGCCCUUGAAACUUUGGUCAAAAUUAUUGUUAUUAUUUCUUACUAGAUGUAAACUUUUUAUUAAACCUCGUUAACAUAAUUCUUAAUUAAAAGUAUAGGUUAGUGUCGGUGCAGAAUUUGCAACACCAAAUCCUGCCUAGGCAAGUGUCAAAAGUGCAAAAUAAAUGAAGAGAAAGCACGAAUACAUGAUUUAGAUUAGGAUAGAAGGAAACUUAAAUCCUAGAGAAAAGGAUAGCUAUAUCCCAAGAUUUAAAAAAAUAGUCAUGUAGAUUUUUAAGAUUUCAAUAAGCGACUAAGAUUUUCUUUUGACAAAUAAUUUCCUUUAGCUCUAUUAACAAAAAAAAUAAAGACUCAAAUAUUUUAUAAUAAAUAAAAUAUAAUAUUAAAAUAUAUGUGAUAAUAUAGAAAUUUUAAAUAAUUUCAAUCCAAAUAAAUAGUUAUGUUUUACAAGCUAUUAAACAUAUUUUAUUAAAUUAAUAUAAAUGUUUUAUAAAAUAGGAACAUAAUAUUAAAAUAAAUUUACAAAAUUUUUAAGAAUUUUGAAUGUAAAAUAAUUUUAAUAUAUUAAUACGUGAGAUUUUUUUAUUAUUAUAAAAAUUAUUUAACUUUAAGAUUUUUUAAAAUCCUUACAAUAAGUAUAAAUAUAUUAUUUACAUUUAAAAAUAUUUAAAUAUUAUUAACCUACAAUUAUAUUUGCAUUUAUUAGAAAAUUUUAAAGUCAAAUAUUUUGCACUUCUACAUUAUUAGAAUUAUUGAACACAAAGAAAGAAACAUAUAUGCUUUAUAGCUUUAGAAAUUGUUUUCUUUUACAUCUGGAAACAAAGAUGAUGAUUAUUAUAAGGAUAAAAAAUGGAUAAAGAAUAUUAAUGAUUAACGAAAUCUCUGUGCAAAUUGAUUUUAGUAGAAAAAGAGUGAGAUGAAUGAUUUCUUUUACAACUAGAAACAAAGAUGAUGAUUAUUAUAAGGAUGAAAAAAAGAUAAAGAAUAUUAAUUAUUAAUGGAAUCUCUAUGCAAAUUGAUUUUAGUAGAAAAAACGAGCUAAAUGAUUUAGACAUUCAUUCUGUGUUUAUUUUUGUGAUUAGCAUUAAAAAUUGUUUAAUUAUCAAACGAUAAUAAUGUUAUUUUGUACUUAUGUUAUAAUUUAUAUUUGUGUUUAUGUAAUAUAUUAGAAAUUAUUAAUUAUGUUUUAAAUAUAUCUAAUUUUGAGUAUAUUUGUGUGUUUAUUAGGAAAAAUAUUAAUUUUAGAUAAAUUGAGGCUCCAAACAAUUAAACGGAGGUCAAAUUUGGAUUCCGGAGGUUUGAAAACCUUAAGAUCAGUCAAGAUCGGCUUAAAAUUAGGUUUGUGUAAAAAGAGUUGACUUUUUCUGCUGACCGAGCACUGAUUGGAUGAUGAAAUGAGCUUACAAUAGAUAUGAGUGCAUGGGAUAACUGGCAAUUUUGACUAAAUCUCAACCGUUCAUGAUUCAAUGGCCAUGAUUGUGCCAUGUGGUAGUGGUUGAUGAAGCAAGUUGUAGGAUCUGAAUCUUUGUAUACGGGUCGACCUGAUCCGCCCAUUAACUCGCCAAAUCACAACCGUUCUUUGGCCAAAUCGGACGAGUCAAACGAUGCCACAUGUGAAGUUGACUUUUGAAGUUUGACCAGCCAUUGGAUCUUGAUCUAAAGGUUGUGAGAGCAUGAAGCUUAUGGAGCUUAUGAUGGACCGCAAAACACUGGAUUAUAAAUUUAUUUUUCUAUAAAUAGAGCCUCAUUUUUAUGUUUUUAAUUAUCUCUACAUCUCUCUUCUUCUCAAAUUCUCUCCAUCUCCCUGUAAUAUUUUGUAUAAUUAUUUUAUUAAAUAAAUUUAGUUUUAUUUUCAAUUUUAGUUGUUUUUAUUACUUUUAAUUAUAAGUAAUUAAAUUUUAAUAUUUCUUUUUAUUUCAAUUAUGCUUAACUAAAUAAUAUUAGUUGGGGUAAGGUGAAACUCUUAGGAAAUAAAUAUGAUUUAAUCAAAUUUUAUUUUUAAUUUUAUAAAUUAAAUUAUUUUCUAUUUAAUUUUAUACAUAUUUUAUAUUUUAAAAUUUUGAUUUAUUGUAGACAAACAAAUAAAUUUGGCACAAUAAAUUCUUAAGAUCUUAAUAUAAGGUAUGGUAAAAUGGUAUUUUGACUUAUUGUAGACAAAUUAAAUUUUGACACAAUAAAUACUUAAUCCAUCAUAAAAUUAGAGGGAAAAUAAUAAUAAUUUAUAUAAUUAAUCUUUUGGGCAAUAAAUUUAAAAAAAUAGCAAAAAGAAUUUAUUGAGUUUUAUUUACUACUAAGAGUGGAUCCACAAUCCUAACUAGAUCAAUUUCAUAAUUUCAUUUAAAUUAAGUUGUUUUUAUUCAAGUUUUUAUUUCAAUUUUUAGAUAAAAUAAAUUAAAUUAAUUAAAUCUUUUCUCUGUAGAUCGACCUCAGACUCACCGAGGACUGACCAAGGUAUAAUACAACAAGACACUCUUAUAAUUAAGAGUUUAAAAUUACUUUUAAGUUGUGUCAUUUUGGAUUGGUGAAUUAGAAUUAUUGACAACGCUAACUUCAUCUUCACAAUUUGCAAUCCAAUAGCAGCAAUUGUCACCGAUAAUGAUAUCUCCAAUGAUAAUGACGAUUUUAUUAUUAUUAUUGAUAAAAAGUAUUAUAAUUAAUUAAUAUAUUAAUGUUAAUAUUAUUAUUAUUAAGAUUAACAAUAAUUAUUAAUAAUAACAAUUUUUUGAAUAAAAAUAAUUACAAUAAUUUAAAUAUAAAUUAAUAAUUAUGACAAUAAUUAAUUAAUGUCUUUUUAAUAAUUUACUGAUUAUCACAGUUCAAGUAAACAAAUUAUUAUGAUUCCUAUUCUCCAUUUCCAUUUCAGCUCACUCCGAUUCCAAUCCAUUUCGACUUCUGCCUAAAAAACUCACCAUUAGUGCUAUAGUAAUAUUUCAUAUAGAGAAAAGUAAAAUCUACACCUAAGAUUAAGGUAAAGGACUUCAAAACUCUCUUUUGAUUAUAAUACCUUUUGUCCUAAUUAACUUAAAGAUUUUGAAUCUAAUAUUUUAUAAUAAAUAAAAAUAUAUUCCUAAAAUAAAUAUAAUAUCAAUAUUUAAAGUAUGUUUUAAUAUUUUACAAUCUAUCAGACACAUUUUAUUAUAUUAAAGUAAAUUUUAUAAUAAAUACAAACAUACUAUUAAAAUGAAUAUACAAAAAAGUUUAGAGUAUUUUGAAUAUUAUAUAAAAUAAUUUUAAUAUAAUGCGUGAGAUAUAUUUUAUUAAUUUAAAAUGCUAUUUUACCUAAAAAUUUAUUUAUGAUAAAUUAAUAAUUAUAUUUUUAAAAUUAUUUUAAAUAUUAUAAAAAAUUUAAUAUUAUUAGUGUUUUAGAUAGAUUAAAUUAUUUUAAAAUGCCUUAAUUGUUUUUACUUUUAACGUUACCGGCCUUUCUUAUAUUUUAUUGCAGCUAACAAGAAAAAGCCAGAUCAUAUUCCACAAAAGCAAAAGUGACAAAACAACCAGCUGGAUUCUUUUAUUAAACUACAAAUUAAAGGAUCCCAUUAUCUUACAACUAAUGUAAGAUACAUCCCUCACAUAAAUAGUAUAUAAACUCCACAUAUAUACUGUUCAUGUGAGGAAAUGUACCUUACAUUAAGAUAGUGUUUGCCCAAAUUAAAAUAGAUUUUUUCGAUGAACUACAAAUUAAAGUGGAUUCUUUUGAAUAUAGCUGGGGUUAGGGUAGGCUCUUUUAUUUAAGGCAAGUCUAGAGUAGUCAAAGACGAUUAGGCUCUUUUAUUAAACUACAAAUUGUAUAGUCUUUUUCAAAUUGUUCAGAUGCUUAUAAAUUAGUGGCCCCUUGUAAAUUUAACUGGAAGUGCCAAUCAGAGAAAAGUUCAAUUCUAAAUAAUUGUUCCGAUAUUUAUAAAUUGGUGGCCCCUACAAUCCUCAAUAAUUGUUCCGAUAUGUAUAAAUUGAUGGCCCCUACAAUCCUCAAUAAUUGUUCCUAUAUUUGUAAAUUGGUGGCCCCUUAGAAAUUUAACCGCAAGUCUGCAAGUGACAAUCGGAGAAAAGUCAUAAUUUACAAUCUUCCAAGGGAAGUAGGGAACCAGGGGAUAUACAAAGAUUAAGACAUGUCAUUCAUUUUUUUGGCUGCAUUCCCUUUCGUGUUCUUAAUAAUUGAAGACAGGUUGUUCAUUACAUGCUUACUUUUCAAAUGUGGAGCCGCAGCUAAUGUCGCUACUUUAAUUUGGGAUUAAAUUAGGGAAACAUUAUAUUGUAGUAUGCACUAACUUGAUGUUUAUCUAAACUCCUUAAAUUUAAGACAGAUUAUGGCAUAAAUAAGAAUAUAACGAUAACAAAAGAGUAUAUAAAAUAUUUAGAGUAUUUUGAAUAUUAUAUAAAAUAAUUUUAACAUAAUGCAUGAGAUAUAUUUUAUUAAUUUUAAAUGCUAUUUAACCUAAAGAUGUAUUUAUGAUAAAUUAAUGAUUAUAUUUUUGAAAUUAUUUCAAAUAUUAAAAAAUUAAUAUUAUAGACUAAAUUAUUUAUAUUAUUUUUUAUUUAUUAAAAAAUUUUUAAGUCAAUCUUUUUAAUUACUAUUCAAAGAAUAUAAUGAUUAAAAAAAUCUUUAUGCCUUCAUUAAAAAUUUAAAAAUUUACAUAACGAUUUCUAUAAAUAUUUAGGGUAUAUAUGAAGCACGGUGGAGAAGCUUUAUUUAAUAUUAUUGAUUUAAAUAAUAUCUCAAUUAAAAAUGUACAGAGAAGAAAUUUCGGUGGGUAUUUUAGUCUUUUCAGCAAUUAUCAUGACCAGAUCUGCCUUUGGCCUUGAAACGUCGGUCAGAAAAGUUUUAAAGUGCUUUAAUUGUUUUUAAGGCCGCUAAUAACUCUGCUCGUGCAAGUUGAGGAUAAAUGUUAAAUUAAUUACAAAAGCAAAAGGCUAAUUUAUUGAAGACAAGUAAAGCAGUCACGAAUGGUACAUGCCUAAUCUUUUCUAUAUUUACAGAAACACAAUUUUUUUUCAAUCCGCCGCAGCUUCUGUUAAAAUUAUCUUGGUUUCUCGUAGUUGAUUUCUAUUAUCCCAAAAAAAAAAAAAAGGUAACUGUUGAUGCCGAAAAAUGAUUUCAACAGCUGAAUUUAUUUUUUUUGGAGAAUUACAGUGUGAAUCCAAGCUCAAACGCAAGUCUGAUCGCAACUUUCUAUAUCUGCUAAUCAGAAAACACAGUUAGGAUACGCCGGUGGGGUUUCGGCUAGACCUUCCGAUACUUAAGUCAGAAAUUAUGUAUAAAAGGAGAAAAAUGAGAAUGAAGAAUUAUGAAUGAGUUAAAGUCAAGUAAUUUUCCGGUAGAGGGGUUGAAAAUCUUGUAGAAGCUUUGGUUGAUUUUGCUAACCCCUUCACCUGAUGCGCUCUUCAGUUUAAAUAGACUCUUGGUCGUGUACGGUUACCUCCUUAACUUCAGAAGUUGCAAGUGGUUGUCAGUUGGAGGUGGUUUAAAUAGAUCGUGGCACACAACUUCCUUAUAAAUUAGGCCACGUUCUCUUAACUAGCAAUUUUCCAUGUCAAGCUAAUUCUCAGGUCGGACAAGAGAAUUUCAAGGUCGGAUUACUUCACUUUCAGAUUAGACAGAUGAAUUUCUCAGUCGCUCAUAUAACGUUAAGGUUGUAUUCUUAAACUAAGUCAUUCACAUAGAUCUUAGGUCGUACUUAUAAACCAGGUCGCCAACAUAGGCUCCAGGUUGUACUUAUGAGGUUAGCUCAACAACAAUAAGUUUUGAGUAGAUUAGGAUCGACUAUAUUUUGAGACACUACCAGAAAAAUCCAACCCAAACACCAGUCCCCUAAUUUUCAAUACUGGAAAGUCAUUGCCAGUGUUGGAAACUAAUGGAAAACAUUUCUCAAAACCCAAUACCAGUCCCCUAGUUUUCAAUACUGAGAAGAUAUGAACGGUAUUGGAAACUAAAAUAAUUAAGAAAGAGCAAUAUAGCCACAAGCAAAAGAAAGACGGUGUAGAGCGGAACAAUGAGCAAAGAGAAGAGUAAAAAGAAAACUUCAGGUGUGGACCAAGAAAAUAACCAUGACCAAAUGCCUCGAGGUGAUAGAGUCGGGGUUGAGGGUGAGGUCUUCCUAACUAGUAGGGUUGUUGAAGACCAAGAGAGAACUUCCUAAAUUUAAUUAUUACAAUGCUUGCCCUUUUUUGCAAUAUGAACUUGUGUAGACCGUAUGCUACUGAACUUUAUUUUGCCUUUGUAAUCGGAUAAUUAUUAUGCUGACCUUGCCUUUUUUACUCUUUAUUUACUAGGGUUGGUUAUGAAUUGCAUUCCGUAGACUGAGCCCAUUUAAGACUCUGUUGAGGUCAAACAAAUAGAUAUGGUCAACUUUGGUAGCAAUAACACCAAGCAAUGACCUUGAAUUCACCAAGAUUCUAUCAUUUCGAUAUCAAUCUUGAUAAGGAAAAUGUUGACCUCACGAAAAUAUCAACUUCAACAAGAUAAAUUGUUGACCUCAACAAGAUAAAUUGUUGACCUCAACAAGAUAAAUUGUUGACCUCAACAAGGUUAAGUGUAGAGCUAAAAUGCCAACCUCACGACAAGGAAAAUGUUGACCUCACGAUAAGGAAAAUGUUGACCUCACGAAAAUGUCAACCUUAACAAAAUAGAUUGUCGACCUCAACAAGGUUAAGUGUAGAGCUAAAAUGCUGAACUCACGAUCUCACGACAAGGAAAAUGUCAACCUCACGAAAAUGUCAACCUCAACAAGAUAGAGUGUUGAACGCAAUAAGGUUAAAAUGUAAAGCUAAAAUGCCGACCUAAAAAAAAAUUGAAAAUUGGAGAACUUAAAUGUUAAGCUUAUGAUCAACCUCAACAAGGCAAUGACUGACCUCAAUAAAAUUGAAAAUUGGGCAACGACCUCAACAAGGCAAUGGCCGACCUCAACAAGGCAAUGGCCGACCUUAAAAAAAAUUAAAAAUUGUAGAACUUAAAUGUUAAGCUUAUGGCCGACCUCAACAAAAUUGAACAUUGUAGAACGUAAAUGUUAAGGCUAUGGCCAAACUCCACGAGGCAAUGACCAACCGCAAUAAAUAGAAAAUUGUAGAUUUUAACUUAUGGCCGACCUCAAUAAGGUAAUGGUCGACCUCAACAAAAUUAAACAUUGUAGAACGUAAAUGUUAAGGCUAUGGGCAAACUCCAUGAGGCAAUGACAAACCUCAAUAAAUAGAAAAUUGUAGAAUUUAGCUUAUGGCUGACCUCAAUCAGGCAAUAGCCGACCUCAACAAAAUUGAACAUUGUAGAACGUAAAUGUUAAGGCUAUGGCCAAACUCCACGAGGCAAUGAGCAACUUCAAUAAAUAGAAAAUUGUAGAACUUAGUUUAUGGCUUACCUCAAUAAGAAAAUGGUCGACCUAAAUAAAGUAAAGGCGAAUUUCGAUAAAAUUGAAAAAUGUAGAUCUCAACAAGAUAAAAGUUAAGGCUAUCUAACCACAAGGUAAUAGCUGUCUUCAAUCUCAAAAAGGCCGAAUUACAAUUAGACCUCAACAAGGUCAAAAUGACAAUCUCGAUCUCAAUAAGAUUUGAUAAAUUUUUCAGGUAGGACCUCAACAAGGCAGCAAUGUCGAUCUCAAUCUCAAUAAGAUUGGAUGAAUUUUUCAGGUAGAAUCUCCACAAAGCCGAAAUGCCGAUCUCAAUCUCAAUAAGAUUGGAUAAAAUUUUCAGGUAGGACUUAAAUAAGGCCGCAAUGUCGAUCUCAAUCUCAAUAAGAUUGAAUGAAUUUUUUUCAUGUCAGACCUCAGUAAAGUCGUCAUGUCGAUCUCAAUCUCAAUAAGAUUAGAUAAAUCUUUUCACGUUGGACCUCAAUACGGUCCAAAAAUGCCGAUCUCAAUCUCAAUAAGAUUGGAUAAAAUUUUCAGGUAGGACCUCAACAAAGCUGCAAUGUCGAUCUCAAUCUCAAUAAGAUUGGAUGAAUUUUUUCACGUUGGACCUCAGCAAGGCCGCCAUGUCGAUCUCAAUCUCAAUAAUAUUGGAUAAAUCUUUUCAUGUUGGACCUCAAUACGGUCCAAAAAUGCCGAUCUCAAUCUCAAUAAGAUUGGGUAACUUUUUCAUGUUGGACCUCAAUAAGGUCACAAAGUUGAUAUCAAUCUCAAUAAGAUUGAAUAAAUAUUUUCACGUUGGACCUCAAUACGGUCCAAAAAUGCUGAUCUCGAUCUCAAUCUCAAUAAGAUUGGGUAAUUUUUUCACGUUGGACCUCAACAAGGUUGCAAUAUCGAUAUCAAUCUCAAUAAGAUUGGAUAAAUUUUUUCACGUUGGACCUCAAUAAGGUCCAAAAAUGCCAAUCUCAAUCUCAAUCAGUCUGGAUAAAUUUAUUUCAUAUUGGACCUCAAUCAAGUCCAAGUGUCGAUCUCGAUCUCAAAUAAGACCGGUCACAAGUAGAUAAGAAAUAAAGUUGCACUUUUAAAUAACCUCAUUGAUACUAAUAUAACAGAAGUUAUAGAAUUGAACGCAUAACAAAUUGAAAUAACAAAGAAACAAACUUUCUUAGCAUAUUUAAAGAAAAUAAACAAACAAUAUUUAAAGAAAAUAAACAAACAAGGACAUCAUAAAUAAGAUAUAUCUUAACUGAUAGUAUUUUCGCAGGUGCUCUGCAUUCCAUGCCUUGCCAACGACCCUGCCAUCCUGAUAACUUAAUUUAUAUGCCCCAUUAUCAAAUUAGGGUAGCACUUUAUAUGGUCCUUCCCAGCUCGGCCCUAGAACUCCAUCAAUAAAUCUGAAGCUCAUUGGAGAUGUCAUCCAUCAUUUUUGUUCCCACUCUUACCACCCUGCUCGGAUCAACCUCACUUAUCGGCAUGUUUCAUUUCUUCAUUAGGUCACUGUUGGCACAAUCUAUUCUCAGCUCGUGGGUCGAUACUCGUGAUCUGCAUGGAUUCUCUUGCAGCUGUAGCGUAACAACUUCGAGCUAUUUGUUGCUGGCCCCUCAUCACUCCAACCCCAUAUUGAACUCUAAACUUCACACGUUGCAUGUGGGUUGAGCUCACGGCUCUUACUAUCCUAUUGAAAGGUCUACCCAAAAUAAAUUGAUAAGGGUUGGGCUCAUCAACUACCACCCAUGUCACCAUCACUGUCUUUUGUAGUGGGUUGGACUUUAUUAUCAGUGGCAAGUCAAUCAUCCCAAGGGGAAUCAACUCAGCUCCGCCAAACCCUUUUAGUGAUGUUCUGACGGGAUCAAGCCUAAGGUCCCCUAUUUGUAGAUCUUCCAGGGUUUGCUUAAACAAAAUGUCGACUGAGCUUCCUCCAUAUAUAAGAGCUCGGUUCAAAUCCUGCCCUACCAAGGUAACCUUCACUAUGAGCGCAUCCUCAUGUGGAUGUGCGACCGCUUCCUCGUCCUCGUCUGUGAACAUGAUCGGCACCCUUUGAACCCGUUGCUUCUUUGGUAUUGAAACAUUAAAAUUCAACUUAUAACUUUCUAAUGACUAUCUACUAUAAUUUCUCCUUGAACGAUUUGAGUCUCCUACUAGGGUCGGCCCUCCCAUAAUCAUCAUCGCUACAUUAUCUCUGAUGUCUCCUCUUCUCCCACCUAUUCCUUGGUCAUUCACAUACUCCUUUAGAUAUUGAUUUUGCACUAGCCACAAAAUCUGUUCUUUCAAGUCUAUGUAAUCUGCAGUUCCAUGUCCGAACACAAUGUGAAACUCGCAAUACUUGUGGUGAGCACUUCUGCCCAGACUUCUUACAAUUGGCUUUGGCGGUUUAAGUAGCCCCUUCUUUUCUACUACAACAUAUAUUUCCGCUCUGCUUUUGUUCGAUGGUGUGUAUCUUCCACUCUACUCUAAUAAGUUCACCCCAUGGUCAGAUCUCGAUACUCUCUGUUCUAUAGGCAGUGGCAACCUAUUGUAGUCUCUUGCUCGGUUCUCCCUUUAGUUCAUCUCAUAAUUAUUUCCUCUAUCUCGGCCCCAUCCCAUUAAUGAGAUUUAUCUCAUUUCACGAUUUCUUUCCCAAUCUCGACCCGACCUUUCUGGUCAUCUGUAAUUGAACAACUCUCCGCCGUAAUGACGUCUAUCAUCCGAGUUCCUCCUCGAGCUAUACUCGAGGUUAUCACUUGACCCUCUCUCUGCUCUUCCAUUCUCCUAUUUUCUUCCUCUGCAUCUUCAGUUUUCAUAUCUAAUUUUGUCUAGUCGUACGCCUCAGCGUAUGUUGUUAUCCCCUUGUUAUAUAAGCUAUUCCAUAAUCGAUUGAUUCUCAACUCCUUCUUUAAUCCCUCUAGAACAUCUGGAAGAUCAAAGGCCCCUAGAUCGGUAACCUCUCUAUGAUACCUGGUCACAAAACUCGUCAAACUUUCAAAUUCUCCUUGGACCAAUUUUGUCAAGCUGCUCAUAUCCUGCUCUGAUAUGCAUGAACCUCUAAAAUGCAUAGCGGAAAGCACACAUAACUCCUUGAAAUUUCCUAUGCUUCUAUUCUUUAAUCUCCGGUACCAUUCCCAUGCUUGUCCAUCUAGAGUUAAGGGAAAAAUACGGCACCUUUGAAAAUCAUUCAAACCUUGAAUUACAGUCAUCUCAUUAAACUUCUCCACAUGAUGAUUUGGGUCAGUUUUUCCUUCAUACACCAAGACUUGAACCACAUACUUGGGUGGCAAAGUUACUGCCAUCACUUCAGGUACCAAGGGGGACUCGUCAUCGAGUAACAGCCUUCCUACCACUUUCUUGCCCUCUGUUUUCGCCUCUAAUACCUCUAAGGUUUUUUGAAAUUGCAGCAUUCGUUGCUCAAGCUCAUUUGCCCGUUGGGGUCUCUCAGCUCUUCCCUCUCUCUUUCUUGAUUCAAGUCAUUGAUUCUCCCCCUCAACUCAUUCACUUGUUCUCCUGCACUUCUAUUCUUUUGUCGUACCCCAACUUGUGGUAGUCCCAUUCCGCUCUGCUGUUCACCAUCAAGCUCUUCCCUCUCUCGCGCUCCACUACAUUUUGGAUCACUAGCUCGAACGUGAGCCUCUCUGACUUGGGCAUCAACCAGCCCCCGAUCAUCUUCUCAAAUCUCGCCAUUUGCCUCUCAAUCCCUUCUCUCCAUCUCUUAUCUGCCGUGGCAUUCAUUUCCUCAGCCAAUUGGCGCAAGGUCUACGUAUCUUCAUCCUUAUCAUCUAUCACUAUUUUGUAAUCCGAUAGCUUCUCCUUCUAAAUCUUCAAACGUAUGGCUUUUCGCACUGAUCCCCACAGAUAGCGUCAAGAUGUUGAUGCUGAAAAACGACAUGAACAGCUGAAUUUGUUUCUUUUGGGGAAUUACAAUGUGAAUUUAAGCUCAAACGCAAGUCUGAACGCAACUUUCUAUAUCUACCAACCAGAAAACACAGUUAGGAUAUGCCGGUGGGGUUCCGGCGCAGACCCUCCGAUGCUUAAGUCAAAUUAUGUAUAAAAGGAGAAAAAUAAGAAUGAAGAAUUAUGAAUGAGUUAAAGUCAAGUAAUUUUCCAGUAGAGGGGCUAAAAAUCUUGUAGAAGCUUCAGUGAAUUUUGCUAACCCCUUCACCUGAUGCGCUCUUCAAUUUAAAUAGACUCUUGGUCAUGUACGGUUACCUCCUUAACUUCAGCCCGCUUUCUUCAGUAGUUGCAAGUGGUUGUCAGUUGGAGGUGGUUUAAAUAGAUCGUGGCACACAACUUCCUUAUAAAUUAGGCCACGUUCUCUUAACUAGCAAUUUUUCAUGUCAAGCUAAUUCAUUGGUCGGACAAGAGAAUUUCAAGGUCGGAUUACUUCACUUUCAUAUCAGACAGAUGAAUUUGUUAGUCGCUCAUAUAGCGUUGGGGUUGUAUUAUUAAACUAAGUCAUUCACAUAGAUCUUAGGUCGUACUUGUAAACCAAGUCGCCAACAUAGGCUUCAGGUUGUACUUAUGAGGUCAACUCAACAACAAUAAGUUUUGAGUAAAUUAGUAUCGACUAUAUUUUGAGACACUACAAAAAAAAUCCAACCCAAACAGUAACAUUUUGCAAAUCUCAAUCGACGGUGCUAUUUUCAAUCGUUGCCUGGAUUGCUUUCUUGGAAAAGCAGCAUCUAUAAGAAACCUGCAAAAAAAUGUUGUAGCCUUGGAGACUGAAUUGGGAAAACUAAUCGAAGCAAAGAACGAUGUGGUGGCGAGGGUCGUCAACGCUGAAAGGCAACAAACGAUGACAAGGCUGAACAAAGUUCAAGGCUGGCUUUCGAGGGUGGACGCUGUUAAAGCUGAAGCUGAUGAAUUGAUAAGACAUGGCCCUCAAGAAAUUGAGAAACUAUAACUUAGAGGCUACUGUUCCAAGAACUGCAAGUCAAGCUAAAAGUUUGGCAAAAAAGUGGCUAAAAAGCUAAGAGACGCCGGGACUUUAAUGGCCAAUGGAGCAUUUGAAGUGGUAGCUGAGAGAGCUCCAGAAUCAGUAGCGGAUGAAAGGCCUAUCGAGCCCACAGUAGUAGGCCUGCAAUUGCAACUCGAGCAUGUUUGGAGAUGUCUUGAAGGAGAAUCAGUCGGAAUUGUUGGCCUAUACGGCAUGGGCGGUGUCGGUAAAACUACACUAUUGACCCAUAUCAACAACAAAUUUCUUGAGAGUCCAACUAAUUUUAAUUAUGUGAUAUGGGUCGUAAUGUCAAAAGACUCGCGACUUGAAAACAUUCAAGAAACUAUCGGGGAGUAGAUUGGUUUGUAAAAAUUUGCCAAUUUACACAGCAAACAAUUUCCACCCAAUUAAUGUUUUUUAGAAAAUUGUAAAAAUUUGGAGUUAUGAAAAUAGAAACUAUAUAAUAAGAAGAAAUAAUUUAAGAUUUUAAGAUUUAUAUAUAUUUUAUAAAUAAAACAUUAAAAGAGAUGCUUGUUAUUACGAUGAAAUUUUAUGAGUAAGAUGAUUAACUUUAAUAUAUGAGUUUGUAUUUUAUAAAUUAAUCAGAGGUAUUUUAGAAAAUAAAUUCAAAAUGGGAGUUAUAAGAGUUUUAGAGUGGUGUUAAAAGCUCAACUCUUUUGAAUUUUACUGCCCAAUUAUAUAGUACAUUAGCGUGAUUGUUAUGUAUUCAUUUUUUUCAGAUACAACAAACGAGCUGCGUAGUGCUCAAAUAACAAAAAUUAAUAAUUUCACACACCCAUAUACAUAUAUGUAUACAUAUAGAUACAUAUUAUAUUUAAUUAAGCAAAAGAAAGAACCCCCUGUACGACGCCAGUGAGAAGAGAGAGAGAGAGAGAGAGAGGAAGAGAGCUUUUUGUGUUAUAUUUCAUAAUUUUUAUUUAAUUAAAAAUAUUUGUAGUUUGGAUUUGGGCGCCCCAAAGAAUUUCUAAAUCAAAACCUUAAUUUUUAUUAGGUCUUGAGCCUAUUCUCGAAAUAGAUCCUAUUAUAUUCUUAGGUGGUGUUUGGUUUUAAGAAAAUGGAAGAGAGGAGAGGUGAAAAAAGAAGAUGAACGGAGAGGUGAUGAGAGGAAAAGAGUGUAAAAAUUAAUUGUUAUUGUUUGGUUUCACAUUAAAUUUGAAAGGAAAAGAAAUUACAUAUUUUUUAUUUGGACGAAUAUACCCACUAUUUUAAUGCUAAUAUUGUUAAUAAAUUAAAAAAUAAUAAAACUAUGAAUUAAUUUAAUCUAGAAAUUACCUAAUUAAAUUAAAAAAUUAUUUUUUAAAAAAAUACAGCAUUUGGCCAUGGACAGCCUCCACGUUGACCACCGUUGACUGGCGAAUUUGACUGUCGUUGACCGUCAUUUUUCAUCGCGUUAAAUGCAUAAUAAUAAUAAGAAAUGAAUGAUUUAUUCAUUGGAAGUGUUAAUUUUGCAGAAAAUACACUAUAUAGUAGGAAAUAUGAGAGUUAAAAUUUUCCCAAGCAUUUAAACAAGACUUGAGGUAAAUAACAAUGUAUAUUAGCAUUUUUAAUCUCAUAGCAUUGUAGAUGGACUCAUGAGGAUUCCAUUGAUACCGGUUUUGAUGAAAAAGUGCGUCUCCGGCGAAACUCCGACGAGUCACUUUACUGUUUUUUCUUUUUUCAAAUAAGUUUAUCCUAUUAAUUUAAGAAAAUAAAUAUAAAUUAUUUGUACUUUAAUUUAUUUAACAUUGAUUUUGUUUAGAGGAUAAUAUUGGAAUUUUUGUGUUUAAAUAGAUAAGAAAUUUAAAAUCUUUAGUCAUUGAUAAGAAAUACAAAUUCUUCAAAUUGAUGGAAAUUCAAUUCCAUUAAACUUGGUCCAAGUAGAAAAGAAAUCAAUUUUUUUUGGCUCUCCCCACUUCCCUACCCCUAAGCAAACAUGGCCUUAUGGUUUUUGAGAACUCAUACCAAAUUCAAAUUAAUCAGGAGCCCACGGGUCCCGGGGCUCGCGGGAAAGUUGCCAUCCCUACCUUCAUCUGACGGAAAGUCCCUACAAACAAAUGUUUCUUUAUUUAUUUAUUUUUAUAAAAGAAAUUUCAGUUUGAAUGUCUUUUGGACGUUUCCAAUUGUCAUGAUUAGCCCUUGAACCUUUGGUCAAAAAAGUAUUAUCACGCGUUGAUUGUUUGUAUCGCAAAUGCUAGUGGCAUUUGAAAGUUGAUAUAAUUAAUUACAAUCUACAAAUGUUUAACAAAAAAGUGGGAUGGAUAUGGCACAAAAGUAAAGCAAGCAGGAUUCGUUGAAAAAGCUAUUUUGACACCUACUUCGGUUAUAAAAUUUUCAAAAAAAAAAAAAAAUUUUGAUUAAAAGUAAAUUGUAUAGGUUCAACUACCGUGCACUUGGUGCAUGGGACAUGUAUUUUGUCUAUAUAUAAGUUACCCGUCAGAUAUAACAUAGAACUUGCUUCAACGGCAUAGAUGUAUUCUCUUUAGUUUUUAACAUUGACAUCUAUGUUGUUUUUCAAAAAAGAAAAAUAGUGAAAGGUUUGACACAUAAUUUUAGAUUAUUUUUAAAUUUUAUAUUUUAAUCAAUUGAUUUAAUUUACUGUUAAAAUUAAUGACAGUAUAAGCGUAAUAACUUGAAAAAACUUUUUAAUACAUAAUUUUUUUUAUUUUUUGAAAAUAAUAUAAUAUCAAUUUAAUCUAUAAUAAAUAAUUUUAACAUAUAAUUAAAUUUUAAUUUAUCAAUAAUAAUAUGACCAAAUGACAAUGUUAAAGAAUUUCAUUAUAAUCAACUAUGAUUUAGUAUUCAAAUAUAAAUAAUAGAAAUAUACUCUAAGUGUAAAUAAUAGAAAUAUAUCAAACUUAUAUGUUAAAAUUUCAAAACUUUUAAUUUUUUCACUUUUCAGCAAACAAGAGGGAGUAAUUUACCAAAAACAAGGGGUAUCGUACACCUGGGGCACCAUAGCUUCCUCCAAAUUGUAUAAAAAAUAGAAAUAUUUUUAGUCUCCAAAUUGUAUAAAAAAGUAAAAAUAUUUUGACUAAAAGUAAAUUGUGCGUAACUACUUUAAUAUUUUAUUUCUUUCAUAACUUUAUCAAAAUCUUGUCAUCAAAUAUUUUAUCAAUGUAACGCUGUAAACAGCAAAUUAAAGUUUAAUUAUUUAAUUACAACUGGCAAAAGAGACGUUUAAUUAUUUAAUUACAAGCGGGAUAGUCUCUUUUGUUGAAGGAAAUUAAAGUUUAGUUAUUUAAAUCGAGCACGCGUAAUCUUUUCAAGCACAAACAAAAGAGAUCAUAAUUCAAAGUUGAUGUUCUCUUCACAGCAGCUUCUAUUCAUCGAACUCCAUCGUUAAAAUUUCCUUGGUUUUUCCUGGUUGAAUUCUCAUCCAAAAUAUGGGUAACAUUUUCCAAAUCACAUGCGACGGCGCUCUCUUUAACCGUUGCCUGGAUUGCUUUCUUGGAAAAGCAGCAUAUAUAAAAAACCUCAAACAAAAUCUUGCAGACUUGGAGACUGAAUUGGGAAAACUAAUCGACGCAAAGGAAGAUGUGAUGAGGGAGGUCAACGCUGCUGAAAGGCACCCAAUGAUGAAAAGGCUGACCAAAGUUGAAGGCUGGCUUUCGAGGGUCGAAGCUGCUAAAUCCGACGGUGACAAAUUGAUAGCAUUUGGCUCUCAAGAAAUUAAGAAACUAUGUCUUGGAGGCUACUGUUCCAAGAACUGCAAGUCAAGCUACGAGUUUGGCAAACAAGUGGCUAGAAAGCUAGGAGAUGUCAAGACUUUAAUGGCUGAAGAAGCUUUUGAAAAGGUAGCUGAGGAAGUACAACCACCUUUGGUAGAUGAGAGACCCACCGAGCCAACCGUAGUAGGCUUCCAAUCACAAUUUGAACAAGUCUGCAAAUGUCUUGAAGAAGAAUCAGUCAGAAUUGUUGGCCUAUACGGCAUGGGCGGUGUCGGUAAAACCACACUAUUGACUCAUAUCCACAAUAACUUUCUUCAGAGUCCAACUUUUAAUUGUGUGAUAUGGGUCCUAGUGUCAAAAGAUCUGCGACUUGAAAACAUUCAAGAAACUAUCGGGGAUCUGCGACUUGAAAACAUUCAAGAAACUAUCGGGGAGCAGAUUGGUUUGUUAAACGAUACAUGGAAAAAUAAACGAAUUGAACAGAAAGCUCAAGACAUCUUCAGGAUUUUGAAGGAGAAGAAGUUUUUGCUGUUGCUAGAUGACUUAUGGCAGCGGGUUGAUUUAACAAAAGUGGGCGUCCCUCUUCCUGGCCCGCAAAAUAAUGCAUCCAAAGUGGUAUUCACAACCCGUUCCGAAGAAGUUUGUGGUUUGAUGGGAGCUCACACGAGGUUUAAAGUGGCGUGCCUGUCAAAUAUCGAUGCUUGGGAAUUGUUUCGGCAGAACGUUGGAGAAGAAACUCUGAACAGUGAUCCCGAUAUUCUUCAACUCGCCCAAGCAGCAGCCAGAGAGUGUGAUGGUUUGCCACUAGCACUUAUUACCAUUGGCCGAGCUAUGGCUUGCAAGAAGACACCUGACGAAUGGAUUUACGAUAUUGAGGUGCUAAGAACAUCAAGUUCUCAGUUCCCAGGUUUGGGAAAUGAGGUUUAUCCUCUUUUAAAAUUCAGUUACGAUAGAUUGCCGAGUGACACAAUUAAAUCAUGUCUCUUAUAUUGUAGUUUAUAUCCAGAAGAUUAUUGCAUUUCUAAAGAGAAAUUGAUAGACUGUUGGAUCGGCGAGGGAUUUUUGACAGAAAGGGACAGGAUUGGAGAACAAAAAGAAGGAUACCAUAUUCUGGGCAUUCUUCUUCAUGCCUGCUUACUGGAAGAGGGAGGAGACGGUGAAGUAAAAAUGCACGACGUGAUUCGAGAUAUGGCAAUAUGGAUAGCAUGCGACAUUGAAAAGGAGAAGGAGAAUUUUUUUGUUAAUGCUGGCGUUGGAUUAGUUGAAGCACCCGAUGUCACAGGAUGGGAAAAGGCGAGGAGAUUGUCACUGAUGCACAAUCAAAUUACGAAUCUAUCAGAGAUUCCUACAUGUCCUCAUCUCCUUACUUUUUUCCUUAACAAAAAUAGGUUUCAGAUGAUCCCCAAUGACUUCUUCCAAUUUAUGCCCUCCCUCAAAGUUUUAAAUCUGUCAUACAGCAAACUAACCAGCUUACCAUUGGGGAUUUCAAAGUUGGUUUCACUGCAACAUCUUGACCUGUCAGAAUCCGACAUAGAAGAGUUGCCAGGAGAGUUAAAGGCAUUGGUAAAUCUUAAAUGUUUGGAUUUGGAAUAUACAGGGAAUUUAAUUACAAUUCCACGUCAACUAAUAUCUAAUCUUUCAAGGUUACAUGUGUUGAGAAUGUUUGGUGCUGGUCAUAAUGCCUUUGAUGAAGCAUCAAAAGACAGCAGUUUAUUUGGUGGGGGUGAAUUCAUAGUAGAGGAACUGCUUGGUUUGAAAUCUUUAGAGGUGAUUAGCUUCACCUUGAGAAGUUCUCAUGGUCUCCAAAUGAUUUUGAGCUCGGAUCAGUUACGAAGUUGCACUCGAGCACUCUCAUUCCAAUGCUUCAACGAUUCGACAUCGCUUGAAGUUUCAGCUUUGGCAGAUCUGAAGCAACUUAAAAUGUUGCGGAUUGCAAGGAGUGAAAUAUUGGAGGAAUUAAAGAUGGAUUGUGCAGGGGAAGUUCGACAGUUUGUUUUCCAUAGUCUCAAUAAGGUUGAAAUAUACGGUUGCAGUAAAUUGAAGGACUUGACAUUCCUUGUUUUCGCUCCAAACCUCAAGUCUAUUAAAGUAACAGGUUCCCAUGCUAUGGAAGCAAUCAUAAGUGUGGGUAAAUUUGCAGAAGUUCCAGAGGUAAUGGCAAAUUUAAACCCAUUUGCAAAACUCCAAAAUCUUGAAGUAAUUGGUGCGAUAAAUUUGAAGAGCAUUUACUGGAAGCCCCUGCGCUUCCCACAUCUGAAAACAAUGAGUUUCUUUCAUUGCAACAAGCUUAAAAUGCUUCCACUUGAUUCCAAUAGUGCAAGAGAGCAUAGCAUUGUUAUUCGUGGAGACAGAAUGUGGUGGGCACAGCUUCAAUGGGAGGAUGAAGCCACUCGAAAUGCUUUUCUUCCCUGUUUCAAAUCUUGAGCAGAGAUCACAUUUGAAUAAUUUCUGGUGCGUGCUUUUUCUUACAUUAUUCUUCUUGUUAAUUUCCUUCAUGCAGACAUCUGCACCUAAUAACUCGUUACUUCAAAUAUUCUCUAAAUUAUUUGAGGGUACUCGCCCCUGCACAUAAUGUAUAUUUAUAUCUAAUUAAAUUUUUUAAAAAGUCAAUAUUAUAUUUUUUAUGUCAUUAAAUAAAGUCUUGUUAUUUUAUCGAAUUAUAUUCAACUUGAAAAUAGUUCUAGCUUUUAGAUAUAAGUUAUGUAAGUACAAGUUCAAAGUGUAUCAGCAUUAAAUUACUCAUAUUCAAUCAUUUAUAAUCUGAUGUUGAAAAAAAAAUGUCAUUCAAUCAUAUGCAUUUAACUAAAUUCAAAUAUAAUCUAAAUUCAGAUACGUUAAAAUUAUUUGGGAAAAAAAAGCGCCACAACUCUAUAUUGUUUAUUGAGUAAACCAGAUAUUAACUCUAUCAUGAACGUAAUAGCCUCCAGCAUUUUUUAUUAUCUGUUCAAACCAUAUUUUAUUAUUUUAAUUUAUUUAUAUUCAUUGCAUUUCAAUUAGGUCAUGUUUUCUUUUGUUUUCUGUUUUAUAUUCUUUGAUCAUUUUGGCAACAUGGAGUACUAUGAUUAAUCAUUUUGUACUGGUCUCAAAUUUCAGUCGGAUUAUCUGCGGAAAAUAUCUCUGAAGAUGCUUUCAAUGGAGUCCAGUACUCAGAAUGCGAUGCCUAAUCCUUUGCAAUCCAACAAUGCUAGCAGGAGCAACGAACCCCCUCAUCCAGGUAGUGACGUGGAAUAGUAAAUGCAGCUUCACUUUCAAUUUGUCUCUGAAACCGCUCCCUAUAAUCAAUCCUAGCAUUCUUAUGUGUUCUUAACUUCUGCAGCCUGAAUAUUUCUUCCUCGACAAUCAAAGUCAUAACAGUAUGAUUGGCUGGAGUAGCUUUCCUCCAGACCCCUCAUUAUAGUUAUAAAUAAUUCCGAUAUUUGAUAUCAUGAUCGGGGAUUUCAGAGCUUAGAAAAUAUGAUUUGUACCCAUAUGUGUCUGAUCAUGAGAAGUUUGAAAAUAUACAUCAAAAACUGUAUGGAUUGGAAAAAUAUAAUCUUAUUAUGGUGUGUUAAAUCGUCAUUUGAUGAACGGAUUUGGGAUACAUUAUAAUAUGAUGUCAUUAUUAAUUAGGGUGUGUUUUUGGAAGUGCUUAAUUAUAUUCGUUUAAUGUGUAUUUCUUUUAUCACUUUUGAAAAGAAUUCUUAAAUAUUUAAAUAUUUCAAUGUUUAUAUCUUAACUUCAAAUAUAAUAAAAUAAAAUAAAAUAACUGUUCUCCAAUAUGAGGGUCCGAACUAAGGGUCUACGUCAAUAACAUGAAAUAUAAUAAUUUUUGUAAAUUUUUCUUAAAUUCAAAAUAAAUUUUGUUACUGAUUCAAAUGUUUAACAAAAUGUGGCAGCUUAUCUGUAAUUGCCACAUCAAUUGAGAUUCAAAUUACUACUCAAAUCCUGAAAUUCCUAAAGGUCCCUAACAUUAAUAUUUUAUUAAGUCAAUAUUGAAGUUGAACUAUGGGGUUCGUCGGCUAUUUCACACUAACAGAGGAAUCAUUUUAUCUUCUACAAAGGGUUCAGUUUUCUUGCACUGUAUGAUAUGAAGUAAUAUUGUCAUAUGUUGUUCUGAAUUAAUUUUUUUCUUCUCUCGUGCGAAUCAGAAAGAAAUGUUGUAUUUAAGAUGUGGAAAGUAUAAGAUCUUAGGAGUUUUACAGUGUAUAUAUAUAUAAAUUUUUUUUUGACAAACAGAGAAAUUCAGUCUAGAAUAUGAGAACAAACUAAAAGCUACGAAAUACAUUGGCAUUUUUGAGAAGUAGGAUAAAUAUUAUUUUUUUUUUUGAAAAAAAAAGGACUUGGCACCUCAAUGCUUUAAUAACCUAAUGUUAUACUUUUGGUUUGAUUUUUCUAUGUACUCUCUUCCAAUGGUCAAUUUAGGCUAUGUUUGGUAUUGAGAUAUUAUAACUAAAAAAUUUUAGGAUUUAUCACUUAAAAGAUAGAGUAGCCGUGGGAAAAAAGAGAGAGAGAGCUGAAAUUAUGAAAUAAAAUUAUUAAUGUAUUGUAAAUAAGAUGUUCAAAUAAAAAAAUUGACAAAAAUAGUAAAAAUACAAUACCAAACAAGAAUUUAUUUAGGAUACCGAUUCCAGGUCUCUAAAGAUUUGUUUUUAUGCUUUGCAGUUAUUUUCUUCUAGCUGACUGAUGAAUUAUUGUGAAAUUGCUAUGAAAAUUACUAGGGAAAUUAUCAGUCAUACACUCUUAAAUGACACCCGUAUCAAAUAUGCUACAACAUUUUUCAAGUAUAUCACUCGUAUACUCUAAGUUGACAAAACACUUCUACCGUCCACCAAUAUGUUAACUUCUAUUAGAAAGUUAAUAGAAUUGUGGCAAAUUGACUAUUUCGUCCUUGAAACUCAAAAUGAGAUUAAAAAAAAUUUACCCAAAAAAUUAAAGUAAAUUUUCAAUACAUAAUUUUUUUUAAUUUCGUUAUUAACAAUACAUUUUUUUAUUAAAAAAUAUGAAUUAUUAAUGGUACAUAUUAUUAACAAUUAUCCAUAAAAAUAUCCAUAUUAUACCAUAAAAAAUUAUUAACAACAUAUUAUUUACAAUUAUACAUAUUAUACCAUAAAAAACUCCAAUUGGAGCUUGGAGGAGUAGAUCUUAAAAAAUUUAGGUUAAAUUUUGGAUGAGUAGAUUCGGUUGUAAAGUAGUUGUUUUUUUAUAUGUAAUUAUUAACAAUUAUCCAAUAAAUGGGAUGACAUGUCAUUUUAUCAAUAUAUAUCAUAUGACAUGUCAUUGCUUAAUAGGAAAAUGGGAUGACAUGUCGUUUUUAAAAAAGACUAUAUUUACCCUUAUGAUGUCAGCACUUGCAAACGGCAGUUAACGGAUUGGUGAACGGUAGAAAUGUUUUGUCAACUUAAAGUAUACGAGUGAUAUACUUGAAAAGUGUUGUAUCACGUUUGAUAUUAGUGUCAUUUAACGAUAUAUGACUGAUAAUUUUCCAAAUUACUACUAUAACUUAUGGCAAAUUGGCAAUUAAAAAUCAUAAAAGUCUUUCCUCUUGAAUGAGAAAGUGGGUUAUUUUCGUUUACUAUAUAUAUAGUGUCACAAUCAAGAUUAGCAAAGGUUUGUUCACAAACCACCAUCUAUGAAACUAUGAUGACAAAUAUUAUUUGCUAUUAUCAUGUCACUGCAUUACUCUAAUGCCAUUAUUUGCCUAAUUAAAUAUUCAUGUCGGUUUUAAGAUGAAUUUCAAGACAUUUAACUAACCAUAUCUAUUGUAUUUUAUUAUGGUGCUCUAGCUAGCUGGUUGCCAGCUUUGCCUUUCAAUGGGGUUUGAUUAAUUACUCUGCAUAUAGACCAUUAUAUACUAGGACGGCCAAUGGUUAAUGUAAUAUAAACACAAUAAAUUUUAAUCAAAUAUGAAUUUUCUGAAUAAUUGUUUCUUUAUUUUAUGAAUUUUAUUUAAACGAUAUCCCAAUUUAAAAAAAAAAAAGAAAGAAAGAAAAUCAGCGCGUUUGUCUCCUCCCCAUUGUCAUGAUCAACCUUGUUGGAAACGUUGGUGAGAAAAGUAAUACUAUACGUUAAUUGCUUUUAAUAUUUUAAUCGUUGGUGGCACAACCGCACAAGAAAGUAAAAGUUGUUAUAUAUAUAUAUAUUUUAAAUAAAAGUUUAGCUUUCAAUAAUUCAACUUUGAAAAAGGUACAAAAGAUGUGUAGGACAUUCGUUGAACCACAUUAUUGGUUGUACACUUUCUAAAGCUACUUUGGCUAUGGAAUAGGCCAUGAUUAUGAAGCCGAGAAGUAUGUUGCAGUGUGGGGUUGUGUAGUUCCUUUUAGCUUCUUCUUACAAAUUAAUGCUGACAGAAAAAGCAAGAUCAUAUUCCACAAAAGUAAAAGUAACAAAACAACCAGCUGGAAUCUUUUAUUAAACUACGAUAAACUACAAAUUAAAGUGGAUUCUUUUGAAUACAAGUGGGAUAGACGAUUGGCUCUUUUAUUAAAGGCCAGUAGUCAAGAAUCGAAUAUCUCGAUUGCAUAGUCUUUUUCAAAUUCUUGUUUUAUUAUUUUUCAAAACUAAUUUUUUAUUAGUCUACAAUUAUUUAUAAUUAUAUUUUCAUUUAGAAUACAGUUCAAGUCAAAUCUUUUGCACUUCUACCUAACUCGGGCUAAUACUAGUCCACUCAUUAUUCAUGUGAGAGAGUUGUAAGGUACAUGCAUGUAACUUCUCUAACUCGAAUUAUUCCACACAGAGAAAUAAACAUAGAUGCUUUAUAACUUUAGAAAUCCGAUCUCUUACAGUUGGAAACAGAGAUGAUGAUUACUAUAAGAAUGAAGAAAAAGAUAAAAAAUUGUCAAUGAUUAACGAAGUCUCUAUGCAAAUUUCUCUAUGCAAAUUGAUUUUAGCAGAAAAAUAGUGAGUUGAAUGAUGUAGGCGAUUAGUGGUAAUAUUUCAUAGAGUUAGAGUAUUGGCAACCCUUCAAUCUUCUCAUGAAUCCCCUUUUUGAGUUAUAGUUAUUUUAUUUCGAAAUAUCCUUUUUCUUCUUUAAUACACUUCUAAUUUUUCAUUUAAUUUUUUUAUUGUUAAACUCAAAGUAUUAUUGUGAUAUUUUUCGUUUCUUUUGUAAUCUUAUUAUAAUUAAAAAAACCAAAAAAAAAGAUUGGCUAUGAAAUUUGUUGGAAAAAAUCUAUGUGCGUUUAAUUUUUGUUUGUCUUUGACUGUAAUUUAUUUGAAGUGGGGUUUUAUAAGCAUAAUGAAGGGAUCAAAGGAUGCCCAUAACUUCACUCUAUUUUAUAUGGAGAAAAGUAAAAGGUACACCUAAAGUUAAUGGAAAGUACUUCGCAGCUUUCUUUUGAUUAUAAUAUCCUUUAAUUUAAUUAACUUAAAAAUUUUGACUUUAAUAAUUUAUAAUAAAUUAAAUUAUAAUCUUAAAAUAAAUAUAAUAAUAUAUUUUAAAAUAAUCUCUAUAUUUAAAAUUUAUUUAUUUUCACAUUUUAUAUAAAUUUUAUAAUAAAGACAAACAUACUAUUAAAAUAAUAUAUAAAAAAUUUAAAAGUAUUUUGAAUAUUAUAUAAAAUAACUAUAACAUUUUUUAAUACAUGAGAUAUAUUUUGUUAAUUUAAAAUUCUAUUUAAUCCAAAGAUUUAUUUAAGAUAAAUUAAUAAUAAUAUUUUUGAAAUUAUUUGAAAUACUAAAAAAUAUUUUAAUAUUACUAGUCUAUUAAAUAAAUUAAAUAUAUUUAAUAGACUAGUAAUAUUCUGAAAAAUAAUAAAAGAAGAAUUAAAAAAAGACUAGACAAUAGAGAUAUUCGAUUCUUUUAAAGCAAAUCGUAAUAUUCCACAAAGGAGUAAGAUCCACAAAAGCAAACAACCAGUUGGAUUCUUUUAAAGUGGAAUCGUUUAUUAAACAACAAAUUAAUGUUCAAAUAUUUAAAUAGCAGUGCAUUAGACGAUUAGACUGUCUUAUUAAAGGCGAGUAUAAAGUAGUCAAGAAUCGAAUAUCUCUAUUGUCUAGUCUUUUUUUAAUUCUUCUUUUAUUAUUUUUCAGAAUAGGUUUUGGUGAUUACAAUGGGUUAUUAUUCAGAGUUAUUGUUAUCUUCCGGGUCAAUUUCUGUUCAUCGAAGUCGUUAAUUCAAAUUUUAGAACUUUUAUCAAAAGAAUGUUUUUCGUUAUCUUUUUUAUGGUCUAAUUCCAAUUGUAAGAAGUAGUCAUUUUAAAAUUUGGGUCUUGAAUCGAAUUUCAGUGCAUGAAUUAAUAUUAAAAAAAAAUCACUACACACAGUUUAGGCUGCAGACUACUUUUUGCAAAUUUGACUCUGAAAAUUGGAGAAAUUAAGUAAUUUAGAAUGUUUGCAAAGAAAAAGACUAACAUACUUCCUAUUACACUAAAUCUCUAUUAUCAUAAUGUUGAGACUAAACUAACUUAAAUACGUUUUAUUUGAAAAGCUAUAUUAAAUGCAGCCUAAUUUUAUUAACCUGAAGAGCUAAUAGAAGUGUAGUUAUAAAAAUUAUAUUCUGACUUAAUUAGUACAAGUGAUAUAAAGGUUAAGUGUGCACUAUAUUUAAUAAUUAAUUAAUGGAGCAUGUUAAAUAAAAUGAUAAUUUAUAUUUAUAUAAUGUUAGGAAUAUGUAAAGUCUAAGUCCACAAGUUGCAUUAUCUUUAAUAUUUUCUCUCAAUUAAAUUCUAAAAAUACUUUACAAUUAUUUAGUAACAACUGUAAAUUAAGAAUAAAUUAUUGUCCCAAACAACAUUAAAAAAUAUUUUAUUCCAUUUGAAUCCUUUAAUUUUUUUUACAGUAUAUAGAUAAUUAUUACUAUGUGAAUGUAAGUUUCUUAAGAUGGGACCUAUAACAAUUUAGAACUUAUUACAACGGGGAGUUUAUUAGGACCAAAAUUUUUUAUGAGUACAUAAAGUUAUCUUGUAUAGAAUAUUAGUAUAUAGAUGUUUUACUGUAAUUAGUCUAGAACAUUUAAAAAAAAAAAACAUAUACCGUCCCUUGGAUGUAGCUCUUGGGUGACCAUGAAUGUUCUUUGUUCCACAUACGNNNNNNNNNNNNNNNNNNNNNNNNNNNNNNNNNNNNNNNNNNNNNNNNNNNNNNNNNNNNNNNNNNNNNNNNNNNNNNNNNNNNNNNNNNNNNNNNNNNNACCCUCUAUGGGAAUAAUCUAUUUAGUUAUAAAAAAUUAUGAUCCCAAUUUAGACUAGUUAUAAAUAACAACAAAUUCCACUUUGUAAUAAAUUAUAUUUUUUCUAUAUCUUAUCUUAAGAAACUUAUCUCUACAUAGUAAUAAUUAUUUGUAUAGGUAAGAAUGGAUCAAGAUCCUCUCCUGAUCUGAGCACUCCUGAUCUUUUACAGAUCUUAUACCACCUGUGUUUUACUGUUAGUGGAUGAUUAUGAUUUGACUAUUUUUUCUUUUUAAUUUAUUAAUCACCAAUUAUAUUAAUAAAAUUUGCUCAGAUGAAGAUCAGAUCAAGAAAGGAUCCUGAUCCAAUAAGAAUACAUGUUAUAUUAGACUAAAGGAACUUGUCUGCACAUAACGAUUAGACAACGAGCGAAAAUUAUUAAAGCGAAUGCAAAUAAUUAGAAUUUUUUAAGAUGACUUUGUAUAUUCACAAUAAUAAUUGAUAGAUACAUGUACCAACGUUUUAAUAUAUUUGACAUCCUCCAUUAAUAAAUCAUUGAUGUAAUAUAGACUUUAUCUCUAUAUCCUCACACUACGGACAACUAAGUCAUAAUAAUAAUUUUUGUAACUACAUCUCUAUUACUUCCUCAUAAUAAUAAGUUAAUUUGAUCUCUACAUUAUGACUAUGGAGAUUUUAUUGUAUAGGGACACCCAAUAUAAAUAGUAUCCCAACUAAAAUUGUCCCAAAAAAAAAAUCGCUAAAGGAUAAUUAUAAUUUUUUUUCACUUCUCAAACGUUGGUGGCAGUUGUAAGCUAAGUUGUCAAAUAUAUUAAACUACAAGUGCUGCCACCAAGUGCGAUGCUCUUUUCUAAAGAGAAGUACAGUGGGUCCCGAAUAGGACGUGCUUAAAUCUGUUUAAAUUUUUCCAGUAUAACUAACAGAGGUCAUUACUAGAAUUAUAUUACUAGCCUAUUAGAUAGAAAAAAUUAGUUAUAUUAUUUUAUAUUUAUUAAAAAAGUUUAAAGUUAAUCUUUUUAAUUACUAUUUAAAAGAUAUUAUAAUAAAAAAAUAGUGUCUUUACUAAAAAUUUAGAAAUUUAUUUGACCGUUCUCUAAACUUUAUUUAAUAUUAUUGAUUUAAAUAAUAUCUAAAUUAAAAAUGUACAGAGAAGAAAUUUCGGUGGGUAUAUUAGUCUUUUACUUUUAACGUUAGUGGCCUUCUUAUAUUUUAUUACAAAUUAAUCCUAACAAGAAAAAGCUAGAUCAUAUUCCACAAAAGCAAGAGUGACAAAACAUGAAAACAACCAACUGGAUUCUUUUAUUAAACUACAAAUUAAAAUUGUUUUUUUUAAUAAACUAUAAAUUAAAGCGGAUUCUUUUGAAUACAGGUGGGACAGACUUAAGCUCUUUUAUUAAAGGCAAGUAUAAAGUAGUCAAGAAUCGAAUAGUCUUUUUCAAAUUCUUGUUUUAUUAUUUUUCAAAACUAAUUUUUGGUAAUUACACUCGGGUCAUUAAUCAUUAUUCAGAGUCAUUGUUAUCUUCGGAGACAGUGGGUAAAAGAUAAUUACUGGCUGUUUUUCCUUCAAAAGUUAGUGGCUCAUGUUUGCAAGUGUGAAUGUGCGAUGCUCUUUUUCCAAAUGCAAUUACAGUGGGUCCCGAAUCGGAGGAUAAAAAUCCUUUUAGUUUUUGUAUUUUAAGAUUAGUAUAUAUUUAGUCUUUAUAUUUUUAAAAAUACCUCGAAACAUUCAUGCCGUUAAAGUAUUGAUACCACUACCAUUACUUUUCAUUUCUUUUAACUUAAUUUUACAAUAUUACCCUUUUAUAAUAAUUUUUUUAGACAUUAAUAAAAAAUAAUUAAAUCACUAAUUUAACUCUAAAAAAUAAAAAAAUUAUAUUAAUUUUUUUGCAAGCACCGUUUGCACACUUGGUAGGUUGCAUACAAUUUUUGAUAAUUAAAAAUUAAUAUAAAUUUUUAUUUUUAUUUUUAGGGUUAAAUUGAUAAUUUAAUUAUUUUAUUUUUAUUAAUGUACAAACAAAAAAAUUAUUAUUAAAGGGUAAUAUUGUAAAAAUAAGCCAAAAGAAAUGAAAAAUAACGGUAGAAGUAUCAAUACUUUAACGACAAGGAUGUUUCUAGAUAUUUUUAAAAAUAUAGAGAUUAAAUGAAUACUAAUCUUCAAAUACAGGAUUAAAUAGAAUUUUACCCCGAAUCGAACGUGCCUAAAUCUUUUUAAAAUUUUUGCCGUACAACGGACAGAGGUCAUUACUAAAAUUUCUCUUCCACAGCCCACAUCAGCUUCAGGAAUCAGUUUAUCAAACUCAAUCAAUUUUCUUUCUUAACAAAAUUCCAAAGAUGUGUAGCAUUUUUCAGAUCACAUGCGAUGGUGCUUUUUUCAAUCGUUGCUUGGAUUGCUUUCUUGGAAAAGCAGCAUACACACGUAACCUCCAAGAUAAUCUUGUGGCCUUGCAGACUGAAUUAAUGAAACUAAACGCAGCAAAGGACGAUCUGAUGAGGAGGGUCGUCAAUGCUGAACGUCAACAAAUGAGAAGGCUGGACGGAGUGCAAGUGUGGGUUUCGAGGGUGGAUGCUGUUACAACUGAAGCUAAUGAACUUAUCAGAGACGGCUCUCAAGAAAUUGAAAAAUUAUGUCUUGGAGGGUUCUGUUCCAGGAACUGCACGUCAAGCUACAAGUUUGGGAAACAAGUGGCUAAAAAGCUACGAGAUGUGGAGGCUUUAUUUGCCGAAGGGGUUUUUGAGGCGGUGGCUACCAAGGUGGUGCCUGAGAGAGCUCCAGAGCCUGUAGCAGAUGAAAGACCUGCCGAGCGAACAGUAGUAGGCUUGCAAUCACAACUUGAACAAGUCUGGAGAUGUCUUGCAGAAGAAUCAGCGGGAAUCAUUGGCCUAUAUGGUAUGGGCGGUGUUGGUAAAACUACACUAUUGACCCAUAUCAACAAUAAAUUUCUCGAGAGUCCAACCAACUUUGAUUGUGUGAUUUGGGUAGUAGUUUCAAAAGACCUGCGACUCGAAAAAAUUCAAGAAGAUAUUGGGAAAAAGAUAUGUUUGGUUGAUGAUGAUUUGUGGAAGAGUAAAAUUUUUGAAGAGAAAGCUGUAGCCAUCUUGCGGAGAUUAGGAGAGAAGAGAUUUGUAUUGUUGUUAGAUGAUUUAUGGGAGCGGGUUGAUUUAACAAAAGUGGGCGUUCCACUUCCCAGACCAAAAAAUACUACCUCAUAAGUCGUAUUCACAAGCCGUUUCAUCGAUGUUUGUGGUAGCAUGGAAGCUGGCAGGAAGUUCCAAGUAGCAUGCUUAUCAGAAAAGGAUGCUUGGGAACUGUUUCAAGAAAAAGUUGGGGAAGAAACUCUUGAGAGUGAUCAUGAUAUCGUUGAGCUAGCCCAAACCGUGGCCAAGAAGUGUGGUGGUUUGCCACUCGCACUUAUUACUAUUGGUCGAGCUAUGGCCAUCAAAAAGACAGCCGAGGAGUGGAGACAUGCAAUUGAAGUGUUAAGACGAUCAGCUUCAGAGUUUCCAGGUUUGGGAAAAGAGGUGUAUCCUCUUUUAAACUUUAGCUAUGAUAGUUUGCUGAAUGAGACGAUUAGAUCUUGUUUCUUAUAUUGUUGUUUAUAUCCUGAAGAUUAUGGCAUUCUUAAAUGGGACUUGAUUGAUUGUUGGAUUUCUGAGGGAUUCUUAGAGGAAUCUAAUAGGUUUGGUUGUUAGAGUGCAAUUUAUGCACUAGUUUUGCAUUAUUUACUUCCCUUAAUAUCAAUGUUUUGCACUUAAUAAUAGUGAUUUACUUGUGUUUUACUUUUGUAGGUGCAAUUCUAUUGAUUGAUGAUAAAAUUGAGCUAUAAGAUGAUGUUUAAGGAUGAUUGUUCUCUUGAAGAAAUUAUGAGCGUCAGAAGAACUUUGUUGAUAAGGCGUGGGCGCGUGCUGUCAACUGCGGACCUGCAGUUUUAGUUUAACGUGUUUUGUAUUUUUGGUUAUUUUUGUAAUUACGAAUUUAAUAUUUCAGAUAUUAGGAUUUUAUUUUAAAUAGAAUUCUAAAAGAGAAGAGAGAGAAAGUAUUUAAGGGAGGAAUCUAUUGUGAAAGGGGGAUUUUGGAUUGGAGAAAAAGAAACCCUAGAUCUAAUUUUUCUCUUCUCUCUAUGAGGAACUAAACCCAUUUUUCUGGUUGAAGGUUAAUGAAGCUUUGAUUCAUCACUACUGUGAGAUCUUUCUUGUGCUUUAAUUGUUUUAUUACUUUUUGGGUAUUUGUUUAUUCUCUGAAUUAUUUUCAUGAUUAUGUUUGUUAAUUAGGUAAUUGGCCACUAUUUAAUUAUCAACUUAAUCUAUUGUCAAUUAAAGGAUUCAUCGUAUGAAGAAUUUAAUGUUUGUGACAAAUAACAUAGCAGAGAGUUGUGUUGUGAGAAUAAACAAUCUAAUUUAAAUGAAUCAUCAUAUGUGUUGAUUAGGAUUUGGGUCUCUCUGGUUUUUCAGGCUGUCAAUUGAUUAAAUUCUAUGAUCGUAUCUAGGGUUGUCUAUUGAUUAGGGAAAUAACCAACGGUCGUACCUUGGUUAUCGACUAGUUAAGGAGAGAUUGGCUAUUAGAGGGUCUCAGUAGCUAUAACCGGUCUAUUCAUGAGUAAUAAUAAUCUAUAUUUGAAUCAAUGAUCAGUAGUCGAAUCAAGCUGAGUUAAUUCCUUCAACCAGAGCUUUCUCCAAUUUGAAUUACAACUUUAAUUUGCAUUCUUGUUAUUUUAAUUUGAUUUUUAUUAUUGUCAACAAUUCCCCUAUUUUACGUUUUACGUUUCAAAAGGAUUUAAUUAAUUACCGAUCUCUGUGGACACGACCCUGCUCAAUCACUAUACACAAUUUAUUUAGAGUAGGAAUUUACUUUUGUUGGCUUCGACACCCAUCAUUGGUGCAGAAAACCGAGGAUACUACAUUGUGGGCACUCUUGUUCAUGUGUGUUUACUAGAAGAGAUAGAAGAUGAUAAAGUAAAAAUGCUUGACGUUGUUCGUGAUAUGGCUCUAUGGAUAGCUUGUGAAACUGAGAAGGAGAAGAUAAACUUUUUGGUUUGUGCAGGUGCUGGAUUAGAAGAGGCACCGGAUGUUAAAGAAUGGGAAAAUGUGAGAAGAUUGUCAUUGAUGCAAAACCAAAUUGAAACUCUGUCAGAGGUUCCCACAUGCCCUCAUUUCGUCACUUUAUUUCUUGACUUUAAUGGGGAGUUGAAGAUGAUCGCGGAUGGCUUCUUCCAACUUAUGCCUUCUCUCAAAGUUUUGAAGAUGUCAAACUGCUGGAAUUUGAAAUUUCUUGUUGGGAUGUCAAAGUUGGGUUCGCUACAGCUUCUUGAUAUUUCACAGAACGCCAUAGAAGAGUUACCAGAAGAGUUGAAGUUGUUGAUAAAUCUGACAUGUUUGAAUUUGAGGGGGACAGGCCAAUUAAAUAAAAUUCCACGGCAACUAAUAUCAAAUUUUUCAAGGUUACGUGGGUUAAGGAAGUUCAUAACGUGUGCAAGCAGUCAACUCAAGGUUAGCACGUGGGAGAAUUUGCUGAGCUAAAGUUAGUUAAAUAAGCAAUGCCAGCUCAACAAAUUCAGUCAAGGUUUACUGAGAUUUUAUUCCUAUUGUUUUCUUUUCUGUUAACAAUGUAUAAAGGUGUUCUUUGUACUCAUUUGAUCAUUAAGAAAAAAAGAAAUAAAAUCUAGAAUAUUCUCUGAAGUUUUCUCAGUAAAACAGAGUAAAUUUUCUCAGUAACUAAACAGUAUAUAUCAGUGGAAUUUACGUUUUAUAACAUGGUAUCAGAGCCAAACAGUAACCAGCAAACAAUGAUGAGAAAUCUAGCAAUCAAUAAUACACAUCAACACACUCAAAUCAAUUUCUCUUUCACGAAUCCAAUUAAACUAGAUCGAUCAAACUACCUGCUCUGGCGUUCACAAGUUCUGGCUUCGAUUAGAGGUAAUCGACUAGAAGACUUCAUAACUAGAAUCAAAUCAACAUCUGAAGAAAAUAUUUUGUUAGCUGGAGUUGAUGGAUCUACACAACAAAUUGAGAAUCCUGAGUAUCAGAUCUGGAGAUCACAAGAUCAAAUUCUUCUUGGUUGGCUACUGUCAACCUUAAGUGAAGGUAUCCUUAGUCUUGUUAUUAACUGUAAAAGCUCAUUUUCUUCAGCUCAGAUAUGAACUGAACACUCUUAAAAAGGAGUCUCUUAGUAUUGAAGAUUAUUGUGUUAAAAUGAAAGCAAUAGCUGAUAAGCUUGCUAGUGCUGGUAGCUCGAUAACAGAAAAGGAUCUAAUGCUAACCAUACUCAAUGGAUUAGGAUCAGGAUAUAGUGAUAUUGCUACUUUCAUAACUGGUUCACGAAUGGAAUUUGAUGAUACUUAUGCAUUAUUGCUCACUCAUGAAACUAGGUUGGAACAAGAUCAUGAUGAUAAGAGUAUGUUCAAUGCUAACUAUGCAUAUACUAAUGCAUUUCAUCCUAAGGUUUAUUAUGCACAGCCUAGAGGAAAUUUUAAGAGAGGAGGUUAUUAUGGUGGUAGGAAUGUUUUCUCUGGUAGAGGGAAUAUGAAUUUUUCUCCAAGAAUGUUUAAUGGAGGUUUUAGAAGUGGUUUUGGUAGAGGAUAUUAUGUUGGUAAUCCUUUUAAUGGUAAUAAUUCUUUAGCACCAAAGAAUUCAUCAUCUGUUAUCAAGAAUGGAUCACAGAGAACUUUUAAUAACAAUCCAGGGGACUCAGUAUGUCAGAUUUGUCUCAAACUUGGUCAUACUGCUGAUAUUUGUUGGCAUAGAUUUGUUGAAGAUUAUGUGCCAAUGCCAAGGGGUUUUUAGAAAAGGAAAAGCACCCAGAGCAGCAUCACUACUAGAAAAAUAGCUUUUACUGAUACUUGUCUUGUGAUACUUUUCUAAAAAGUAUCAGCAAUUACAUAUAUUUGGGCCAUUUUCCGUGUUUAACAAACAAGUGUCACAAAUUACUGAUUCUAUGAUGUUUGUAUAUUAAACAUCAGAGAUCGUCGACACUAAGGUAUCAGAAACAACAAAAAAAAAUAAAAAAUCUAUUUUUGUUUUAGUUGCGACUCGAACCUAGGACCUCAAAACUAAAGUGCUUUAUGUUCAACCAACAAACCACCAUGCCAAAUUCAUAAAUUAGUUUGUGUUGAACAUGUUGAAAUUAUCAAAUUAAAUUAAUAUAGAAAACAAAAAUAUAAAAGCAAAAGAAAAAAACCCUAAAUCAACAUAAACAUAAAAUUCCCUAACUCCUAAAUCCAUGGCCAGCCGCCUCAUCUCUCUGGCGAUAUCCUUCUUCUUCUUCAUACCUCUAAAACUUCGAGCCCUAAAAUUCAAGGGUCCAUGUCAUAAGAAAUCCUACCACCACUGCUCAAAUUCUAACACCCAUACCAUACGAAACCCUAAUGAUCUACAUUAUGCAAAACAUCCACCAUGCCGCUAUGCCACAAGCUCACAAGACCCGCUUUAGAUCUCCACAUUUUGCUCACCCUACUCGAGUGCACACCGCCCCUCUCGCUUCGACUUCUCGGGAUUUCUUGUUAGCUGAAGUUUUGUUUUCUUCCGCUAAUUCGAUCUUCGAAAGGUCUCGGAGCUCCAAGUAACUAAGUAAGCUCGGUUUUCUUCUAUUCUCUCAGAUACUUGCUUACACAUUCCUUUUUUUUUCGUGUUAAAUUUUGUUGUUUCGUUGUGUUAUAUGGAUCGAUGAGAGUCACAGACUUUGACGAGACAAUGACGAUAUUGUUUUGGAGUUUCGUUUCGUAGAUCUGUGAUAGAGUCUCCUUUUUCAGAUAUUUCCUUUCAUUUACCAUAUUUGCACAAUUUGUUUUGUCAUUAAAUUAUUUGCGUUUGAAUGUACAAUUUUUGUUUUCGUUUUAUAUUUUCAAAUACUGUUUCUUGGAGCGAAUUAGUGGAGGAAUUUUUGGUUGAAGCAGAGGAUGGAUAACUUUUGUAUUUUGAACUUUGUAUGUUAUUUAUUAUUUGAACUUGAAGCUAAAAGGUGACCAAAUUUUCCAAAGGUUAGGGUUUGGUUGGCUUAUGUGAAAAUGCCGAACGAAUGUGUAUUAUUCAUACUCCAAUAUUGUAGGUGCGUCAAUGCACCUCCUUGCGAUGGUUGCAGCAACGAAACUGUAGGUCAAGGUUUGGGUACCCCAUUUCCUUCAAAGAUCCAAUAUGGAGCAACUCGAGUCGAGCUUUUUCGGUCAAUUUAAACAAAACCUUUACUCCUAAUUUAUUGUCUUUUGCUUUCUGUUUGUACCUGUAGGAGUUCAUAUUUUGUAAUGUUCCGUAAGUGUCCAAUAACUGGUUAAAUUAUGACUUAUGCUAGGUGAAGAUUUUGUGUUACAAUCCCCUUCAAUAGGCAAUCACUCUUUUUGUAAAUGUUCAUGGGUAAUUGCUUUGCCUUUGCUUCUGUUGUACUUUUGUUUUUGUGGGGUUUUAGUUAAUGGAUGUUGAGUUAUAUUUCAAUCAGUUUGAUUUCUCUGCAUAUUUUUCAUAUUUUAGUAUUAGAAGAGGUAUUUAAUCAAAUGAAGACAAAAACAAUUGUCGGCCAACCAACAAACUCACUUUAGUUUGUUGUGAAAUGAUUUUCUCUCUCUCUCUCGAUUUUCACUGGUUCUGUGGUUUUUUCCCUUCCACAAUGUGAUUUAGUUCUGUUCUAUUUAUGGAUGUUACCAACAUUUUAGCUUUUAAGAAACAGACAAAAAGAUUCUGAAGUUUGUUUCUUGUUUCUUACUCUGAAUUUCCAAGGCAUCUUAUUUGGAGAAAUGCAUUCUGAAUGGAGAAAUUUCUCCAAAUUUAUGAGAUGUGGUUCUGUCUUGCUGAAUGAACAUUGUAUUUCCUUCAAUGGUUUGCGAGCCAUUAAGUUAUUUGAGCAAACAAAAUUAGCAAUAUGGAAUCCUGUUUCUACAGGAUUAUAGUUGUAGGACUCUAGAAUUUAGUCUAGGUAAUGUUUUUACCAUUGUAAAAAGUAUCUGACAUUGGUGAUGUUUAAGCAUAUGUGUCAUUUCUUUUGGGCUUCACUUUGGAUCCUUUUUUUCUUUUUUUACAAACAAUGGAUGGUUAAAACCUAAGAGACUGAUUGAUUUUUGUUUUAAAUCCAGUGGUUAUGCCUUGUAAACUUUUGAGUUGUAUCAAUUUCUUUUCCUGGCCUAACUUGGCUAAAUUUAUGCUAUAUAAUUGAAUUCUACAAAUUUUGGCUAUGUAUGAUGUAAAGGUCAUAAGUCUUGUAUCUUCAUUUGUUCACCACAGGCUUGAUACUUCACAACUACCAUAAGUUAUGUCAUGCCAUGUCUUCUUUAGCAAUAUUGUGUGGCUUUGAGUAGUAUUAAUGUUUUUGUUUGUUAAUUCACGACUUAAUGGAACCAUUUUCCUUAUAAUCGAGAACCUUCGUGCGAGUGUUGUGGAGAAAUCUUAUGAUUCAUGUGUAGGUGUGUUUGCUUAAUGUGAUGACUUUUAUUAUGUGUUGUAGUUCUUGUGUCUAUAAGAGGAACCUUUGCUCCUAUGUCUAUUUAUCUCCGACUUUCAGUUUAGGCGUAAAUAGGUUACUCUUCUUUCUUUCUCAUUUUUUAAUUUCUAUGUUCUCCUAUGUCUAUUUACAUGGACUGCUUUGCUGCUUCUCUGCAGUGAAAACAACCCUGGUAAUUUACAGGAGCUUUUUUCACUUCAGAACAAUAGCAAGACAUCCCCUGCAGAUUUUUUAUUGAUUUUGCAUAGAUUGGUUUGUUGCUUUGGGUUGGAAUGCUACUGGAUAUAUGUCAGAAUUAUAGCGCUAUUGGAAGAUGGUGGGUUGUUGCAUAUGAGUUGGAGUGUUCCUGGGUAUGUAGCUAGAAUUAGAGUGCUGUUGGAAGAUGGUAUUGCUACUGGAAGUUUUGCUCAAAAACUUGUCGUUGGAAUACUUGCAUUAAUUUUUGGAAAUUUUAUUGGGUAACUUGGCUAGGUGGCUGAAAUUUUAAUUGCUUUUGUGUAUUGAAGCAUUUGGAUUGUGUAAUAUAUAUUGAUAAUAUUUAAAUGUUAUGAAAGGUUUUGAUAAAUAAAUUGAUUUUUGUUCUUAUUUCUCACAGCCUUUUAAUUCUAUCAACAAAUCAAUGGGUAAUGUCAUUUUGUAUAAUUAUUUUUUUAAAUAAUACAUAAAGUAGUGAUACUAUAGUAACAGUAUCACAAAUACUAAUAUAGUAUUGUAAUAUUUUGAUACCAUGGUGUUAUGAUUUUAAUGAUACUAUAGUAAUAGUAAUUACUGACACCACUUACAAGUGUCACUAUUUUUCUGACUGCCAGAUUACUGACACAAUUAGCAAGUGUCACUAAAAGUAAUUACUGACACUAUUCUAAUGUCAGUAAAGACCAUUUUUCUAGUAGUGCAUAUCUGUCAAAUUUUGAUGGUUCUGUUUCAAAUCCAAACUUUGAAGAUUAUGAGAACUUCAACUAUAUGCCUUCAGCUUAUAAUCCUAUGUCUGGCAAUAGCUAUUAUUCUGGUUUUGAUGCUUGUACUCCUGGAGUAGCAUUUAUGGCUAACUUUGAAGGAGUUGCUAAUGAUGAAUGGUACUUGGAUAGUGGGGCAACUCACCAUCUGGACAACAACAUGGAGAGCUUGCAGAUCAGUGAGGAGUUUAAGGGUACUGAUUAGCUCAUAAUUGGUAAUGGUCAAGGUUUGUUUAUCACUAAUGUUGAUUUUGCAUUUCUGUCACAAAGAGCAUCAAAUUACUUAUCUGCACAUUCCAGAAUAGCACUUAAGGAUAUAUUACUUGUUCCAUCAAUUACCAAAAAUCUACUAAGCAUUUCCAAAUUGACAUCUGAUAACCCUAUAACUGUUGAAUUUUGUGGGAAUGUUUGUUUUGUGAAGGACAUGAAUAGACAAGUUCUGCUGCAGGGACUUGCCGAAAAAGGUCUAUACAAGCUGCUGCUGAGUUCUAAUUCCUCUUCUUCAUUUCCUUCAUCUCAUCUUUGUCAUACUCAACUAAAUAAUUAUGUCUCAAUGUUGUCUAGCUUUCAAAGCUUUGAUAAUCCUUCUAAAGUUUGUUAUCAUUCUGUUUUCAAUAAAUGCAAAACCAAAUAUGAUGUAAUGACAUUGUUACAUAGAAAAUUUGGUCAUCCAAGUUCAAUGAUUCUGAUGCAUUUAGCUAAGUCUUGCAAGCAAUUAAAAAUCUCUCAAAAAGAUAUUCUAUCUUGUACAAAUUCUUUGUGUGAGGCAUGUCAGUUAGGCAAAGUUCACAGGCAAAGUUUUCCAGCAACUGAAACAAAAACAAAAGGAGUAUUAGAACUGAUUCAUACUGAUAUCUAGGGACCUUCACCCACUGUAUCUAGAAAUGGAUACAAGUAUUACAUUAGUUUUGUGGAUGAUUACACUAGAUACACCUGGAUCUAUCCACUUAAGCUUAAAUCACAAGCAUUUGAAGUUUUCAAACUGUUCAAGGCACAAGUUGAAAAUUAGUUUAAUACCAAGAUUAAGGAAUUACAAUCUGAUCUGGGGGAGAGAGUUUAGAGUAUUCAGUAAUUUCCUAAGUCAAAAUGGAAUCAAGUUUAGACAUUCAUGCCCUUAUACUCAUCACCAGAAUGGUCUUGUUGAGAAGAAACAAAGACACAUAAUUGAAUUAGCAUUAACACUCUUAGCUCAAGCUAAUCUCCCUUUUCAGUUUUGGUGGAAAGCUGUUCACACAGCAACAUAUCAUAUUAAUAGGUUACCAACACCUGUUCUUAAGCUUUUAUCUCCUUAUGAAAAGCUCUUUAAACACAAACCAGAUUAUUCAUUUCAUAAGUGCUUUGGUUGCCUAUGUUAUCCAUAUAUGAGAGAUUUAAAUAAACACAAAUUUGAUUUUCACACCACCAAAUGCAUCUUCAUUGGCUAUAGUCAUUCUUACAAGGGUUAUAAGUGUUUAACAAGCUCAGGAAAAAUUCAUAUCCUAAGGCAUGUUAUCUUUGAUGAAAAUACAUUCCCUUACUUAACAAACAAAGUCUUUCAUUUAUCCGAGAACAGUUCAAAUUCUGAAAUAUCAGUGUCAAACUUUUCCCAGUAACAAAUUUAUCAUCUCUCCACAUUAUCCUUAACUGACAGCAGCUUGGAAGAUCUUCAAUCAGCAAGUUCAGAAAGCAAUGAACAAGUACCUUCUGUUUCUGCACACACAAAUAAUCUGCAUCAACAAGAGCAUUCUCAAGAGCAUUCCUCAUCAACUAUACCAUUAUCACCAACACAACAACAAACUGAAUCACAACCACAAAAUGAACCACAUCUAUCUACUUCCUAGCACAUAAAUCAAACUCAAACUAGAAACCUUCCUUCACAACCAUCACAUUCAAUGGUAACCAGAUCGAAAAUAUGGAAUCUUCAAGCCAAAAGUUUACAUAACCACCUUAACCAACAAAGAACCCAGUACUGUUCAAGAAGCUCUAAGUGAUCAGAAUUGGCAUCAAGCUCUGAAAGAUGAAUAUGAAGCUUUGCUUAGGAAUGAAACAUGGUCACUAGUACCAUUUUCAGAGGUAUACAAGGUUGUUGACAGUAAAGGGGUUUUCAGAAUUAAACAAAACACAGAUGAGAGUGUAGCUAAAUACAAAGCCAGGUUAGUUGCAAAGGGUUUCCAGCAAACUAAUGGUGUUGACUACUUUGAGACCUUUAGUCUUGUGGUAAAGGCCUGCACAGUAAGAAUUAUUUUUAGUUUGGCUGUGAUGAACAAGUGGAAAAUAAGGCAAGUGGAUGUCAAUAAUGCAUUCUUAAAUGGAGAAUUGACUGAAGAUGUUUACAUGUAUAAGCCAGAAGGUUUCAUUGAUGAGAAAAAGUCCAGUUAUGUAUGCAAGUUGAAGAAAGCCCUGUAUGGCUUAAAACAAGCUCCUAGAGCUUGGUAUGAUAAGUUGAAAAACCGUCUGAUAAGUUGAAAAACUGUUUGAUAAGUAAUUGGGGUUUUCAAAAUUCCAGAGCUGAUACUUCUCUCUUCUUCAAAGAGAUUCAAGGCUCAAUAAUACUUGUGCUUAUAUAUGUGAAUGAUAUACUUAUUACAGGGCCUGACAUUGGAGAAUUAGAGAAGUUUAUCUUAGAAUUCAGUAAGACAUUUGCUUUAAAGGAUCUAGGAAUACUAUCAUACUUUCUUGGGAUAGAAGUCUCUUAUGCUGAUGGUUGUAUGUACUUAUCUCAGAGAAAGUAUAUUAAUGAUCUCUUGUCUAAAGCUGAUAUGUUGAACUGUAAAGGGUGUGAUACUCCCAUAGCGAUUGGACUGAAACUUCAAAAGGAGGUUAAAGGUUGUUUAGGUCAGUAUGUUGAGGAUGCAACCAGUUACAGAAGUUUGGUUGGAGGCUUGCAAUAUCUGGUGUUAACCAGACCAGAGAUAGCCUUUGCUGUGCACAAACUCAGUCAAUAUGUGACAGCUCCAACAUUGCAGCACAUAAUGGCCUGUAAACGAGUUCUAAGAUACCUAAAGGAAACCAUGGAUUAUGGUCUAAAGUUUUCAGCUGGUGGAGAAAUGGAAAUCACAGGUUUUAUAAAUGCAGAUUGGGCAUGCGAUAUUGAUGACAGAAAAUCUAUAGGUGCAUACUGUAUCUAUUUUGGAAAUAAUCUGGUGUCAUGGUCAUCUAAGAAGUAGUCUGUGGUGAUAAGGUCUAGUGCAGAAAGCGAAUACAGAGCUUUGGCUUCUGCAAGUGUAGAAAUAGCAUGGAUUCAAUCUUUGUUCAGUGAGCUAAAUAUAAGAUGUGUCUCAGUACUUAUCAUCUGGUGUGACAACAUGAGUGCAACAAAGUUAAGAUAAAAAUCUAGUCUACCAUUCACGUACCAAACACAUUGAACUGGAUAUGCAUUUUGUUAGAGAUAAGGUUUUAGCAGAGGAGCUGAAAAUUAACUUCAUUCAAAGUGAAGAACAGAUAGCCGAUGUCCUAACAAAACCUCUCACAUUCAUUCAUUUUAAUUAUUUCAUAAACAAACUCAAUGUGCAGCCAUGCCCCUUGAGUUUGAGGAGGGCUGUUAAGGAAGCUCAUAACGUGUACAAGCAGUCAGCUCAAGGUUAGCACGUGGGAGAAUUUGCUGAGCUAAAGUUAGUUAAGUAAGCGAUGUCAGCUCAGCAAAUUCAGUCAAGGUUUACUGAGAUUUUAUUCAUAUUGUUUUCUUUUCUAUUAACAAUGUAUAAAGGCAUGCUUUGUACUCAUUUGAUCAAUAAGAAAAGAAGAAAUAAAAUCCAGAAUAUUCUCUGAAGUUUUCUCAGUAAAACAGAGUAAAUUUUCUUAGUAACCAAACAGUACAGAUCAGUGGAAUUUACGUUUUAUAACAACGUGUGUUGAGAAUGUUGGGUAUUGGCCAAUUCAAUUUUCAUGAAGCACCAGAAGACAACGCUUUAUUUGGUGGGGGUGAAGUUUUGAUACAGGUAUUGCUCGGUUUGAAAUAUUUAGAGGUAUUGGAGUUGACCUUGGGAAGUUAUCAUGCUCUCCAAAUUCUUUUGAGCUCAAAUCAGUCAAAAAGUUGUAUUCGAUCUCUUCUCCUCCACAAGUUUAGAGGUACAACGCCGAUUAUUGAUGCUACGGCUUUCGCAGAGCUAAACCACCUCAACGAAUUAUUUAUUAAUAAUAGUAUUGAGUUGAUAGAAUUGAAGAUUGAUUAUACAGAGAUAGUACAAAAAAGGCAGGAACCUUUUGUUUUCCGCAGCCUUCACCGUGUUACCAUAUUUAGGGCCCGUUUGGGAGUGAGGUGCUGUAGCUUUUAAGCUGCAGUUGCUGUGGAGUAAAAGCUAUAGAUGUGGAAUGGAAGUUGAUGGUGUUUGGUAAAAGUGUUGUAGCUUUUAAGCUGCAACUACUGAUGGUGUUUGGUAGAGUGGAUGAAUAUUUGUAAUAAUUAAUUUUAAAUAACAUUAUUUUUAAUUGUUAACAAAUCAAUUAUUUUUCAUUCUUCAAAUUAUUAUAUUGACAUACAAUUACGAUUUAUUCCGUUACAAAUUAAAUUAAUAUUUAAUAAAUCAAAUUUAUUUUUUUGCACAAGUUGUAAUAAAUAAUUUAUAAAACACAUCAUGGGGUCAAUUAUAAAUAAUUUUAAAUAACUAUUAUUGACAAUGCCAACCGGGCAGUGUACAUGAUAUGCUUCUCCAAAUUGCUUCGGUUUGUACCUGAUAUGAUUAAUCGAGUAUUAUUUACAAUACCAAAUAUAUCUAAUAAAAAUCAUACAACAAAACAAAAUAAAAUUAAAAUGUAAUUAAUUACAAAAUUUGUAUAAAUAUUUCUAUUGUUGUGCCUCCAUUAAACUUGCAGCAAUGCCAUCUUUCAAGAUUAUUAUAUCUUGAGUUGUGCUAUCAAUUGUUUCAUAACUUUCUUCAUGAGAUGCAAUAUGUUCGCUAAUACUAUGACUUGGUUCAUCCGUCAUUUCAUCAAAAUGAUCAUUAUUUUGUGAAUAUCUUCUGAUAUAAUUAUGCAAGGCCAUGGUAGCAAUAACUAUUUUCACCUGCUUCUUGAAUGGAUAGCUUGGCAUACUUCGUAAAAUCUUCCAUGUAUUCUUCCAAACCCCAAAAGUACGCUCAAUAACACUUCUCAAGGAAGAGUGCUUGUAGUUGAACAAUUCUUUAUAACCCAUUGGUUGGCUACCUCUACGAAAUUCAGGAAGGUGAUAUCUUUCACCCUUAUAUGGUCCUAAGUACCCACAUAACUCCGGAUAUCCUGCAUCUACUAAAUAAUAUUUUCCUAAAAAUAAAAAGAAAAAUACAAAAUAAAUAAAACAAUCUAAUCAAUUGAAUAUGUAUAUAUAAAAGAAAAAUUAGAAACACAAACCUGGAGGAGGGUUUGGAAAAUUGAAUGCAGGAUUCGUAAUAGUUGUUUGAAAUACCCUUGCAUCAUGGGCACUGCCUUCCCAACCAGCCACUGCAAAUAUGAAUUGCAUAUCAAAGCUACAUACAGCCAUUACAAAUUCUUUUCCCACCAUUCCUCACUUGCAUCAACUGUCCUCAACCUAUGAUUCCACCCUAAACCAGUUUCUUUGCCAAUCAAAUUCUUCCACAAUUUCCAAUCAGUUCUAAGAGAAUCCCAUUUAUUUUUCAUUUGAGUUCUGUUGUAAUCUAAUCCAGUUUCUUUAGUGAACUCCUUAAUCAAAUUUUCAUAUCCUUGGGAAGUCAAAUGAGUCCCUGGACGAUGUCCGGCAUCCACCUCUUUAACGCAUAAGUCACAAAAUACAUCUAAAGUCUGGGGGUUCCAAGUAGCCUUACUAGUUGAGCUAUUAGACACAAUUUCAUACACUUAAACCUAGGAAAAAAAAUAUUUCUUUAUCAAACAACAAUACAGAAAAAAUAAGAAUAUAGAAGUUAAGAAAAUUACUAGAAUCUUGUUAUGGAUGGUGGAAGGAAAAAUAAUUCGAUAUUAAAAAAUUAAAAAAAAAGACAAACCAGAACAAGUUACCUUAGUUGUUACUUUACUUGAAAUACUUUUCCAGCAAACAAUAAUGAUCAUAGCCCACGAAUAGAAACAAUUACAAGCAAGUCAAUAAAGCAACAAAAGACAAACCAGACUAGGAAACAAAGAAAUUCAACUAAACAAUCAUUAGGUACAAACUGCAAUUGCAUUUAGCCUCACAAUCUCAAAUUUGCUACGUGCUUUGAUAUUUCCUGUACUAUUCUUUUGGCCCAUCCUAAGACAUAUACAAUUGCAAUUGCAACACUUUCUCCCUUCUUUUUUCUGUAAUUCGUAUGGCGACUUACGUAUAUAUAACCUAAUUAAUUGAAUUAAAUUGAUGAUGGGUUAGAAAAUCAUUAGGCUUAUUAAUUAUACGCGUCAAAAGAAUGGUCGGCCAAUAAUUAGGUGUCCUGCUUAUACUCCUGUAAUUUAGUCAUUCUCUAGUAAAUAUUAUUAAAUAAAAAGAAACACAAACAAUUAAGCUUAUUGGUAACUGAACUGGUGCCCAAAAAUAACAAGAGCAGGAGAAAGCAAACACACCCAAGAAUUUGACAAACUUCAACUUGAAAUCCAGAAUUUGACAAACUUCCUUUUGUUUACUGAAGCAUAGUAUUUCAUAACGAAGGCAUGCAUUUUAUUAUUUAAUGUCUUGUAGAACUGGAAACUCAAAUCAAACAGGGGUUGUGCAUGUUUAUAAAAAGCAACUACAAAAAUAAAAACUACAAUAAAAACAAUGGUUACAAGCAAAUAAAUCACGCAUGACCCAUCACCCAUCAAUUUAUUCUAACAAAAGCCCCAACAUUUUAUGAAUGAAAAGGAAGAAAAUGAAAAAUUGCUUGAAAUAGAGUAAAGGAGUACUCAAAAAUGAACAACAGAUAGAGGAAAAGGCACCACUGACAGAGGCGUAUGAGAGUGGCCGGUGUCGGAAUCGCGCCGAUGAGAAUUUCGGUGUCAGAAUCGCAUCAAUUGGAACUCCCACAGUCGGAAUCGUGCUGAUGAGAAUGGGUGUUUAGGGUUUGUUUAAAAAAAUCGAUUUGAAAUAGAACUCCCACUGACAUGACUGUUUGAUAAAAUGAAAAUGGAAUAAUAUAUAAAGUUAAUUUAGUAAUUAAACUUGCAGCUGGGAAAAAAAAUCUGUCAAGUUGUCAAAACACAACUAUAAGUGGUACCAAACACUUUGGUGGCUGGGCUGCUCACCACACUCCCAAACGGGACCUUAGUUGCGGUAAAUUGAAAGAUGUGACAUUCCUCGUUUUUGCUCCAAACCUCAAGUCUCUUUGGCUAUUCGAUUGCGGUGCUAUGGAAGAAAUAAUCAGCGUCGGAAAAUUUGCUGAGACUCCUGAGAUGAUGGGACAUAUAAUCCCUUUUGAAAAUCUCCAAAUGCUUAAUUUAAUGGAAUUGCCGGAGUUGAAGAGAAUUUUCUGGAAGCCAUUGCCUUUCACUCAUCUGAAAGAAAUAUCUGUGGGUUAUUGCCGUAAUCUUAAAAAGCUUCCACUCGAUUCCAACAGUGCAAAAGAGCGUAAAUUUGUAAUUCGUGGAGAAGAAGACUGGUGGAACCGACUUCAAUGGGAGGAUGAAGCCACUCAAAUUGCUUUUCGUUCCUGUUUCCAACCUCGUUCCUGAGCGGUGGUCGCAAAAUUUGAUUUCUGGUGAGUGCGUUUUUGUUAACGCUUAUGUUUUUAUUCCAGUGUGUUUUUCUUCUGUCUUCUGCAAAUCACGAUUAAAUGUUGAAUAAUAUGGAAUCAAUGCUUUAUAAAUUUUCCGGCGUGGCCAUUUCCUUUUCCCUUUUUUUUUUUGGGGGGGGGGGGGGGGCGUGGUUCGAUUGAUGCUCUGGCUUUUUACUUUUUGUCUUCGAAUUUUGCUCUGUUUUUCAAAUUGAUGCUUGAAUAGUUGAAUUCAAUUAAUGCUCACAUAAAUUUGUUUAGUUGCCGUAAAACGGUAAAAGGAUAUAAUUAGAUUGAAAUUCGCACUUCUAGAAUGAAUAGAAUUACAAUAGAGAAAAUAUUAAGUAUACAAGCCCUCUUUACAGAAAAUCAAAUGAAAAUAAAAUUUUUUGGAUAUUUGAUUUUCUAUGGUCUACUGUAUACGCUUUAUAAAUUCCUCUGCUUUAACGAUAACCAAAUCCUUUUUUCAAGGAUUUUUAUUUGGGGUAUUGAUAAUAGUCCACCAACAUAGUGAACGCUUGGAUGCUGCUUAAGGAUCUCUAAUCAGUAGCUGGAAGCAAAUGAGAAGGCGGUCGCUACUUUGUACAAAGCCAUGCAGCAAUUGCUAUUCAUUUUCAAACAAAGUUGAGAUGUUAUUUUCAGAUUUGGUUCCAGAUUUUGUAUGAAUAUCGUUGUUCCAUUGAGUUGUAUAUGAAUUCAAAUGUAAAAUAUUCUUUGGUUUUCAAUUUUGAAUUCAAUUUCUUUUUCUUAAGCAUGUUGUGCAGAAAUGAUUUCUACUAAAUCAUUUUUGAUAAACUAUUUAAAUUAAACAACUGGAAUAAGAACUGUAAGGAUUUAUCGUAAGCAGACUAAUAUGAUAAUUCUGAAACUAUCAUUUUUUUUUUUUCAAUUUGUUGCAGGGAAAGCCAAAUUUUGCGUUUUUCAGUUUUAUCUGAUAUGGGCUUUAUUUCCUCUACACUAGCUACCUAAAGAUUUAUCAAAUUGCUUCUCUUCCCUGCUUCAAAUAUCUUCAUGGCAUCAUAGGAAAAGAGAGUUUGGGUUGUAUUUAUUAUAGUUUUUAUUUUUUUUUUUGUUAUAAGCAAAUUUAUUUUAAAUACUUUAGUAGUAACAGUUUUUAUUGAAUAAUAAUGAGGGAUGAUUAUUAUAGGUUCAAAUAGUUGUUAGAACAUUAUAAAAAGUCUAUUUACUAUCAAAUGUUUUAAAUUGAUGCAACGUGAUAAUUGUCUCAUAUAAUUUUUUUAUAAUAUAUAUGUCCCAUAAUCUUAACAUGAAUAAAUGAAUUUCAACGGUUAAAUUUGACACGAUUAUUAAAUAGAUCAUAUCUAUAUUAAUUCGAUUUAAAAUCUGGUCACAUUUGGAUUUAGAGUUUCUAACAUGAUAACUUGUUUUAUGACAUGAUUUACUAAUCAAUUAAUAGUAAAUCAAAUGUCAGUCAAUUAAAUAUGUGGUACAUUUGUCAUAUUUUAAAAAUUAUUUAUUUAUAUUUGAAAUGAAUUUGGUGCNNNNNNNNNNNNNNNNNNNNNNNNNNNNNNNNNNNNNNNNNNNNNNNNNNNNNNNNNNNNNNNNNNNNNNNNNNNNNNNNNNNNNNNNNNNNNNNNNNNNAUAAGACGACGCGACACAAAUACAACCAACAAGUCAACCCAAAUUGCCACCUUUUACUAUCUUCUUUGUGUUAUUUCUCUAAAAAUUUGUGCCUUCUCUUACACUUUUAAAUCUGAAGUGUUUGAACUGGAGUACACAAAUUAUCUCUCUACAAUUCCAAAACAACCAAUUUGUUACUUGGUAAAUCUUAAUCAAUGGCAGGAAGCAAUUGAGAAGGCGGUCGCUACUGUGUACAAAGCCAUGCAGUAUUUGCUAUUCAUCUUAAUAAUUGUUAAGCUUUGGUAAAAUUUUCAAACAUAGUUGACAUCAUGUUGUUUUGAGAUUUGGUUCAUGAUUUUGUAUGAAUAUCGUUGUUCCGUUUGAGUUGGAUGUGAAUUGAAACCUAAAUAUUCUUUAUUUUUCAAUUUUGAAUUCAAUUUCUUUUUCUCAAGCAUGUUAUGCAGAAAUGAUUUUUACGAAAUCAUUUUUGAUGAAUUAUUUAAAUUAAACAAUUGGAAUAAGAAUUGUAACGAUUUAUCAUAAGCAUGCUAAUAUGAUAAGUUGUUUUACGAACGAUUAAUUAAUCAAUUAAUAUUAGAUUAUAUAUUAGUCAAUUAGAUAUGUGUUACAUUUGUCAUAUUCUAAAAACUAUUUAUUUAUAUUUCAAAUAAAUUUGACCAGAGGUUACGUAGGUAAUACUACAUAAUUUCUAAAGGAAUGUAAAAAUUUAAAGUUUUAUUAAAUAGGUGACUCAAUAAUAAAUGGAUUUCUGCAAGAAUUGAGAUUCUUGAGAUAAUUAUUACAUAGGGAAUUUUGGUUAGUUCAAUUUUGACAUGGUAAGAAGACGACACGGCGCAGAAAACCCAAAUUGCCACUUCUACUAGUAAUAAAAGAUACCUGUUUGAAAAGUAAUUAUAAACUAUCUUCUUUGUGUUAUUUCUCAAAACUUUUGUGGCACAAUGUUAUUUCCCUGGAGAAAAGUACGAAAUACCCCCUUUCACGUCGGCAGAAGCAAAGCAAAGCUAUGAGCUAUCUCUGUAUACUUGAAACGCCAUUGCUAAACGAUUCUCGAUGAUGGGUGCCACUGGGUCAGUGUUGUCUCUGAUUUACAUGAUUUAUUAGUUGUCCAGAUGCCAGAGAAACCAUGGUGGCAUUGAAGUUGCCCAGAUGGUUAGUUUUCUGAUCAUUUUUUUAUUCAAUUAUUUAUUUUUUUAGAAAAAUGUGAGAAAUAUGUAGAAAUGUUGACAGCUAUGAUUUUGAAACUUUGCCUAAAAUUGUUAUCAUCACUUAUUUAAAGAGAAAUCCUAGAAACAUGAAAUGAUUAGUAGCCUAAUUCAAAAUUAGACGUGAUUACAACAAGAGAAAAGUGGAGAGAACUUGAUAAUCGAGUGCAUUUAGAAUUUAAUUUUUCUUUUAGCUGCCGAUCAUUAAAUUUUCGAUUUCAGAAAAUUAUACCUAGAAUAUUUCAAGGAUAUACUAUGAAGAUUAUGAAGGUUUGAUUACAUGUCACUAUCAAUUGCCCCAAUCAUUUGUAGUAAAUUAAUUGAUCAUUUUGAUGCAAAUGAUUCCCUACUAAAAAAUUUAAGUCAAGGCUGAAUUGCAUAGUAGUUAGUCGCGCUUGCACUUCAAAUUAAGUAUUGUAUUUUCUGCCUGGUUUGGUUGAUUAAAGUGUGUGCAUUUGCUUUUGAACGUUGUAGUAUAGAAAUCGAAACAUUUGUUUUUCGCUAAGCCCAGAAGCAAAGUUCUUUGUACUGUACUCAUCACUUCUCUUCAUUCUCUUUGUUGAAAUUUUUUCCAAACAGCGGUUUCUUCGAAUUUGUGCCUUCUCUUCCACUUUUAAAUCUAUCAAAGAACCGUUACCUGAGAAGAUUGCCAUCAGGAAUUUCUAAAUUGAUUUCACUAUAAUACCUUAAUCUUUCAGAUACUCCCGUCACUGGGUUGCCAAAAGUGCUAAAAGCCUUCGUAAAUCCUACGUGUUUGAACUGGAGUACAAAUGUUAUCUCUCCACAAUUCCAAAACAACUGAUUUGUUACUUUUCAAUGCUACACGUUCUGCGAAUGUUCAGUUGUGGUUAUCUUGCUGAAAUACCAGAAAAUAGGGUUCUAGUUGGCGGUAGUGGAUUCUUGGUUGGGGAAUUGCUUAGUUUAAAACAUUUAGAUGUAUUAAGCAUCACCUUAAAAGGUUUUUCUUCUGUCCAAAAACUUAUGAGCUCCCAACAGUUUCAAAGCUGUACAAAAUGUUUGGAGCUUAUAGACUGUGAUGAUUCAAAGUCGUUUGCCUUGGCAGAGUUGAAGCAUCUUGAAAAACUAGGUUUUUCAAAUUGUGGAAAUUUGGAAGAUAAAUUACAUUUAUAAACUGUGGAUCGCCCUUUAUAAGUAUUAGGCUUAUCCCAUACUCGAGCAAUGUGGAAUACCUUUAUAAGCAUUAAGCCUCUCCCAUACAAUUUCUGUACAUGACUUUAAAAGUGGUUGAUGACCCGUUUUGUAAUAUCAUAGAGGGAUCAUGAAUUCCUUUUCUUUUCUGUGGCUAGGCAACACUUUUGGGCCAAAGUAAGGAAAUCUAUUUUAGGUAAUGUAAAAACCAGUUGUGGGAUGUAAUAGUUUAUUAUGCACUGACAACAACUUUUUGUAUAAUUGUCAGUUUAAUGAAUACGAGAGGAACUCUGUUGGCAAAUUCAUCCAUGAUAGAUGCUAAAAUUAUACCAGUUGCCUUAACUAAUUUUUCUCAACACUGGUAUUGAACAGGAAAAUGAAUAUGCAAUUUGUAUUUGUGCCAUUGUGGAGAAUUUGGAUAUUCUUAGUUUUAGUAACAAGGAGAGUAUUUGCCUCAUCUUUAAACAAUGAAUCUUUGAGAAAUGAGGACUGGGUGAUUGGCAGUGUCAGAGUGUCUUCAUGUAAAUGUUCAUUUAUUUGUAUUUUGAACUAUUAUUAGAAUCUUUAUAUGCCAAAUUAGUAAUACAAAUGUUCAGAUGAUUUUUCCUGGUGAUCAUUUCAUUCUUGAGAGCCAUGUACAAUACUAGGAUACCAGAGAAACCAAGGUAGCAUUGAAGUUGCCCCAGUGGCUAGUUUUCCGAUCAUUUUUUAUUCAAAUUUUUAUGUUUCAGAAAAAUGUAAGAAAUUUAUAGAAAUGUUGAUAGCUAUGAUUUUGAAACUUUGCCUAAAAUUGUUAUCAUCACUUAUUGUUUCUUAUUUAAAGAGAAAUCCUAGAAACGUGACAUGAUUAUUCCAUACUUGUUUUAAUAUUAUUUAUUAGCAGCCUAAUUCAAAAUUAGACGUGAUUAUUUGUUACUUUUAAUGCUACAUGUUCUGGGAAUAUUCAGUUGUGGUUAUCUUGUUGAAAUACCAGAAAAUAGCGUUCUAUUUGGUGGUAGUGGAUUCUUGGUUGGUUUGAAUGUAUUAAGCAUCACCUUAAAAGGUUUUUCUGCUGUCCAAAAACUUACGAGCCCCCAAAAGUUUCAAAGCUGUGCACAACCUUUGGAGCUUAUAGACUGUAGUGAUUCAAAGUUGUUUGCCUUCGCAGAGUUGAAGCAUCUUGAAAAACUAGGUUUUUCAAAUUGUGGAAAUUGGAAGAGUUUAAGUUCUGCUGUGUUGAGGAUGGAAAGGCUCGAGAAUGUUUUCGUGUGAACAGCUUCAACGAGUUAAGAUAAAGGCUUGUCAUAAAUUGAGGGAAGUGACAUGGCUUGUAUUUGCUCCGUAUCUUGAGGUUAUUCAAAUAGCCAAAUGUAUGGGGAUAGAAGUAAUAAUCAGUGCAAGGAAAUUGGGUGAAGUUCCAGAGAUGAUGGCAGAUCUAAACCCUUUUGCAAAACUCCAAUAUCUUGGCCCACGAGUUCUACCAAAAUUAAAAAGCAUCUAUUGGAAUCAGUUGCCCUCUCUACAUGUCAGGCGAAUUUUGUGUCUGAAUGCCCAAUUCUCAAGAAGCUUCCACUUGGUUUUAACAAUGCAAAGGAAUCUAAAACUAUCAUUAGGGGAGAAGAACACUGGUUGAAUGAGCUGCAAUGGGAGGACAAAGUGACCCUUAAUGUUCUUCUUCCUUGUUUCGGAUCCAUUUGAAGGCAUCAACAUGGAUUGAUACUUUGCAGUGGAGAAAUUUGAAUAAAACCUAUGGUAAGCGCUUUUCCAUUUAUUGCAUAUUUAUAUCUAACUUUUGUUUUCCUUUGUGGUUAAAUUUUGCUCUAUAUACGUUGUUGUACGGUGACAUUCUCAUAUCAAUUAUUAGCUUUUUAAUUCUCUUCUCACAUUAACUGCCCUUUUGAUCAUGUAGGAUAUGCUGAUGUCAAAGAGUCGUAAUUUGGGAUGCAAAUGUAAGAAUUAGACAGAUGACCAGUUGUUUUGAAGCGCUCGAAGAAGGAUUAAUUACGUCAUUGAAAGGCUCCAAUUUUGUGACUUUUUUUUUUAAUUUGUUGUUUUUUCUAUUUUUAGAUAGCUUGAUUGUCAGUUGUCGUGAUGUAAUGCUUUAGUGUAGAAAAAUGAUAUUCGGCCAAGACAACAUUAGCAGGGCACCUUGUGCAUGCAUACUAGUGGAUAAUUUCGGCAUGCUAAAUCCAAUUAGGGUGGAUGACCCUUUAUAAGCAUUAGGCUUCUCUCAUACCCGAAAACAAUGUAGAAUACGCUUAUAAGCUGCGGAUCACCCAUUAUAAGUUUUAGGCUUCUCCUUUACUCGAGCGAUGUGGAAUACCUUUAUAAGCAUUAAGCUUCUCCCAGUAUCUUUAUGUUAAAAAUAAUAAUAAUAAAAGAAAUCCAUUUUAAAAUAGACUCUUUUUUCUUUUUCUAUAUAAACAAAUGCAUUCUUCAAAUCAAUUGUGGGCAGAAGAAGUUAGUAGAAAAGAACUAGUCCCCUUUCAUUCCCCCUUAAAGCUCACCAAAGCCUCUUUUGUAAGCUUUUCGGAUUUUCUUUCUAUAUUGCUUAUGAUCUCAUUUUUGAUUGAAUCACUUCUUUUGCAUGCUGCAUAUUUUGUUUGUUGUAUUUGGAUAUUAUCGUAUCUGGAAUGCUGUUAUGAUUGAUGGAACAAGUAAUCGAUAUUUGGUCUGAUGGAAGUUGACUUAUUUAUUUAUUGUUAUUUUAAUUUGAAACUAUGUACAAUUGCAUUUCAUUCAUUUCUCUCUCUCCCCCCCCCCCCCCCCCACACACACACACAUAUAUUUGUUAUGUAUAAUUGCGUUUCAUUUGAUAUUGAUCAUGCUGUAGAUAACCAUGUGAUUGUAGAUGGGGAUUUCAAGUUUGUUGAAUAUUCAAGUAAGUGAAGUAACUGUCAAAAUACUAGUGAAAUUGGGAGCUUUAUUCAUGAGCUUGUGGUUUUGAAAAGUACCACAGUUCAACCGAUGAAGGUUCCUUUUUGGGGUUCUUCUUUUUCUAGGCUGCAAUUAGGAUAUGUACAUGUUAGACAAUCUUUUGCGGGUUUAGCAUAUCUUCUCUGAUUUUGUCUUUUAUUCCCCAAUCUUAUAAUUGCACACCAUGAAUGUUGAGUGAUUGUAUAGAAAAUUUGUGUUAUAACCAAAGCGUUGUGAAGGAGUUAAGUUAGUGGCUUCUGUUUUAUUGGCAUUGAUUGGGUAGAUUAUGUGUUACAGUGAUUCAAUUUGUGCUCCAAAGUUUGCUUUAAUUUCUUUUUUCCCUAAUUAUUUAUGUCAAAUUUAAAUCCAGAAGCAUGUACUGAUUUUUUCUUUUUGUAUUAAUCUGUGAAGGUUAUUUGGAAUGGAAGUAUCUGGGUUGGGUCUAACGGAUUAAAUUAUGACAUUGGGGGGAAGGCAGUAAAGGGUUUGCUCGACACAUUUGGUUCUGUGUUUACUUUGCAAGAAAUAGCUUUUGGUUAUCACAAUGCCGGUGGAAUCCCGAUUUGGCUCGUGAAUUUCUUUGUGACAAAUAGGCAAACACAUCAACCUCUUCUAUCCAUCCUUCUACUGGUAAGGCAAGGGGUAAAGAGUCUUCAAAAUCAUCAAAUAGUAACAUCUCUGAGAAUUCAUUUUAUGCAAAUGGAAAAUCUAGACCUUCUAAGACAAAAUGGCGUCCUGUAUCAGGAGGUACCGUUUCAAGUUUUCUUGGUAAAAAUUAUGUUAAACCUGCACAGCCAGCUAAUGGCACAUUUCUAGCAUCAAAGCCAUUGAAGUUGGAUCCAAAGGGGUUUCCCAUGUCUCCACUUUUGCGGAGAAGAUACUAAACUGAAACAAUCAAAGGAUGACCAUUUGCAGAAGGAUAUGGAAGAUUUUCUGUUUAAAUUGCUAGGAGAAGUGUUCCUAUUGUCCUUUUCAAUGUUCUUUCUUUCUUUCUCUUCUUUUCUUCUUCUUCUUCUUUUUUCUUUUUGUGUGCGUGUGAUCACUAAUUUGGUAUUGUAGUUUAGUUGCAGAUAGUUGUGGAUAUGAUAUGCAAAAGGUAAGGACUAUAUCUUCCUGAUGGAGGCCUCUGCUUUUUCCUUUAUGUGUAAUUUAAUAAAUUGCAUCUUCCUUUGUGAUUGUUAUAUCAUAUCAAAGACAAGUCUUAAAUACUGCUGUCAUAUGUUAAGGUUCAACUUGCAGUUUGAUUAACAUUCAUGGCUCAAAGGCCUGAAAAAACUUGCCAGUAAUUGUAAAAUGACAUUCUUUGCUUUUAAUGCAAUAGAGGGAACAGGGAAGUAUAGCUUUGGAAGCCUGGAUUGGUAACUAUAGAGAGACUUAGUAUUUAAUUGAUAAAAAUUCCCAUAACCCAAGGUCAAGAAAAUUUUAGAUCGUUAAAGACUUCAUUUUGUUUCGGCCAGAAAUGUUUGUUUCGAUCGAAGACUUGAACCAUUUCGAUUGAACCUGAUUAUGAUGCUUUACGUUAUGCAUGUUCCUCUUAAUCAAGAAAAGUUGAGGUGAUGAUUUUAUAUUUCUAUAUUGUAAGUUGAAAUAAUAAUUGGUCUGCUUGUUUCUGUAGCUUGAUAACAUGAAUUUUCCUUCUCAAGUUAAUUUAAUCAAUAAAGUAAUUCUUCAAAGAAAAUAUGCCCAUUCUAUAAUCAUUUUCUUAAUUAACAUGUUUUUUUCUUCACACUUCAGAGCAUGUUGAAACUAAUUGAUCGCUCGGCAGAGACUUUGGGUGAGAAGACAAAAUUUCUCGGUAAAUCCUCUGAAAAGGUAUGCAUAAUUCCGCAGUAUUAAAUAACCAAUGGUCAUAAUUUUUGUACAGGACUCUUUUCUUGUGGAGAUAAUUAAAAGUGGCUGAUGAUCCAGUUUGUAUAUCAUAGAGGGAGCAUCAAUUCCUUUUGUUUUCAGUGGCUAGGCAACACUUUCAGGGCAAAGUAAGGAAAUCUAUUUUAGGCAAGUAAAGCCAUGUAGAUGUAAUAGUUAACAUGCACUGACAAUAACUUUGUAUAAUGUCAGUGAACGAUACAAGAGGAAUCUGUUGACAAUCAUCCAAGAUAGAUGCUAAAAUUAUUAUGCAUGCCAGUUGCUUAAUAAUUUUCUUACACUGGUAUUGAAGAGGAAAAUGAAUAUGCAAUUUGUAUAUGUGCCAUGUGAGAAUUUGGAUAUCUAUCUAAGUAACAAGGAGAGUAUUGCCUCAUCUUUAGACAAUGAAUCUUGAGAAUUUGGAUAUUCAUGUAAAUGUUCAUUUGUUUGUAUUUUGAACUAUUAUGAGAAUCUUUUAUAUGCCAAAUUAGUAAUGCAAAUGUUCAGAUUAUUUUUUCUGUUGAUCGUGCAUUUGUGUCUGCACACAACCAUUGUAUAUCACUUCAUUCUGAUGCGCAAGUGUCUGUAGUUUAGAAGAAAAGAAAUAAUAAUGAUAUAUUAUUGCUUGAUUCAUGAUUAUUAAAUGAUUAUGGCUUUAAAAAACCUACAAAUUCCUUUUGUUGAUAUAUGAAUGUACCAAGUUUGCUAUAUCUUAGAUUACCAUUUCCAAGAUAACAAGUUCAAAUUUUUUCUUUAUCCUUUUCCUUCACAGUUGCAUUUUAAGUGUAAGAUUUGUUAUUAAUACCUGGUUUCCCGUCAUUAUGAUUUCAUAAACAGUGUAUGGGUAUGUGCUCUACUUUUGGAGGGCCUCCACGUGAAAGAAAAUUGUAACAAUUGAAUUCUUCCGGAUGGUAUGGUAUUUAAUUUAUUUUCUCAACCUCUUGUAAGACUAAUAUAUUUUCCUUUAGUAGACACGGCAUGGUGGGAAGGGUUUUUUAUUGAAAGAAUUCUGAUAUUUCUUAGACUUUGUUUUGGAAGGGGGUGCAGGGGUUUCUCAUCCAUAUAUGGUUACUUGAUUAGCUUUUGACUGUAUUGCCUCAAUCGUGCAAAGGAAGAUCCAAAUACAAACGAAAGAGAAUUGUUUAGACACCCAGAAGAUGGAAAUGAACUACAGAAGGAAGUUUUUGCUGCUUUAUUUAGUGCUCCUGAGAAAUCUGAUGAAUUUCCUGAAAUUACGGUGAAGACCAAGUGUGAGGUCCAAAGCAUUAGGAAAGGUGGUGAGUGAACUGCCGGAGCAAUUGGUACAGAAUACAAGGCUAAUGUGGUGGACUUGCAGCAAGAUAACCGGAACAGUACGUGCUCUUAUAUUAACUAUAUUGACUGGAUUUGCUAGUGUGUGCAUUUUCGUGUGUAUACUUUUGUAUUUAUGCAUAUUAAUGUGUGUAGGAUUCUUGAUUUCUGCCACUUAUUGGAGAACUAAUGGAAAGCUUUAUACUGGUAUAUCUGCAAUAACUAAUGGAAACUAUGAUAUUAAUAUUUUCUCUCGCUUGGAGAAUGCGUAACAGAUAUACUUUGUGGCUCUGGAAUACUAAAGAUUCUGCAAUAACUAAUGGAAACUAUGAUAUGAAUAUUUUCUCUCACCUGGAGAACUUUGUAACAGUUACACUUUGGGGCUUGGAAUGUCUAAAGAAUUUUGUCUGCUUCAGUUAGAUCAAAUAUCUUUUAGUUACAUACAUUAUAGAAAAGAUAAAGUUCUCUGAAUCUGAAAGACUUAAAAUUUUGCAUAUUUCUUGAUAGGGAAAUAUCUGUAGAUACUAGUUCAUGCAUUGUGGUAGCAUCAGUGUUAAAGAAAAACAGCAGUAAGUUAUUAUAUAGAAUUAGGUUCACUUGCUUUAAAUCCUGGUCUGGUCAACCAUAUGAACCUGUAAGUGGUUCUGUAGAAAUAUAUAUAUACGGGGAGAAAGUAGCUAAAUUUUCCUUUCAUUUAUGGGUUUGGUCAUUUUUUCCCCUUAUUUAUGUUUUCUCACACAUUUUUUAAAUGCCCCAGACAUGCAAUUUUGUAUGUGUCAAUUGCCUUUUAAGUUUUAAAAACCAUAAAGUAAGAAUACAGUUUCUUGUCAGGCUAUUGAUGCAUUUGCUCGGGGGGAUCAUGCUCGAGCAGGAAAACUUCUAGAACAGGUAAGGUUUCCAUCUACAGCCAUUUAUUGACAACAUAUAUAUUUUCAUUCAGCAAGCACUGUUAGCAUUCAAGAUGCUGGCAGAUUCACUUGAUUCUUAUUAGUUUGUUUAGUAGCAAAGCAUAUAACCUGUAUUUUAAAGCUAAGUUGUGCUAUUGAUUAUGUUAACUUUAUUGUUCACAUAAAGUGAUAUUGAGGAAAUAAUCAAUGUAGGAAAAUUAGGUGAAGAGAUGAUGUCAAAUCUUGAACCUCUUACAAAACUCCAAGUUCUUUACUUGAAGAAGCUACCAAAUUCGAACAGCAUCUACUGGAAGGCCUUGCCAUUCCCUGAUGUAUGCAGAAUUUUUGUAUUUAAAUGCCCAGAGCUUAAGAAGCUGCCACUGGAUCUUGAGAGGGCAGGCCAAGGUAAAAUUCUUAUCAAGGGAAAGAAAGAUGGGUGGAAACAACUUCAAUGGGAGGAUCAAGUAACUCAGAAUGCAUUGCUUUCAUUUUAAAAAUCAACCAACAAGUGAUUGAAGGGGGCAUCAUCAACGUAAUCAACAUGGAUGGAGAGAUUCUGGAGCAGAUCAGCGGGGUUUAGUACGACCUGUGGUGGUUUCUUUUUUGUGACUUUUUUGCCUUUCAUUUUUUCACUUCCUGUCAUAUUAUCAUUUCUUUGUCUGUGUUUCUAUUGCUAGUGUUGCUGCAUGCUUGCUGUCCUUGACAAAGUUAGCUAGUUUUUUUUGUUUAUUAAAUUUUGUAUGUUCGGUCGGGACAGUCACAAAGUACUACUUGUUCUAUAUGGGGGUGAUGUGAAUCAACUUUUCAAUUAUAUAUUCUGUGGUAAUUGUGAAUUCAAUUUCAUUUAUCUCCUGCAAAUUAUGAAGAAAGUGCAGAGUUACAAUAUGGAAAAGUUCACUGGCAAAUACUUUGUAAAAGCUUCGGAGUGAAACAGGAAAUGCACUUGCAACUAAGGACAAAUUGGUGGCCGGCUAAUGCAUUCAUUUUAGGGAAAAGGACACAGACCCUCAACGUUUUAAUAAGGGACAUAAAACUCCCUAAUAUUUUAAAAAAAAUACUCAAACCCCCAUUUGUUAAUAGUAAAUUCUAAGUUUAAAGUGUAAUUACCAUUAUACCUUUAUAGCAUAUUAAAAAAUAAUUAUUCAUUAUUCAAUUUAUUCUUAUAUUAUUAAUAAAAUUACGAAUAUAAUUUCAUUAUCUAAUUUUUUCAUUUAAUUUUUGUUAAAUUUUCUCUUCAAACUAAAUAAAUUUAAUCCAUUGCUUAAGAAUAAAAAUAAAUUAAAUUGAUUACUAAUAUAAUAAAAAUAACAUAUAUUUAAUAUAAAAAUAACAUAUAUUAAAUUAAAAUAAAUUUAAUUUAUAUAUAGAGAAUUGUUAUUUUUAAGAAAUUAUCAAUUUAAUUUAUAUAUAAGAAAUUAUAAGAAAUAACAUAUGGAGAAUUGUUAUUUUUAUUAUAUUAAUAAUCAAUUUAAUUUAUUUUUAUUUUUGAGCAAUGGAUUAAAUUUAUUUAGUUUGAAGAGAAAAUUUGAUAAAAAUUAAAUGGAAAAAUUGGGUAAUGAAGUUAUAUUCAUAAUUUUAUUAAUAAUAUAGGAAUAAAUUAGAUAAUGAACAAUUAUUUUUUAAUAUGCUAUAAGGGUAUAAUGGUAAUUGUACUUUAAAAUUAGAAUUUACUGUUAACAAAUAGGGGUCUGAGUGUCUUUUUUGAAACAUUAGGAAAUUUUGUGUCUCUUAUUCAAACGUUGGGGGUUUCUGUGUUAUUUUCCCUUCAUUUUAUGUACAUUCAUCUUUUUAAUUAUUGAAGAUAAGUGGUUCGUUGCUUUUGUUGUAGAUAAAAUUCAGACGACCUCAAUUGUGACAUGACAAUAUUUAAAACAUCUCUUAAAUUAUUAUAAAUUUAAUUUAUCUUAACUUUAUUGAAAAGAUAAAAGAAAAAUGUGGUGUAUGGAUAAAUUUUUUUUUAUCUUCUUAAUCAAAUGGAAUAAAUUAAAAUUUACAAUAAUUUAAAAUAUUUUAAAAAUUAUUAUUUCAUAAGAGAUUAAUAUGAAAUUAAUCGUUUUUACUUUUUUAAUGUGAAAGGACAAGAAAAGAGAAAGCAUGUGUCCCUGCUUUUUAGUUUUUAUUUUAUUUGAAAUCGGAGUUAUCCCAUAUACUUUACUAAUUUAGCUCUAACAUUACAAUGUUUUUAGGCUACACUUUUAUUUUUCUUUUUCCCCCUUUUUUUAUACAUGCAUGUGGAUUACUUUUCUCUAAGCUCCUUAAUAUUUAAGACAAAUCAUAAAAGCAAUUGAAGUAUAACAAGAUGAUCAAAACAUUUAACCAAAAAAAAAGAAAGAAAAAAGAAAGAAAACAUUGAAAAUGGAGAUGUUGAUUAAUUUAGAAGAGAUGCAAGCAAAAGAUAUUCCCAAAAAAAAGAAAAAAAGAAAAAAACAACGUUAGUUCAUCCAUGUCUGUCAAUGCGUUUUUUAUGGUUUUUUUUUUCCAGUUGUUUGUUGUAAUAGAUUGAUUGUAAAUUGAUAUGAAUUUGAUGUUGUAAUAUGUUCGCUUUUGUGGAAUUAAAUUUGAAUAUUCAAGAUUAUUCAAGUCUUAUCUAGUAUGUGUUCAAUUGUGUUGUCGAUAAUUUUGCAUUCGAAUAAUUUUUCACCUAAAAUAUUAGCAUGAGUAGUAGUCCUUGAAAUUUUGGUCAAAAUUAUUGUUAUUGUUUGUUUUAGAGGAAAUUUUUUUAUUAAAGCCUCGUUAACACUAUACCUUAUUAAGAUUAUAAGUUAGUGUCAGUGCAGGAUUUACAGCAACAAAUCUUGUCUAGCCACGUGUCAAAAGUACAAAUAAAUCAAGAGUAAGCACAUGACAUGGAUUAGGAUCCAAUAAGAUUUAAAUCCCAAGGAAAAGGACAAUUGUAUCCUAAAGUUUCAAUAAGAGAUACUGAGAUAUCUUUUGACUAAUGUUAUUUUUUUAGCUUUAUUAAUAAAAAGAUCAAAUAGUUUAUAACAAAUAAAAAUAUAGUAUGAAGCUAAAUGUGAUAAUAUAUACAUUUUACAUAAUUUCAAUAAAAAAAAUUUCAAUAAAAAACAUUUUAAUGUUUUACGAUCUAUUAGACAUAUUUUAUUAAAUUAAUAGGAAUUUUCUGAUAAAUAGCAACAUAAUAUUAAAAUAAAUUUAUAAAGAUUUAAAUGUAAAAUAAUUUUAGUAUAAUUAAUACGUGGGAUAUAUUUUGUAAAUUAUAAAAUUACUUAACCCAAUGAUUUUUAAAAAUCUUUAAAAUAAAUAAAAAUAAAUUAUUCACAUUUUGAUGUAAAUAUUUAAAACAUUUUUAUACAUUAGUCCACAAUUAUUUAUGUUAUAUUUGUAUUUAUUAGAAAUUUUGAAAGUCAAAUGUUUUUCACCUCUAUCUUAUUAGAAUUAUUGCACACAGAGAAAGAGCCAUAUAUGCUUUAUAGCUUUAAAAUCGAUUUGUUUUAUAGCUGGGAACAGAGAUGAUCAUUAUUAUAAGGAUUAAAAAAAAGAUAAAGAAUAUUAAUGAUUAGCGAAAUCUCUAUGGAAAUUGAAUUUAGUAAGAAAAAAUUGAGCUGAUUUUAGCGGUAUAGUAAUAUUUUAUAUAGAGAAAAGUAAAAGCUGCACCCAAGGUUAAGGGAAAUGGUCAAAACUCUUUUUUAAUCAUAAUACUCUUUUUCCUACAUAAUUUAAAAAUUUGACAUUAAUAUUUUAUAAUAAAUAAAAACAUAUAAUCCUAAAAUAAAUAAAAUAAUAUAUAUUUUAAAAUAAUCUCAAUAUUUAAAAUAUAUUUUAACAUUUUAUAGUCUAUCAGAUAUAUUUUAUUUUUUUUAAAGUAAAUUUUAUAAUAAAUACAAAACAUACUAUUAAAAUAGAUAUAAAAAUUUUAAAGUAUUUUGAAUAUUAUAUAAAAUAACUUUAAUAUUGUUAAUGCGUGAGAUGCAUUUUAUUAAUUAAAAAUUCUAUUUAACCCAAAGAUUUAUUUAUAAUAAAUUAAUAAUCAUAUUUUUGAAAUUAUUUUAAAUAUUAAAAAAUAUUUUAAUAUUACUAACUAUUAGAUAGACUAAACUAUUUAUAUUAUUUUCUAUUUAUUAUAAAAUUUCAAAGUUAAUCUUUUUAACUACUAUUCAAAAGAUAUUAUGAUAAAAACAGAAUUUUUCUGUUUUAUUAAAAAUUUAGAGUUUACACCUAUUUUUUCAAAUAUUCGGGGUGUAACUGUUUUAUUUAAAUAAAAUCUCAGUUAAAAAUGUACAGAGAAGAAAUUUCUGUUGGUAUUUUAGUCUUUUACCAAUUAUCACGAUUAGGCCUUGGCCUUGAAACAUUAAUUGUUUCACUUUUAGCGCUAGUGGCGUUGAAAGUUGUCAAGAAAAAGCAAGACCAUAUUCCACAAAAGCAGCUCUUUUAUUAAAGGCAAAGUAUAAAGUAGUCAAGAAUCGAAUAUCCUGUCGUCUACUCUUUUUUAAAUUCUUCUUUUAUUAUCUUUUAGAAUAGUUUUUGGUAAUUACAAUCAUUAUUCAGAGUUAUUGUUAUCUUCUGGGGCAGUCUCUGUUCAUCGAAGUCGUUACCUUUUUUUCAUGGAUCAGUUCCAGUGCCAAGCAGUAAUUUUCUUAGAACUCGGAUCUUUAAUUCGAGUUUCUUUGUGAAUUAAUAAUAAAAAAUUUUCAUUACACGCAAUUUAAGCUACGAAUUACUUUUUGCAAAGUUGAAUAUGAAAUUGGAGAAAUUAAAUAAUUUAGAAUGUUGGUAAAAAUUGACUAACAUAUCCCCAAUUACAGUAAAACCUCUCUACAGUCAUAACAUUAUAACAAAAUUAAUUUUAUUACUAUGUUGAGGUAAUAUAGGUUUAGUUACAAAAUUAUUGUUUUAAUAUGGUUAGUGUCAAGUGAUAUAAAGGUUAAGUAUGCAGUACAUUGAUAAUUAAAUAAUGAAGCGUGUCAAAUCUAACGUAUAUAUAUUAAUGAUAUAGAUAGACAUAGUUUUAAAAAACUAAUUAAUGUAUAUUUAUGUACUGUUAUGAAUAUGGAAAGUCAAGCCUACACUUUACAUUAUCCUUAAUUUUUUCUCUCAGUUAAAUUCUACAAAUAUUGUACAAUGAUUGGGUAAGAACUCUAAAUUAAGAAUAAAUUAUUGUCACAAAUAAUUUUAAAAAAUAUUUUAUUUCAUCUUAAACCUUUAAUGUAAGUAAAUAUAUAUAUAUGUGUGUGUGUGUGUGCAUAUUUUGCAAGGUAUAGAUAAUUGUUAGUAUAUGGAGACAAGUCUUUUAAGGUAGGACCUAGGAAAAUUUAUAACUUACUACAUUGGGGAGUUUUUAUUCCUUUUUAUAAUUGGCUCAUAUUGAUACAUUCUUACACAAAAUAUUACCAUUGACAUAUUUUACUACAAUUGGUUUAGAACAUUUGUUAGGAAAAAAAAAAGAAAAGAAAACAUUCAUUGGAUGUAGCUCUCCCUCGUAUGCUUUUUUCUCCAAAUAUUCCUGCGUCCACAGAAACAAGUCAGAGCACGCCGGUUGUUUUCCCGGCGUAAACCCUCUGACGCUCAAGUCAGAUAUGAAGGCUCUGGGAAUGCUUGCCACAGAUCUUAUGGUUUUUCUGUAGUUUCUAUUCUUUAGAGUUUCAUUUAUCUCUGAAUAUAAUCUCAAAAAUGCUAACCCUUUUACCUUCCUUGGCUACCUUUUUAUAGGCUUCCUCUGAAUCCCGGUCUUCCGUAGUCCACGCCCGUUAUUCUCCCCACCCUCGGAUGUGGAUGCCCCAUUAUCGCCAUUGUGGGCGAAUGGAGAUGGACUUCGUGCCUUGAUUCUCGGAUAGGAAUGCACGUCUUGCCAACUGUCGUUGACUGGGUCUCCUCGCCUCUCGACCUCUAGCCGGAAUGGCCUUAUGCCUCUAACAAGAGUUCGACCUCGUGAAUGGCAUACUCGCGGACGAGCCGAAUAUUUCUGCUCAUGUUCCCCUGCUACCUGGCUCUUACAGGACAUACCUGUUCGCAGAACUCCGCCAUCAAAUAUCUGCUCAUCACGUCUGGUCUCGUUGAAGUAUUUCCCUCAAACAACAUAUUUUACUACAAUUAGUUUAGAACAUUUGUUAGGAAAAAAAAAGAAAAGAAAACAUUCCUUGGAUGUAGCUCUCCUGACUAUUUAAAUCUUUUAAGGAAAAAAAGAAAAAAGAAAAACUGACACAUUCAAAUCUUGAAGCAAUUACAUUAAAACCUCUCCAUAAUGAUAGGAAUAAUCUCCAUUUAGUAAUAAAAAAUUUUGUUCGCAAUCUAGGCAGAGUUAUAAAUAAGAAUAAAAUCCUCAUUGUAAUAAGUUGUAUUUAUUAUGGAUCCCAUCCUAAGGAACUUGUCUCUAUAUAGUAAUAAUUAUUUGCAUAUUAUAAAUAUAUAUGUUGCAUUAGAUUAAAUGAACUUGUCUCCACAUACUACUUAGACAAUGAGAGAAAGUUAUUAAAGAGAACACAAAUAUUUAGAGAUUUUUAAGAUUACUUUGCAUGUUUAUAACAAUAAUACAUUGAUAUAUGUAUUAGUUUUUUGAUAUAUUAGAUUUGACAUGCUCUAUUAAUAAAUUAUUAAUACGAUGCAAACUUCAUCUCUCUAUCCUUGCAAUAAAAGUAACUAAGUUAUAACAAUAAUUAUUAAUAAAUUAUUAAUACGAUGCGUACUUCAUCUCUAUAUCCUUGCAAUAAAAGUAACUAAGUUAUAACGAUAAUUUUUGUAACUACAUGCUUAUUAGGUUUUAACUACUUCAUAAUAAUAAAUUAAUUUCGUCCUAAUAUUAUAAUUAUGUAGAGUUGUAGUGUAUAGACACACCCAAUUUAAAUAGUAAAUCAAAUAAAAUUGUCCCCACAAAAAAGAAAAAAGGGGUAAAGGAUUGUUAUUUCUUCAAACAUUAGGAGCACGUUUGUUCAAGUGCGAUGCCUUUCUUUUGAAGGCAACGUCAGUGGGUACCCAAUAGGACGUGUGUAAAUCUUUCCAAAAUUUCUCCGGUAUAACGGACAGAGAUCAUUACUUUUCUCUUCCAUAGACCACAGCAGCUUCAGUUAAUCAGACUCAAUCAAUUUUCUUGGUUUCUUCGCUUAUCAAAAUUCCAAAAUAUGGGUAGCAUAUUUCAAAUCACAUGCGAUGGUGCUUUUUUCAAUCGUUGCUUGGAUUGCUUUCUUGGAAAAGUAGCAAACACAAGUAAGCUCCAAGAUAACCUUGUUGCCUUGGAGACUGAAUUGGGAAAACUAAUCGUAGCAAAGAACGAUGUGAUGAUGAGGAUUGUCAAUGCUGAACGGCAACAACUGAGAACGCUGGACCAAGUGCAAGUGUGGCUUUCGAGGGUGGAAGCUGUUAAAACUGAAGCUGAUGAAUUGAUAAGACACGGCUCUCAAGAAAUUGACAAAUUAUGUGUUGGAGGCUACUGUUCCAAGCACUGCGCGUCAAGCUACAAGUUCGGGAAACAAGUGGCUAAAAAGCUACGGGAUGUGCAGACUUUAAUCGGCGAAGGAGUUUUUGCGGCGGUGGCUACUGAGGUGGUGCCUGAGAGAGCUCCAGAACCUGUAGCAGAUGAAAGACCCACUGUGCCAACAAUAGUAGGCUUGCAAUCACAACUUGAACAAGUUUGGAGAUGUCUUGUAGAAGAAUCAGUGGGAAUCAUUGGCCUAUAUGGUAUGGGCGGUGUUGGUAAAACUACACUAUUGACCCAUAUCAACAAUAAAUUUCUUGAGAGUCGAACCAGUUUUGAUUGUGUGAUUUGGGCCGUAGUUUCAAAGGACUUGCAACUCGAAAAAAUUCAAGAAGAUAUUGGGAAAAAGAUCGGUUUGGUUGAUGAUUCAUGGAAGAGUAAAAGUGUAGAGGAGAAAGCUCUCGACAUCUUCCGGAGUUUAAGAGAGAAGAGAAUUGUAUUGUUGUUAGAUGAUAUAUGGGAGCGGGUUGAUUUAACAAAAGUGGGCAUUCCACUUUCGGGACCAAAGAAUACUACCUCAAAAGUCGUAUUCACAACCCGUUUCAUCGAUGUUUGUGGUAGCAUGGAAGCUGACAAGAAGUUCCAAGUGGCAUGCUUAUCAGAAGAGCAUGCUUGGGAACUGUUUCGAAAAAAAGUUGGGGAAGAAACUCUUGAGAGUGAUCAUGAUAUCGUUGAGCUAGCCCAAACUGUGGCCAAAGAGUGUGGUGGUUUGCCACUCGCACUUAUUACUAUUGGUCGAGCUAUGGCCUGCAAAAGGACAGCCGAGGAGUGGAGACACGCAGUUGAAGUGCUAAGAAGAUCAGCUUCUGAGUUUGCAGGUUUGGGAAAAGAGGUGUAUCCUCUUUUAAAGUUUAGCUAUGAUAGUUUGCAGAAUGAGACGAUUAAAUCUUGUUUCUUAUAUUGUUGUUUAUAUCCCGAGGAUUAUGGCAUUCUUAAAUGGGACUUGAUUGAUUGUUGGAUUGGUGAGGGAUUCUUAGAGGAAUCUGACAGGUUUGGUGCAGAAAACCAAGGAUACUACAUUGUGGGCACUCUUGUUCAUGCGUGUUUACUAGAAGAGAUAGAAGAUGAUAAAGUAAAAAUGCAUGACGUUGUUCGUGAUAUGGCUUUAUGGAUAGCUUGUGAAAUUGAGAAGGAGAAGAGAAACUUUUUGGUUUGUGCAGGUGCUGGAGUAGGAGCGGUACCAGAUGUUGAAGGAUGGGAAAAUGUGAGAAGAUUGUCAUUGAUGCAAAACCAAAUUGAAAUUCUGUCAGAGGUUCCCACAUGCCCUCAUCUCCUCACUUUAUUUCUUGACUUUAAUUAUAAAUUGGAGAUGAUCACUGAUGGCUUCUUCCAAUGUAUGCCUUCUCUCAAAGUUUUGAAGAUGUCAAACUGUGGGCAUGUCAAAGUUUUGAAAUUACCUUUUGGGAUGUCAAAGUUGGGUUCACUACAACUUCUUGAUAUUUCACAUACCGGCAUAAGAGAGUUACCAGAAGAGUUAAAGUUGUUGGUAAAUCUGAAAUGUUUGAAUUUGAGGUGGACACAUAUGUUAAAUAAAAUUCCACGGCAGCUAAUAUCAAAUUCUUCAUGGUUACGUGUGUUGAGAAUGUUCGCUAUUGGCUUUGAAAAUUCUAAAGAACCAUCAGAAGACAGCGUUUUAAUUGGUGGGGGUGAAGUUUUAGUACAGGAAUUGCUCGGUUUGAAAUAUUUAGAGGUAUUGGAGUUGACCUUGCGAAGUUAUCAUGCUCUCCAUUCUUUUUUGAGCUCAAAUAAGUUAAAAAGUUGUAUUCGAUCUCUUUUCCUCAAUAAGCUGGGAGAUACAAAGUCGAUUGAUGCUACGGCUUUGGCAGAUCUAAAGCAUCUCAAUGAAUUAUAUAUUCUUUUUUUUNNNNNNNNNNNNNNNNNNNNNNNNNNNNNNNNNNNNNNNNNNNNNNNNNNNNNNNNNNNNNNNNNNNNNNNNNNNNNNNNNNNNNNNNNNNNNNNNNNNNNNNNNNNNNNNNNNNNNNNNNNNNNNNNNNNNNNNNNNNNNNNNNNNUCUUUCGCUAUACGGUUGUAAUGCUGUGGAAGAAAUAAUCAGCGUUGGGAAAUUUGCUGAGGUUCCUGAGAUGAUGGGACAUAUAAGCCCUUUUCAGAAUCUCCAAAAGCUUGAUUUAUCACAUUUGCCAGCUUUGAAGAGCAUCUACUGGAAGCCAUUGCCUUUCGCUCAUCUGAAAGAAAUGGUGGUGCAUUGGUGUGAUCGGCUUAAAAAGCUUCCGCUCGAUUCCAACAGUGCAAAAGAGCGUAAAUUUGUUAUUCGUGGAAGAGCAGACUGGUGGAACCGUCUUCAAUGGGAGGAUGAAGCCACUCAAAUUGCUUUCCAUUCCUGUUUCCACCUAAUGAAAUAUAAAUUCCUUAGCGGUGGUUGCAAAAUUUGAUUUCUAGUGAGUGCUUUUUUCUUAAACUCUUACAUUUAUUUCAGAUUCGUUUUUUGUCUCCUGCAAAUCACAAUUAAAUGCUGAAUUAUAUGGAGUCAAUGCUUUAGAAAAUUUUCAAGGCACUGCCAUUUCCUUUUUUCCAUUUUUUUUUGGGUCGAAUUGAUGCUCUGGCUUUUUACUUUUUGUUGUCAAAUUUUGCUCUGUUUUUUCAAGUUGAUGCUUGAAUAGUUGAAUUCAAUUAAUGCUCACAUAAAUUUGUUUAGUUGCCGUAAAAGGAUAUAAUUAGACUGAAGUACACACUUCUAGAAUGAAUACAAAAUGUUAAGUAUACUAGCCCUCUUUACAGAAAAUCAAAUGAAAAUCAAUUUUUUGGGGCUUUGAUUUUCUAUGGUCUAUUAUAUACUCUUUUUAAUAUCUUCUGUUCUAACUAUAACCAAAUCCUUUGUUCAAGGAUUUUUAUUUGGGGUAUUGAUAACUAUCCACCAAAAGAGUGAACACUUGGAUGCUGCUCAAGGAUCUCUAAUCAAUAGCUGGAAGCAACUGAGAAGGCGGUCGCUGCUGUUUACAAAGUGAUGCAGUAUUUGCCAUUCAUCUUAAUAAUUAUGAAGCUUUGGUAAAAUUUUCAAACAAAAUUGAACAUGUUGUUUGAGAUUUGGUUCAUGAUUUUGGAUGAAUAUCGUUGUUCCGUUUGAGUUGGAUGUGAAUUCAAAAUCUAUAUAUUCUUUGGUUUUCAAGUCUGAACUCAAUUUCUUUUUCUCAAGCAUGUUAUGCAGAAAUGAUUUUUACUAAAUCAUUUUUGAUGAAUUGUUUAAAUUAAACACUUGGAAUAAGAAUUGUAAACGUUUAUCAUAAGCAUGCUAAUAUGAUAAAUUGUUUUAUGAACGACUAAUUAAUUAAUCAAUUAAUAUUAAAUUAUAUAUUAAUCAAUUAGAUAUGCGUUACAUGUCAUGUUUAAAAACUAUUUAUUUAUAUUUCAAACAAAUUUGACUGGAUGUUGUGUAGGUAAUACUACAUAAUUUCAAAACAAAAAAAAGUAAUAAAAACACGUUAAAUUUUGUUUUUAUGAAGAAAAAUUUAAAAUUUUAUUAAAUAGGUGAAAAUAAUAAAUGGAUUCGUGUAUGGUUUGAGAUUCUUGACAUAAUUAUGAAAUAAGCCGGAUUCGACUUAGUUCAAUUUUGACGCGAUAAGAAGACGACACCACACAAACACACGACAAGAACCGUUACCUGAGAAGAUUGCCAUCAGGAAUUUUGAAAUUGAUUUCACUACAAUAUCUUAAUCUUUCAGAUACUCCCAUCACUGAGCUGCCAUAAGAGCUAAAAGCCUUGGUAAAUCUUAAGUGUUUGAACUGUACACAAAUUAUCUCUCUACAAUUCAAAAACAACUGAUUUGUUACUUUUCAAUGCUACAUGUUCUGCGAAUAUUGAGUUGUGGUUAUCUUGUUGAAAUAUCAGAAAAUAGAGUUCUAUUUGGUGGUAGUGAAUUGUUGGUUGGGGAGUUACCUAGUUUAAAACGUUUAAAUGUAUUAAGCAUCACCUUACAAGGUUUUUCUGCUGUCCAAAAACUUAUGAGCUCUCAAAAGUUUCAAAGCUGUACAAAAUGUUUGGAGCUUAUAGACUGUGAUGAUUCAAAGUCUUUUGCCUUGGCAGAGUUGAAGCAUCUCGAGAAACUAGUUUUUCGAAUUGUGGAAGAGUUUAAGUUCUGCUGUGUUGAAGUUGGAAAAGCUCAAGAAUGUUUUCGUUUGAACAGCUUUCCCCGAGGUAAUAUAAAGGCUUGUCAUAAAUUGAGGGACGUGACAUGGCUUGUAUUUGCUCCAAAUCUUACGGUUAUUCAAUAGAAAAAUAUAUGCAGAUGGAAGUAAUAAUCAGUGCAAGGAAAUUGGGUGAAGUUCCAGGGAUGAUGGCAGAUCUAAACCCUUUUGCAAAACUCCAGUAUCUUCGUCUGCGAGUUCUACCAAAAUUAAAAAGCGUCUAUUGGAAUGAGUCACCCUUUCCACAUGUCAGGGAAAUUAUUGUAUCUGAAUGCCCAAUUCUCAAGAAGCUUUCACUCGGUUUUAACAAUGCAAAGGAAUCUAAAAUUGUCAUUUAUUACAUGUUUAUAUCUAACUUUUGUUUUCCUUUAUGGUUAAAUUUUACUUUAUAUAUGUUGUUAUACGGUGACAUUCUCGCAUCAAUUGUUAGCUUUUUAAUUCUCUUCUCCCAUUAAUUGCCCUUCUGAUCAUGUAAGAUAUGCCGAUGUCAAAGAGUAGUAAGUUGGGAUACAAAUGUAAGAAUUAACCAGAUGACAUGUUGUUUUGAAGCUCUCGGAGAAGGACUAAUUAUGUCAUUCAAAGCAUCCAAUUUCGCUACUUUUUUUUUCAUUUGUUGCUUUUUCUAUUUUUAGAGAGCUUGAUUGUCAGUUGUCGUAAUGUAAUGUUUUAGUGUAGAAAAAUGAUAUUCGGCCAAGACAUCAAUAGGAGGGCACAUUGUGCAUGCACACUAGUGGAUGAUUUCGGCAUGCCGAAUCCAAUUAGUGUGGAUAACCCUUUAUAAGCAAUUGGCUUCUCUCAUACCAGAGCAAUGUAGAAUAUAUUUAUAAACUGUGGAUUACUCUUUAUUAGGCUUCUUCUAUACUCGAGCAAUGUGGAAUACCUUUAUAAGCAAUAAGCUUCUCCCCUACACUUUAUGUUAAUAAUAAUAAUAAUAAAAUAAAUCCAUUUUAAAAUAGACUUUUUUUUUCUUUUUCUAUAUAAACAAAAUGCAUUCUUCAAAUCAAUAGUGGGUGGAAGAAGUGAGUAGAGAAGAACUAGUCCCCUUUCAUUCCCCUAAAACCUCACCGAAACCUCUCUUGUGAACUUCUCAGAUUCUCUCUCAAUAUUUCUUAUGAUCUCGUUUUUGAUAGAAUCACUUCUUUUGCAUGUUGCAUUUGGUGUGUCUUUUUUGGGUAAUAUCUUAUCUGGAAUGCUGUCAUGAUCAAUAGAACAAGUAAUCAAUUUUUGGCUUGACGGAAGUCGAUUUAUUUAUUUACUAUUAUUUUUAUUUGAAAUUUUGUACAAUUGUGUUUCAUUCAUUUCUUUCCUUUUUUUUUAAUAUUUAUUAUGUAUAAUUGUGUUUCAUUUGAUAUUGAUCAUACUCUAGAUAACUAUGUGAUUGUAGCUGGGGAUUUUAAGUUUUGUGAAUUCAAGAAACUGUCAAAAUGCUAGUGAAAUUGGGACCUUUAUUCAUAAGCUUGUGGUUUUGAAAAGUAGCCCGGUUCAACUGAUGAAGUUCCUUUUUGGGAUUCUUUUUUUUCCUAGGCUGCAAUUCGGAUAUGUACCUGAUAGACAAUCUUUUGUGGGUUUAGCAUAUCUUCUCGGAUUUUGUCUUUUAUUCCUCGAUUUUAUAAUUACACACCAUGAAUGUUGAGUGAUUGUAUAGAAAAUUUGUGUUAUAACCAAAGCAUUGUGAAGGAGUUAAGUUAGUGGCUUCUGUUUUAUUGGCAUUGAUUGGGUAGAUUACGUGUUACAGUGAUUCAAUUUGUGAUCCAAACUUUGUUUAAAUUUCUGUUUUCCCAAAUUAUUUAUGUCAAAUUCAAAACCAGAAGCAUGUGCUGAUUUUUUCUUUUUGUAUUAAUCUGUGAAGUUUAUUUGGAAAGGAAGUAUCUGGGUCUAAUGGAUUAAAUUAUGUAAGUGGCAGAAAUUCCUACACACAUAAAUAUGCAUAAAUACAAAAGUAUACACAAAAAAAUGCACACACUCAUACAUCCAGUCAAUAUAGUUAAUGUAAGAGCACAUACCGGUUUGGUUAUCUUGCUGCAAGUGCACCGCAUUAGCCUUGCAUUCUGGUGCCAACUCCUCCGGCGGUUCACUCACUACCUUUCCCAAUGCUUUGGACCUCCAUUCGGUCUCCAUCAGAUUUCUCAGGAGCACUAAAUAAAGCAGCUAAAACUUGCUUCUGUAGUUCAUUUCUGUCUUUCGGGUGUCUAGGCAAUUUUCCUUCGUCGGUAUUUCGAUCUUCCUUUACAUGACUGAGGAAAUACAGUCAAAAGCUAAUCAAGUAACCAUAUAUGGAUGAGAAAUCCCUCCACCCCCCUUCCAAAACAAAUUCUAAGAAAUAUCAGAAUUCUUUCAAUAAAAACCCUUCCCCCCAUGCUGUGCCUGCUGAAUGAAAUAUAUUAAUCUUACGAGAAGUUGAGAAAAUAAAUUAAAGAACAUACCCUCCGGAAGAAUUCAAUUGUUGCAAUUUUCUUUCACGUGGAGGUCCUCCAAAGUUAGAGCACAUAUCCGUACACUGUUUAUGAAAUCAUAAUAACAGGGGACCAGAUAUUAAUAACAAAUCUUGACACCUAAAAGUCAACUGUGAUGAAAAACAUUAAAAAGAAUAUGAACUUGUUAUCUUGGAAGAAGAUAAUUUAAGAUAUAGCAAACUUGGCACAUUCAUAUAUGAACAGAAGGAAUUUGUAGACGUUUUAAAGCCAUAAUCGUUUAAUAAUCAUGAACCAAGCAAUAAUAGAUGAUUAUUAUGUUGGGUGCAAGCGGAAGUGCAGAAAAAUUUUUAUUUAAGAUCAGAGUAUUUUGCUGGAAAUUUCUGAAACUUUAUUGCUUAAUUCAUUUUUUCGUUUCUCUCUUACUUUUCAUACAACCAGAGUUCUAUAUUUAUAUGCAUUAUAGACAACUCUAGAGAUUACAUUAAUCAUGCUUUACAUUUCCAAAGCCACAUUGCAAACAUCAAUUCUACCCUUUACUUCACGUUGAAAAACAAACCAAAUAAUCCUUCAAACUUCUUGCUCAAUUUACUAGAUUACUAAUUAUAUCUCAACACCCCCUCUUAAUUAGUAAUCUUCAAUUGCUUCUUGAAUUUUUCAAACUUCUCAAUAAUGAUUGCUUUGGUCAGAAAAUCUGCUGGCUGCUCAUUAGUGCUGAUAAACUCCAUAUUAACUUCUCCUUUGCUUACUAAGUCACGGAUGUAGUGAUAACGCAGCUCAAUGUGCUUAGAUUUAGCAUGAAAUACGAGGUUCUUUGUUAGAGCAAUGGCUGACAUGUUGUCACAAUAAAUUGUUGUUGCAGCAUCUUGAUUGAACUGCAAAUCCUUGAGAAUUCUUCUAAGCCAAACGGCUUCACAAGCUGAUUCAGUUGCUGCAAUGUACUCUGCCUCGGCUGAGGAUAAAGCUACUGACUUCUGCUUCCUUGAGCUCCAUGAAAUCACAUUUGUACCAAGACAAAAUAAAUAACCUGAUGUGCUUUUUCUGUCAUCAAGGGAACCAGCCCAGUCACUGUCAGUAAAACCAACAAGCUUGCAAUUGUCUUCUUUUUCAUACAUGAUCCCCUGCUUUUUUGUUCCUUGAAGAUACCUUAAGAUUCUCUUUGCUGCAAUAUAAUGGGACUUCCUUGGAUCAUUCAUAAAUCUAGAAAGAACACUAACUGAGUGCAAAAUGUCAGGUCUUGAGUUGGUUAGAUAAAUCAACGAACCAACCAAGCUUCUAUAGAUUCUUGCGUCAGCCUUUUCUUCUUUUUCAUCAUGUUUCAAUUUUUCAUUCAAACCCAUAGGAGUAGGUGCUGGUUUGCAUUUGAACAUGUGGAAUUUCUUCAACAAAUCUUCUACGUAUUUUUCUUGACAAAAGAAGAUUUUUCCUCUGGCUUGCUUCACUUGAAUGCCAAGAAAAUACUUCAUUAAGCCCAAGUCAGUCAUCUCAAAUUCAUCUAGCAUGCUUUUUUUAAACUCUUCCACCAUUUUCAGAUUAGUGCCACAAUAAAUUAGAUCAUCAACAUAAAGGCAAACAAUAAGGAAAUCAGUACCUUCCUUUUUGACAUAAAGAGAAGGUUCACUUGAGCUUCUGUCAAAUCCAUUUUUAACGAAAUAUCUAUCAAUUCUGCUAUUCCACGCUCGAGGGGCUUGCUUCAAGCCAUACAAGGCUUUUCGGAGUUGAUAAACUUUGUUUUCUUCACCUUUCACUUCAUAUCCUUUAGGUUGCUCAACAUAAACCUCUUCUUCAAUUUCACCAUUUAGAAAUGCCGAUUUUACAUCUAGUUGAAACACAUGUAAUUCCAUUUGGGCUGCCAAGGCAAGAACAGUUCGAAUAGUCUCCAUUCGAGCUACGGGAGCAAACGUUUCUGUAAAAUCAACUCCAGGCAGCUGAGAGUAUCCUUUGGCAACGAGCCGCGCCUUAUAUUUUUUAACUGAACCAUCUUCAUUGUACUUGAUUUUGAAGAUCCAUUUCAGCCCAAUUGUUUCUUUUCCAUUUGGCAAAUUAACCAUCUCCCAAGUUUUAUUUUUCACAAUGGUGGCCAUUUCCUCGUUCAUUGCUUGGAUCCAAUUUUCAUUUCUUGAGGCCUCCUCAAAGUCUUGAGGCUCACAAGAAAAUAAAGCAAGUUCACAUGACUCAUAAAUUUCUCUCAUUGACUUUAUCUUCCUUGGAGGGCUUUCAUCAUCCGAAGAACUUUCUGCUGCUGAAUUUGGAGAAUUUGGUUCCAAAUUAUUUUGCUGUGAAGAAUUUGGUGGAGAUACAGGAGCUUCGAAAAAGCUAGAUGCUUGAGAUUGAUCUUUUUCCCACUGCCAAGCUGAUGCCUCAUCAAAUACAACAUCUCUUGAGAUAACAAGCUUAUUUGUUGUAGGAUUCAACAACCGAUACCCUUUAGACUCAUCACUAUAGCCAAUAAACAAAUAUUUUUCACCUUUUUCAUCAAACUUCUCUCUGUUUUGAGCUAGAAUAAGAGCAUAAGCAAUACUCCCAAAAAUCUUCAAGUGAUCAACAGUUGGCUUUCGGUUGUGCCAAGCUUCAAAUGGAGUUUUGUCUCUAACAGCUUUUGUAGGAGACCUGUUGAGGAUGUACACAGCUGUAUGACAUGCUUCUGCCCAUAAGUUGUUAGGAAUGCCUUUGCCUUUUAACAUGCUUCUUGCCAUCUCUACAAUGGUACGGUUCUUCCGUUCUGCAACUCCGUUUUGUUGUGGACUUCGGCUGACAGUAAGUUGUCUUUGAAUUCCAUUAUCCCUGCAAUAAUUCAUGAAUGGAGUGUAGAUAAAUUCACCACCACGAUCAGUUCUCAAGGUCUUCAUUUUGCAUCCACUUUGCCUUUCUGCAAGAGCUUUAAACUGAAGAAAAGUUGAGAAAGCUUCUGAUUUUUCAUUCAAAAAAUAAAUCCACAUCAUCCUUGUAUAGUCAUCAACAAAAAGAAUGAAAUAUCUCCUGUUAUUGAGAGAGAGAGUCCUUGUAGGACCACAAAUAUCAGCAUGCACCAACUCCAACGGAGCUUUGGCUCUCCAUGAAUUUUUAGGAAAUGGAAGUCUAUGCAUUUUUCCAUAUAUACAGCCCUCGCAAACUUUUUCAUAUCUUCCAACAUCAGGUAAGCCAAUCACCAUGUUCUUUUGCUUGAGCAAAUUCAGCCCUUUAUAGUUUAAAUGACCAUAUCUGAGAUGCCAUAAAUUUGACAAAUCUGAAUUUUCAGUUUUGAGAGCAACAUUCUCAUCAAGUGGCAUAACAAGAGGAAAAACUUUGUUCUUUGACAUUUCAACAACGGCCACUGUAUGAUUAUUAGUUUUAUCAAUGAUUUUGCAUUUUUCAUCAUCAAAAUAAAUUGAAAAACCCUUUUGAAUUAGCUGCCCCACACUCAAGAGGUUUUGAGUUAAAUUUGGAACAUAAAGAACGUCAUAAAUGAGCUUUUUGUUACCUCCCUUUGUAUGGACAGCAAUAGUGCCUUUUCCCACAGCUUUCUGCAUCUUUCCAUCUCCAAGCUUCACUUGCGAAUUAAAACUUUGGUCAAGGUUGAUGAAAAUGUCACGUUCUCCAGUCAUGUGGUUGCUACAACCGCUAUCCAAGUACCACAAAUUAUAUGAUUCACGUUCAGCACCUUUACUUGAAUAAAACAAGUAAUCUCCAUCACAUUCUUUUGUAAAAUUUGCCUCAUUUUUGCCUUUCUUAUUUUGAUACCAGCAAUCCCUUUGAGAAUGGUUAGGAAUGCGACACCUUGUGCAUUUAUAACGACAAUCUUUUGAUUCAUGAUUAGACCGAUUACAAAUGAUGCACUGAGAAUCUGAAUUUUGCUGUGAAUUCCCUCUGUCAUUUUUCCACUUGUUGCGGUUGUCGUUCUGUUCUCUUUGCCCUAUGCCACGCUGCUCGUUUCUUUGAGACGAGCCUCCGUUCUUCUGGUCUUUCUUGCUGCUUUUAUUCUGAUCUGAAUUAUUAAUCUUUGACUGAAAAGCUUGCUCUGUAGGCUGACUUGAAGGUCGAUUGAUUCUUUGCUCAUGAGACCGUAAUGAUCCUGACAAAUCUGAAAAAGUCAUCUUGGACAAAUCCUUUGAUUCUUCAAUGGCUGCUGCUACAUGAUCAAACUUUGGAGGAAGACAUCUCAGCACCUUUUCAUUCACCUUCUUGUCUUCAAUGGAGUCCCCACAACCUUUAAUCUGGUUCACAAUCUCAGUAACUCUACUGCAAAAAUCCUGAAUUCCUUCUCUGUCUUUCAUUGAUAAAUUAUCGAACUCUUUCCACAAAGUCUGUAACUUGAUGGUGACUGCCUUUUCAGAACCUUGAAAUUCUUGUUUUAGGAUUUUCCAAGCAUUUUUGGCCUUUUUGACACCAAAUAUUCUGGGGAAAAUUGACUUACUAACACCUUGCUGGAUAUAUCGAAGUGUCGUGGCAUUUCUCUGUAUGUUUUCUUUGUACUGCUGUUGAUGUGCUGGAGUCCAAUCUGAAGAACUUGCAGAUUCUGGUGGUUCAGCAUAUCCAUCUUCAACAACAUCCCAUAAAUUUUGAGAGAGGAAAAAGGUUUCCAUUUGAUUACUCCAAUAUUCAUAAUGUACCCCUUCAAAUAUUGGAACUUGACUGGGAGCAUAUGAGAAUAAUGUGGGUAGGGUAUUUGAUGUCAUUUUGAGGGUGUUUUGGAAAAGCUCUGAUACCAAAUUUGUUGGGUGCAAGCGGAAGUGCAGAAAAAUUUUUAUUUAAGAACAGAGUAUUUUGCUGGAAAUUUCUGAAACUUUAUUGCUUAAUUCAUUUUUUCGUUUCUCUCUUACUUUUCAUACAACCAGAGUUCUAUAUUUAUAUGCAUUAUAGACAACUCUAGAGAUUACAUUAAUCAUGCUUUACAUUUCCAAAGCCACAUUGCAAACAUCAAUUCUACCCUUUACUUUACGUUGAAAAACAAACCAAAUAACCCUUCAAACUUCUUGCUCAAUUUACUAGAUUACUAAUUAUAUCUCAACAUAUUAUUCCGUUUCUUCUAAGCUACGCAUACUUGCACAUCAGAAUAAAGUGAUAUACAAUGGUUGUGUGCAGACACAAACGCAUGAUCAACAGGAAAAAUCAUCUGAACAUUUGUAUUACUGAUUUGGCAUAUAAGAUUCUCAUAAUAGUUCAAAAUACAAAUAAAUGAAUAUAUAUAUAUUCCCCACCGGAAUCACCCCCUGGAUCCUCACUCAAGGUGUCUUCCGAGCCAGAAGAUCCCUCCUCACCACUAUUUCCGCUCGUGGAGGUUGUUUGGGGGGACAUCCUCCUAGCGCUAGUCCCAACACUAGACCUAAUGGGUUCUAAGGGGAUCCCGGGGUCAAAAGCAGGAUCGGUGAGCAGACUAGACAAGAAACCUAAUUCGUCGUCAUCAAUCUCAACGAUUUUCUCUUUACCCUUCGACAUUCCCUAAACUAUAAUCAGAACACCACCACCAACUACAACCCCAAGCAAAGCACAGAGAAAAGAAAUUAUCUACAACUAACCAAGACCGAGAAAAUAGAAGAAAUACCUGAAGCAGGGAUUCGAUCAGAGAGAGAUAGGGAUGAAAGCUUUAAUGCCGAGGUUCAUUCGCCGGAGAGACAAGAAGGGAGAAAAUGACGAGUUCGUGUUUGAGGAUUUUGGGUUUUCUUACUGAGAAGCAAACUCUUGGGCUGCCAGCAUUUAAUGACACAUAUUCCGAGAAUCUUGCAACCGUAGGUUUGAAAUUCAAAUGGAGGGGUGGAUUUCUGCCACAUCACUUCAUCUGCAAUUAAAUGCGACACGACUCUUGGCAGUCUUUUCCAGUCCCACGCGAGCAAGAACCGAUUGAGUUUCUACUGCUGGUCCAUUACAUUACCCAACACCAGAAACUGGGGGACUGGUGUUUGAGGGAAAUACUUCGACGAGACCAGACGUGAUGAGCAGAUAUUUGAUGGCAGAGUUCUGCAAACAGGUGUGUCUUGUAAGAGCCAGGUAGCAGGGGAACAGGAGUAGGAAUAUUCUGCUCGUCCACGAAUAUGCCAUUCACGAGGUCAAACUCCUGUUAGAGGCAUAAGGCCAUUCCUGCUAGAGGUCGAGAAGCGAGGAGACCCGGUCAACGACAGUUGGCAAGACGUGCAUUCCUAUCCGAGAAUCAAGGCACAAAGUCCAUCUCCAUUCGCCCACAAUGGCGAUAAUGGGGCAUCCAUAUCCCGGGGGGGGGAGAAUAAGGGGCGUGGACUACGGAAGAUCGGGAUUCAGAGGAAGCUUAUAAAAAGGUAGCCAACGAAGGUAAAAGGGUUAGAAUUUUUGAGAUUGCAACUAAGAAAAGAGAGCUCUAAGAACUGAAACUAAAGAGAAGCCAUAAGAUUCGUGGCAAACAUUCCCAGAACCUUCAUAUCUGACUUGAGCGUCGGAGGAUUUACGCCGGGAAAACGACCGGCGCACCCUGACCUGCUUUUGUGUUCGCAUGAAUUUUUGGGGAAGAAACCUUACGAGGAGAGAUCCUGGUCAUGGUAGAGUUGGUCGAGCAGAGGUCCUGGUCUUGGUAGAGAAGGCAACCAGAAUCUCGCAUCAACAAUUAUUUUACUUGAAAUUAUGUACAAUUGCAUUUCAUUCAUUUCUCUCUCUCUUUUUCUUUUUUCCCCCCAUAUAUUUUUUAUGUAUAAUUGCGUUUCAUUUAAUAUUGAUCAUACUGUAGGUAACCAUGUGAUUGUAGAUGGGGAUUUCAAGUUUGUUGAAUAUUCAUGUAAGUGAAGUAACCGUCACAAUACUAGUGAAAUUGGGAGCUUUAUUCAUGAGUUUGUGGUUUUGAAAAGUACCACAGUUCAGCUGAUGAAGGCUUCUUUUUGGGAUUCUUCUUUUCCUAGGCUGCAAUUAGGAUAUGUACAUGAUAGACAAUCUUUUGUUGGUUUGGCAUAUCUUCGCUGAUUUUGUCUUUUAUUCCCCAAUUUUAUAAUUACACACCAUGAAUGUUGGGUGAUUGCAUAGAAAAUUUGUGUUAUAACAAAAACAUUGUGAAGGAGUUUCUGUGCUAAUAGUUAGUGGCUUCUGUUUUAUUGGCAUUGAUUGGGUAGAUUACGUGUUACAGUGAUUCAAUUUGUGUUCCAAACUUUGCUUUAAUUUUCUGUUUUCCCCAACUAUUUAUGUCAAAUUUAAAUCCAGAAGCAUGUACUGAUUUUUUCUUUUUGUAUUAAUUUGUGAAGUUUAUUUGGAAUGGAAGUAACUGGGUCGGGUCUAAUGGAUUAAAUUAUGACAUUGAGGGGAAGGCACUAAAAGGGUUUGCUUGACACAUUUGGUUCUGUGUCUGCAAGAAAUAGCUUUUGCUUAUUGCAAUGCAGGGGGAAAUCCCGAUUUGGCUGGUGAAUUUCUCUGCAACAAACGGGCAAACACCUUGACUUCUUCUGUCCAUACUUCUGCUGGGGAGGCAAGGGGUAAAGAGUCUUCAAAAUCAUCAAAUAGUAACAUCUCUGAGAAUUCAUUUUAUGGAAAUGGAAAAUCUAGAGCUUCUAAUACAAAAUGGUAUCUGGUAUCAGGACGUACCGUUUCAAGUUUUCUUGGUAAAGAUUAUGUUAAACCUGCACAGCCAGCUAAUGGCACUUUUCUGGCAUCAAAGCCAUUGAAGUUGGAUCCAAGGGAGUUUCGCAUUUCUGCACUUUCAGAGAAGAAACUAAACCGAAACAAUCAAAGGAUGACCAUUUGCAGAAGGAUAUGGAAGAUUUUCUGUUUAAAUUGCUAGGAGAAGGGUUCCAGCUGUACAGGGAUGUGAUUCAGAUGGUUCAUGGUAACGUCUUAAAUAUAUUGAUGCCAAUUUAAUACAUAUUGUCCUUUUCAAUGUUCUUUCUUUCUUUCUCCUCUUUUUAUUCUUCUUCUUCUUCUUUUUUCUUUUCAUGUGCAUCUGAUCACUAAUUUGGUAUUAUUCUUAACUUGCAGAUAGUUGUGGAUAUGAUAUGCAAAAAGGUAAGGACUAUAUCUUCUUGAUGGAGGCCUCUGAUUUUUUAAAUCGCAUUUUCCUUUGUGAUUGAUAUAUCAUACCAAAGUCAAGUCUUAAAUACUGCUGUCAUAUGUUAAGGUUCAACUUCCAUUUUGAUUAACGUCGAUUUGCUACUGCUUCCAAAAGUGAGAAUGAGAUACUUUGGUUAAUUUCAGUAGUUGAACCCAAUAGAGUACUUUAUUUAGAUCUUCAUGGUUCAAAGGCCUGAAAAAACUUGCCGGUGUUUGCAAAAUGACAUUCUGUGCUUUUAUUUAGACUUAUUAUUAAAGACAACAUUUUGUUUCAGCCAAAAAUGUUUGUUUCGAUUAAAGACUGAUUUUAUAUUUCUAUUUUGUAACUUGAAAUAAUUGGUCUGCCUGUUUCUGUUGCUUGAUAACAUGAAUUUUUCCUUCUGAAGUUAAUUUGAUCAAUAAAGUAAUUCUUCGGAGAGGAUAUGCCCAUUCUAUAGUCAUUUUCUUAGCUAACAUGUUUUUUCUUCACUCUUCAGAGCAUGUCUAAACUAAUUGAUCGCUCAGCGGAGACUUUGGGUGAGAAGACAAAAUUUCUUGGUAAAUCCUCUGAAAAGGUAUGCAUAAUUCCCGAGUAUUAAAUAAUCAUUGGUCAUAAUUUUUGUACACGACUCUUUUUUUGGAGAUCGUUAAAAGUGGUUGAUGAUCUAUUUUGUAAUAUCAUAGAGGGAUCAUGAAUUCCUUUUCUUUUCUGUGGCUAGGCAACACUUUCGAGCCAAGCUAAGGAAAUCUAUUUUAGGUAAUGUGAAAACCAGUUGUAGGAUGUAAUAGUUUAUUAUGCCCUGCCAAUAACUUUUUGUAUAAUUGUCAGUUUAAUGAAUACAAGAGGAACUCUGUUGGCAAGUUCAUCCAUGAUAGAUGCUAAAAUUAUUUAUGCAUACCAGUUGCCUUAACUAAUUUUUCUCAACACUGGUAUUGAACAGGAAAAUGAAUAUGCAAUUUGUAUAUUGUGCCAUUGUGGAGAAUUUGGAUAUUCUUAUUUAAGUAACAAGGAGAGUAUUUGCCUCAUCUUUAAACAAUGAAUCUUUGAGAAAUGAGGAGUGGGUGAUUGGCAGUGUCUUCAUGUAAAUGUUCAUUUAUUUGUAUUUUGAACUAUUAUGAGAAUCUUUGUAUGCCAAAUUAGUAAUACAAAUGUUCAGAUGAUUUUUCCUGUUGAUCAUGCGUGUGUAUCUGCACACAACCAUUGUGUACCACUUUAUUCUGAUGCGCAAAUAUCUGUAGUUUAGAAGAAAAGAAAUAAUAAUCAUAUAUUAUUGCUUGGUUCAUGAUUAUUAAACGAUUAUGGCUUUAGAAAAUCCACAAAUCCUUUGUGUUCAUAUAUGAAUGUGCGAAGUUCGCUAUAUCUUAGAUUACCUUCUUCCAAGAUAACAAGUUCAUAUAUUUUUUAAUCCUUUUUCAUCACAGUUGAAUUUCAAGUGUAAGUUUUGUUAUUAAUAGCUGGUUUCCUGUUAUUAUGAUUUCAUAAACAGUAAGAGGAUAUGUGCUCUACUUUUGGAGGGCCUCCACAUGAAAGAAAAUUGCAACAAUUGAAUUCUUCCGGAGGGUAUGGUAUUUAAUUUAUUUUCUCAGCUUGUUGUAAGACUAAUAUAUUUCCUUCAGUACGCACGGCAUGGUGGGAAGGGUUUUUAUUGAAACAGUUAUGAUAUUUCUUAGACUUUGUUUUGGAAGGGGGUGGAGGGAUUUCUCAUCCAUAUAUGGUUACUUGAUUAGCUUUUGACUGUAUUGUCUCCGUCGUGCAAAGGAAAAUCCAAAUACUAACGAAGGGGAAUUGCUUAGGCACCCAAAGGACAGAAAUGAAUUACGGAAGGAAGUUUUUGCUGCUUUAUUUAGUGCUGCUGAGAAAUCUGAUGGAUUUCCUGAAAUUACGGUGAAGACGGAGUGGAGGUCCAACGCAUUAGGAAAGGUGGUGAGUGAACCGCCGGAGGAAUUAGUACCAGAACACAAGGCUAAUGUGGUGCACUGGCAGCAAGAUGACCAGACCUGUAUGUGCUCUUAUAUUAACUAUAUUGGCUGGAUUUGUGAGUGUGUACAUUUUUGUGUGUAUACUCACUUUUGGAUUUAUGCAUAUUAACGUGUGUAGGAUUCUCGAUUUCUGCCACUUACUGGAGAACUAGUGGAAAGCUUUAUACUGAUAUAUGUGCUAUAUAACUAAUGGAAACUACAAUAUGAAUAUUUUCUCUCACCUGGAGAACAGUGUAACUGAUAUAAUUUGUGGCUCUGGAAUACUGAAGAUUCUGCAAUAACUAAUGGAAAAUAUGAUAUGAAUAUUUUUUCUCACCUGGAGAACUUUGUAACAGAUACAUUUUGUGCUGGAAUGUCUAAAGAAUGCUUCAGUUUAGAUCAAAUAUCUUUUAGUUAGAAAAGAUAAAAUUCUCUGAAUCUGAAAGACUGAAACAUUUUGCAUAUUUCGUGAAAGGCAAGUAUCUGUAGAUACUAGCUCAUGCAUUGAGGUAAUAUCAAUGUUAAAGAAAAACAGCAAUAAUUUAUUAUACAGAAUUAGGUUCACUUGCUUUAAAUGCUGGUCUGAUCAACCAUAUCAACCUGUAAUGGUCCUGCAGAAAUAUAUAUACGGGGAGAAACUAGCUAAUUUUCCUUUCACUUAUGGGUUUGGUCUUUUUUUUCCCCUAUUUUUCAGCUUUCCUUCUCCUGAAGUAUGUUAACAAUUGCAGAUAAUGACGAAGAGGACCGCUUCCAGGCUCUUUGUAGAGCUGUGAUGGAAUAUAGGGGCACAAUGAAAGAAUAUUGUAAGGCUGUAUGUACUUUCUCUCAUGUCAUUUAUGUUUUCUCACACAUUUUGUAUAUGCCCUGAACAUGCAGCUUUGUAUGUGUCAAUUGCCUUUUACGUUUUAAAAGCCAUAAAGUAAGAAUACAGUUCCUUGUCAGGCUAUUGAUGCGUUCGCUCAGAAGGGUCAUGUUCAAGCAGGAAAACUUCUAGAACAGGUAAGGUUUCCAUCUACAGCCAUCCAUUGACAGCAGAUAUAUUUUCAUUAAGCAGACACUGUUAGCAUUCAAGAUGCUGGCAGAUUCACUUGAUUCUUAUUAGUUUGUUUAGUGGCAAACCAUAUAACCUGUAUUUCAAAGCCAAGUUGUGCUAUUGAUUAUGUUAACUUUAUUGUUAACAUAAAGUGAUAUGGAGGACAUAAUCAAUGUAGGAAAAUUAGGUGAAGAGAUGAUGUCAAAUCUUGAACCUCUUACAAAGCUCCAAGUUCUUUACUUGAAGAAGCUGCCAAAUUUGAAGAGCGUCUACUGGAAGGCAUUUCCAUUCCCAGAUGUAUGCAGAAUUUUUGUAUUAAUGCCCAGUUCUUAAGAAGCUGCCACUGGAUUUUCAAGGGGCGGGCCAAGGUAAAAUUCUUAUCAAGGGAAAGGAAGAUUGGUGGAAAGAACUUCAAUGGGAGGAUCAAGCAACUCAGAAUGCAUUGCUUCCAUUUUUCAAAUCAACUGACAAGUGAUUGAAGGGGGCAUCAUCAACAUCAUCAACUGGGAUGGAGAGAUUAUGGAGCAGAUCAGCAGGGUUUGUAUAUGAUCUUUGGUGGUUGCUUUCUUUUGUGAUUUUUUUUUUCUCAUUUUUUUCCCUUCCUGUCAUUUUAUCAUUUCUUUGUCUCGUUUUCUAUUGCUGAUGUUAGUGUAUGCUUACUGUUGCUUGACAAAGUUUGCUUGCUUCUUGUUUAUUAAUUUUUUUAUGGUCACAAAAUAUUACUUGUUCUAUUUGAGAGUGAUGUGAAUCAAUUUUCAAUUAUAUAUUUUAUGGUCAAUGUGAAUUCAAUUUCAUUUGUCUCCUGCAAUUAUUUAAAAAAUGCAGAGUCAUAAUAUGGAAAAGUCGACCGGCAAAAACUUUGUGAAAGCUUCGGAGUGAAACAGGGAAUUCACUUACUAACAGGGAAUUCACUUACUACUAAGGACAAUUGGUGGCGAGCUAUUCCAUUCAUUUUAUGUCCAUACAUCUAUUUAAUUAUUAAAGAUAAGUGGUCCAUUUGUAAAUUUCAGAUUGUGUCUCUCUGAAAAUAACAAUAUUUAAAAUGUCUCUUAAAUUAUUAUAAAUUUUAAUUCACUCUCGAUUUAAAAUGGAACAUGCUGAUGAAAUUUUUUUUCUUCUUAAUAAAAUUGAAAUAAAUUGUGUUUGCAGUAGUUUGAAAUAUUUUAAAGAUUAUUAUUUUAUAAGGGAGUAAUAUGAAAUGAAAUUUACUUUUCAUGCGUGAAAUGUUGAAAAAGGACACAGCAAGUGUCCCUGCUUUUAUUUUAUUUCAAAGUGGAGUCAUCUCACAUACUUUAACUCUAUCGUUACAAUUUUUCAGGUUACAUUUUUAUUUAUUUAUUUAUUUUCUUUUUUACACAUGCAUGUGGGUUACUUUUCCGUAAGCUCCUUAAUAUAUAUAUUUAACACAAAUCAUGGAAGAGAUGGGAGUAUAUCAAGAUGAUCAAAGCAUGAAACAAAAAUAUUUAAGAAGUAAAACACUGAAAAUAGAGAAGAGAUGCAAGCAAAAGAUAUUCCAAAGAAAAGCAAUCUAUCUCCUUUCGAAGAAUGUUAUGGAAGAGUUGAACCCAGCGAAGAAUGUUAUGGAAGAGCAAAUUAAUGAUAUUUUUGAUAGAGUCUAUUUGAUUAUGUAGCCUGAAUAGAUGUCUUGUUGAAAGAUAUCUCAGUGCAUUAGUUCAUCCUUGACUGUCAAUGUGUUUUUAAUGGUUUUUCCAAAUUUUUAUUAUUAUAGAUUGAUUGUAAAUUUGAUAUGAAUUUAAUGUUGAAAUGUUUUCUCUUUAGUGGAAUGAAUUUAAAAGUGCAAAAGCUUAUUGCACACAGAGAAAUAAACAUAUAUGCUUUAUAACUUUAGCAAUCGAUUCUUUUACAGCUGGAAACAGAGAUGAUGAUUAUCAUAGGGGUGAAGAAAAGGACAAAAAAUGUUAAUGGUUAACGAAAUUUCUAUGCAAAUUGAUUUUAGCAGGAAAAAAGUGAGCUAAAUGAUCUUAAUGUUCCACAAGAAAAAGCAAGAUCUUAAUGUUCCACAAAAGCGUUAUUUAUUUUUUUUUGGUGAGCCACGUGGAGCUCAAUUAUCAUUGUCUUUACUUUAAAAACGUUAUUUUAUUUUCUUUUAUUACAAAUUAAUGCUAACAAGAAAAAGCAAGAUAUAAUAUUCCACAAAAGCAAAUCGUAAUAUUCCACAGAGGAGUAAGAUCCACAAAAGCAAACAACUAGCUGGAUUCUUUUAUUGAACUACAAAUUAAAACAACAAAUUAAAGUUCAAAUAUUUAAAUAGUAGUGCGUUAGACGAUUAGGCUCUUUUAUUAAAGGGAAGUAUAAAGUAGUCCAGAAUCGAACAUCUCUAUUGUCUAGUCUUUUUUUUUUUUUUUAAUUCUUCUUUUAUUAUUUUUCAGAAUAGGUUUUGGUGAUUACUAUUGGGUUAUUAUUGAGAGUUAUUGUUAUCUUCCGGGGCAGUUUCUGUUAAUCGAAAUCGUUAAUUAAAAUUUUAGAACUCUUAUUGGAAGAAUGUUUUUCCGUUAUUUUUUUAUAUUCUAAUUUCAAUUGUAAGAAGUAGUCAUUUUAGAAUUUGGGUCUUGAAUCGAAUUUCAAUGCAUGAAUUAAUAUUUAAAAAAAAAAUUACUACACGCAGUUUAGGUUACAAACUAUUUUUUGCAAAGUUGAUUAUGAAAUUGGAAAAAUUAAGUAAUUUAUAAUGUUUGCAAAGGAAGAGACUAACAUACUUCCAAUUACACUAUAUCUCUAUUAUCAUAAUGUUAAGAUUAAACUAACUUAAAAUAAAUUUUAUUUGAAAAGUUAUAUCAAACGCAGUCUAAUUUUAUUAACUUGAAGAGAUAAUAGUUAUAGAAAUUAUUGUUCUAACUUAAUUAGUACAAGUGGUAUAAAGGUUAAGUGUGCACUAAAUUUGUUUAAAUUUUUUCCAGAAUAACUAACAGAGGUCAUUACUAGAAUUAUAAUUACUAGUCUAUUAGAUAGAAAAAAUUAUUUAUAUUGUUUUAUAUUUAUUAAAAAAUUUUAAAGUCAAUCUUUUUAAUUAUUAUUUAAAGGAUAUUAUAAUUAAAAAAAAUUUAAUGUCUUUAUUAAAAAUUUAAAAAUUUAAAAAUUUAAAAAUUUACAUGACCGCUCUAUAAAUAUUGAAAGUGUAACUGUCAUUUUCUCAUAUAUAUAUAUAUAUAUAUAUAUAUAUAUAUAUAUAAACCACGGUGGUGAAGCUUUAUUUAAUAUUAAUGAUUUAAAUAACAAUAUCUCAAUUAAAAAUGUAGAGAGAAGAAAUUUCGGUGGGUAUAUUAGUCUUUUACAAUUAUCAUGAUUAACCCUUCCUCUUGUAACGUUGGUCAGAAAAGUUUUAAAAUGCCUUGAUUUCUUUUACUUUUAACGUUAGCGGCCUUCCUUAUAUUUUAUUACAAAUUAGUCCUAACAAGAAAAAGCGAGAUCAUAUUCCAAAAAAGCAAAAGUGACAAAAAAACCAGCUGUAUUCUUUUAUUAAACUACAAUUUAAAAUGAUUUUAAAGUGGAUUCUUUUGAAUACAGGUGGGGUAGUCGAAUAGUCUUUUUCAAAUUCUUGUUUUAUUAUUUUUCAAAACUAGUUUUUGGUAAUUACAAUCGGGUCAUUCAUUAGUCAUUAUUCAGAGUUAUUGUUAUCUUCGGGGGCAGUGGGUAAAAGGCUAAAUGAUAAUUACUAAGUGUUUUUCCUUCAAAAGUUAGUGGCUCGUGUUUUGCAAGUGUGUACGUGCGAUGCUCUUUGUCUAAAGGCAAUUACAGUGGGUCCCGAAUCGGACGUGCCUAAUAAAUCUUUUAAAAAUUUUUCUAAUAAAUAUUCCUAAAAUUUCUCUUCCACAGGCAAUUACAGCAGCUUCAGUUAAUCAAACUCAAUCAAUUUUCUUUCUUAACAAAAUUCCAAAGAUGUGUGGCUGUUUUCAGAUCACAUGCGAUGGUACUUUUUUCAAUCGUUGCUUAGAUUGCUUUCUUGGAAAAGCAGCAUACAUACGUAACCUCCAAGAUAACCUCGUUGCCUUGGAGACUGAACUAAGGAAACUAAUCGCAGCAAAGAACGAUGUGAUGACGGCGGUUGUCAAUGCUGAACGGCAACAAAUGAGAAGGCUGGAACGAGUGCAAGUGUGGGUUUCGAGUGUGGAUUCUGUUAAAACUGGAGCCGAUGAACUUAUCACAGACGGCUCUGAAGAAAUUGGCAAAUUAUGUGUUGGAGGCUACUGUUCCAAGAACUGCAGGUCAAGCUACAAGUUCGGAAAACAAGUGGCUGAAAAGCUACAACAUGUGAAGAAUUUAAUCGCCGAGGGAGUUUUUGAGGCGGUGGCCACUGAGGUGGUGCCCGAGAGAGCUCCGGAACCUGUAGCAGAUAAAAGACCCAUUGAGCCAACAAUAGUAGGCUUGCAAUCACAGCUUGAAGAAGUUUGGAGAUGUCUUGCAGAAGAAUCAGUGGGAAUCAUUGGCCUAUAUGGUAUGGGCGGUGUUGGUAAAACCACACUAUUGACCCAUAUCAACAAUAAAUUUCUUGAGAGUCCCACAAACUUUGAUUGUGUGAUUUGGGUCGUAGUUUCAAAAGACCUGCGACUUGAAAAAAUUCAAGAAGAUAUUGGGAAGAAGAUAGGUCUAUCUGAUGAUUCAUGGAAGAAUAAAAGUUUUGAAGAGAAAGCUGUGGACAUCUUGCGGAGAUUAGGAGAGAAGAGAUUUGUAUUGUUGUUAGAUGAUAUAUGGGACCGGGUUGAUUUAACAAAGGUGGGCGUUCCACUUCCCGGACCACAAAAUACUACCUCAAAAGUCGUAUUCACAACCCGUUCCAUCGAUGUUUGUGGCAGCAUGAGAGCUAGGCCGGUUAAAGUGGCAUGCCUAUCAGAAAAGCAAGCUUGGGAACUGUUCCACGAAAAUGUUGGGGAAGAAACUCUUGAGAGUGAUCAUGAGAUCGUUGAGCUAGCCCAAACAGUGGCCAAAGAGUGUGGUGGUUUGCCACUCGCACUUAUUACUAUUGGUCGAGCUAUGGCCUACAGAAAGAAAGCGGAGCAGUGGAGACGUGCAAUUGAAGAGUUAAGAAGAUCAGUUUCAGAGUUUGCAGGUUUGGGAAAAGAGGUGUAUCCUUUUUUAAAGUUCAGCUAUGAUAGUUUGCAGUAUGAUACGGUUAGAUCUUGUUUCUUGUAUUGUUGUUUAUAUCCUGAAGAUUAUGGCAUUCUUAAAUGGGACUUGAUUGAUUGUUGGUUUGGCGAGGGAUUUUUUGGGGAAUCUGACAGGUCUGGUGCAGAAAACCGAGGAUAUGGCAUUUUGGACACUCUUGUUCGUGCAUGUUUAUUAGAAGAGGUGGAAGAUGAUAAAGUAAAAAUGCAUGACGUUAUUCGUGAUAUGGCUAUAUGGAUAGCUUGUGAAAUUGAGAAGGAGAAGAGAAACUUUUUGGUUUGUGCAGGUGCUGGAUUAAAAGAGGCACCGGAUGUUAAAGGAUGGGAAAAUGUGAGAAGAUUGUCAUUGAUGCAAAACCAAAUUAAAACUCUGUCAGAGGUUCCUACAUGCCCUCAUCUCCAUACUCUAUUUCUUGACUUUAAUAAGGAGUUGGAGACGAUCGCGGAUGGCUUCUUCCAAUUUAUGCCUUCUCUCAAAGUUUUGAAGAUGUCAAACUGUGGGCAUGUCAAAGUUUUGAAAUUACCUAUUGGGAUGUCAGAGUUGGGUUCAUCACUAGAACUUCUUGAUAUUUCAAAUACCAACAUAACAGAGUUACCAGAAGAGUUGAAGUUGUUGGUAAAUCUGAAAUGUUUGAAUUUGAGGUGGACAAUUUGUUUAAAUAAAAUUCCAUGGCAACUAAUAUCAAAAUUUCAAGGUUACGUGUGUUGAGAAUGUUCGCUACUGGCUUUGCACGUUUUGAUGCAGCAUCAGAAGACAGCGUUUUAUUUGGUGGGGGUGAAGUUUUAGUACAGGAAUUGGUCGGUCUGAAAUAUUUAGAGGUAUUGGAGUUGACCUUGGGAUGUCAUCAUGCUCUCCAAAUUUUUUUGAGCUCAAAUAAGUUAAAAAGUUGUAUUCGAUCUCUUCUCCUCCAAUUGGCCGGAGAUACAAAGUCGAUUAUUGAUGCUACGGCUUUCGCAGAUCUAAACCACCUCAAUGAAUUAUGGAUUGAUAGGGCUAAGGAGUUGGAAGAAUUGAAGAUUGAUUGUAAAGAAAUAGUACAAAAAAGGCGGGAACCUUUUGUUUUCCGCAGCCUUCACCGUGUUACUAUACAUAGCUGCCAGAAGUUGAAAGAUUUGACAUUCCUCGUUUUUGCUCCAGACCUCAAGUCUCUCGAUCUAGACCGUUGCGAUGCUAUGGAAGAAAUAAUCAGCGUCGGAAAAUUUGCUGAGACUCCUGAGAUGAUGGGACAUAUAAGCCCUUUCGAAAAUCUCCAAACUCUUCAUUUAAGAGCGUUUAACAUCUUUUCUCGACGACCUGCACGAUUGCCUUUCACUCAUCUGAAGGAAAUGGAGGUAAGUGGGUGCGAUCAGCUUAAAAAGCUUCCACUCGAUUCCAACAGUGCAAAAGAGCGUAAAUUUGUUAUUCGUGGAAAAGAAGACUGGUGGAACCGACUUCAAUGGGAGGAUGAAGCCACUCAAAUUGCUUUUCGUUCCUGUUUCCAACCUGAGCGGUUAGUCGCAAAAUUUGAUUUCUGGUGAUUGCGUUUGUCUUUUAACUCUUAUAUAUAUUCUUGUCGUUUGUUUUCUUCUCUGUUUUUAACUCUUAUAUUGCGUUUGUCUUUUGAAAAUCUCCAAUUAAAUGUUGAAUUAAUGGAAUUAAUGCUUCAUAAAUUUGCCGGCACUGCCAUCACUUUUUUUUUUUUUAAUACAAAUUGAUACUUUAUUUAUAUCUUCUUAGCGAUAUAAUUUCCUGUCAAUUGACGAACGAGAAGAACAUACGACUUAAACCAAUUCACGCAUAAACUUGCUGUAAAAAGAUAUAAUCUCACUGAAAUGCACACGUCUAGAAUGAAUAGAAUUAAAACAGGGAAAAUAUUUAAGUAUAUUAGCCCUCUUUACCGAAAAUGAAAUGACAAUAAAUUUUUUGAAAGUUUUGAUUUUCUAUGGUCAAUUCCACCUUUUGCAAUUUCUUCUGUUCUAACAAAAACCAAUUUCUUUGUUCAAGUAUUUUCGUUUGGGUAUUAAUAAUUCUCCACCGAAAGAGUGAACUCUUGCUCAAGGGAUCUCUAAUCAAUAGCCGGAAGGGCGCCGAGACCUGAUCGGACCUAGGCCCAAGUUUGGUCUUAAAGCCUGGGCUUGAGCCUGGCAAUUAAAUUAAAACAUUAAUUGAUUUCUUGAUUGAAUUGUCGUGUAAUUGAUUUAUGGGGGAUGACACAUCAACAUGCUUGAAAACACACUAAUCUCAGCAUCAUCGGUUAAUAACUUUUAGAAUUAUGGGUAAUCAAUAGUUAAGAUUAGUUGUCAUUAAUACUAAAUAUUUUUUUACUAUUUUCGUCUCUUCUAGAGGAUCUUCUAGAAAAAUGCAUCCACAACAAAAUUUAAUACUUUACAUAAUAAACAAAGCAUAAAUGUUAAAUUUAAGAAACUGCAUUGUAUUUCAGCUGAAGUUGACUUUAAUAUUUAGGGUAGAAAAAUAAUAAAUCCUUAAUGUGUUUAAUUUCUAUCACUUGUGUCAUUAAAAUUUUCUAGUCACCCUAACCAAUUACAUCUCAACCCACUUUUUUUUGGAUGAUUUUAUUUUUACACUAUUAUUUUCAUCAUUUUUUUUCCUUUUAACACCAACAUUAGUGUAUGUUACGUAACAUAAUUCAUAUUUGGAUAAUUUGAAAUUUGUUUGUGUUUUAUCUCAAAAUAGAGCUUCAAUCAAUUUGUACCUCAUAAAUUCACAAUAUCUAUGAGGGCUAAUAAGACCAAACUCUGGCAUAUUGUCAAAUGUGCUUAUCCUUUUGCUUGACAUGUCAUUUUAAAAUUGUCAUUCAAUGCCAAAAAAUCACAUCAACUGAUGGCCGACUACUUUAAUUUGAAAGCAUGCAUGCGAUCGCCAAUAAUUAUAACUUAAUUGUUAUUUUGAAAUUUUUUUCUUUAUAAUUUUUAAGUUUAAUACUACUACAUGUGCAGCACAUAAGUUGGAAAAUAUAACAUAAAAUUUGAAAAAUGUGUAGCUUUCGUUCCUUUUUUUUCUUAAAAAUGAGGAAAAAGAAUGUAAUUUUGUUUAAAUUACUGUUGUGAUAACAAUUAUUAUUUUAUUGAUUAAUUGGCAGAGAAUGGUUAUGGUUUCGCAUGGUUGUUAAAACAUUGGAAAAUCCACUACAUCAUCCGUUAAUAACUUUCAGAUUUAUGGUUAAUCAAUAGUUGAGAUUUGUUAUCAUUAAUGUUAAAUAUUUUUUUAAUAUUUUUUCUCUCUCCUAGAGGAUCAUCACAGCAAAAAUUUAAUAUUAUAAAUAGUAAACAAAAUAUAAACAGUUAAAUCUAAGAAACUGCAUUGCAUUUCAGCUGAAGCUAACUUUAAUAUUUAAUGGAGAAAAAUAAUUAAGUCCUUAAUGUACUUUAUUUACCCAUACUGAUACGCUCUUAAUUCGUGAAACUGAGCAACAUCAAAAUUAUCACUACUUCGAGCGAGUGUUUGCUCCAGAAGAAAGAACUGGAAGUUGAGAAAUGAGAAAGAAGAAAAGAAGAAGAGUCACAGCGAGGAAUAAAAGUGGUCCAUUCAUUUCAUGCCUUCCCAAAAUGACAAAAUCCCGCAAUAUAUAACAGACAAUCGAAAAUAACCAAUUUGACAACGCAACAGAAAAUGACAAAAAAGAAUCCAAAACAAACGUAGCCAAUCACAAUGCUUUUACAGAUCAUCCUAAACGACGUAGUCUCGUAGCCAAUCUAGAAGUUUCUUGUUUCGUUUGGGCCGUUGAUUCUCUUGCACUGGCUCAUGGUGAAUGUCCUCUUUGGGUUGACUGACUGUGGGUUCUCGGUUGAGCUCUUCCACUUGCGCCCCCUCUAAUGGCUCUAAUUUGAUAUAUAAAUUCGUAUCAUUCCCUCCUGCUUGAAAACACACAUUGUCCUCAAGGUGAAAUGCUGGAUAGAGCUUACAAAAGGCGUCAAAGUUUUCCCAAGACGAAUUCUUCGGUGAACUGACGGUCCAUUGAACUAACACUUGAAGCGUUGGCUUCCCCUGUUGCAAAACUAUUCGGGUUGCACAAAUGGCAGCCGGUAGCAAAAGAGGAUGGUUAUCCACACUCAACUCUGGUAAAGGAUGUGAAAUAGCAGGGUCGUUGCCAUGAUAAUGCUUAAGGACAGAGAUGUGAAAAACCGAGUGGAUUUUGGAAGUAUUGGGUAACUCCAAUUUGUAAGCUACAUACCCCACUCUAGCAAGUACCGUAAAUGGCCCGUAGUAUCACUUGGCCAACUUCUGACAGGCGCGAGAAGCUAUAGUGGUCUGUCGAUAUGGCUGUAAUUUAACCAGCACUUUAUCCCCUACUUCAAAGUGAGCUUCACGGCGAUGGGCAUUAGCUUUCUGAGCCAUUCGAUGUUGUGCUUGCCUCAAAUUAGCUUUUAAAGAUUGGAGAAGAGUAUUACGUUCAAGGAGAAUGUCCUCCAAAGUUUGGAUUGAAGUAGAGCCCUUAGCAUAAUGAGGAAUAGUUGGAGGCAAUCGGCCAAAUAAAGCUUGAUAGGGAGACAUCUUCAAGCCACUGUGGAAAUGAGAAUUAUAACUAAAUUCUGCCCAACUCAGUAAGGAAACCCACUUCCGUGGUUUGUCUUGAGUGAAAGCUCGUAAAUAUUGCUCCAAUCCUCAAUUUACCACUUCCGUUUGACCAUCCGUUUGAGGGUGGUAUGCCGUGCUAUGACGAAGAGUUGUGCCACUUAAGAGGAAUAAUUGUUUUCAAAAAUUGCUCAAGAACACUGGGUCUCGAUCGGAGAUAAUUGAACUUGGAAAACCAUGUAUUUUAAUGACCAUGUCCACAAAGAGUUCAGCUGUCUUGAGGGCAGUAAAUUGACAGGGUAACGGACCAAAAUGGGCAAAUUUUGUAAGACGAUUGACAACAACCAAUAUGACCGAGAAACCUUGUGCUAACGAAAGACCUAUAACGAAAUCCAUUGUGACCUCAUCCCAAACCAUAUUAGGUAUCGGCAAUGGUUGAAGAAGACCAGCAGGGGCUUGAGUGGAAUACUUAGUUUGCUGGCAUAUUAAACACUCUCGGAUAAACGUUUCCACAUCAUGACGCAUCUUGGGCCAAUAGAAUGUUGAAGAUAAUCUGAUUAAGGUUCUAGUGACACCCACAUGACCUGCCAGUGGUGUAGAGUGAAAUUCUUGCAAUAGUACGACUUUUAAAGAGGAGGUAGGACUGAUGUAAUAACGCUGACGGUGGAGAAGAAAUCCGUUUUGAACAGAGAAGUCAACUGACAGUUUGCCUUGUAAAAGUUGCUGGUGAAGUGAUAUUAAAUCAGGUAAUGUGGUAUUCUCAUUAAGUAAUGACUGCAGCAAUUCAAAUGAAGGAUGGCUGUUGAAAGAAAGGCAAGUGGGGGAGAUGUUGAUGUUAUCCUCAGGAGCUGUUUCAUGGACACGGGAUAGAGCAUCAGCGGCGCUAUUGGUACAACAUGGUCUGUACUCAAUUCUGAAUUGGAAACCCAAUAAUUUGCGGAGAUAAACUUGCUGAUCUAGUGUUUGUAUCACUUGUUGAAGGAGUUCUUUGAUACUCUUAUGAUCCGUGCGGAUAACAAAGAAUCGGCCCAACAAAUACUGCCGCCACUUAUACACAGCUUCUACAAUUGCAUGCAACUCCUUGAUGUAAGUGGAAGAAGCCCGCAAUUUGGGACCCAACUUCUUGCUGAAAUAAGCAAUUAAAUGCCCAUGUUGUGUAAGUACAGCUCCUAUGCCUACAUUAGAAGCAUCGGUCUCAAUGACGAAUUCGAAAGUAAAAUUCGGCAACUUAAGGACUGGAGCUUGCACCAUUGCUUGUUUAAGAGCUUCAAAGGCCUCCAUGGCUGUCAAAUUCCAUUGAAAGGCAUCAUUUCGCAGCAAAUCAGUGAGUGGGGCUGCCAAGGAAGCAUAACCACGGAUGAAGCGCCUAUAAUAUCCAGUGAGACCAAGAAAACCCCUCAACUGUUUGAUAGAACGUGGAAUUGGCCAAUUAAGCAUGGCAUCAAUCUUUUGGGGGUCGGCUUGUACUCCCGAGGCUGAAACAAUACGGCUUAGAUACUCAAUAGCGGCUUGGCAAAACAAACAUUUGGAUAAUUUAAUAAAAAAUUGAUGAAGAUGUAAACAAGCUAAUACUUUCUCAAGAUGAAGCAAAUGCUCGGCCAUGGAGGAGCUAUAAACCAAGAUAUCAUAAAAAAAAACGAUCACAAAUUUCCGGAGAUGAGCUGCAAAAAUCUGAUUCAUUGUGGCUUGAAAAGUGGAUGGGGCAUUUGUCAACCCAAACGGCAUGACAAGAAACUCAUAAUGGCCCUCAUGUGUUCAAAAUGUCGUUUUGUAUAUGUCGCGGUUGUGGACACGAAUUUGAUGGUAUCCCGCGCGCAAAUCCAAUUUGCUAAAAAUGGUGGCGCCCCCAAGUUCAUCAAACAACUCAUCGAUUGUCGGUAUAGGAAAUUUGUCUUUGAUGGUUACGGCAUUUAAUGCACGAUAGUCAACACAAAACCGAUAGGUGCCAUCUUUUUUCUUGACCAAGAGAACCGGGGAGGAAAAAGGGCUUUAGUUCGGUCGGAUUAUGCCCUACUCUGACAUUUCCCUGAUCAGUUUUUCCAUUUCAGAUUUCUGGAAGUGUGGGUAGCGGUAUGGACGAACAUUGACGGGGGCUGUGUUGGGUAAUAAAUGGAUUUUGUGGUCAAUAGUUCUGUGCGGUGGUAGGCUAGAAGGUUGGAGAAAUAGGUGUUUGUAUUGCUGUAAAAGGUUGAGAAAUUGAGCAGGAAGGGAAAAAGGAAAUUCAAGUGAGGAAGUGUCUGUGAUGGAAAAUGAAGGCAAAGCAUCGAUAGCGGGCACUGGUUGUAAGGCACAAAGGCUGGUCACGGUAUCACUUUGAACCAAUACCUGCAAUUGAUUAUAAGUGAUCAAAUUAUUAGAAGACAAAUCACCAUGAAGCAUCACUGGUUGCUCAUUUAAAGAAAACUCCAUAGGACACUUUGCCCAAUUUCUGUAGCCAUUGAAUGCCAAGGACCACAUAUGUGCCCUCAAUUGGCAAAAUGAAGAGGUCUACCAUAAAAGCCGUGCCUUGCAUUGUUAAGUUCACUUGAGGACAGAACUGUUUACACACCAGGAAGUCACCGUUGCCAAUAUACACUCGGAAAUUGGUAGUUGGAUGAAUGGCUAACCCCAAUCGUUCCGCUAACGCCGGUUUUAUGAAAUUGUGAGUGUUGCCACUAUCAAUCAGCACUUGAAAGGUGUGCGAAUCAAUUUCUCCAAUUAAACGAAGAGAGCGAGGAUUGGCCUGCCCUGCUAGAGCAUUUAAGCUAGAGAUGUCACCAGUAAUACCAGCAUCUACCAAUUCUGAUGGUUCCUCGUUAUUUUUGGGUUCCAAUUCUUCAUCAUCCGUGCCCAUGAGAAGUAGAAAUUUACUGCGACAGAGAUGAUUGUUGCUGUAUUUUUUGUCACAAUUGUAACAUAAACCCUUCUCGCGUUUGUCGCAAAGUUCAGCCGAAGACAAACGGCGAAUUGGUAAUGUUGGUGUCGAUAAUAAUGCAGGUAAAGUGUUUGAUUUAUUGGUAUUGUGGGUUUGUGAGGGAAGAGUUGAAGAUGAUACGGGGGUGAUGGCUGUGGUAACAGUUGCAAGUGAUGAGGAUGGAUAAAUGGGUUUGGGUUGUGUUUGGAAACCAUGUGAAAGGGGAUAUGGUUGCUGCCAUUUAGGCCAUGAGCGUGAGCUCUGUUUCACUUCGUCAUAUUUGGCCUCAAAAGCACGAGCUAAAGUUUCCAUUAGUGAAGACGGUCUAGAGAAAAGCAAUUCCCGUCGAAUGUUGGGUUUCAGACCAGUGAUGAAAAAACUAAUCAAAAGAAGUUCAGAAAUUCCAGUGACCUUGUUCAUUAAAUCUUCAAAAGCUGACUGGAAAUCUGCAACCGUGGUAGUUUGACUCAAUUUGGACAAAUCACCUUGGGGAUCUUCACACAAAGAAGCACCAAAACGAUAGCGCAAGUUAGCUAAAAAUUCUUGCCAAGUAGUGAGCAAGUGAUUGUUCUUUAUCCAUUGAUACCACGCUGCAGCGCGACCCUCCAUAUGAAAAGAGACAAUCCGUAGUCGGAGGAUCUCAGGUGUGUCAUGAAAGUCAAAAAAUUCUUCUAUUCGAAAAAUCCAUCCAUUUGGGUCAGACCCAUCGAAUUUGGGCACAUCCAUUUUCAUGGAACAAAGUACUGGAGAAACUUUAGAACCAGUAAGAACGCCAUCAUAUUUAGAAGAUGAAGGGUGUGAAGGGUUGGAGGAACCAACUGGUUUGUUGGAAGACCCAUGAAUUUAUGUACGUAACUCCUCAAAACGAGAGUCAACUGAUGUCAUGAAUUGUUGGAUUGUUUGAUGGAUGGACAGUUGCUACCCAUCAAGUUUGGCGUCAAAAGUUGCUUGAAGGGUCUGUAAAGCAUAAAGAAUUUCAGAAUUUGCCAUGAUCAAUGAAAGCACCAGUGAUACGCUCUUAAUUCGUGAAACUGAGCAAUAUCAAAAUUAUCACUACUUCGAGCGAGUGUUUGCUCCAGAGGAAAGAACUGGAAGUUGAGAAAUGAAAAAGAAGAAAAGAAGAAGAGUCACAGAGAGGAAGAAAAGUGGUCCAUUCAUUUCUUGCCUUCCCAAAAUGACAAAAUCCCGCAAUAUAUAACAGACAAUAAAAAAUAACCAAUUUGACAACGCAACAGAAAAUGACAAAAAAGAAUCCAAAACAAACGCAGCCAAUCACAAUGCUUUUACAGAUCAUCCUAAACGACGUAGUCUCGUAGCCAGUCUGGAAGUUUCUUGUUUCGUUUGGGCCGUUGAUUCUCUUGCACUGGCUCAUGGUGAAUGUCCUCCUUGGGUUGACUGACUGUGGGUUCUUGGUUGAGCUCUUCCACUUGCGCCCCCUCUGAUGGCUCUAAUUUGAUAUAUAAAUUCGUAUCACAUACAUGCGGUUAAUUUUUUAAGAUAAAGGGGAAGGAUGAUGCUCAAAAAUAUAAAUUAUAGAAUUAAUUGAACUCUCAAAUAAGUUUAAAGUUCAUUAUUUUUAAUUACAUGUUUAUAAUUUAUUUUUAUUUCGUAUUAAUCUAUAGAUCUAAAUCCACUUUGGAUUCAUAUACACAUAUAGACAUAAUGUGUAUGUUAAUCUAUAGGUCUAAAUUCACUUUAGGUCUAUAUAGGUAUUUUGACAAAUGUACUCCAAUCAUGCAUAUUGGCAAGUUCAAAUUCAAUUUGGAAUAUGGUCAUGGUACGUUCUUGUUCUUCCCUCUUUACGAGUGCAUUCCCCCCAACCUCAAGCUCCCUCUCUCGUCUUCAAUGUCACUGCUUAUAUCCUUAUGUUGUUCUAGUUUGAAACAGUGGCUUCCACUAUUUCAGGGCCCCCAAAAAUCCAGAAACAUACUAUUCAUCACGAUGACAAAAUUUUGGGCAGGCAGGUGCUUCCUGACUUUCACACGGUAAUUCUCAAAUUCUGAUUUCACCAUAUUUUAAUUACUGAUUAUGCUCUCCAUUAUAAUAGAAGUCGCCGCCACACUAGUGAUUCCAAACUUUAUCUUUUUUCCUUUUUUAAAUUAAUGCAAGUAGCCGCUGUCCUUUUUAUUAAUUAAUUAAUUCGGCCGCCCACAUUUCUUUUUCUAAUGUCUUCUACUGUCGAGUUUAUUUUAUUUUCCCUUUAUUCUUAAAAUAUACUUAUAAUAAUAAAAUAUAAAAAUAAAAAUAAAAAUUAACAUAUCAAAAUAUAAUUUAACAGAAAAUUAAGAUGAAAAAUAAAAAAAAAUAAAUUCUGAACAUAUCAAUCAAUAAAUGAAAAAUAAUAAUUUUUAUUUUUAUUAAAUAUAUUUUUUUCAGUAUUAAUCAAUUAUCUGAAUAACUAAAAUCAUUUAAAAAUAAAUAAACAAAUUAUUCUUUAUAAAAAAAAAAAACUUUUUAUAACACUCACUAUGCUGGUUGUAGGGUAGACGCUUUGGGGACUGAAGUUGGUAACUUCUACAAGUAGUCUUAAGUUGAUAACUUCUACAAGUAGUCUUAAGUUGACUGGCAAAUGUUCUCAGUAUUAUAUUGGUGUGUCGAUAUUAUCUCUAACUGCCUUAUAGAUAAAAAAAUAAUCUAAAUUUAAAAUUUAACAUAAAAUAAAAUAAUUGGUAGAAAAACAAUUAUGGUUCAUUUACUUAUCAGUAAUCAGAAUAGACUGAAAUCGAAAUGAGUUGUAUUACCGUUGAUGUGUUUAUGUUGUCCUCGAAUCGGAAUGAAUUAUUUUAAGUUACUAAAAUAUCCUUGGUUUGUUAUUCUAAUUAUUAUUAUUUAAUAUUUAUUAUAAUAUUUGUCAUAUCAUUAAAAAGAAAUAAUAAUGAUGAUAAUAUUAUCAUUAUUGUUUGUUACAUUAUUAUUAUUCAAAAAAAUUAUUGUUAAUAACAAUAAUUACUUUAUUUCAAUACUAAUAAUGAUAAAAUUAAUAAUAACAAACAACAAUAAUUAUUUAUUAUGCCAAAAAUAACAAUAAUAAUAAUCAUCAUCAUUUUUUUUCCCAAAGAAGCAUUAUCAUCAUUUCAAAAAAAAUAUCAUCAUUAUCAUCAUCAUUUUUGUAGUGGCUGCCUAUCGGCUGUUGCUUUCAUGUGAGAUUGACUUGCGACGCUUCAACGGCUAUUAUUUCUGGCAAUGUCAGGUGUUACUGUUUCAAUUUAGGAAGAAGCUGUUUCGUUGUGCUAACGAUGGGAGAUGUUGUGGCUGCGAUUCGGGGAGCUACUAGUUUAUUGCACUAAUGACGGCAGGUGCUGCUGCUUGAUGCGAGGUCCAUGGCCAGUUGUCAGCAGUUCGACUUUGGUAUGGGUGCUGCUGGUUCGAUUUUAGGUGUUGUCCAAUUUCAUUUUCAGGAUUUUAAUUUUAUUUUUCUUUUAUAUUUUCAUUAAUUAAUCAGGACAAAGUUGGAUUUUAGAAUUUGGAAUGAAGGUAAUUUUGUUAAUCAUGGAAAUGAGAUUCUGAUUGUCGAGAAUGAGCUUACACAAACAACUACAAAUUAAGUGAAAACAAAACGCUUUUUCUCUUUGUGUGAUUAAAACAUGAUAUGUACCAUAAAUAAAUAGGUAAAAAAUAAAUUAAUACAAUCCAAAACAGUAAACUAAUUACAAGAGGCACAAAUUUUUAUGUGAAAUACCAAAAAUAGAAAAAACCACAGCAUCUUAGUAUGAGAUAAUCUUCUACUAUAUUAAUGAGAUUAUAGCACAAAUUCUUCCUUAUAUAACACUAGAGGUUAACAACAUCAAGAAUUUCAAUAAUCUUGACUUACAAUACAGCCUAAUAUUUGUCUCUCUAAUAAGUAGAUAUCUAAAAUAACAGUCUCUAAUAAAUAAGUAUCUCAAAUAACAGUCUCUAAUAAGUAUCUCAAAUAAUAAUUUCUAAUAAGUAUGUAUCUCAAAUAAUAGUUAACAAGAGGAUAAAACAAAAAUUAAGAUUAGUAGGAUUGUAUAAGGCGAUGCUAUCAACUUAUCUUCUAAAUUUGAGAAAAAUAGUUAAAUUCACUUUUUCGAUUGUGACCAAAGAUGGAAACCUUUGCCCCAAAACCAAAGGAAUCACCAUUUCUCUCUCUCUCUCUCUCUCUCUCUCUCUCUCUCUCUCUCUCUCUAUCUCUCUCUCUCUCUCUCUCUUCUUCUACUUUUCUUAAUGUUAGCCGCCACUCGCUUUUAUUCUUUAUAGCAUUUAAAAAGCUACUUUUAAUGGUAAAUUUCAUUUAAGUCCAAAACUUAGUGAUAAUUGUACACCAAACAAUUCUUUUUGGACUAUGAGCUUUUGGGCCUCCAAAUGAGAUGAAUACAACAAAUCUCCCCCUUUAGAUCAUGUGGGGGGCACCACAAGCCUGCUCUCUGCAUAUAGUUUUUCAACUUCUCCUUGAAUAAUGACUUUGUCAUCAUACAUAACCCAUUCUCUGUUGUGUAAAUUUUCUCAAGCUGUAGCUGUUGCUUCUCAAGCACGUCUCGUAUCUAAUGAUAUCUCACAUCAAUAUGCUUAGAUUUCGAAUGGUUUAUCAAAUUCUUUGAACGGCACUCUGACUGUCGCAGUACAUAACAUAGCUGUCUCGUUUUACACCCAGCUCUUAUAGGAAAUUCAUUAUCCAUAAUAUUUUUUUGCAACCUUCAAUAAUUGUUAUAUCAUUUGCUUUAGUGGUAGAAAACGUAACUUAUUACUAAAGUUUAGAUUGCAAUGAGACUUCUCCCCCUGCAAAAGUGAGCAAACAUCCUAGAAGGAAUUUUUCGGAAUCAACAUCUUCUGCCAUAUCUACACACUUGUAACACAGGUUUGUCACCACUAAAAUAUAAACAUGCUCUGGAAAUGCCUCUAAGAUAUCUGAGAAUUUUUCAUUGUUGUCCAAUGCUCUUUUAUAAUAAAUACAAACAUAAUGAAUUUAUAAAACAUUUAGAGUAUUUUGAAUAUUAUAUAAAAUAAUUUUAAUAUAAUGCAUGAGAUAUAUUUUAUUAAUUUAAAAUGCUAUUUAAUCUAAAGAUUUAUUUAAGAUAAAUUAAUAAUUAAAUUUUUUUAAUUAUUUCAAAUAUUAAAAAUUUGUAAUAUUAUUAGUCUAUUAGAUAGAUUAAAUUAUUUAUUUUAUUUUGUAUUUAUUAAAAAAUUUUAAAGUCAAUAUUUUUAAUUACUAUUCGAAGGAUAUAAUGAUUAAAAAAAUCUUAAUAUUUUUUAUUAAAAAUUUAAAAAUUUACAUGACCAUUUCUAUAAAUAUUUAGGGUAUAUAUGAGCCACGGUGGAGAAGAUUUAUUUAAUAUUAUUGAUUUAAAUAAUAUCUAAUUAAAAAUAUACUGAGAAAAAAUUUCGGUGGGUAUUUUAGUCUUUUCAGCAAUCACAUGAUUAGCCUUUGGGCUUUGGCCUUGAAACGUCGGUCAGAAAAGUUUUAAACUGCUUAAUUGUUUUUCACUUUUAACGUUAGUGGCUGCUUAUAUUUUAGGAAAAUGAGAUUCUCACCACAGUGAGAACCACACUGAGCACAGAACGGUGCGUUUUGUGCUCAGUAUAAAUUCUAACUGUAGCGGAAAUAUCGCAACACAAACGCGCCAUUCCAAACCCACGCGCGUUCUCCCUCACGCCAGCAAAUCUCACCACGCUUCCUCCUCACUGUAAGCGCCCCCCCUCCCCGGGGGCGGUCGGCUGCGUCACGCUCCCUCACGGCGCCUCACUCUCUCGGCUCUCUUAGAAAAUUGAAUUGCGGCUUCCGCCGUGGGGUUCUCUCCUCAACUGCCGUUGUCUCGUCUCUGACAGCUGCCUUAAUCAAAUUCUGAAGGUAGUUUGCUUCAAUUCAUUACAUUAAUUUCAAAUUUGGUUUGUGUGGGAUUAUGAGUUUGUGAAGAUUUAGUUCUGUUUCAUGGUAAACUAUUUUUUGCUCAGUGUGUUGAGAAUAUCAGCACGGUUUAAAAUUCUUUUUAGAUUCUGUCGUAAAGUUUUCUUUGUAUUGGGCAAGUCAGUUACUUUAGUUUUGUGUCUGAAAACAAAAACACUUAGCUUAGUGAGUUUUAAGAGAUUUUGCUAUUUUGUUCAACGAAGCUUAAAAAGGGGAAGCUUUUAUGGCGUCUGUGAGCCGAGGCAAUUUGGAUCGGGUGCUUUUUCAGUUCAUUUGUUUGUUUCUUAUUUGGGUUCUUUAUUGUUAGAUGUUCUUUUGAGAUUCUGGCAUCUGGCAUCUGGCUACUUGCUUUUGUGGAGUUUUUUUAUUAUUUGAAUUCUGUGAAUUCUUUGUUUUCUUUCCCAAAUGAUUCCACUCUAUAAAAUAUAUAUUGUGCUUGGCUAGAAUUUUCUUUUAGAUAAUUGCAUCCUGUACAUUGGCUUAACCUGUCAAGAAUGAGAAUGAUGGAAGAUGCCUAUCUUGGAAAGAAUAUAUUGAGUUACAUAGUACCGGUUCCAAAUGAAUAAAUUGGAACUUGCCUAAAACAGGCACCAAUCCACCAUGACACCAAGCCUUUUUAAAAUUUUUUUUUUUUUAAGUUUAAAGAAACUUAUGUUGCUUCUUUAGAUCUGUUUUAGCUUAUGAUGAAUUUUGCUAAUGGUAAAAUCCCUCCCCUUCAAAGUUGGGGGAGGGGAAGCAUCUAUAUGCAUAUGUGUACAUUAUGGAGCUCGAACUACAUGUCGCAGUAAUACAUUAUUCUCUUUGCUUUGCAGGUUUUGAUCAACAUGAGUGAUUGGGAUGUAGGUCUGUGCUUGAGAGGCCGGAGUGAUGACCAGAAUUCUGUCAACCAGACCAAAGACAAUCAACUGAUGAAGUGUUGUUGUUCUCUAUAUUGAUUGUUGGAAAUUAUGUGUUAUUUCCAGAUUUUUAGAAAAUUAUGAUUGCUGGAAAUAAUUAUAUAUGUACAAUCAUUAUGUCCUCCAGCACAAGUGAAUUUCCAAACCCACAACUGAAAGCUUGCGAAAAAUUUGUAGAAAAUUUGUACAUCAAAUCCACAAGCUAAGUGUUGUAUCAGAAUAUGAAUGACAAUAAAACAAAAAUCUGUGUUCUUCAUUCUUAAAAUACUAAUACAAUACAAGUACAUUCUUAUUCUGAGAAAUAACUACCUAUUAACUCCAUAUUCAUUAUCUUGUUGAAAGAGUAGCUGCUGAAAAUGUCCAUGUCGCUGAGCUUGUAUGUGCUAUUAAAAAAAAAUUAAACAUCUUGUUGUCAUCCGAAAAAAUAAAGAAGGCAAGAUGAACAAAUAAAAAACUUAUCACUACUUACGGUGCAAGAAUUUUAUGUAGAUAUUGAAUAAACAUUAUCCUCAAUUAUUUGUCACAAUAAUUUAUAUUCAAUUCAUGGUGUGUUGCAGCAAGCUUCCAUUGUUUAACUAAAUGACAGCUGAAUCUUUACAACUAAUUAUCUUUACAAUCAAAUUUGGAAUUAAUUAAGCAAAUUACCGCUAGAAAUCGACGAGUGAAGCUAAGAGAGUGAGGCUGCAAGUCGAAUUUUUGAGACAGCCGAGAGAGUGAGGCGCUGUGAGAGAUGCAAUGGACGGGCGAGAGAGAGACGAAGCCGAUGGUGAUUGCUGCAUUGGUAGGAUUGAGGGAGAGAGCGAAAGAGCCAGAGCGUGCGUGCUUGUUCUGCCAGAGAGCGCGUAUGUUUUUUCUCAAUGCGCGUGUUGCGUAAUUAUCCAUCUACAGUGACCAUUUUAUAGUUAUCUUGAAACGCACCGUUCGGUGCUAUAUGUGGGGCUGAAUGUUGUGAGCAUAUCGGUGCUGUAUAUUUUAUUAAAAAUUAAUGCUAACAAGAAAAAACCCCUCAAUGAAUGAGGGUGAGAUUGCUAAAAAUUACGACAGGUGAUAUUUUAUUAUUAUUAUUAUUAUUGGGGGAGAAAUCCUCACCAAAGUGAGGAGAUUUUAUCAAAAUCAAAAUAAAAAUAUAACAAGAACUGAAAGUUGGGCAGCCUAAAAGCUAGAUAAACUAAAAUUCAGGCGCCUAAAAACAACCUUAUGCAAAAGAGAAGCAACAUGAGACCGAUCAAGUAAAAGAAUCCACCGCAACACCUAAAUUGGCCAAAUUAUCUGUUGGUAUUACAAGUUUCUUGUUAUAAAAGUGUAGAAUGAAGAAGGUGACGUAGUUUUAAGUUACAGCUGCAUGCCCGAUCGCAAUAUCAAAUAAUGAUUAAAUAUCAAAUAAUACUUAAAAUAGUUGCCUAGACCCGCCACAAUUUAUAUUAACUCUUAAAUUUAUAAAUAAUUAAAUUUUUAAAAGUUCGGAUUUAUAUUAAAAAAUCUUCAUAUAAAUAAAUAAUAUAUGCACUUUUACAACACAGUCUUUAAAUUUAAAUUUUUCUAGAAAAAUCUUCUGUAUAUCUUUUCUAUUAAAAAAUUUCCAUAUAAAUAAAUAAUAUACCUAAUUUAAUUGGACCCAGCGCAACGCAUAUGCAUAGAACACAUUCCGAAAAGCCAUGAUAUUCGGAAAUUGACGAAUGAAAAGUGAGGAGGCAGCAGUCAAUGCUAUUUCGGCUUGGCCCAAAAUUGAUUUAUCAGUUUGACGUGUGCCAGGAAUGAAGAACUGGAAUAUCACCAUCAAGCAAGCAACCUGCGGAGCAAUACCAUAGAAUGCACAAUCCGGCUUUGCAAGGUGACACUGGAGGCUUUUUGAAAAGUGCUUCACGCUCACUUGACAGAUUGAGCAUCCCCUCUGGAUAUUGCCCUCUCUGAUCGAAUCUGAGCACUCAAAUUUCGGUCCUCAGAUGGAGCUACAGCUUUCUCUCCAAUAACCAACAAUUUUCUAAACUCAGCACCUAGUGUGAUCAGAGUUGUUGAUAUUUGUAAAUGGAGAUCCCCGUAUUUGCAAAUGGAGACAUUUACCAAAUCACCAACAUGCUUCAUCCAGUCUACGAAAUUCUGCAGCUGAUUCAAAUCCGGAACCUGAACAAGAGUCGGAGGUAAAUCUUGAGCCAUAUCUAAAGCAGUCUGAAGUUCAAGUACUUGAGCCCUUGACAAUGGUUUUGAAAUUGGAACAUCUUGGAUUACUGCAGACUUGUGCCCCUUGGUUUCAAAGGUAAGGAAAGGCAUUGCUUGAGUACAAUUUGGAGGCAGCUUCUUCACCAAUUUUAUUUGGAGGCGAUUGGCAGCGGAUCCAGCUGCACCAAUUUCAGAGCAAAUACUGACACUACUUCGAACAGCACACUGAAGAAGUGAUAUGUCUACGGCAAAGGCAAUGCAGUCCUCAUUUUGGCUUGAGAUGCAGUAAUCAUCGAAGAGAGUUUCCUUGUGAAACUGGGCAACACAUUGAAUCCCUUCGCCACUGAGAAGGUUGCGGAGGAAGUAAGCUUUCUCUCUAGUGAGGAAGAGGUGGCAUACCUUCCCCAUGUCUAGGGCAGGUAGGAAUCUUUUUUCUAAGAGAUUUACUUCAUUCUCUGUGAGAAAUGCUUUGAACUUCAUCCCUCUGUCUCUAUCCUCACUUAUCAGUAAAAUAGUUGAAAGUGCUACAAGGAGAGAAAAGAAGAGUAUUAAGAUAUAUAUAGACAAGAAAAACAUUAGAUGUCGAUCUUACAAGCUAAUACUUCAAACAGUAUCCUAGAAAGCUAAAAACUGCAAAAUGGCUUGACAUUUGAAAAGAACACAUGCUUUUCCUCCUUAACUUGAGAAAAUGUUUAAUAUAGUGCACCUUACAGAAACAUUUAAGCAAUUAGAACUUUGCACAAAAAUAUUCAAGAAGACUAAACAAAUCAGAUGCAGUGUAUUUCUCCAAGCACAAAUGGCAUUGCAUUUUUUCCUCAACUGUAAUAUUUAUUGAUGAAAAUCAGUACAGGUCCCUCAUUUGUUAUGGAAAGCUUUCUUGUAGUCUGACUGGUUAAUUCACGGAUCUAUAAUUAUCUUGCAAAGUUACAGGCAUUUCUUUCGAUUUAAAGUCUUUGCAUCACCACCUCAUCACACACCUAGCCAAUAUUCCGUCUACUUCUACAACAAAAAGUUUUAAGUAAACGAUCCUAAUGCAUGCAGCCAAAUAAAAUGCAGUAAGAAUAUUCAACUUAAAACUCUGAAAGCCAUCUUGGUGAAUUGCCUCCUUAGGGGAAGUUCCAUGAUUUACUAUACUUGACAGGACUGAGCAAAAGCUUACAUACAACAGAUUUUGAAAAUGAUGAUGCCAAUAGAUACUCAUACAAUCCAUUGAAACUCCUAAGGUCCAUUGUUCACAGAGGUUUACAGAGUUUUGGUUAUCAAAUAGCUCAGACCUUAAUCCCAAACAAAAAACGAGUGAAAAUUAGAUCACCAGCAGCAAAUUGUAAAUUCUAACUUAACUCUUCAUCUCCUUUGUAAACAGGAGACAAAAUGGAGACACGCAAAAUGAAUAAGGAGAACAUUUGAACUCAAAUGAAAUGAGGGCACGAAAGCAAACAAAUGGCAUGCGCAAACAAACCAAGCCUCAAUCAAAAACUAAUUAACCAUUAAAAAACAAAACUGGUCAGCUUCUGGUGUUCUCAAAUUGUAUAACAAGAGAUCGACACAUCGAAUCAGAAGAACUCAAUUCAAAUUUGUCUCAAAAAUCAAAAUUAGAAGAUUUCACAUUUCGAGAGGAACAAGCGACAGGUCAGAUGCAAAAUUUUCAGCCAUAACAUGCCACAAUUAACGGUUUAUUUCCAUGGAUUUAGAGAGCUGACUGACCUUUUGGCUUUUGGAAUUGAGAAGAUCGCGCGCCAAAAUGGAAGAGGGAAAGCGAAAGUGCGGGUUUUAAUAGGGUAUUGGAUUAGCAAAUUUUAUUAGUUUGCGAGGGUAAAAUAGGAAAGUGAUAUCACUAUUAACCUUUUUUUUAAUAAGAAAAAAGAAUAAUAAAGAAUAUUUUAUUGUCAUUUGCAGCAUUUAUUUUUUUUAAAUGCUAUUAGAAAAAUACGACAACAAAGAAAUGCUCUUUUUUUUUUUUUUUUUUUUCUCGAAGGUAAAAUCAAUUAUUUAGCUCCUUAUAUGUAAUCAAACUACAUUUCUUACUUUAAGUCAUAUCCAACGGACCAACAAAGUAAUUAUUUUUUUUUUCAUUCAUUUUUGCAGAAAAUUAAUAACUUAAAAAUAUUGAAAGCUAUUGUAAAAUUUUUUAUUAUCAACCUCAUAGUUUUAUUUUUUGGGAAGAAUUGAAUUUUUUUUUUUAAUUUCCAAGAAUUUCAUUCUCUAGUUUUUCCAUUAAUAUUACUUAUCUUGAUACCCAUCUUAAUUAAAAUCUGUAGUUUUAUUCAAGAGUCAUGCUAUUCAUUCACUCACAGACCAAAGGCUUUCCGCAGCAAUAUUAUUAUUUAAAUUACAACAAAGGGGAAAUCAAAUACGUCAUACAGAAGCUUAAAGCUGAAUCUACAAAAUCUAGAGCUCUCAACUACAUAAAUUACACUUGAUGAUCCUCUACAAGAUGAAGCUUGUUCAAUAUCUCAUCCAAAGCUUGUAAAGUAACAUUAUAACGAUCUUGAGAUUGCCUGCCUUCCUCGACGACCUGCACGAUGCGUUUGUACAAAUCAUCAUACCUGUGCACCGGAUUUUUAAUAUCAAUGCCACUGCAGCUGUGAUCAAGAACAUAAGAGCGUUUAACAUCUUUUCUCCAUCAAGAAAGAAUGUAGUGAGAUGGGAUCUCCUGCAUGCCACUCUGGUUUAGAACACAAAGAAUGUGUCUGCAUAAAUAUCCUCUGAAAUUGAACAACCCACAAACACAAAGCACCUCCAAGUCGGAGGCAUUGUACAAAACAUCGAAAAUAGUUAUGUUUUACAAUCUAUUAGACAUAUUUUAUUAAAUUAAUAUAAAUUUUCUAUAAAAUAAGAAUAUAAUAUUAAAAUAAAUUCACAAAAAAUUAAAGAAUUUUGAAUGUAAAAUAAUUUUAAUAGAUUAAUACGUGAGUUUUUUUAUUAAUAUAAAAAUUAUUUAACUUUAAGAUUUUUUAAAAUCUUUACAAUAAGUAUGACUAUAUUAUUUACAUUUAAAAAUAUUUAAAUAUUAUUAACCUACAAUUAUAUUUGCAUUUGUUAGAAUUUUUUAAGUCAAAUAUUUUGCACUUCUAUAUUAUUAGAAUUAUUGCACACAAAGAAAGAAACAUAUACCUUUAGAAAUUGUUUUCUUUUAAAAUAGAGAUGAUGAUUAGUAUAAGGAUGAAAAAAAUGAUAAAGAAUAUUAAUGAUUAACGAAAUCUCUAUACAAAUUGAUUUUAGUAGGAAAAGAGUGAGAUGAAUGAUUUCUUUUACGGUUAGAAACAUAGAUGAUGAUUAUUAUAACGAAGAAAAAAAGAUAAAGAAUAUUAAUUAUUAAUGGAAUCUCUAUGCAAAUUGAUUUUAGUAGGAAAAAAAAUGAGUUAAAUGAUUUAGAGUGCGUUUGGAAUUGAGAUUGGGCAGCCAUAGAUUUUAAGUUACAAUACUGAAGUGUUUGAUAAAUACUAGCUGCUGCAGAUUGAAAGUUAUAUUGAUAUGAUUUUUCACAUGUAUCAUAGAAAAUAUAUUACAUCUUUAAUAAUUUUUUUAAAAUUUAUAUUUGCUAUAUAUUAUUAAUUUUUUUUUAUAGUUAUAACUUUUUUUCCACAGCAGUUGUAGCUUAAAAGUCACAGCAUCUCAAUCUCAAACAAAUCCUUAGACAUUCAUAGUGUGUUUAUUUUUUGGAUUGGUGAAUCAAAAUUAUUGACAACGCUAACUUCAUCUUCAUUGUUCGCAAUCCAACAGCAGCAGCAAUUGUCACCAAUAAUGAUAUCUCCAAUGAUGAUGACAAUUAUUAUUAUUAUUAUUAUUAUUAUUAAUUUAUUAAUUAAUAUAUUAAUGUUAAUAAUAUUAUUAUUAAGAUUAACAAUAAUUAGUAGUAAUACAAUUUUUUGAAUAAAAAUAAUCACAAUAAUUAAAAUACAAAUUAAUAAUUAUGACAAUAGUUAAUUAAUGUCUUUUUAGUAAUUUGUAAUAAUCUAACUCAUUUUGAUUCUGAUUAUUACAGCUUAAGUAAACAAAUUAUUAUGAUUCCUAUUUUCCUUUCCUAUUUUAACUCACUUCGAUUCCAAUCUAUUCCAAUUUCUAUCUAAUAAAUGCACCAUUAGUGCUAAAGUAAUAUUUCAUACAUAGAAAAAUAAAAACUACACCUAAGGUUAAGGGAAAGGACUUCAAAACUCUCUUUUGAUCAUAAUACAUUUUGUCCUAAUUAACUUAAAGAUUUUGAAUCUAAUAUUUUAUAAUAAAUAAAAAUAUAUUCCUAAAAUAAAUAUAAUAUCAAUAUUUAAAAUAUGUUUUAAUAUUUUACAAUCUAUCAUACACAUUUUAUUAUAUUAAAGUAGAUUUUAUAAUAAAUACAAACGUACUAUUAAAAUUAAUAUAUAAAAAAUUUAGAAAAUUUAGAAUAUUAUAUAAAAUAAUUUUAAUAUAAUGCGUGAGAUAUAUUUUAUUAAUUUAAAAUUUUAUUUUACCUAAAAAUAUGAUAAAUUAAUAAUUACAUAUUUAAAGUUAUUUCAAAUAUUAAAAAAAUUUAAUAUUAUUAGUUUUUUAGAUAGAUUAAAUUAUUUUUAUAAGAGAUAGAUUAAAUUAUUUUAAAAUACCUUAAUUGUUUUUACUUUUAACGUUACCGGCCUUUCUUUUAUUUUAUUGUAAAUUAAUGCUAACAAGAAAAAGCUAGAUCAUAUUCCACAAAAGCAAAAGUGACAAACACAAUCAGCUGGAAUCUUUUAUAAAACUACAAAUUAAAAUGGUUUUUUUUUUUUUUUGAUAAAUUACAUAUAAAAGUGGAUUCUUUUGAAUAUAAGUGGGGUAGGCUCUUUUAUUUUUUUUUAAUACUGUAUAACAAGAUUGUAGACUCCUUGAUUAAGCACAAGUAUAAAGUAGUCGAGACGAUACUUUAUGCUAGGUGUCCAUUGAAUAUUAGAUCUUCAUUUCUUUGGCCAUUUAAUUUUUUCGAGAAAUUUUUCUUACGAUCCCGGCUAAGCUUGAAGAAAAGACAACUCAACGGUUUUUUUAAAACAAGUUUCCGUUUUGGUUGGUGAAAUGAAAACGAAAUAAAGCACUUCCAUCCAAAAAUCAUUCUUCUGGAGAAAGGGAUGACAGAUUAAAGAAAAGGGGUGUACUGAAAGGAGAAAAAAGGUUCUUGCAUGAGAGCUGGACACGUUAAAAGAAGUUGAACAAAUGUCUCAAAAAGAAGCUAUUUCGCUUUCAUACUAAAGCCUAUUUGUAAUAGCAUCAGCAAUGCUCCACUAUCCACAUUCUUGUGCGGAUAUCAUUGCAAUCUACUAAUGGUAUAUAAACAUGCAUGUUGUCCCAUGAUGAUUAAGUUAACACACACUUGGAGGUACUUAAAUUAUGCCAUAAAGAGAUAUAGUUAUUACGCAUACAAAUGUUAUUCAAUGGUUAAAAUGUAUGAUAAAGAAAUCGCUUGAAUUUUUUAUUUGCCGUUACGUAAUUUUUUUAUUGAUUCCGAGUUUGAAUCUUAAAAGAAAUAAAGGGUUAGAAAAUUAAUUUGAACUUUGUCCACUCUUUAACUUAAUGAGUAUAAAAACAGAAAAUGCAGGUAAUUUAAUUUUGACAUCUAACAUUUAAGAGAUAGAGCUUGAAAGAGUCCAAUAUUAAAUUAUAAAAUAAUUGAAAUAAAGUUUGCCCCAUAAGAAAAAUUGAACAAAAAAUCUUAAGUAUGAUAUGAUGCUAGAGAAAUUAUUUAUCUCAAAACUUUUAUUAGGUAAUUAAGUCCUAAGAAUAUGUAAUUACACAUGUAACAAAAAUUAGAGAUGAGGGUCUUUUAUUAAACUACAAAUUGUAUAGUCUUUUUAAAAUUGUUAUAAAUUGGUGGCCCCUACAAUCCUCAAUAAUUGUGCCGAUAUUCACAAGUUGGUGGCCCCUACAAUUAUCAACUGUGCAAGUGCUCAUUCACAAUCUUCCAGGUCAUGCUCUUAAUAAUUGUUUUUUUUUUCUGCAUUCCCUUUCAUGCUCUUAAUAAUUGAAGAGCAUACUUUUCAAAUAUGGAGCCGCAGCUAAUGUCGCUAAUUUAAUUUGGGAUUAAAUUAGGGGACCAUUAUGUUGCAGUGUGCACUAAUUUUUGUGUUUAUCUAAACUCCUUAAAUUUAAGACAUAUUACGGCAUAAAUAAGAAUAUAACAAUAACAAAAGAGUUAAAAAGUGUAGAGAAGAUCUUGCAGAAAUAUAAAUAAUAUCUAUUUUAAAAUAAUAUCAAUAUUUAAAAUAAUUUUUAAUAUUUUAUGAUCCAUUAGAUAUAUUUUAUUAUAUUAAAGUAAAUUUUAUAAUAAAUAAAACAUACUAAAUUUAGAGUAUUUUAAGUAUUAUAUAAAAUAAUUUUAAUAAAAUAUGUGAGAUAUUCAUAUUUUAUUAAUUUAAAAUACCAUUUAACCUAAAGAUUUAUUUAUGAUAAAUUAAUAAUUAUAUUUUUGAAAUUACUUCAAAUAUUAAAAAAAUUAAUAUUACUAAUCUAUUAGAUAGAUUAAAUUAUAUAUAUUAUUUUCUAUUUAUUAAAAAAUUUUAAAAUUAUUUUUAAUUACUAUUCAAAAAAUAUAAUGAUAAAAAAAAAUCUUAACAUCUUUAUUAAAAAUUUAAAAAUUUUCAUGAUCAAUUCUCUAAAUAUUUAGGGUAUAUGUGAACCACGGUGGAGAAGCUUUAUUUAAUAUUAUUGAUUUAAAUAAUAUGUGACAAAACAACUAGGUGGACUACAAAUUAAAGUGGAUUCUUUUGAAUACAAGUGGGACAGACGAUUAGGCUCUUUUUAAUUUUUAUUAAAGGCAAGUAAAAAGUAGUCGAAUAGUCUUUUUCAAAUUCUUGUUUUAUUGUUUUUCAAAACUAACAAGAAAAAGCGAGAUCAUAUUCCACCCCAAAAGCAAAAGUGACAAAACAACCAGCUGUAUUCUUUUAUUAAACUACAAAUUAAAAUGGAUUCUUUUGAAUACAAGUAGGACAGACGAUUAGGCUCUUUUUAUUAAACGCAAGUAAAAAGUAGUCGAAUAGUCUUUUUCAAAUUCUUGUUUUAUUAUUUUUCAAAAUUAGUUUUUGGUAAUUACUGUUUUUCCUUCAAAAGUUAGCGGUUCAUGUUUGCAAGUGUGAAUGUGCGAUGCUCUUUUCUUAAAGGCAAUUACAGUGGGGCCCGAAUGCCUAAAUCUUUUUAAAAUUUUUGCCGUAUAACGAACAGAGGUCAUUACUAAAAUUUCUCUUCCACAGCCUACAGCAGCUUCAGUUUAUCAAACUCAAUCAAUUUUCUUUCUUAACAAAAUUCCAAAGAUGUGUAGCAUUUUUCAGAUCGCAUGCGAUGGUGCUCUUUUCAAUCGUUGCUUGGAUUGCUUUCUUGGAAAAGCAGCAUACCUUCGUAACCUCCCAGAUAAUCUUGUAGACUUGGAGACUGAACUGGGAAGACUAAUCGCAGCAAAGAACGAUGUGAUGAUGAGGGUUGUCAAUGCUGAACGGCAACAAAUGAGAAGGCUGGGCCAAGUGGAAUGGUGGGUUUCGAGGGUGGAUGCUGUUAAAACUGGAGCCGAUGAACUUAUCACAGACGGCUCUGAAGAAAUUGGCGAAUUAUGUGUUGGAGGCUACUGUUCCAAGAACUGCAGGUCAAGCUACAAGUUCGGAAAACAAGUGGCUAAAAAGCUACAAGAUGUGAAGGCUUUAAUCGCCGAGGGAGUUUUUGAGGCGGUGGCUACUGAGGUGGUGCCCGAGAGAGCUCCGGAACCUGUAGCAGAUGAAAGACCCAUUGAGCGAACAGUAGUAGGCUUGCAAUCACAACUUGAACAAGUCUGGAGAUGUCUUGUAGAAGAAUCAGUGGGAAUCAUUGGCCUAUAUGGUAUGGGCGGUGUUGGUAAAACCACACUGUUGACCCAUAUCAACAAUAAAUUUCUUGAGAGUCCCACCAACUUUGAUUGUGUGAUUUGGGUCGUAGUUUCAAAAGACCUGCGACUUGAAAAAAUUCAAGACGAUAUUGGGAAGAAGAUAGGUCUGUCUGAUGAUUCAUGGAAGAAUAAAAGUUUUGAGGAGAAAGCUGUAGACAUCCUGCGGAGUUUAGGAGAGAAGAGAUUUGUAUUGUUGUUAGAUGAUUUAUGGGAGCGGGUUGAUUUAACAAAAGUGGGCGUUCCACUUCCCGGACCACAAAAUACUACCUCAAAAGUCGUAUUCGCAACCCGUUUCAUCGAUGUUUGUGGUAGCAUGGAAGCUGACAGGAAGUUCCUAGUGGCGUGCUUAUCAGAAAAGGAUGCUUGGGAACUGUUUCGAGAAAAAGUUGGGGAAGAAACUCUUCAGAGUCAUCAUGAUAUCGUUGAGCUAGCCCAAAUUGUGGCCAAAGAGUGUGGUGGUUUGCCACUCGCACUUAUUACUAUUGGUCGAGCUAUGGCCUGCAAAAGGACAGCCGAGGAGUGGAUACACGCAGUUGAAGUGCUAAGAAGAUCAGCUUUUGAGUUUGCAGGUUUGGGAAAAGAGGUGUAUCCUCUUUUAAAGUUUAGCUAUGAUAGUUUGCAGAAUGAGACGAUUAGAUCUUGUUUCUUAUAUUGUUGUUUAUAUCCCGAAGAUUAUGGAAUUCUUAAAUGGGACUUGAUUGAUUGUUGGAUUGGUGAGGGAUUCUUAGAGGAAUCUGACAGGUUUAGUGCAGAAAACCAAGGUUACUACAUUGUGGGCACUCUUAUUCAUGCGUGUUUACUAGAAGGGAUAGAAGAUGAUAGAGUAAAAAUGCAUGACGUUGUUCGUGAUAUGGCUCUAUGGAUAGCUUGUGAAAUUGAGGAGAGGAGACACUUUUUGGUUUGUGCAGGCGCUGGAUUAGAACAGGCACCGGCUGUUAGAGAAUCGGAAAAUGUGACAAGAUUGUCAUUGAUGCAAAACCAAAUUAAAAUUCUGUCGGAGGUUCCCACAUGCCCUGAUCUCCUCACUUUAUUUCUUGACUUUAAUGAGGAGUUGGAGAUGAUCGCGGAUGGCUUCUUCCAAUUUAUGCCUUCUCUCAAAGUUUUGAAGAUUUCAAACUGCGGGAAUUUUACUUUUCAAUUACCUUUGGGGAUGUCAAAGUUGGGUUCACUAGAACUUUUUGAUAUUUCACGCACCGAAAUACAAGAGUUACCAGAAGAGUUAAAGUUGUUGGUAAAUCUGAAAUGUUUGAAUUUGAGGUGGACAAGCAAGUUAAUUAGAAUUCCACGGCAACUAAUAUCAAAUUCUUCAGGGUUACGUGUGUUGAGAAUGUUCGCUACUGGCUAUGAAUGUUUUCAUGAAGCACCAGAAGACAGCGUUUUAUUUGGUGGGGGUGAAGUUUUAGUACAGGAAUUGCUCGGUUUGAAAUAUUUAGAGGUAUUGGAGUUGACCUUGGGAAGUUAUCAGGCUCUCCAAAUCUUUUUGAGCUCAAAUAAGUUAAAAAGUUGUAUUCGAUCUCUUUUCCUCCAGUUGGCCGGAGAUACAAAGUCGAUUAUUGAUGCUGCGGCUUUCGCAGAUCUAAACCACCUCAAUGAAUUAUAUAUUUAUGAAGGUAUUGAGUUGGAAGAAUUGAAGAUUGAUUAUACAGAGAUAGUACGAAAAAGGCGGGAACCUUUUGUUUUCCGCAGCCUUCACCGUGUUACCAUAUUUAGUUGCGGUAAAUUGAAAGAUGUGACAUUCCUCGUUUUUGCUCCAAACCUCAAGUCUCUUGAGCUAUUGCAAUGCGAUGCUAUGGAAGAAAUAAUCAGCGUCGGAGAAAUUGCUGAGACUCCUGAGAUGAUGGGACACAUAAGCCCUUUUGAAAAUCUCCAAAGUCUUCAUUUAUCGUAUUUACCAAUUUUGAGGAGCAUCUACUGGAAGCCAUUGCCUUUCACUCAUCUCAAAAAAAUGGAGGUACGUAGAUGCGAUCAGCUUAGAAGGCUUCCGCUCGAUUCCAACAGUGCAACAGAGCGUAAUGUUGUUAUUCGUGGAUACACACUCUGGUGGAACCGACUUCAAUGGGAGGAUGAAGCCACUCAAAUUGCUUUUCGUUCCUGUUUCCAACCUCGUUCCUGAGCAGUGGUCGCAAAAUUUGAUUUCUGGUGAGUGCGUUUGUCUUUUAAAAAGAAGAAUUUAAAAGAAAUUUAUUCUUGUCGUUUUCUUCACUGUUUUUAUUUGAUUUCUGGUUAGUUUCUUUCUCUCUCUCUCUCUCUUUGUCUUCUGCAAAUCACAAUUAAAUGUUGAAUUAAUGGAAUUGAUGCUCUGGUUUUUUACUUUUUGUUGUCAAAUUUUGCCCUGUUCUAUCUUCUUAGCGAUUUAAUUUCCUGUCAAAAGACGAGCGAGAAGAACAUAUAUAUGACUUAAACCAAUUGAUACUUUAUUUAUGUGCAUUGUAUGUAAUAAAUAUUAAGUAUACUUUAUUUUUGCCCUGUUCUCUGUUUUUAUUUCAGUCUCUCUCUCUCUUUCCUGUCUUCUGCAAAAUAUAAUCAAUUAUUUUCAAAAUAUCAUUGAUGAUUUUUCUGCUCUAAUGCUAUGUAAAUAGUAUGUUAAGUAAAACAUAAUCAAUUAUUUGUGUUUUAUCUCUAAUUAGAACAUCAAUCAGUUCAGUACCUCACAAAUAAUUCGCAAUAUCUACAAAAUACUAUAAUGGCUACAAAACAAAUCCUGCUUGCAAAUUGUCAAGGAUACCUAUCCGUUCGCUUGACAAGUCAUUUGAAUAAAUAUUGUUCACAUUCCUUACUCUAUCAAUUAUCCAAAGCACCAUCAAUGGUCCUCAACUUUAGUUUGAAUAGUAUACAUGCCAUCACCAUUACCAAGAAUCAAGCAUGGAAGAGUCAUUCUAUAGAGUUAAUCGAAGCAAGGAAUGAUGUAUCAGAAAAUAUUUGGUGGAGAAUUCAGCACAAACAUAUUUUGGAUGAUCAGAAUCAAUAAAACCUGGUGGUUGCGCCAUAUAAACAUCUUCGGAAAGCUGACCUUGAAGAAAGGCGUUAUUGAUAUCCAAUUGACGAAGAGGCCAGCCAUGACUAACAUCAAUACUAAGAACAAGCCGUACUGUGGUGGACUUAACAACUGGACUGAAAGUGUCAUAAUAGUCCACACCAGGCCAUUGAUUGAACCCUUUGGCAACAAGAUGAGCUUUAAACCUGUCAACAGAACCGUUGGAAUGUCUUUUAAUACAAAAAUCCAUUUGCAGCCAACAAUAUUGGAAGGGAUGGGAGGUGGAACAAGCUUCCAUGUCCCGUUACGAACAAGAGCAUCAUACUCUUCUGACAUAGCUGGACGCCAGUGAAGAUUUUUGAUAGCUUGCGUCACAGUUGUAGGUUCACAAUCAGAAGAAGGGCUAAAAUGAGCACGGAGGUUAAGUUUUUGUAACGGCUUGUGAAUCUUAUUUUUAGCUCGGGUAGUCAUAUCAUGAUGACUUGUGGGGCAAUGAUCUAGUGGAGUUUAGGAAGAUGAUUGAACAGGAAGUGAAGAAGUGCUUUGUGUAGAGGUAGAAGUAGGUUGGGAGGAUUGCUGCGGAGAUGUUACCGGUAGAGAAGAAGGAGCAGUACACGGUGGCAACUCCAGAGGGCCCACAAUAGAUGGAGUAGGUGCCGACAAUGGAGUACUAGGAAAUGAAACAGGAAGAAUUGGUGGAACACUUGCGUAAUUAGGAGUGGUAGAUGAGCUUGUAAUGAUUUGUAUGGAAAAACAAACUCUACAAAUUUAACGUGACGUGAAAUAAAAAUUCAACCCGAUUGCAUAUUUAAGAACAUCUCAAAUGAAUUGCUUACUGCUAUCAUCAUCAUUAUUGUCUAUAUAAUAAUGGAUCUUUAUUAUAUAUAUGUUUCCACUAAAAUAUAUUUAAUUAUUCUUUAUUUUUCUAUUGUUGCGUGUAAGAUUUAUUUGAGUUCUAAGUUAUAUCAAUACAAAUGUUAUCUUAUCCAUAAAAAGUUAGAUCCAACAAUUAUGAAAAUUACUAUAGAGUUGCUUUCAAUUAUUUUUUUAAAAUACCAGGAGUAAAUAAUAAUUAGUUCAAAUGGUGGAGACUAAAAUGCGUUCACCUUUAUUUUUUAUCUGUUAUUUACUUUUGUCAUUACAUUAAUGCACAUGCUAUACAUUUGAGACAUUCCAUUAAUUGCCAAUUAUGUAUGUGAGAUAGUAAUUUAAAUUAAAAAAUAAAAGUGAAAGUUAAUCCUAUGCAAUGUGAAUAAAUUUCUUUCCUUUUUCCUUUACUCUUUUUAUUUGACAAUAAAGUUUCCAUCUAUCAUCUAUCAUCUAUGUACACAAAAUUUCUGCAACAAGUACAAAACAUAAAAAUAUAUGAAUAUUAAGGGAAACACGCAGAAGUUCAUCAUUUCAAUGUUCAGUAUUACCAAUUUUGGCAUUAAGCUUGUACGAAUAUAUUCUACUUCGAAAGCAAAAUAUUAGACUCGUGAUUUUAAUUCAUUCAUUAUCUCUCAUUUUAAUCCCAAAAUAUUCAAGAGUAUCCAAGUUACCAUAAGACUUCAGAGGCUCGAGCCUUAGCCAGAGAUGGUUAAUUGAUAGACUAUGUGCCUGGGUCGAGCACUGGAAGCCUGCAAUGCAGACUGAUUGAUUUAUCAGUUUAACGUGUGCCAGGAAUGAAGAACUGGAAUAUCACCGUCAAGCAAGCACCCUGUGGAGCAAUACCAAAGAAUGCACAAUCUGGCUUUGCUAGGUGACCCUGGAGGCUUUUUGAAAAGUGCUUCAUGCUCACUUGCACAGAUUGAGCAUCCCCUCUGGAUAUUGCCCUCUCUGAUCGAGUCUGAGCACUCAAAUUUCGGUCCUCAGAUGGAGCUACAGCUUUCUCUCCAAUAACCAACAAUUUUCUAAACUCAGCACCUAGUGUGAUCAGAGUUGUUGAUAUUUGCAAAUGGAGAUCCCCAUAUUUGCAAAUGGAGACAUUUAACAAAUCACCAACAUGCUUCAUCCGGUCCACGAAAUUCUGCAACUGAUUCAAAUCUGGAACCUGAACCAGAGUCGGAGGUAUAUCUUGAGCCAUAUCUAAAGCAGUUUGAAGUUCAAGACCUUGAGCCCUUGACAAUGGUUUUGAAAUUGGAACAUCUUGGAUUACUGCAGACUUGUACCCCUUGGUUUCAAAGGUAAGGAAAGGCAUUGCUUGAGUACAAUUUGGAGGCAGCUUCUUCACCAAUUUUAUUUGGAGGCAAUUGGCAGCGGAUCCAGCUGCACCAAUUUCAGAGCAACUACUGACACUACUUCGAACAGCACACUGACGAAGUGAUAUGUCUACGGCAAAGGCAAUGCAGUCCUCAUUUUGGCUUGAGAUGCAGUAAUCAUCGAAGAGAGUUUCCUUGUGAAACUGGGCAACACAUUGAAUCCCUUCGCCACUGAGAAGGUUGUGGAGGAAGUAAGCUGUCUCUCUAGUGAGGAAGAGGUGGCAUACCUUCCCCAUUUUGUCUAGGGCAGGUAGGAAUCUUUUUUCUAAGAGAUUUACUUCAUUCUCUGUGAGAAAUGCUUUGAACUUCAUCCCUCUGUCUCUAUCCUCACUUAUCAGGAAAUAAGUUGAAAGCACUAUGAAGAGAGAGAGAGAGAGAGAGAGAAUUAAGAUAUAUAGACAAGAAAAUAAUUAGACGUUGAUCUUACAAACUAAUACUUCAAGCAGUAUCCUAGAAAGCUAAAAACUGCAAGAUGGCUUGAAAUUUGAAAAGAGCACAUGGUUUUCCUCCUUAACUUGAGAAAAUGUUUAAUAUAGUGCACCUUACAGAAGCAUUUAAGCAAUUAGAACUUUGCACAAAAACAUCAAGAAGACUAAACAAAUCAGAUGCAGUGUAUUUGUCCAAGCACAAAUUGCAUUUUGUCCUCAACUUUAAUAUUUAUUGAUGAGAAUCAAUACAGGUCCCUCAUUUGUUAUAGAAAGCUUUCUUGUAGUCUCACCAGUUAAUUCACAGGUCUAUAAUCAUCUUGCAAAGUUAAGGGCAUUUCUUUCGAUCUAAAGUCUUUGCAUCACCACCUCAUCACACGCCAAGCCAAUAUUCCAUUUACCUCUACAACAAAAAGUUUUUAAGUAAAUAAUCCUAAUGCACGCAGCCGAAUAAAAUGCAGUAAGAAUAUUCAACUUAAAAAUCUGAAAGCCAACUUGGUGAAUUGCCUCCUUAGGUGAAGUUCCAUGCUUUACUAUAGUUGACAGAACUCAGCAAAAGCUUCCAUACAACAGAUUUUGAAAAUGAUGAUGCCAAUAGAUACUCAUUCAAUCCAUUGAAACUCCAAAGGUUCAUUGUUCAUAGAAGUUUACAGAGUUUUGGUCAUCAAAUAGCUCAGACCUAAUCCCAAACAAAAAACGAGUGAAAAUUAGAUCACGAGCAGCUAAUUGUAAAUUCUAACUUAACUCUUCAUCUCCUUUGUAAACAAGAAACAAAAUGGAGACACGCAAAAUGAAUAUGGAGAAAAUUUGAACUCAAAUGAAAUGAGGGCACGAAAGCAAACAAAUGGCAUGCACAAAAAAACCAAGCCUCGAUAAAAAACUAAUUAACCAUUAAGAAAAAAAUUGGUCAGAGAAUGAACUCCAAAUUCAGGAGUCAAGCAAGAAGCUUUCAUUAUUUCAGAAGCUCCUGUACAAAUUAAUAAGUUAUGCUCUUUGGAAGCAAACCUAAAUUCCAAGAGAAACAGAACCCAAAAAAUUUGCAAUUAUACGCAAAGGAAGUGAAGCACAGGAUUCUAUCACACAUAGGAAUUGUAUAACAAGAGAUCGAUAUAUCGAAUUAGAAAACUCAAUUCGAAUUUGUGUCAAAAAUCAAAAUUAGAAGAUUUCACAUUUCGAGAGGAACAAGCAACAGAUGAAGUUCAAAAUUUCAGCCAUAACAUGCUAAAAAUGCUACACUUAACGGUUCAUUUUCAUGGAUUUUCUCGGGAAACAAACAGAAAAUUACGGUUUAGAGAGUUGACUGACCUUUUGGCUUUUGAAAUUGACCAGAUCGCGCGCCAAAUUGGAAGAGGGAAAGUGAAAGCGCGAGUUUUAAUAUGGGUAUUAGAUAAGGAAAUUUUAUUAGGUUGCGAGGGUAAAAAAGGAAAGAGAUAUCAUUAUUUUAUUAUCGAUAAUUAUUAAAUUUUUUUCCAAAAAAAAGAACAAGCAAGGAUUUUUUAUUGUCAUCACUAAGUUAAAAAAAAUUGUUUCAAAAUUACUUGAGUCAUAUCCAAUGGACCAACAAAGUAAUCGUUUUUAUUUUUAUUGAUUUUUGCAGGAAAUUAAUAACUUAAAAAUACUGAAAGCUACUGUAAAAAUUUUUAUUAUCAACCUCAUAAUUUUUUUUUUUUGGGGAAGAGAAUUCAAACUUUUUUUUUAUGAAUAUCGCUGUUUCGUUUGAGUUGGAUGUGAAUUCAAAUCCAAAUAUUCUUUGUUUUUCAAUUUUGAACUCAAUUUCUUUUUCUCAAGAAUGUUAUGCAGAAAUAAUUUUUACUAAAUCUUUUUUGAUGAAUUGUUUAAAUUAAACAAUUGGAAUAAGAAUUGUAACGAUUUAUCAUAAGCGUGCUAAUAUGAUAACUUGUUUUACGAAGGAUUAAUUAAUCAAUUAAUAUUAAAUUAUAUAUUAGUCAAUUAGAUAUGUGUUACAUUUAUCAUGUUUUGUAGGUGAUAGUACAUCAUUUCUAAAAGAAUAUAGUACGUUAAAAUAUUAUUUUAAUGAAGAAAAUUUUAUUAUUUUAUUAUUAGGUGACACAAUAAUAAAUGGAUUUCUGUAAGAAUUGAGAUUCUUGAUAUAAUUAUUACAUAAGGAGAAGUUUAGUUGGUUCAAUUUUGACGUGAUAAGAAGACAACACAGCACAGAAAACCCAAAUUGCCACUUCCACUAAUAAAAGAUACCUGUUUGAAAAGUAAUUAUAAACUAUCUUCUUUGUGUUAUUUCUCAAAACUUUUGUGGCACAAAUGUUAUUUCCAUUGACAACAGUACGAAAUACCACCCCUUUCACUUGAGCAGGAGCAAAGCAAAGGUAUGAUGAGCUAUCUCUGUAUAAUUGAAACGCCAUUACUAAACGAUUCUUGAUGAUGGGAGCCACCGUGCCAGCUUUGUCGCUGAUUUGCAUGAUUUAUUAGUUGUCCAGAUGGCGGAUUUUGUACUGUUACCUUCGUUUCAUUCUUCAGAGCCAUGUACUGUUCUAGGAUACCAGAGAAACCAAGGUGGCAUUGAAGUUGCCCUGGUGGUUAGUUUUCCGAUCAUUUUUUUAUUCAAUUAUUUAUGUUUUUAGAAAAAUGUAGGAAAUAUGUAGAAAUGUUGACAGCUAUGAUUUUGAAACUUUUGCCUAAAAUUGUUAUCAUUACUUGUUGUUUCUUAUUUAAAGAGAAAUUCUAGAAACAUGAAAUGAUUAUUCUACGCUUGUUUUAAUAUUGUGCUAUGAAGAUUACGAAGGUUUGAUUAUAUGUCACUAUCAAUUGCCUUAAUCGUUUGUCGUAAAUCAAUUAAGCAUUUUGAUGCGAAUGAUUCCCUAUUAAAAAAUUCAAGUCAGAGCUGAAUUGCAAAGUAGUUAGUCGUGCUUGCAAUUCAAAUUAAGUAUUGUAUUUUCUCCCUGAUUUGGUUGAUUCAACUAUGUGCAUUUGCUUAUGAACGUUGCAGUAUAGAAAUCGAAAUAUCUUGUCUUUUGCUAAGCCCAGAAGCAAAUUCUUUGUAUUCUACUCAUCAGUUUUCUUCAUUCUCUUUGUUGAAAUUUUAUCUAAACAGCGGUUUCUUCGAAUUUAUGCCUUCGCUUACUCUUUUAAAUUUUAUCCAAACAACGGUUUUGAAAUUGUUUUCACUACAAUACCUUAGUCUUUCAGAUGCUCCCGUCACUGAGUUGCCAGAAGAGCUAAAAGCCUUGGUAAAUCUUAAGUGUUUGAACCGGAGUACACAAAUUAUCUCUCUACAUUUCCAAAGCAAUUGAUUUGUUACUUUUCGAUGCUACAUGUUCCGCGAAUAUUCAGUUGUGGUUAUCUUGUUCAGAUACCAGAAAAUAGCGUUAUAUUUAGUGGUAAUGAAUUCUUGGUUUGGGAGUUGCUUAGUUUAAAACGUUUAAAUGUAUUAAGCAUCAUCUUGAAAAGUUUUUCUGCUGUCCAAAAACUUAUGAGCUUCCAAAAGUUUCAAAGCUGUACACAAUGCAUGGAGCUUGUAGACUGUGAUGAUCCAAAGUCAUUUGCCGUGGCAGAGUUGAAGCAUCUUGAAAAACUAGGUUUUUCAAGUUGUGGAAAUUUGGAAGAGUUAAAGUUCUGCUGUGUCGAAGUUGCAAAGGCUCGAGAAUGUUUUCGUUUGAACAGCCCUCACUGAGUUAAGAUGAAGGCUUGUCAUAAAUUGUGGGAAGCGACAGGUUAUUCAAAUAGAAAAAUUUAUGGAGAUGGAUGUUAAUCUUAAGGUUAUUCAAUUAGAAAAAUUUGAAUAAAAUUUAUGGUAAGUGCUUUUCCAUUUAUUGCAUAUUUAUAUCUAAUUUUUAUUUUCCUUUAUUGUUAAAUUUUGGUCUCUAUUUGUUGUUGUAUGGUGGCAUUCUUGUACAAUUAUUAGCUUUUCAUUUCUCUUCUCACAUUAACUGCCCUUCUGAUCAUGUAGGAUUUGCUGAUGCAAAGAGUCAUAAUUUGGGAUACAAAUGUAAGAAUUAGACAGAUGACAUGUUGUUUUGAAGCUCUCAAAGAAGGACUAAUUAUGUCAUUGAAAGCCUCCAAUUUUGUGAUUGGUUUCUUUUUAUUUUAUUUGUUGUUUUCUCUAUUUUCAGAUCACUUAAUUGUUAGUUGUUGUAAUGUAAUGUUUUAGUAUAGCAAAUUAUAUUCGGCCAAGACAGUGAUAGGAGGGCACAUUGUGCAUGCACACUAGUGGAUUUGGCAUGCCAAAUCCAAUUAGGAUGGAUAACACUUUAUAAGCAUUAGGCUUCUCUCAUACCUGAGUAAUAUAGAAUAUGUUUAUAAGUUGUGAAUCACCCUUUACAAGUGUUAGGCUUCUGCUAUACUCAGUGAUGUGAAAUAUAUUUAUAAGCACUAAACUUCUCCCAUACACUUUAUGUUAAUAAUAAUAAUAAUAAUAAUAAUAAUAAUAAUAAAAUAAUAAUAAAUAAACCCAUUUUAACAGACUCUUUUUUCUUUUUCUAUAUGAACAAAUGCAUUCUUCAAAGCAACUGUGGGGAGAAGAAGUGAGUAGAGAAGAACUGAGCCCCUGUCAUUCCCCUAAAACCUCACCAAAACCUCUCUUGUAAGCUUCUCGGAUUUUCUUUCUAUAUUUCUUAGGAACUCAUUUUUUAUUGAAUCACUUAUUUUGCAUGCUGCAUUUUUUGGUUGUCGUAUUUGUGUAUUAUCUUAUCUGGAAUGCUGUUAUGAUUGAUGGAACAAGUAAUCGAUUUUUGGUCUAAUGGAAGUUGAUUUAUUUAUUUAUUGUUGUUUUUAUUUGAAAUUAUGUACAAUUGUAUUUCAUUCAUUUCUCUCUCUUUUGCUUUUUUCCCCCCAUAUAUUUGUUAUGUAUAAUUGCGUUUCAUUUAAUAUUGAUCAUACUGUAGGUAACCAUGUGAUUGUAGAUGGGGAUUUCGAGUUUGUUGAAUAUUCAUGUAAGUGAAGUAACCGUCACAAUACUAGUGAAAUUGGGAGCUUUAUUCAUGAGUUUGUGGUUUUGAAAAGUACCACAGUUCAACUGGUGAAGGCUCCGUUUUGGGAUUCUUCUUUUUCUAGGCUGCAAUUAGGAUAUGUACAUGAUAGACAAUCUUUUGUUGGUUUAGCAUAUCUUCGCUGAUUUUGUCUUUUAUUCCCCAAUUUUAUAAUUACACACCAUGAAUGUUGGGUGAUUGUAUAGAAAAUUUGUGUUAUAACAAAAACAUUGUGAAGGAGUUUCCGUGCUAAUAGUUAGUGGCUUCUGUUUUAUUGGCAUUGAUUGGGUAGAUUACGUGUUACAGUGAUUCAAUUUGUGUUCCAAACUUUGCUUUAAUUUUCUGUUUUCCCCAACUAUUUAUGUCAAAUUUAAAUCCAGAAGCAUGUGCUGAUUUUUUCUUUUUGUAUUAAUCUGUGAAGUUUAUUUGGAAUGGAAGUAACUGGGUCGGGUCUAAUGGAUUAAAUUAUGACAUUGAGGGGAAGGCACUAAAAGGGUUUGCUUGACACAUUUGGUUCUGUGUUUACUCUGCAAGAAAUAACUUUUGCUUAUUGCAAUGCAGGGGGAAAUCCCGAUUUGGCUGGUGAAUUUCUCUGCAACAAACAGGCAAACACCUCAACAUCUUCUGUCCAUACUUCUGCUGGGGAGGCAAGGGGUAAAGAGUCUUCAAAAUCAUCAAAUAGUUACAUCUCUGAGAAUUCAUUUUAUGGAAAUGGAAAAUCUAGAGUUUCUAAUACAAAAUGGCAUCUGGUAUCAGGACGUACCGUUUCAAGUUUUCUUGGUAAAGAUUAUGUUAAACCUGCACAGCCAGCUAAUGGCACUUUUCUGGCAUCAAAGCCAUUGAAGUUGGAUCCAAGGGAGUUUCGCAUUUCUGCACUUUCAGAGAAGAAACUAAACCGACAAUCAAAGGAUGACCAUUUGCAGAAGGAUAUGGAAGAUUUUCUUUUUAAAUUGCUAGGAGAAGGGUUCCAGCUGUACAGGGAUGUGAUUCAGGAGGUUCAUGGUAACGUCUUAAAUAUAUUGAUGCCAAUUUAAUACAUAUUGUCCUUUUCAAUGUUCUUUCUUUCUUUCUCCUCUUUUUAUUAUUCUUCUUCUUCUUUUUUCUUUUCAUGUGCAUGUGAUCACUAAUUUGGUAUUAUUCUUGACUUGCAGAUAGUUGUGGAUAUGAAAUGCAAAAGGUAAGGGCUAUAUCUUCUUGAUGGAGGCCUCUGAUUUUUUAAAUCGCAUUUUCCUUUGUGAUUGAUAUAUCAUACCAAAGUCAAGUCUUAAAUACUGCUGUCAUAUGUUAAGGUUCAACUUCCAUUUUGAUUAACGUCGAUUUGCUACUGCUUCCAAAAGUGAGAAUGAGAUACUUUGGUUAAUUUCAGUAGUUGAACUCAAUGGAGUACUUUAUUUAGAUCUUCAUGGUUCAAAGGCCUGAAAAAACUUGCCGGUAUUUGCAAAAUGACAUCUGUGCUUUUAUUUAGACUUAUUAUUAAAGACAACAUUUUAUUUCAGCCAAAAAUGUUUGUUUCAAUUAAAGACUUGAACCAUUUUCAUUUAACCUGAUUGUGAUGCUUUACAUUAUGCAUGUUCCUCUCAAUCAAUAAAAGUUGAGGUCAUGAUUUUAUAUUUCUAUUUUGUAACUUGAAAUAAUUGGUCUGCCUGUUUCUGUUGCUUGAUAACAUGAAUUUUUCCUUCUGAAGUUAAUUUGAUCAAUAAAGUAAUUCUUCGGAGAGGAUAUGCCCAUUCUAUAGUCAUUUUCUUAGCUAACAUGUUUUUUCUUCACUCUUCAAAGCAUGUCUAAACUAAUUGAUCGCUCAGCGGAGACUUUGGGUGAGAAGACAAAAUUUCUUGGUAAAUCCUCUGAAAAGGUAUGCAUAAUUCCCGAGUAUUAAAUAAUCAUUGGUCAUAAUUUUUGUACACGACUCUUGUUUUGGAGAUCGUUAAAAGUGGUUGAUGAUCUAUUUUGUAAUAUCAUAGAGGGAUCAUGAAUUCCUUUUCUUUUCUGUGGCUAGGCAACACUUUCGAGCCAAGCUAAGGAAAUCUAUUUUAGGUAAUGUGAAAACUAGUUGUAGGAUGUAAUAGUUUAUUAUGCCCUGACAAUAACUUUUUGUAUAAUUGUCAGUUUAAUGAAUACAAGAGGAACUCUGUUGGCAAGUUCAUCCAUGAUAGAUGCUAAAAUUAUUUAUGCAUACCAGUUGCCUUAACUAAUUUUUCUCAACACUGGUAUUGAACAGGAAAAUGAAUAUGCAAUUUGUAUAUUGUGCCAUUGUGGAGAAUUUGGAUAUUCUUAUUUAAGUAACAAGGAGAGUAUUUGCCUCAUCUUUAAACAAUGAAUCUUUGAGAAAUGAGGAGUGGGUGAUUGACAGUGUCUUCAUGUAAAUGUUCAUUUAUUUGUAUUUUGAACUAUUAUGAGAAUCUUUGUAUGCCAAAUUAGUAAUACAAAUGUUCAGAUGAUUUUUCCUGUUGAUCAUGCGUGUGUAUCUGCACACAACCAUUGUGUACCACUUUAUUCUGAUGCACAAAUAUCUGUAGUUUAGAAGAAAAGAAAUAAUAAUCAUAUAUUAUUGCUUGGUUCAUGAUUAUUAAAUGAUUAUGGCUUUAGAAAAUCCACAAAUCCUUUGUGUUCAUAUAUGAAUGUGCGAAGUUCGCUAUAUCUUAGAUUACCUUCUUCCAAGAUAACAAGUUCAUAUAUUUUUUUUAAUCCUUUUUCAUCACAGUUGAAUUUCAAGUGUAAGUUUUGUUAUUAAUAGCUGGUUUCCUGUUAUUAUGAUUUCAUAAACAAUGAGAGGAUAUGUGCUCUACUUUUGGAUGGCCUCCACAUAAAAGAAAAUUGCAACAAUUGAAUUCUUCUGGAGGGUAUGGUAUUUAAUUUAUUUUCUCAGCUUGUUGUAAGACUAAUAUAUUUCCUUCAGUACGCACGGCAUGGUGGGAAGGGUUUUUAUUGAAAGAAUUAUGAUAUUUCUUAGACUUUGUUUUGGAAGGGGGUGGAGGGAUUUCUCAUCCAUGUAUGGUUACUUGAUUAGCUUUUGACUGUACUGUCUCCGUCGUGCAAAGGAAAAUCCAAAUACUAACGAAGGGGAAUUGCUUAGGCACCCAAAGGACAGAAAUGAAUUACGGAAGGAGGUUUUUGCUGCUUUAUUUAGUGCUGCUGAGAAAUCUGAUGAAUUUCCUGAAAUUACGGUGAAGACGGAGUGGAGGUCCAACGCAUUAGGAAAGGUGGUGAGUGAACCGCCAGAGGAAUUAGUACCAGAAUACAAGGCUAAUGUGGUGCACUGGCAGCAAGAUGACCAGACCUGUAUGUGCUCUUAUAUUAACUAUAUUGGCUGGAUUUGUGAGUGUGUUCAUUUUUGUGUGUAUACUCACUUUUGUAUUUAUGCAUAUUCACGUGUGUAGGAUUCUCGAUUUCUGCCACUUACUGGAGAACUAGUGGAAAGCUUUAUACUGAUAUAUGUGCUAUAUAACUAAUGGAAACUACAAUAUGAAUAUUUUCUCUCACCUGGAGAGCAGUGUAACUAAUAUAAUUUGUGGCUCUGGAAUACUGAAGAUUCUGCAAUAACUAAUGGAAAAUAUGAUAUGAAUAUUUUUUCUCACCUGGAGAACUUUGUAACAGAUACAUUUUGUGCUGGAAUGUCUAAAGAAUGCUUCAGUUUAUAUCAAAUAUCUUUUAGUUAGAAAAGAUAAAAUUCUCUGAAUCUGAAAGACUGAAACAUUUUGCAUAUUUCGUGAAAGGCAAGUAUCUGUAGAUACUAGCUCAUGCAUUGAGGUAAUAUCAAUGUUAAAGAAAAACAGCAAUAAUUUAUUAUACAGAAUUAGGUUCACUUGCUUUAAAUGCUGGUCUGAUCAACCAUAUCAACCUGUAAUGGUCCUGCAGAAAUAUAUAUACGGGGAGAAACUAGCUAAUUUUCCUUUCACUUAUGGGUUUGGUCUUUUUUUCCCCAAUUUUUCAGCUUUCCUUCUCCUGAAGUAUGUUAAUAAUUGCAGAUAAUGGCGAAGAGGACUGCUUCCAGGCUACCGGCAAAAACUUUGUGAAAGCUUUGGAGUUAAACAGGGAAUUCACUUACUGCUAAGGACAAUUGGUGGCGAGCUAUUUCAUUCAUUUUAUGUCCAUACAUCUAUUUAAUUAUUAAAGAUAAUGUACGCAUUUGUAAAUUUCAGAUUGUGUGUCUCUGAAAAUAACAAUAUUUAAAAUGUCUCUUAAAUUAUUAUAAAUUUUAAUUUACUCUCGAUUUAAAAUGGAACAUGUUGGUGAAAUAUUUUUUCUUCUUAAUAAAAUUGAAAUAAAUUAUGUUAGCAGUAGUUUGAAAUAUUUUAAAGAUGAUUAUUUUAUAAGGGAGUAAUAUGAAAUGAAAUUUACUUUUCAUGCGUGAAAUGUUGAAAAAGGACAAAGCAAGUGUCCCUGCUUUUAUUUUAUUUCAAAGUGGAGUCAUCUCACAUACUUUAGCUCUAUCAUUAGGAGCCGGCUAAGUUACGUUAAACGUAAUUUACGCCAGGCACAGCAAUAAUGACAAGUCCCAUGACUAGUAUUGUUGCUGUGUCUGACGUAAGUUACGUUUAACGUAACUUAGCCAAAGCCCUAUCAUUAAUAUAUAUUUAAAUUUAACACAUGCAUGUGGGUUACUUUUCCGUAAGUUCCUUAAUAUAUAUUUAACACAAAUCAUGGAAGAGAUGGGAGUAUAUCAAGAUGAUCAAAGCAUGAAACAAAAAUAUUUAAGAAGUAAAACACUGAAAAUGGAGAAGAGAUGCAAGCAAAAGAUAUUCUAAAGAAAAGCAAUCUAUCCCCUUUCGAGGGCAAACUUAUCAGGUUUAAGAAAAGUACAUGCUUUGGAUUGGUAGUUGCAGCCUUGCAGGAUAAUUGUUUUUGCCACUAUAUUAGUUGGAGGAGUUGAACCCAGUGAAGAAUGUUAUGGAAGAGCAAAUGAUAUUUCUGAUAGACUCUAUUUGAUUAUGUAGCCUGAAUAGAUGUCUUGUUGAAAGAUAUAUCAGUGCAUUAGUUCAUCCUUGUCUGUCAAUGUGUUUUUAAUGGUUUUUCCAAUUGUUUUUUUUUUUUUUGAAACUGAUUAAGCAUCAGGUUACUGCAUUACACAGAUAUAUAUACAACUGCUAUGACAGCAGGUCAUUACACUGAUAUUUACAAUCAGAUAUAUAUACAUGGGACUUAUAUUAUUACAUUUUUAUUCUAUGAAGUACAUGCCCAUCCCAAAUACCCCUCACGGAGGAGGGAUGUCUCUACUCCACUCGCAUUUCGCAAGGGAGAAAGACGUUUAUAGAAAUCUCCACACAAUUAUGUUUAAUUGGAGGAGGUUGAGUCCGUGGGGACUCGAACCAUUGCCCUCAAAGUCAUGCUUAACUUUGAGGGCAAUGGUCCACCACUGGGCUACAAGCCCAAGUGGCGGUUUUUCCAAUUGUUUAUUGCUAUAGAUUGAUUGUAAAUUGAUGUGAACUUAAUGUUGAAAUAUUUUCUCUUUAGUGGAAUGAAAGUUAAACAUUCAAGAUUAGAUUAUUCAAGGUCCACAUAGUAUGUGUUCCGUUGUGUUGUCUGUAAUUUUGCAUUUAAAUAAAUUUGAGUGCUGCCGUUUCGCUCCCACAAUCUCUCGCCUUUUUUUAAUUUUAAAAAUUAAAAUAUUAAUAAAAAACAAUAAAGAAAAUCGAAUCCUUUAUGUCAUUCCAUCUUUACAACUCUCUCUCACAAACUCCAUCUAACAGACUUCUCUCUUACUAUCUCGGUCGAACAAGACCAGUGACAAUGAUGACACGACCGCCGACGAUGAGAUGGUCAUCGCUAAAGAAUCGGGCCGUGUAUUUUACAAUUUCUUGGUUUGUGACAACAAUGGAAAACUCCUGAAAAUUUUGAAUUUGUAGUCGAGCAAAGGAAGAAGCAAGUUAUCUUCAAAGCAUUUUCCAGUAAUAGCUGAUGAAAUUUAAUACUUCAAGCUGGCCCUUUGCUGUCACAACUAGAUGCAUUUGCACUGUCAUUACAAUUUAUGGAAAUUAAAGUAAUUAAUGGUUCUAAUUAAUAGCUUCCCAAAAAACCAAUCUGCCCUUGUGAGAACCAAAGCAUUAAUUUCUUGUAAGAGCUGCAGAAGGCCAGAGAAUUUCAGAUCGUGAAAAGGAGUGUGUGAGUGAGAGAGAGAUCGUGAAAUAGUGAGAGACAAUGAGAGAGAGAGCCGCUCGACUGAGAUGGUGAGAGAGUUGCAAAAAUGGAGUAAGGAGCAGAUAAGAUUAUGUUUUCUUUAUUAUUUUUUAUUAAUAUUUUAAUUUUUUUAAUUAAAAAAGGGCGAGAGAUUUUGGGAGUGAAACGGCAGCAUGUUCCAAUAAAUUUUUACCAAAGUUUCUCUCGUGUUUCUCUCACCUUUCUAGAUACCAAGCAUUUUCCAAUAAAUUUUUACUAAAAACUUAGCAAGCCCUUGAAACUUUGGUCAAAAUUAUUGUUAUUAUUACUUUUAGAGGAAAAACUUUUAUUAAAACCUCAUUAACACAAUUCUUAAUUAAAAUUAUAAGUUUGUGUUGGUGUAAGGAUUUGCAGGAGCAAUUACUGCCUAGCCAAGUGUCAAAAGCACAAAAUAAAUCAAGAGAAAGUAGACAUGAAUUAGGAUCCAAUGAAAUUUAAAUCCCGGAGAAAAGAAAUAAUCAUGCAGAUUAUCAAGAUUUCAAUAAGGGAUAUUGAUAUCCUAUUUUGAUUAAUAAUAUCCUUUUACUGUGUUAACUCAAAAAAUAUGUAUAUUCUAAUAUUUUACAAUAAAUAGAAAUCUAAUAUUAAAAUAAAUGUGAUAUAUAUAUAUAUAUAUUAAAUAAUUUAAAUAUAAAAAAUAUUUUAAUGUUUUACAAUCUACUACACAUAUUUUAUUAAGUUAAUAUAAUUUUUCAAAUAAAUAGGGACAUAAUAUUAAAAUAAAUUUAUAAAAAUUUAAAUUAUUUUGAAUUUAAAAUAAUUUUAAUAUUAUUAAUAUGUUAGAUAUGUUUGAUUAAUUAUAAAAAUUAUUUACGCAAAUUUUUUUAAUAUUUUCAGUAGAUAUAAAUAUAUUACUUACAUUUUGAUUAUUUAACUAUUAUUAUUCUACAAUUAUUUAUAUAAUGUUUGCACUUAUUAGAAUAUAUUUAAAGUCAAAUCUUUUGCACUUCUACCUAGCUAGAAUUAUUGGACGCAGAGAAAUAAGCAUAUAUGCUUUAUAACUUUAGAAAUCGAAUUAUCUAUACAAAUUGAUUUUAGCUGGAAAAAAAGUGAGCUGAAUGAUAUAGGCGAUUAGUGUGGUAAUAUUUCAUAGAGUUAGACUAUUGAAUUUGGCACCCCUCCAAUCUUCUCAUGAUUACCUUUUUGAGUUAUUAAUACACUUCUAAUUUUUCGUUUAAUUUUUUUUAUUGUUAUACUCAAAGUAGUAUUGUGAUAUUUUAUAUUUCUUUUGCAAUCUUAUUAUUAUUUUACACAAAAUUAAAAAGUUUUCUAGGUGAUGAACUUUUGAGUUUUGAACAUUAAUCAUUGGCUUAAAUUUCAUAUAUUUUACAUUAUAAUUUGAAAUUAAGUACGAAAAUAUUUAAUAAAUUAUGAAAAGAUUAACAGAUUAUUCUAAAUUGAUACAACUUAUUUUAGUUAAAUAAAAAGUAACAGGUAAAAAAAAAAAGGAUUGGUUAUGAAAUUUGUUGGAAAAAAAUCUGUGUGUGUUUAAUUUUUAUUUGUCCUUAAUUGUAAUUUAUUUGAAGUGAGGUUUUAUAAGGAUAAUGAAGGGGUGCCAUAGUUUCACUCUAUUUCAUAUGGAGAGAGAAGUAAAAGGUACACCUGAGGUUAAUGGAAAGGACUUCGAAAGUUUCUUUUGAUUAUAAUACUGUUUGUUCUAAUUAACUUAAAAAAUUUUACUUUAAUAUUUUAUAAUAAAUUAAAUUUUAAUCUUAAAAUAAGUAUAAUCAUAUAUUUUAAAAUAAUCUUAAAAUAAAUACAAUCAUAUAUUUUAAAAUAAUCUUAAAAUAAAUACAAUCAUAUAUUUUAAAAUAAUCUUAAAAUAAAUACAAUCAUAUAUUUUAAAAUAAUCUUUAUAUUUAAAAUUUAUUUAUUUGUACAUAUUUUAUAAUAAAUAUAACACAUACUAUUAAAAUAAUAUAUAAAAAAUUAAAGUAUUUUGAAUAUUAUAUAAAAUAACUUUAAGAUUCUUAAUAUGUAAGAUAUAUUUUAUUAAUUUAAAAUUCUAUUUAAAAUUUUAUUAAUUUAAAAUUCUAUUUAACCCAAAGAUUUAUUUAAGAUAAAUUAAUAAUCAUAUUUUUUAAAUCAUUUCAAAUAUUAAAAAAUAUUUUGAUAUUACUAGUCUAUUAAAUAGAUUAAAUAUUUUUAUUAUUUUGUACUAAUCAAAAGUUACAGCUCGAAUGAUAUUAUGAGAACAGAAUUUUUAUGUCUUUAUUAAAAAUUUGGGUUUGUAUAAUUAUUUUUUCAAAUGUUAGGGGCAUAGCUGUCUUUUUACUUUUAUAUAUGUGAACCGCGGUGGUGAAAAAGUGUGAUUUAAUAUUAGUUAUUUAAAUAAUAUCUGAAUUAAAGAUGUACAGAGAAGAAAUUUCGGUGGGCAUUUUAGUCUUUUAACGAUUAUCAUGAUUAGGGAUUAGGUCCUGCUCUUGAAACGUUGGUCAGAAAAGUUCUAAAAUGCGUACAUUAUCUUUACUUUAAAAAAGUUAUUUUAUUUUAUUACAAAUUAAUGCCGACAAGAAAAAGCAAGAUCUUAAANNNNNNNNNNNNNNNNNNNNNNNNNNNNNNNNNNNNNNNNNNNNNNNNNNNNNNNNNNNNNNNNNNNNNNNNNNNNNNNNNNNNNNNNNNNNNNNNNNNNAUAAAGAUGAAGAAAAGGGCAAAAAAAUAUUAAUGAUUAACGAAAUCUCUAUCCAAAUUGAUUUUAGCAGGAAAAAAGUGAGCUAAAUGAUGUAGACGAUUAGUGGUAAUAUUUCAUAGAGUUAGACUAUUGGCACCCUUCCAAUCUUCUCACGAAUCCUCUUUUUGAGUUAUAUUUAUUUUAUUUUUAAAAUAUCUUUUUUCUCUUUUACUACACUUCUAAUUUUUCAUUUAAUUUUUUUAUUGUUAAACUCAAAGUAGUAUUGUGAUAUUUUUAAUUUCUUUUGCAAUCUUAUUAUUACUCUGCAUAUAAAUUAAAAAGUUUUUUAGGUGAUGAAUUUUUGAAUGUUAAUCAUUAGCUUAAAUUUCACAUAUUUUACAUUACAAUUUGAAAUUUAAUAUGAAAAUAUUUAAUCAAUAAGAAUUAUGAAAAGAUUAAUAAAUUAUUCUAAAUUUAUACAACUUAUUUUAGUUAGAUCAGAAGUAGCAGGUUAACAAAAGAAAGGAUUGGUUAUGAAAUUUGUUGGAAAAAAAUCUAUGUGUGUUUAAUUUUUAUUCGUUGUUAACUCUAAUUAAGUAGGUUAAAUAUUUUUGUUAUUUUUUACUUAUCAAAAAAUUUAAGAUCAAUAUUUUUAGUUACCAUUCGAAGGAUAUUAUGACAAAAACAGAAUUUUCACUUCUUUGUUAAAAAUUUGGGGGUUUGUGUAACUAUUUUUUCAAAUGUUAGGGGCAUAUCUGUCUUUUUACUCUAUAUAUAUGAACCAUGGUGGUGAAAAAGCGUGAUUUAAUGUUAUUUAUUUAAAUAAUAUCUCAAUUAAAAAUGUAAGGAGAAGAAAUUUCGGUGGGCAUUUUAGUCUUUUAACGAUUAUCAUGGUUAGGCCCUGGUCUUGAAACGUUGGUCAGAAAAGUUCUAAAAUGCGUUCAUUUGUCUUUACGCCAACAAUAAAAAGCAAGAUCUUAGUGUCCCACAAAAGCAAAUCGUAAUAUUCCGCAAUGGAGUUAGAUCCGCAAAAGCAAACAAAUUCUUUUAUUAAACUACAAAUUAAAGUGGAAUCAUUUACUAAACAACAAAUUAAAUUUGAAAUAUUUAAAUAGUCGUGCGUUAGACGAUUAGAGACUCUUAUUAAAGGCAAGUACAAAGUAGUGAAGAAUCGAAUAUUUCUAUUGUCUAGUCUUUUUUUAAAAAAAAUUUUCUUUUAUUAUUUUUCAGAAUAUGUUUUGGUGAUUACUAUUGGGUUAUUAUUCAGAGUUAUUGUUAUCUUCCGGGGCAGUUUCUGUUCAUCGAAUUCGUUAAUAAAAUUUUAAAACUCUUAUUGAAAGAAUGUUUUUCCGUUAUCUUUUUUAUAAUCUAAUUUUAAGUGUAAGAAGUAGUCAUUUUAGAAUUUGGGUCUUGAAUCGAAUUUCAAUGCAUGAAUUAAUAUUUAAAAAAAAUUUACUACAUGCAGUUUAGGUUACAAACUAUUUUUUGCAAAGUUGACUAUGAAAUUGGAGAAAUUAAGUAAUUUAUAAUGUUUGCAAAGAAAGAGACCAACAUACUUCCAAUUACACUAUAUCUCAAUUAUCAUAAUGUUAAGAUUAAACUAACUUAAAAUAAAAUUUAUUUAAAAAGUUUAUCAAACGCAGUCUAAUUUUAUUAACUUGAAGAGAUAAUAGUUAUAGAAAUUAUUAUUCUAACUUAAUUAGUAAAAGUGGUAUAAAGGUUAAGUGUGCACUAAAUCUAUUUAAAUUUUUUUCCAGUAUAACUAACAGAGGUCAUUACUAGAAUUAUAUUACUAGUCUAUUAGAUAGAAAAAAUUAUUUAUAUUGUUUUAUAUUUAUUAAAAAAAUUUAAAGUCAAUCUUUUUAAUUACUAUUUAAAGGAUAUUAUAAUUAAAAAAAUUUUAAUGUCUUCAUUAAAAAUUUAAAAUUUUAUAUGACCGUUAUCUAAAUAUUUAAAGUGUAACUGUCAUUUUCUCAUAUAUAUAUAUAAUUUCAUCAACCCCUUAUACUUUAUGUUAUUUAUAUUUUAUUCAUGAAUAUUAUAAAUUUUUUGAAAUAUAAAAUUUCGUUUAACCCUUUAUACUCAAUUUUAUUUUAUUAAAACCCUAGAGUAUGAAUUCGUCCCUAUAAUAUUAAAUUCUCAAAAUAACUUCCAUUUAAUUAAAAAAUAUAAUUAUUAUUAAAUGAAUUAUAAUUAUUAUUAUUAUGUUAUUAUAAUCAUAAAAAGCGAGAUCAUAUUCCACAAAAGCAUAAGUGACAAAACAACCAACUGGAUUCUUUUAUUAAUCAACAAAUUGUAUAGUCUUUUUCAAAUUGUUAUAAAUUGGUGGCCCCUACAAUCCUCAAUAAUUGUACCGAAAUUCACAAGUUGGUGGGCCCUACAAUUCUGUUCCGAUAAUUUAACUGUGCAAGUGCUCAUUCACAAUCUUCCAGGUCAUGCUCUUAACAAUUGUUUUUUCUUUUCUGCACGCCCUUUCAUGCUCUUAAUAAUUGAAGAGCAUACUUUUCAAAUGUGAAGCCGCAUCUAAUGUCGCUAAUUUAAUUUGGGAUUAAAUUACGGGACUAUUAUAUUGCAGUGUGCACUAAUUUUUAUGUUUAUCUAAACUCUUCAAAUUUAAAACAUAUUAUGGCAUAAAUAAGAAUGUAACAAUAACAAAAGAGUAAGAAAGUGUAGAGAAAAUCUUGCAGAAAUAUAAAUAAUAUUUAUUUUUAAAAUAAUAUUAAUAUUUAAAAUAAUUUUUAAUAUUUUAUGGUCCAUUAGAUAUAUUUUAUUAUAUUAAAAUAAAUUUUAUAAUAAAUAAAAACAUACUAUUAAAAUGAAUAUAUAUAGAAAAUUUAGAGUAUUUUAAGUAUUAUAUAAAAUAAUUUUAAUAAAAUAUGUGAGAUAUUCAUAUUUUAUUAAUUUAAGAUACCAUUUAACCUAAAGAUUUAUUUAUGAUAAAUUAAUAAUUAUAUUUUUGAAAUUACUUCAAAUAUUAAAAAAAUUAAUAUUACUAAUAUAUUAGAUAGAUUAAAUUAUAUAUAUUAUUUUUACUUAUUAAAAAAAUUUUAAAAUUAUUUUUAAUUACUAUUCAAAAAACGUAUUCAAAAAACAUAAUGAUAAAAAAAUCUUAACAUCUUUAUUAAAAAAUUAAAAACUUAUAUGAUAAAUUCUCUAAAUAUUUACGGUAUAUGUGAACCACGGUGGAUAAGCUUUAUUUAAUAUUAUUGAUUUAAAUAAUAUGUCAAUUAAAAAUGUACAGAGAAGAAAUUUCGGUGGGUAUUUUAGUCUUUUAAGCAAUUAUCAUGAUCAGAUCAGCCUUUAGCCUUCAAACGUCGGUCAGAAAAGUUUUAAAAUUAAUGCUAAAUUGUUUUUCACUUUUAACGUUGGUGGCCUUGAAAUUGCUUGUAUUUUAUUAAAAAUUAAUGCUAACAAGAAAAAGCUAGGUCAUAUUCCACAAAAUCAAAAGUGACAAAACAACCAGCUGGUUUCUUUUACUAAACUACAAAUUAAAAUAAAUUUUUUCGAUAAAUUACAAAUUAAAGUGGAUUCUUUUGAAUACAAAUGGGACAGACGAUUAGGCUCUUUUUAUUAGAGGCAAGUAAAAACUAGUCAAGAAUCGAACAGUCUUUUUCCAAUUCUUGUUUUAUUAUUUUUCAAAACUAGUUUUUGGUAAUUACAACCGGGUCAUUAAUCAUUAUUCAGAGUUAUCUUCCGGGGCAGUUUCUGUUCAUCGAAUUCGUUAAUAAAAUGUUAAAACUCUUAUUGAAAGAAUGUUUUUCCGUUAUCUUUUUUAUAAUCUAAUUUUAAGUGUAAGAAGUAGUCAUUUUAGAAUUUGGGUCUUGAAUCGAAUUUCAAUGCAUGAAUUAAUAUUUAAAAAAAAUUUACUACAUGCAGUUUAGGUUACAAACUAUUUUUUGCAAAGUUGACUAUGAAAUUGGAGAAAUUAAGUAAUUUAUAAUGUUUGCAAAGAAAGAGACCAACAUACUUCCAAUUACACUAUAUCUCAAUUAUCAUAAUGUUAAGAUUAAACUAACUUAAAAUAAAAUUUAUUUAAAAAGUUUAUCAAACGCAGUCUAAUUUUAUUAACUUGAAGAGAUAAUAGUUAUAGAAAUUAUUAUUCUAACUUAAUUAGUAAAAGUGGUAUAAAGGUUAAGUGUGCACUAAAUCUAUUUAAAUUUUUUUCCAGUAUAACUAACAGAGGUCAUUACUAGAAUUAUAUUACUAGUCUAUUAGAUAGAAAAAAUUAUUUAUAUUGUUUUAUAUUUAUUAAAAAAAUUUAAAGUCAAUCUUUUUAAUUACUAUUAAAGGAUAUUAUAAUUAAAAAAANNNNNNNNNNNNNNNNNNNNNNNNNNNNNNNNNNNNNNNNNNNNNNNNNNNNNNNNNNNNNNNNNNNNNNNNNNNNNNNNNNNNNNNNNNNNNNNNNNNNNNNNNNNNNNNNNNNNNNNNNNNNNNNNNNNNNNNNNNNNNNNNNNNNNNNNNNNNNNNNNNNNNNNNNNNNNNNNNNNNNNNNNNNNNNNNNNNNNNNNNNNNNNNNNNNNNNNNNNNNNNNNNNNNNNNNNNNNNNNNNNNNNNNNNNNNNNNNNNNNNNNNNNNNNNNNNNNNNNNNNNNNNNNNNNNNNNNNNNNNNNNNNNNNNNNNNNNNNNNNNNNNNNNNNNNNNNNNNNNNNNNNNNNNNNNNNNNNNNNNNNNNNNNNNNNNNNNNNNNNNNNNNNNNNNNNNNNNNNNNNNNNNNNNNNNNNNNNNNNNNNNNNNNNNNNNNNNNNNNNNNNNNNNNAUUGUGGGCACUCUUGUUCGUGCAUGUUUGCUAGAAGAGAUGGAAGAUGAUAAAGUAAAAAUGCAUGACGUUGUUCGUGAUAUGGCUUUAUGGAUAGCUUGUGAAAUUGAGAAGGAGAAGAGAAACUUUUUGGUUUGUGCAGGUGCUCGAUUAGAAGAGGCACCGGGUGUUAAAGAAUGGGAAAAUGUGAGAAGAUUGUCAUUGAUGCAAAACCAAAUUGAAACUGUGUCAGAGAUUCCCGCAUGCCCUCAUCUCCAUACUCUAUUUCUUGCCUCUAAUAGGAAUUUCAGGAUGAUCACGGAUGGCUUCUUUCAAUUUAUGCCUUCUCUCAAAGUUUUGAAGAUGUCACGCUGUGGGCAAUUCGAAGGUUUUCAAUUACCUGUUGGGAUGUCAGAGUUGGGUUCAUCACUAGAACUUCUUGAUAUUUCACAUACCACCAUAAGAGAGUUACCCGAAGAGUUAAAGUUGCUGGUAAAUCUGAAAUGUUUGAAUUUGAGGUGGACAGGUGCGUUAAUUAGAAUUCCACGGGGACUAAUAUCAAAAUUUUCAAGGUUACGUGUGUUGAGAAUGUUGGGUACUGGCGGGUUCAUUUUUUAUGAAGCACCAGAAGACAGCGUUUUAUUUGGUGGGGGUGAAGUUUUGAUACAGGAAUUGCUCGGUUUGAAAUAUUUAGAGGUAUUGGAGUUGACCUUGGGAAGUUAUCAUGCUCUCCAAAUUCUUUUGAGCUCAAAUAAGUUAAAAAGUUGUAUUCGAUCUCUUUACCUCUAUUUGACCGGAGAUAAAAAGUCGAUUAUUGAUGCUACGGCUUUCACAGACCUAAACCACCUCAAUGAAUUAUGGAUUGAUAAUGGAAUUGAGUUGGAAGAAUUGAAGAUUGAUUAUACGGAGAUAGUACGAAAAAGGCGGGAACCUUUUGUUUUCCACAGCCUUCACCUUGUUACGAUAUAUAGUUGCCAUAAAUUGAAAGAUUCGACAUUCCUCGCUUUUGCUCCAAACCUCAAGUCUCUUUCGCUAUUCAAAUGCCGUGCUAUGGAAGAAAUAAUCAGCGUCGGAAAAAUUGCUGAGAAUCCUGAGAUGAUGGGACAUAUAAGCCCUUUUGAAAAUCUCAAAAGUCUUGAUCUAUCAUAUUUGCCGGAGUUGAAGAGCAUUUUCUGGAAGCCAUUGCCUUUCACUCAUCUCAAAGAAAUGGGGGUAAGAGCAUGUGAUCAGCUUAGAAAGCUUCCACUCGAUUCCAACAGUGCAAAAGAGCGUAAAUUUGUAAUUCGUGGAGAAGAAGACUGGUGGAACCGACUUCAAUGGGAGGAUGAAGCCACUCAAAUUGCUUUUCGUUCCUGUUUCCAACCUGAUUCCUGAGCGGUGGUCGCAAAAUUUGAUUUCUGGUGAGUGCGUUUGUCUUUUAAAAGAAGAAUUUAAAAGAAAUUUAUUCUUGACGUUUUCUUCACUGUUUUUAUUUCAGUCUCUCUCUCUCUCUUUUUGUCUUCUGCUAAUCACAAUUAAAUGUUGAAUUAAUGGAAUUAAUGCUUCAUAAAUUUGCCGGCACUGCCAUUACUUUUUUUUUUUUUAAUACAAAUUGAUACUUUAUUUAUAUCUUCUUAGCGAUUUAAUUUCCUGUCAAUUGACGAACGAGAAGAACAUAUGACUUGAACCAAUGCUCGCAUAAACUUGCUGUAAAAAGAUAUAAUCUCACUGAAAUGCACACGCCUAGAAUGAAUAGAAUUAAAACAGGGAAAAUAUUAAGUAUAUUAGCCCUCUUUACCGAAAAUCAAAUGACAAUAAAUUUUUUGAAGUUUUGAUUUUCUAUGGUCAAUUCCACCUUUUGCAAUUUCUUCUGUUCUAACAAAAACCAAUUUCUUUGUUCAAGUAUUUUCGUUUGGGUAUUAAUAAUUCUCCACCGAAAGAGUGAACUCUUGCUCAAGGGAUCUCUAAUCAAUAGCCGGAAGGGCGCCGAGACCUGAUCGGACCUAGGCCCAAGUUUGGUCUUAAAGCCUGGGCUUGAGCCUGGCAAUUAAAUUAAAACAGUAAUUGAUUUCUUGAAUGAAUUGUCGUGUAAUUGAUUUAUGGGGGAUGACACAUCAACAUACUUGAAAAUACACUAAUCUCAGCAUCAUCCGUUAAUAACUUUUAGAUUUAUGGGCAAUCAAUAGUUAAAUUAGUUGUCAUUAAUACUAAAUAAUUUUUACUUUUUUUGUCUCUUCUAGAGGAUCUUCUAGAAAAAUGCAUCCACAAUUAAAUUUAAUACUUUACAUAAUAAAGAAAGCAUAAAUGUUAAAUUUAAGAAACUGCAUUGUAUUUCAGCUGAAGUUGACUUUAAUAUUUAGGGUAGAAAAAAAUUAAAUCCUUAAUGUGUUUAAUUUCUAUCACUUGUGUCAUUAAAAUUUUCUAGUCACCCUAACCAAUUACAUCUCAACCCACUUUUUUUUGGAUGAUUUUAUUUUUACACUAUUAUUUUCAACAUUUUUUUUUCCUUUUAACACCAACAUUAGUGUAUGUUACGUAACAUAAUCCAUAUUUGGAUAAUUUGAAAUUUGUUUGUGUUUUAUCUCAAAAUAGAGCUUCAAUCAAUUUGUACCUCAUAAAUUCACAAUAUCUGGCAUAUUGUCAAAUGUGCUUAUCCUUUUGCUUGACAUGUCAUUUUAAAAUUGUCAUUCAAUGUCAAAAAAUCACAUCAACUAAUGGCCGACUACUUUAAUUUGAAAGCAUGCGUGCGAUCGCCAAUAAUUAUAACUUAAUUGUUAUAUUGAAAUUUUUUUCUUUAUAAUUUAAGUUUAAUACUGCUACAUGUGUGGCACAUAAGUUGGAAAAUAUAACAUAAAAUUUGAAAAAUGUGUAGUUUUCGUUCCUUUUUUUUCUAAAAAAAUGGGAAAAAAGAAUGUAAUUUUGUUUAAAUUACUGUUGUCAUAACAAUUAUUAUUUUAUUGAUUAAUUGGCAGAGAAUCGUAAUGGUUUCGCAUGGUUGUUAAAACAUUGGAAAGUCCACUACAUCAUCGGUUAAUAACUUUCAGAUUUAUGGUUAAUUAAUAGCUGAGAUUUAUUAUCAUUAAUGCUAAAUAUUUUUUCUCUCUCCUGGAGGAUCAUCCACAGGCAGGUGCUUCCUGACGAUGACAAAAUUUUGGGCAGGCAGGUGCUUCCUGACUUUCACACGGUAAUUCUCAAAUUCUGAUUUCACCAUAUUUUAAUUACUGAUUAGCAUAUAUUCAAGUGCUCUCCAUUAUAAUGGAAGCCGCCGCCUCACUCGUAAUUCCAAACUUUAUCUUUUUUUCCUUUUUUAAAUUAAUGCAAGUAGCCGCUGUCCUUUCUAUUAAUUAAUUAAUUCGGCCGCCCACAUUUCUUUUCCUAAUGUCUUCUACUGUCGAGUUUAUUUUAUUUUCUCUUUAUUAUUAAAAUAUACUUAUAAUAAUAAAAAAAUAAAAAUUAACAUAUCAAAAUAUAAUUUAACAGAAAAUUAAGAUAAAAAAUUAAAAAUAAAUAAAUUAUGAGCAUAUCAAUCAAUAAAUGAAAAAUAAUAAUUUUUAUUUUUAUUAAAUAUAAAUUUUUCAGUAUUAAUCAAUUAUCUGAAUAAAUAAAAUCAUUUAAAAAUAAAUAAAUAAAUUAUUCUUAAAAAAAAAAAAAAAACUUUUUAUAACACUCACUAUGCUGGUUGUAGGGUUGACGCUUUGGGUACUGAAGCUAGUAACUUCUACAAGUAGUCUUAAGUUGACUGGCAACAACUAUAUUGGCAUUUAGAAAUAAUGUACUGCAACCAUAUUGGCAUGUUCAAAUGUUCUUAUUAUUGUAUUGGUGUGUCAAUAUUAUCUCUAACGGUUUUAUAAAUAAAAAAAUAAUCUAAAUUUAUAAUUUAACAUAAAAUAAAAUAAUUGGUAGAAAAACAAUUAUGGUUCAUUUACUUAUCAGUAAUCAGAAUAGACUGAAAUCGAAAUGAGUUGUAUUACUGUUGAUGUGUUUAUGUUGUACUCGAAUCGAAAUGAAUUAUUUUAAAUUACUAAAAUAUCCUUGGUCUGUUAUUCUAAUUAUUAUUAUUAUUUAAUAUUUAUUAUAAUAUUUUUCAUAUCAUUAAAAAAAAAUAAUAAUGAUGAUAAUAUUCUCAUUAUUGUUUGUUACAUUAUUAUUAUUCAAAAAAAUUAUUGUUAAUAACAAUAAUUACUUUAUUUCAAUAAUAAUAAUGAUAAAAUUAAUAAUAAUAAACAUGACAACAACAAUAAUUAUUUAUUAUGCCAAAAAAUAACAAUAAUAAUAAGAAUAAUAAUCAUCAUCAUUUUUUUGCCAAAGAAGCAUUAUCAUCAUCAUUUCAAAAAAAAAAUCAUCAUCAUCAUCAUCAUUUUUGUAGUGGCUACCUAUCGGCUGCUGCUUUCAUGUGAGAUUGACUUGCGACGCUUCAACGGCUAUUAUUUCUGACAAUGUCAGGUGUUGCUAUUUCAAUUUAGGAAGAAGUUGUUUCGGUGUGCUAGCGAUGGGAGAUGUUGUGGCUGCGAUUCGGGGAGCUACUAGUUUAUUGCACUAAUAACGGCAGGUGCUGUUGCUUGAUGCGAGGUCCAUGGCCAGUUGUCAGCAGUUCGACUUUGGUAUGGGUGCUGCUGGUUCGAUUUUAGGUGUUGUCCAAUUUCAUUUUCAGGAUUUUAAUUUUAUUUUUCUUUUAUAUUUUCAUUAAUUAAUCAGGGUAAAAUUGGAUUUUAGAAUUUAGAAUGAAGGUAAUUUUGUUAAUAAUGGAAAUGAGAUUCUGAUUGUCGAGAAUGAGCUUACACAAACAACUAUAAAUUAAGUGAAAACAAAACACUUUUUCUCUUUGUGUGAUUAAAACAUGAUAUGUACCAUAAAUAAAUAAGUAAAAAAUAAAUCAACACAAUCUAAAACAGUAAACAAAUUACAAGAGGCACAGAUUUUUAUGUGAAACACCGAAAAUGGAAAAAACCACAGCAUCUUAGUUUGAUAUAAUCUUCUACUAUAUUAAUGGGAUUAUAGCACAAAUUCUUUCCUAUAUAACACUAGAGAUUAACAACAUCAAGAAUCUCAAUAAUCUUGACUUACAAUACAGCCUAAUAUUUGUCUCUCUAAUAAGUAGAUAUCUAAAAUAACAGUCUCUAAUAAGUAUGUAUCUAAAAUAAUAGUCAACAAGAGGAUAAAACAAAAAUUAAGAUUAGUAGGAUGUGUAUAAGGUGAUGCUAUCAAUUUAUCUUCUAAAUUUGAGAAAAAUAGUUAAAUUCACUUUUUCGAUUGUCCGACCAAAAAUGGAAACCCUUGCCCCAAAACCAAAGGAAUCACCAUUAUGUUUUUCUCUCUCUCUCUCUCUAUCUCGUUCUUUUCUUCUUCUUUUCUUAAUGUUAGCCAUCACUUGCUUUUAUUCUUUAUAGCAUUCAAAAAGCUACUUUUAAUGGUAAAUUUCAUUUAAGUCUGCAACUUAGUGAUAAUUGCACACCAAACAAUCCUUACAUAGUGUUUUGGGCCCUCAAAUGAGAUGAAUACAACAAAUCUCCCCCUUUAAAUCAUGUGGGGGGCACCGCAAGCCCGCUAUUUGCAUAUAGCUUUUCAGCUUCUCCUUGAAUAAUGACUUUGUCAUCAUACAUAAUCCAUUCUUCGUUGUGUAAAUCUUCUCAAGCUGUAACUGUUCCUUCUCAAGCUGUAAUUAUUCCUUCUCAAGCACGUCUCGUAUCUAAUGAUACCUUACAUCAAUAUGCUUAGAUUUCGAAUAGUAUAACAGCACUCUGACUAUCGUAGUACAUAACAUAGCUGUCUUGUUUUACACCCAGCUCUUGUAGGAAAUUCUUCGUCCACAAUAUUUUUUUGCAACCUUCAAUAAUUGUAAUAUCAUUUGCUUUAGUGGUAGAAAAGGCAACUUAUUACUAAAGUUUAGAUUGCGAUGAGACUGUUCCCCCUGCAAAAGUGAGCAAACAUCCUAGUAGGAAUUUUUCGGAAUCAACAGCUCCUGCCAUAUCUACACACUUGUAACACAGGUUUGUCACCACCAAAAUAUAAACAUGCUCUGGAAAUGCAUCUAAGAUAUCUGAGAAUUUUUCACUGUUGUCCAGUGCUCUUUACCGAGGUUGAAGAGAAACCACUGACUACACUAACUGUAUAGGCAAUAUUUGGUCUUGUACAAAUUAUGGCGUACAAUAAACUGCCAACUGCUGAAGCAUAAGGAACUCCUCUCAUGGAGAAAUGGGUUUUACUCUUGAGAUUUUUGGGACCAUGAAGAAUAAAGAUGUAAUUUCUUAUACUGCCAUUGUUUCGGGAUAUAUAAAUAGAGAACAAGUCGAUAUAGCUCGACAGUGUUUUGAUCAGAUGCCAGAACGAGAUUAUGUCUUAUGGACUACCAUGAUUGAUGGGUACCUUCGAGUGAAUAGGUUCAGAGAGGCUUUGACACUUUUUCAGGAGAUACAAACUUCAAAUAUAAUGGGAGACGAGUUUACCAUUGUUAGCAUUCUUACAGCUCGUGCGAAUCUGGGGGCACUAGAACUGGGAGAAUGGAUAAAGACUUAUAUUGACAAAAACAAAGUCAAGAAUGAUAUAUUUGCGGGGAAUGCUUUGAUAGACAUGUACUGUAAAUGUACUGUAAAUGCGGAGAUGUUGAGAAAGCUCAAAAGGUAUUCAGGAAGAUGCUUUGAAAGGUCAAAUUCACAUGGACGACCAUGAUUGUUGGCCUUGCCAUCAGUGGAAAUGGUGAUAAAGCUCUUGAUAUGUUUUCCCAAAUGCUCAGGGCUUCGAUCAAACCAGAUGAGGUAGCUUAUGUUGGUGUUCUGUCUGCCCGUACUCACAAUGGUAACGAAACUUUUGUGAUAAAUAGUUGCAACUUAAGGUGAGAACUGGAGGAAGGGAAAUAGAUUGAAGUUGUUCAAUCAUCAGUAGUUGCUACUUGGUUUUAAGUUGUUCAAUCAUCGGUCGUCUCUAUUUGGUUUUCUCCAAUAUCUCAUCUUCAAUUUUGACUCAGAUUGUAUCUUACCACUAGUAAUUACAUAGACUUGCUGCCAAAGGUAAGAAUGGGAAUAAAUUAAAUAGAUUAUGUCGAAAACGAAAUAAAUUUACUAUUGUUCUGUUCAUUCUAUUUGUUUCCUACAAAAUAUUUCUCCUGCCUAAAAUUUUUUGAAUCAGUAAGUUUUUACCUUAUGGAUGAAUUGUGUUGAGAGUAAUUCCAUUUCUCAGUCUCUUUAUGUUUCAAUGAAGACGUAAAACUUGUGUUCUAGUGCACCAACGUUUAUGCUUCUUACAAUUUGACUUUAAUUUACUUUGUAAAAUUUUUGUCAAAAAGUACUAAAAAGUAGUGCACCAAACACCAACUUUAUUACAGAGAGGACUUUAGUUAAAUUUUAAGAAAACACUCAAAAGAAAGAGUUGUAAAUUAUUAUAAAAAUAUUUCACAUAAAUAAAAGCCAUCCCAUGCUGCAAAGAUCUUGCUAUAAUCACCAAAAACUAUCGGGAGCUUUUAGGGUUUCCAUAAAAAUGCCAUUUCGUUCCAUGUAUAUGAUUCUAUAGUCUCACUGGCAAGUAAACCACAGCCCAACAGCACUGACUGUCCAUGAUGAUUCACCCCAAUGAACGAAACCAGCGUUGCAUCAUAUCUUUCUGUCAAGCAUGUAAUAUCAAUUGAUUUGAGCUAUUAACAUCAUUUCCAAAUACUCCAUUGGCAUCUACAUUACCAUUUCCCUCGGCAUCAAUGAUAAGAGUUCGAAACAGUCUAAUCUUUUGAACUUCUUCAGCACCAUCUAAGAGCAAUGUUCUUUUGGUUCCAAUACCCAUGUGCUUAUGAUAUUUGUAAAAUAAUUAUUUGUAAAAUAAUUAGUUCAAUUUUGACAUAAUACGGAAUAAACACAACCUGCCAAUCUAAGUUACUAUCUUUUCCCGUCAUCAGGUACCUGUUUGAAAAAUAAUUAUAUACAAUUUUAUUUGCGUCGUCCCUCUAAAAAUUUGGGACUCAAAUGUUAUUUCUAAUUGCUAAAAGUACGAAAUUGCCCCCUUUCUCUUCAGCUAAAGGAGUGCAAAGUCAUCUGUAUAAUUGAAUCUGCAUCAUCAGUUUCUAUUGCUGGCUGGUGUUACUGCAUGCUUACAGUUGCUUGACAAAGUGAGCCAGUUUUUUGUUUAUUAAUUUUUUUUCUUGUCGAGACAGUCACAAAGUAUUACUUGUUCUAUUUGAGAAUGAUGUGAAUCAAUUUUUCAAUUAUGCAUUCUGUGGUAAUUAUUGUGAAUUUAGUUUCAUUUGUCUUGUCUCCUGCAAAUUUUGAAGAAAAUGCAGACAUACAAAUUUACAAUAUGUAUUUGCGUUAGUAUAAAAACAAUUGUUAGAUGAUUAAAGCGAUUUAUUUUUUUUUUUACAGCAUUUGAUUGUAUUAGUUAAAAUCAUUUUUUAAGGAUAAAAAUAAAUAGAAAAUUAUUCUCAUGUAGUGUGGAAAUCUUUUCUAAUUUCUUGUUGACUUGUACAUUUAUUUCAGAAUUUCCAUUCAUUAAUUCUACUGUUUUAAUCUUUGACUUAGCUACCGUAGUUGACUUUUUAUAUCAAAGGCUUAAACAGCAUGCAUUUUUGAAUUGACUGAGAAUAAUUUGGUGGACAAAUUACUAGUAAAGGACUUCAAAUGGUUGAAUUGACUGUGGGUUUUUCAUGCCCAAGUCACUCGUCACGUCGUUUCAUCGAAACAAAGUGCCCGGUGCAAAUGGUGUGAUGUAAAACACCUUUUUAAAUUGUCAUUUUUUUUCCUUUGCUUUUGCUUUAAUUUUCUAAAUGCUCAACGCCAUAAAUCCAUGUAUUCUUAAUUUUCGUUUGCUGUAUUGAUUCCCAACCCUCUAUGUCACAAGGUUUUGAAUGCCAGUAAUUAAGUUAAAUUAAACAUAUUUUAAGUCCUACUUUAAAUUAUUGAAAAAUGUAUUAUGGUUGAACUGAAUUUUAACUAAAAAAUAUAUACAAAAUAAAAGAUUAAUCAUAUCUUUUUAUGAGGAAGGUCAGUCAUCAUUCUGACCACAGACACUUAAAAUUAAUUGAGUGGAAUAUUGCAAAAUAUAUAUAAACCAUGCCAAAACUAGAUGUUUGAGUAAUGAAAACGAGAAUUCAUAUGACUCAGAAAUAUGGUCGCUUUCCUUUUUCUGAAAGGCAAAAAAAAAGGGGGAACCAAAAAGGACCAAAAUGAACAAAAAUGGAAGGCGAAGGUAAGCAGACAUGUUAUAUGUUUUACCUAAGAUGCCAAAUGCAACUCCCCAUUGAUGGUGAUCGAACAUUAUGGCCAUUUUCUUAGUAAACAAAAAAUGAAUUUUGAACACUCAACAACGAAACUUGAGCAGAAGAUCAAGCAAGGGCCUCGAUCUCAAAGAAGAUACUAUGAAACCCUACUUAAUGGUUAAAUAACUUUCAUUCAGCUUUGGACCCUAUUUCGUGAUACGGAAAGACAAACCUUUCUUGGCCGGCAGUGUCCCAGAUCUGGGCUUUGAUGAUCUAGAGGUUGAUGGUGACAGUUCUGGUUUGGAACUCGACGCCAAUGGUUUAUUUCGAUUCAAAGCAAAACUCAUUCUUGGUGAAUCUCGAAAGAAUCUGAGACUUGCCCACGGCCGAGUCACCGAUCACCACUACCUUGAAUACAUAGUCUAUUUUGUCAGGAAUCAUAUUCUCUCGUUGUUGAUGACGAUGAUCGGUGCCAUCACCACUCAUUUCUUCGUUCAUUCAUUCUAUGUCCAUUGAUCUUUUUGAAUUAUUGAAGACAAGUGGCUCACCGCUUUUAGUAUUGGUAAAAUUCAGAUAAUCUCUAUUCCGAAAUAAUAAUAUUAAAAAUAUCUCUUAAAUCAUUAUAAACUUCAAAUCUAUUUUAAUUUUAUUUAAAAGAUAAAAGAAAAAUAAGUUAUGUUGGUGAUUUUUUAUUAUCUUUUUAAUAAAAAUAGAAUAAAUUGAUGUUUAUAAUUAUUUAAAGUAUUUUAAAGAUUGCUAUUUUAUGAGAGAAUAAUAUUUCAUUUUUUUUUUCGUGUGAAAGACCGAAAAAGGACAAAGCAAGUUUCCCUAAUUUUUAUUUUAUGUGAAAUUGGUCAUCUCAUAUACUUUACCCUUCAACACUCUAAUUUUUUUGGUUAUAAUUUUAUUAUUUUUUCUCUUUUACACAUGCAUGUGAAUUACUUUUCUUUAAGCUCCUGAAUAUUUAAGACAAAUCAUGGAAGAGAUGAGAGUAUAACAAGAUGAUCAAAAUAUGUAACAAAAAAAUUUUAGAAGUGAAAAAUAUGUUAGAGUCGAAGUAAAACUCUGAGGUGAUGUUUGAUUUGAAGAAAAUGGAGGAGAGAAAAAGAGUGGAAUGGAGAGGAAAAGAGAGAAAAGGAGAGGAGAGGAGAGGAGAGUGAACUUUUUUUCUAAUGUUUGGUUUGUCACAUAAAUAUACAAAGAAAGGAAAUCUCCAAUUUUUUAUUUAGACAAUUUUAACCUUAAUAAGUAUUAAGCUUUCAAUAUUUAUCAUGUGUAUAAUUUAAAAAAAGUAAAUGGUAGAAAGCGGUUUCUGAUUCCGGCCACAUCGCCGGCAAUGGAAGGUACUUAUCAGAACAUCAAGAACCGGCCAUCAUUCCCUAGCCAUCACUGCUGUAGGAACACUGCUAAAAAGCUGCCGAUUGAACCGCGAAAAGUCGUGGAAAUCGUUGCCUCAAAUCGGUGAGUUUCGCCUUUUUCUGGUCAUGCCGUCGCCUUGGCUUUGUCCAUCAACGCUGCCACUUCCAUUUCAACCAUCCAUAGCCACUAUUAACCGCCAAAUCGCCGCCGAUCAGCGGGAUCUGUGGAAGUUAAAAAGUUUCUAAAAUUUUUUAAUUGGAUUUGAACAACAUACAACCAUUUUUUGAUCUCAAUAACGACAUAGUAAUGUUGAUCGUUGGUCGGCAAGUCGAAUGGUAGUGGCGGUGAGUAACACGCGCCAAUGACAUCGGCGGCGGCGGCGGCACUAUCCGGCUACUGUUAAAAUUAAUAUUUUAUAUUUGUAGAUUAAAUAAAUUUAUUUUAUUAAACUUUUUAAAUCAUUAUUUAAAUUUAAUUAAUUUAAAAUUAUCUAUGAUGUUGAAUUGAUAAAAUAAAUUUAUAAAUAAUAAUUAUGUGAUUACAUUAAAUAAGUUAAAAAGUUGAAGGGUUAUUUUUGGAAGAUUUAGUUUCCAACACAAAGGGAAUUUGAAUUCUUCACUUCUUAGUGUGGAAUUCAAAUUCUAUAUUGUAAUGGAUAUUAAAUUCCAAUAGAAAUUAAAUUCUUAUAAGUUAUGUCAAACCAAACAACGGAAAUAAAAAAAAAGAAUUUAAAUUACUUUCCUUUCCUCCACCCUCUCCUUCCAACCAAAUACAUCCUGAAAAUAGAGAUAUUGAUUAAUUUAGAAGAGAUGCAAGCAAAAGAUAUUCCACAAAAAAAAAAAAGCAAUAUGUCCCUUUGGAGGGCAAACUUGUCAGUUUUAAAAAAGUACAUGCUUUGGAUUGAUAGUUGUAGGAUAUUUGUUUUGUCACUAUGUGUUAGUUGGAGAAGUCAAGCCUUGUGAAGAAUGUUAUGAAAGAGCAAAGGAUAUUCCUGAUAGCUGAUAGAGCUCUAUUUGAUUAUGUAUCCAAUGAAUGGAUGUGUUGUUGGAAGAUAUUUGAGUGCAUUAGUUCAUAUGUGUCUAUCAAUGUGAUUUUAAUGAUUUUUCCACUUGUUUGUUGUAAAAGAUUAUUGUAAAUUGAAAUGAACUUGAUGUUGUAAUAUUUUCUCCUUAGUAGAAUUUCACCUAGUAUGUAUUUAGUUGUGUUGUCUAUAAUUUUGCAUUCGAAUAAGUUUCACCUAAAAUAUUAGCAUGAGUAGUGGCCCUUGAAACUUUGGUCAAAAUUAUUGUUAUUAUUUCCGACUAGAUGUAAAUUUUUUAUUAAAUCUCGCUAACACAAUUCUUAAUUAAAAGUAUAGGUUAGUGUUGGUGCAAGACUUGCCACACCAAAUUCUGCCUAACUGUCAAAAGUGCAAAAUAAAUGAAGAGAAAGCACAAAUACACGACUUGAAUAAGGAUACAACGAAACUUAAAUUCAAGAGAAAAUGAUAGCUAUAUCUCAAGAUUUGAAAAAACGGUCAUGUAGAUUUUUAAGAUUUCAAUAAGCGACUGAGAUUCAAAUAAUAUCCUUUAAUUCUAUUAACAAAAAACAAAGACUCAAAUAUUUUAUGAUAAAUAAAAAUAUAAUAUUAAAAUAUAUGUGAUAAUAUACACAUUUUAAAUACUUUCAAUCCAAAAAAAUAGUUAUGUUUUACAAUCUAUUAGACAUAUUUUAUUAAAUUAAUAUAAAUUUUCUAUAAAAUAAGAAUAUAAUAUUAAAAUAAAUUCACAAAAAUUUAAAGAAUUUUGAAUGUAAAAUAAUUUUAAUAUAUCAAUACGUGAGUUUUUUUAUUAAUAUAAAAUUUAUUUAACUUUAAGAUUUUUUAAAAUCUUUACAAUAAGUAUAACUAUAUUAUUUACAUUUAAAAAUAUUUAAAUAUUAUUAACCUACAAUUAUAUUUGCAUUUGUUAGAAAUUUUUUAAGUCAAAUAUUUUGCACUUCUAUAUUAUUAGAAUUAUUGCACAAAAAGAAAGAAACAUACACCUUUAGAAAUUGUUUUCUUUUAAAAUAGAGAUGAUGAUUAGUAUAAGGAUGAAAAAAAGGAUAAAGAAUAUUAAUGAUUAACGAAAUCUCUAUACAAAUUGAUUUUAGUAGGAAAAGAGUGAGAUGAAUGAUUUCUUUUACAGUUAGAAACAUAGAUGAUGAUUAUUAUAACGAAGAAAAAAAGAUAAAGAAUAUUAAUUAUUAAUGGAAUCUCUAUACAAAUUGAUUUUAGUAGGAAAAAAAUGAUUAAAUGAUUUAGAGUGCGUUUGGAAUUGAGAUUGGGCAGCCAUAGAUUUUAAGUUACAACACUGAAGUGUUUAGUAAAUACUAGUUGCUGCAGAUUGAAAGUUAUGUUGAUAUGAUUUUUCACAUGUAUCAUAGAAAAUAUAUUACAUCUUUAAUAUUUUUUAAAAAUUUAUAUUUGCUAUAUAUUAUUAAUUUUUUUUUAUAGUUAUAACUUUUUUUCCACAACAGUUGUAGCUUAAAAGUCACAGCACCUCAAUCUCAAACAAAUCCUUAGACAUUCAUAGUGUGUUUAUUUUUUGGAUUGGUGAAUCAAAAUUAUUGACAACGCUAACUUCAUCUUCACUGUUCGCAAUCCAACAGCAGCAAUUGUCGCCAAUAAUGAUAUCUCCAAUGAUGAUGACAAUUAUUAUUAUUAUUUUUAUUAUUAUUAUUAUUAUUAUUAUUAUUAUUAUUAAUUAAUUAAUUAAUUAAUUAAUUAAUUAAUUAAUAUAUUAAUGUUGAUAUUAUUAUUAUUAAGAUUAACAAUAAUUAUUAGUAAUACAAUUUUUUGAAUAAAAAUAAUCACAAUAAUUAAAAUACAAAUUAAUAAUUAUGACAAUAAUUAAUUAAUGUCUUUUUAGUAAUUUGUAAUAAUCUAACUCAUUUUGGUUCUGAUUAUUACAGCUUAAGUAAACAAAUUAUUAUGAUUCCUAUUCUCCUUUCCCAUUUUAACUCACUUUGAUUCCAGUCUAUUCCGAUUUCUAUUUAAUAAAUGCACCAUUAGUGCUAAAGUAAUAUUUCAUACAUAGAAAAAUAAAAACUACGCCUAAGGUUAAGGGAAAAGACUUCAAAAUUCUCUUUUGAUCAUAAUACAUUUUGUCCUAAUUAACUUAAAGAUUUUGAAUCUAAUAUUUUAUAAUAAAUAAAAAUAUAUUCCUAAAAUAAAUAUAAUAUCAAUAUUUAAAAUAUGUUUUAAUAUUUUACAAUCUAUCAUACACAUUUUAUUAUAUUAAAGUAGAUUUAUAAUAAAUAUAUAAAAAUUUAGAAUAUUUAGAAUAUUAUAUAAAAUAAUUUUAAUAUAAUGCGUGAUAUAUAUUUUAUUAAUUUAAAAUGUCAUUUUACCUAAAAAAUAUGAUAAAUUAAUAAUUACAUAUUUGAAGUUAUUUCAAAUAUUAAAAAAAUUUAAUAUUAUUAAUCUUUUAGAUAGAUUAAAUUAUUUUUUAUAAGAGAGAUUAAAUUAUUUUAAAAUGCCUUAAUUGUUUUUACUUUUAACGUUACGGGCCUUUCUUUUAUUUUAUUGCAAAUUAAUGCUAACUAGAAAAACAAAAACAAAAGUGACAAACACAACCAGCUGGAAUCUUUUAUAAAACUACAAAUUAAAAUGGAUUUUUUUUUUUUGUUGAUAAAUUACACAUGAAAGUGGAUUCUUUUGAAUAUAAGUGGGGUAGGCUCUUUUAUUUUUUUUUUAAUACCGUAUAACAGGACUGUAGACUCUUUUAUUAAGCACAAAUAUAGAGUUGUCGAGACAAUUAGGGUCUUUUAUUAAACUACAAAUUGUAUAGUCUUUUUUAAAUUGUUCAGAUAUUUAUAAAUUGGUGGCCCCUACAAUCCUCAAUAAUUGUACCGAUAUUCACAAGCUGGUGGCCCCUACAAUCCUUAAUAAUUGUUUUUUUUUUUUUCUGCAUUCCCUUUCAUGCUCUUAAUAAUUAAAGAGCAUACUUUUCAAAUGUGGAGCCGCGGCUAAUGUCGCUAAUUUAAUUUGGGAUUAAAUUAGGGGACUAUUAUAUUGCAGUGUGCACUAAUUUUUAUGUUUAUCUAAACUCCUUAAAUUUAAGAUAUAUUAUGGCAUAAAUAAGAAUAUAACAAUAGCAAAAGAGUUAGAAAGUGUAGAGAAGAUCUUGCAGAAAUAUAAAUAAUAUUUAUUUUAAAAUAAUAUCAAUAUUUAAAAUAAUUUUUAUUAUUUUAUGAUCCAUUAGAUAUAUUUUAUUAUAUUAAAGUAAAUUUUAUAAUAAAUAAAAACAUACUAUUAAAAUGAAUAUAUAGAAAAUUUAGAGUAUUUUAAGUAUUAUAUAAAAUAAUUUUAAUAAAAUAUGUGAGAUAUUCAUAUUUUAUUAAUUUAAAAUACCAUUUAACCUAAAGAUUUAUUUAUGAUAAAUUAAUAAUUAUAUUUUUGAAAUUACUUCAAAUAUUAAAAAAAUUAAUAUUACUAAUCUAUUAGAUAGAUUAAAUUAUAUAUAUUAUUUUCUAUUUAUUAAAAAAUUUCAAAUUAUUUUUAAUUACUAUUCAAAAAAUAUGAUGAUAAAAAAAUCUUAACAUCUUUAUUAAAAAAUUAAAAACUUACAUGAUCAAUUCUCUAAAUAUUUAGGGUAUAUGUGAACCACGGUGGACAGAGGUCAUUACUAAAAUUUCUCUUCCACAGGCAAUUACAGCAGCUCCAGUUUAUCAAACUCAACCAAUUUUCUUUCUUAACAAAAUUCCAAAGAUGUGUAGCUUUUUUCAGAUCACAUGCGAUGGUGCUUUUUUCAAUCGUUGCUUGGAUUGCUUUCUUGGAAAAGCAGCAUACAUACGUAACCUCCAAGAUAAUCUUGAUGCCUUGGACACUGAACUGGGAAGACUAAUCGCAGCAAAGAACGAUGUGAUGAUUAGGGUUGUCAAUGCUGAACGGCAAUAAAUGAGAAGGCUGGACGGAGUGCAAGUGUGGGUUUCGAGUGUGGAUGCUGUUAAAACUGGAGCCGAUGAACUUAUCACAGACGGCUCUGAAGAAAUUGGCAAAUUAUGUGUUGGAGGCUACUGUUCCAAGAACUGCAGGUCAAGCUACAAAUUCGGAAAACAAGUGGCUAGAAAGCUACGAGAUGUGGAGACUUUAAUCGCCGAAGGAGUUUUUGAGGCGGUGGCUACUGAGGUGGUGCCUGAGAGAGCUCCAGAGCCUGUAGCAGAUGAAAGACCUACCGAGCGAAAAGUAGUAGGCUUGCAAUCACAACUUGAACAAGUCUGGACGUGUCUUGUGGAAGAAUCAGCGGGAAUCAUUGGCCUAUACGGUAUGGGCGGUGUUGGUAAAACCACACUAUUGACCCAUAUCAACAAUAAAUUUCUCGAGAGUCCAACCAACUUUGAUUGUGUGAUUUGGGUAGUAGUUUCAAAAGACCUGCGACUUGAAAAACUUCAAGAAGAUAUUGGGAAAAAGAUAGGUUUGGUUGGUGAUUCAUGGAAGAGUAGAAGUGCAGAGGAGAAAGCUCUCGACAUCUUCCGGAGUCUAAGAGGGAAGAGAAUUGUAUUGUUGUUAGAUGAUAUAUGGGAGCGGGUUGAUUUAACAAAAGUGGGCGUUCCACUUCCUGGACCACAAAAUACUACCUCAAAAGUCGUAUUCACAACNNNNNNNNNNNNNNNNNNNNNNNNNNNNNNNNNNNNNNNNNNNNNNNNNNNNNNNNNNNNNNNNNNNNNNNNNNNNNNNNNNNNNNNNNNNNNNNNNNNNNNNNNNNNNNNNNNNNNNNNNNNNNNNNNNNNNNNNNNNNNNNNNNNNNNNNNNNNNNNNNNNNNNNNNNNNNNNNNNNNNNNNNNNNNNNNNNNNNNNNNNNNNNNNNNNNNNNNNNNNNNNNNNNNNNNNNNNNNNNNNNNNNNNNNNNNNNNNNNNNNNNNNNNNNNNNNNNNNNNNNNNNNNNNNNNNNNNNNNNNNNNNNNNNNNNNNNNNNNNNNNNNNNNNNNNNNNNNNNNNNNNNNNNNNNNNNNNNNNNNNNNNNNNNNNNNNNNNNNNNNNNNNNNNNNNNNNNNNNNNNNNNNNNNNNNNNNNNNNNNNNNNNNNNNNNNNNNNNNNNNNNNNNNNNNNNNNNNNNNNNNNNCAGGAAGUCCUAGUGCGUGCUAUCAGAAAAGAUGCUGGGAACUGUUUCGCGAAAAUGUUGGGGAAGAAACUCUUGAGAGUGAUCAUGAGAUCGUUGAGCUAGCCCAAACUGUGGCCAAAGAGUGUGGUGGUUUGCCACUCGCACUUAUUACUAUUGGUCGAGCUAUGGCCUACAGAAAGAAAGCGGAGCAGUGGAGACGUGCAAUUGAAGAGUUAAGAAGAUCAGCUUCAGAGUUUGCAGGUUUGGGAAAAGAGGUGUAUCCUCUUUUAAAGUUUAGCUAUGAUAGUUUGCAGAAUGAUACAAUUAGAUCUUGUUUCUUGUAUUGUUGUUUAUAUUCUGAAGAUUAUGGCAUUCUUAAAUGGGACUUGAUUGAUUGUUGGAUUGGUGAGGGAUUUUUGGGGGAAUCUGACAGGUUUGGUGCAGAAAACCAAGGAUAUGACAUUUUGGACACUCUUGUUCGUGCAUGUUUAUUAGAAGAGGUGGAAGAAGAUGAAGUAAAAAUGCAUGACGUUAUUCGUGAUAUGGCUAUAUGGAUAACCAGUGAAAUUGAGAAGGAGAAGAGAAACUUUUUGGUUUGUGCAGGUGCUGGAUUAGAAGAGGCACCGGAUGUUAAAGAAUGGGAAAAUGUGAGAAGAUUGUCAUUGAUGCAAAACCAAAUUGAAACUCUGUUUGGGGUUCCCACAUGCCCUCAUCUCAUCACUUUAUUUAUUGACUUUAAUAGGGAGUUGAAGACUAUCGCGGAUGGCUUCUUCCGAUGUGUGCCUUCUCUCAAAGUUUUGAAGAUGUCAAACUGUGGAAAGCCUUAGAAAGGUUUGGAAUUACCUUUGGGGAUGUCAAAGUUGGGUUCACUACAACUUCUUGAUAUUUCACACACCUGCAUACAAGAAUUACCACAAGAAUUAAAGUUGUUGGUAAAUCUGAAAUGUUUGAAUUUGAGGCGGACAAUUUGGUUAAAUAAAAUUUCAUGGCAACUAAUAUCAAAAUUUUCAAGGUUACGUGUGUUGAGAAUGUUCGCUACUGGCUGGUUCAGUUUUCAUGAAGCACCAGAAGACAGCGUUUUAUUUGGUGGGGGUGAAGUUUUGAUACAGGAAUUGCUCGGUUUGAAAUAUUUAGAGGUAUUGGAGUUGACCUUGGGAAGUUAUCAUGCUCUCCAAAUUCUUUUGAGCUCAAAUAAGUUAAAAAGUUGUAUUCGAUCUCUUUUCCUACAGUUGUUCAGAGAUACAACGUCGAUUAUUGAUGCUACGGCUUUCGCAGAUCUAAACCACCUCAAUCAAUUAUGUAUUAGUAACGGUUCUGAGUUGGAAGAAUUGAAGAUUGAUUAUACGGAGAUAGUACGAAAAAGGCGGGAACCUUUUGUUUUCCGCAGCCUUCAACGUGUUACCAUAGAGGAGUGCCAUAAAUUGAAAGAUUUGACAUUCCUCGUUUUUGCUCCAAACCUCAAGUCUCUUUCGCUAUACGAUUGCGGUGCUAUGGAAGAAAUAAUCAGCGUCGGAAAAUUUGCUGAGACUCCUGAGAUGAUGGGACAUAUAAGCCCUUUUGAAAAUCUCCAAAUGCUUUAUUUAAUGGCAUUGCCGGAGUUGAAGAGCGUCUACUGGAAGCCAUUGCCUUUCACUCAUCUGAAAGAAAUGGAGGUACUUGGGUGUGAUCAGCUUAAAAAGCUUCCACUCGAUUCCAACAGUGCAAAAGAGCGUAAAUUUGUAAUUCUUGGAGACACACAGUGGUGGAACCGUCUUCAAUGGGAGGAUGAAGCCACUCAAAUUGCUUUUCGUUCCUAUUUCCAAACCUGAUUCCUGAGCGGUGGUCGCAAAAUUUGAUUUCUGGUGAGUGCGUUUGUCUUUUAAAAGAAGAAUUUAAAAGAAAUUUAUUCUUGUCGUUUUCUUCUCUGUUUUUAUUUCAGUUUGUUUCUCUCUCUCUCUUUUUGUCUUCUGCAAAUCACAAUUAAAUGUUGAAUUAAUGGAAUUAAUGCUUCAUAAAUUUGCCGGCACUGCCAGUACUUUUUUUUUUUUUUAAUACGAAUUGAUGCUUUAUUUAUUUCUUCUUAGCGAUUUAAUUUCCUGUCAAAAGACGAGCGAGAAGAACAUAUGACUUAAACCAAUUGAUACUUUAUUUAUGUGCAUUGUAUGUAAUAAAAUUUUCUCUGUUUUUUUCAAAUUGAGGCUUUAUUUAUAUUUUCUUCGUGAAGAGUGAUUUAAUUUCCUGCCAAAAGACAAACGAGAAGAACAUUAGAGUCAAACUAAUGCUCACAUAAAUUUCCCGUAAGAAUAUAUAUAUAAUUAGACUGGAAUGCACACCUCUAGAUUGAACAGAAUUAAAGCUGAGAAAAUAUUGAGUAUAGUAGCCCUCUUUACAGAAAAUGACGCGAAAGUUAAUUUAGAAAGAUAUAUUCUUGAUUAAUCCAUUUUCUGAAGUUUUUUAUUUUGUAUGGUCAAUUAUACCUUCAUACUAAAAAAAAAAAAAAAAAAGAGAAAAUAUGUAAUCCAUGAAUGGUUAAUUUUGUUUGUUUGUUUUUUUUUCUUAAAUAUCAUUCUUUUUCGGCCACCCAAGGACAUUUUCACAAAUACCUUUUGUGUGCAGAAGUCUUCCAAACCAUCAAUGGAAAAAUAAAAAAUAAAAAAAACACGGUCCAGUAUACCUCAAAAUAUCAUUGAUGACUUUUCUGGUCUAAUGCUAUGUAAAUAGUAUGUUAAGUAAAACAUAAUCAGUUCAGUACCUCACAAAUAAUUCGCAAUAUCUACAAAAUACUAUAAUGGCUACAAAACAAAUCCUGCUUGCAAAUUGUCAAGGAUACCUAUCCGUUCGCUUGACAAGUCAUUUGAAUAAAUAUUGUUCACAUUCCUUACUCUGUCAAUUAUCCAAAGCACCAUCAACUUUAGUUUGAAUAGUAUACAUGCCAUCACCGUUACCAAGAAUCAAGCAUGGAAGGGUCAUUCUAUAGAGUGCAGAACAUGACUCUAUGCGGUAGUCAAUUUGACACACGACGAACACCAUAUGCUGCAUAACAUACAAAUUAAUUUCCCAUAUGUGAUGCAAUUUUCUCCUCAACAUAUGCGCAAUUCUUUCCAUUCCGGCAUUUACACUCAAAUUUUCCUUCCUUUCUCUUUGUGGUUGAAUCUUACACCACAACUCAUGUGAUGCAAUCUCCUCUCGCUGCCUAAAUUGCACUCUCAGCAAAGCAGCAUAUGUAAGCAAGCUUGAAGAUAAUCUUGCUGCUCUGCAGAAGAACGGCAAAAGUUAAUCGAAGCAAGGAAUGAUGUAUCAGAAAAUAUUUGGUGGAGAAUUCAGCACAAACAUAUUUCGGAUGAUCAGAAUCAAUAAAACCUGGUGGUUGUGCCAUAUAAACAUCUUUGGAAAGCUGACCUUGAAGAAAGGCGUUAUUGAUAUCCAAUUGAUGAAGAGGCCAGCCAUGACUAACAUCAAUACUAAGAACAAGCCGUACUGUGGUGGACUUAACAACUGGACUGAAAGUGUCAUAAUAGUCCACACCAGGCCAUUGAUUGAACCCUUUGGCAACAAGAUGAGCUUUAAACCUGUCAACAGAACCGUUGGAAUGUCUUUUAAUACAAAAAUCCAUUUGCAGCCAACAAUAUUGGAAGGGAUGGGAGGUGGAACAAGCUUCCAUGUCCCGUUACGAACAAGAGCAUCAUACUCUUCUGACAUAGCUGGACGCCAGUGAAGAUUUUUGAUAGCUUGCGUCACAGUUGUAGGUUCACAAUCAGAAGAAGGGCUAAAAUGAGCACGGAGGUUAAGUUUUUGUAACGGCUUGUGAAUCUUAUUUUUAGCUCGGGUAGUCAUAUCAUGAUGACUUGUGGGGCAAUGAUCUAGUGGAGUUUAGGAAGAUGAUUGAACAGGAAGUGAAGAAGUGCUUUGUGUAGAGGUAGAAGUAGGUUGGGAGGAUUGCUGCGGAGAUGUUACCGGUAGAGAAGAAGGAGCAGUACACGGUGGCAACUCCAGAGGGCCCACAAUAGAUGGAGUAGGUGCCGACAAUGGAGUACUAGGAAAUGAAACAGGAAGAAUUGGUGGAACACUUGCAUAAUUAGGAGUGGUAGAUGAGCUUGUAAUGAUUUGCAUGGAAAAACAAACUCUACAAAUUUAACGUGACGUGAAAUAAAAAUUUGAAAGGUGGAUGGGUCAAAACAUAAAUAAGCACUUUGAGAUAAAGGAAUAUCCUAGAAAAACACAAGGCUUAGAGGGUGGUUCGAGUUUAUGUGAUGAAACACAAACAUUCAAAAAAUUUUAAGUUUAUAUUAAUUAGGAGUGGUACCAAAAAUUAAUUAGCUAUGGGGUUGUUGGAUGUGUUUUGGAUAUUUACAGUUAAGUUUGAGUAUCUCAACUUAAAAUUUGUAGUUUUCACUUGAAAAAAUUCAGUUAAAUUUUGCAAUGCAGACUGAUUGAUUUAUCAGUUUAACGUGUGCCAGGAAUGAAGAACUGGAAUAUCACCGUCAAGCAAGCACCCUGUGGAGCAAUACCAAAGAAUGCACAAUCUGGCUUUGCUAGGUAACACUGGAGGCUUUUUGAAAAGUGCUUCACGCUCACUUGCACAGAUUGAGCAUCCCCUCUGGAUAUUGCCCUCUCUGAUCGAGUCUGAGCACUCAAAUUUUGGUCCUCAGAGGGAGCUACAGUUUUCUCUCCACUAACCAACAAUAUUCUAAACUCAGCACCUAGUGUGAUCAGAGUUGUUGAUAUUUGCAAAUGGAGAUCCCCAUAUUUGCAAAUGGAGACAUUUAACAAAUCACCAACAUGCUUCAUCCGGUCCACGAAAUUCUGCAACUGAUGCAAAUCUGGAACCUGAACCAGAGUCGGAGGUAUAUCUUGAGCCAUAUCUAAAGCAGUUUGAAGUUCAAGACCUUGAGCCCUUGACAAUGGUUUUGAAAUUGGAACAUCUUGGAUUACUGCAGACUUGUACCCCUUGGUUUCAAAGGUAAGGAAAGGCAUUGCUUGAGUACAAUUUGGAGGCAGCUUCUUCACCAAUUUUAUUUGGAGGCGAUUGGCAGCGGAUCCAGCUGCACCAAUUUCAGAGCAACUACUGACACUACUUCGAACAGCACACUGAAGAAGUGAUAUGUCUACGGCGAAGGCAAUGCAGUCCUCAUUUUGGCUUGAGACACAGUAAUCAUCGAAGAGAGUUUCCUUGUGAAACUGGGCAACACAUUGAAUCCCUUCGGCACUGAGAAGGUUGUGGAGGAAGUAAGCUUUCUCUCUAGUAAGGAAGAGGUGGCAUACAUUCCCCAUUUUGUCUAGGGCAGGUAGGAAUCUUUUUUCUAAGAGAUUUACUUCAUUCUCUGUGAGAAAUGCUUUGAACUUCAUCCCUCUGUCUCUAUCCUCACUUAUCAGUAAAAUAGUUGAAAGCGCUACAAGGAGAGAAAAGAAGAGUAUUAAGAUAUAUAUAUUAUAUAGACAAGAAAAACAUUAGAUGUCGAUCUUACAAGCUAAUACUUCAAACAAUAUCCUAGAAAGCUAAAAACUGCAAGAUGGCUUGAAAUUUGAAAAGAGCACGUGCUUUUCCUCCUUAACUUGAGAAAAUGUUUAAUAUAGUGCACCUUACAGAAGCAUUUAAGCAAUUAGAACUUUGCACAAAAACAUCAAGAAGACUAAACAAGUCAGAUGCAGUGUAUUUGUCCAAGCACAAAUUGCAUUUUGUCCUCAACUUUAAUAUUUAUUGAUGAGAAUCAAUACAGGUCCCUCAUUUGUUAUAGAAAGCUUUCUUGUAGUCUCACCAGUUAAUAUGGAUAUUAGAUAAGGAAACUUUAUUAGGUUGCGAGGGUAAAAAAGGAAAGAGAUAUCAUUAUUUUAUUAUCGAUAAUUAUUAAAUUUUUUUCCAAAAAAAAGAACAAGCAAGGAUAUUUUAUUGUCAAUUGCAACCUUUAAUUUUUUUAAAUGCUAUUAGAAACACAAGAUAACAAAAAUGUAGUGAGAUGGGAUCUCCUGCAUGCCACUCUGGUUUAGAACACAAAGAAUGUGUCUGCAUAAAUAUCCUCUGAAAUUGAACAACCCACAAACACAAAGCACCUCCAAGUCGGAGGCAUUGUACAAAACAUCAAAAGCCCUUGAAUCCUUCUCGUUGCCACCAACCUCGAAUUCUUCCUUCACUAUGUAUGUUAUAGGUCCAUCAGAACUAAUAUGUUUUGUGCUAUAGUAAGAGUACAUAGCCUCCACCUCCAUCUGAAACUUCCUUAACAUUUCAUUUGUGUACAGUUUUGAGAGUUGAAAUUCAUAGUAACAUCUUGGUUUCCGGAUACAACUUGAAUUUCUUGAAUCCAUAUCUGCCAAGGCUACCAGUUGAUAAUUCGCCUGCAGUGCUUGAUCAUACUUGUCUAAGAAUUCUUUCAAAGGAGUAUUCUUAUCAAGAUAUCCUUCAAAGUAUGAAGUAGAAACCUCAUUCUGCAGGAACGAAAACACUCCUGAUAAAAAAGCUUCCUUCAAAUAAAUAGGAGCCCACCUUUUAUGAUCUUCAUAUAAAGUUUGAAUCCAUCCGUGAUCCUUUAUUCCAUGACAUUGAAUCAUGUCUUCCCAAGCUGCUUCAAAUUUCUCAGGCCUGAGAGAGUGAUAAAUUGCUCUAUGUAAUGCAGCUUUAAUAGCUUCAUAUUCAAACAAUCCUUGGAGUUUCUCUGGAAUUUUUUUGCAUGAUGCAUGACAAUGAAAAGAAAUGAUAAGCUCUUGGGAAAACAUCACCAACAGCAAUUUGCAAGAUUCUACAUUGGUCAGUGAUGAUUGUUUGUGGAGAGCGCCCUAACAUACAUGUAAGCCACGCCGUAAACAACCAUGUAUAUGAUUCUAUGGUCUCACUGGCAAGUAAACCACAACCCAACAACACUGAUUGUCCAUGAUGAUUCACCCCAAUGAAUGAAACCAGUGGUACAUCAUAUCUUUCAGUCAGGCACGUAGUAUCAAUUAAGACCACAUCACCAAAGUACCUAUAUGCAACUCUUGACCUGGUAUCAGUCCAGAAUAGGUUUUUCAAGCAUCCCUUUUCAUUUAGAUCCACUACAUUAAAAAAGUUUGGAUCUGUCAACUGCAAAUGACAAAAGAAACUCUGGACAGCUUGUGCAUCUCCUGGUUUAAGCUUCAAUUGAUUUGAGCUAUUAACAUUAUUUCCAAAUACUCCAUUAACAUCUACCAUUUCCCUUGGUAUCAAUGAUAAGAGUUCGAAACAGUUUAAUUUUUUGAACUUCUUCAGCACUAUCUAAAUGCAAUGUUCUUUUGGUUCCAAUACCUAUGUGCUUAUGUGACUUGUAAAACUUUCCGCUUCUUGGGCUUAACAAGUGGUUAUGCUCAAGCUCGACUUCAAUGAUUCUCCACCUUUUGGUUUCCAUCAACCUAAACUUUAUCAUUGCUGGACAGCCAGUUCUUGUUUCUGGUCUUGGGCGGUUUGCCUCGCUUUUCUUCUUGAAGCCUGCACUACUACAGCUCAGCUUUCCUCUAUACUUUUCUCUACUCUUUCGGUACCAUGGAUUGCUAACUCUAACACCAAAACCCUGUUCCUUGGCAUAGCAAUUGUAAAAGUAAUAUACAUCAUCAUACAUCUCAAACUCCAUUCCAACAGUAGGAGGCAAGGGAUUUUGGAUUAUCCCAGUUUGUCCAACAUAUUCAGUCAUCGCACAAUCUCCUACAACCUCAAAAUCAUCAGUGUCAUCAUCACCUACUGGUUCGGUGUUGAGAGAAACUUCAUCCAUCUACAAUGGAUGUUCAAUGAAGUGAGCUUUAAGGAGAAAAAGCAAAAUCUGUUCAAGGAAUGAUAAUAUAAUCAUACAGUUACUUUCACAAAGCUUCAUAUUUCAUCACUGCUUUACCAACAUGCAACUGCCAGAGAACAAACAGACAUGUCAUAGACGCUUGAAUUAAGUAUUGGUACAAAUGAGCACACAUCAUGUGGGACAAAAUUUCAGUCACUAAACCCAAUACCACUUUUUACAUCAUACCAAGGAACAGAUUAAACCCGACACCUUCUUUUAAACCAUACCAAGGAACAGAUUAAAUCAUCAAUGAAAAAUUAAUCACAUAAUAACUUAACCAGACAAAUGAAGAGCCUGAAACAGCACAAAACUUGAAUCUGAUUAUGAUAAUUGUUGAGUCCUUGUAUCUACAGCUUUCCUUCAAUGAUAAGACAAUGAACAUAAACGAGACACAAAAAAAUUAUUUUAAACUGACAGCCCAUGAUAUAAAUCAAACAAAAUCAACUCCUUUUUUUACACAUUACAUCUCAUAUUCAUUUACAUUGAAACACAAAAAGGAAGCAGGAGUGGGAAAAAAACAACAGCAGAGGAACUUAUUUCCAUAAGGUUUACGAAAUAAGGAAUCUAUUAAAACCCAAAACUUGAGGUCACCACUAAGAAUUUGGUUCUCAUUAUUUUUUUCUUCAUUUUUCACCAAUUGAUGAACUUAAAAUACAAUCAUAAAUGAUAAAACCCCAUCUCCAUCUUUUUGAACUAGAGCUAAAGCAAAGCAUUUUAAGAUGUUUCAUCAUUUUUUUUUUUAAAAAAAACUCAAUAGUACAAUGUUUUUCAAUGCUAAAUGCACAAUUCAAUCUUCUCCUAAUUUACUCUAAUAAUCUCUUAAUUAAGGAAGAUUAAGCUUCAGUUGUAAGCUAAAACAAAUUUCUUAAAUCAAGCCCCAAUGCUUUAUGCUAUUCAACAAGGGCUCAUAAAUGAUAAAACUACUUCUAUAAAGAUACCCAUUUUCUAAAUUAAUUUCACAAACUGAAAUCAAACUCCUGAAACGUAACGAGCAUUAAUAUAAUCAAGCCCGAACAAGAAUUGAAAAAUGAUACAUAAACUCGUUUACACAUUUCGACAGACACUUUGCAAUCAAUGAGCAAAAAAUUAAUGGAGAAGAUAAAAUUCAAACGAAACAUGCCUUACAUUGAUAAAUUAGAAGGGCAAAAGAAAUUUUAGUACGAUAUGCGAUCAGGGUCUUGCCACGGUGAUGUUAUUUGUGAAGUUCGAGCGACUCAGCAGCCUUCGAGGUUGAAAAUUUGAUUGACCAAAAGCUUCCCGUUCGUUGAUUCUCUAAUAGUAGAAACGAGACUGGCAGUAUACACAAGAAGUUCGCCGAUUUUAAAUUCCGUUGUUUGAGAUGGAAAAUUUUUUGAAAAAAUUAAUGUGUUCGAUGAAAAUCAAAAUCUCAAAAACCUCUUGUUUUUCAUUUUUUUGGAAAAAACCAUUGAGAUCCUUACUAUUUUUUCUUAUAUCAUCUUCCUUAAUAAUUUGCAAAGUCUAUCGCAUAGCACCCAUGUAUGAUGUAUGCUGCGUUGUAAUUUACAAAAUUGCACAUGAAUAAAUCCAGCUAAAAUUUGUUAAAAGAAAAUAAUAAUAACAUGUUAAAACUUUAAAAUUUGAUUAUUCGAAGAAAUUUUAAUUUAGUUAAGUAGGUGACAUGAUAAUAAAUAGAUACGUAUAAUGUCCGAGAUUUUUUAUAAGAUUAAUAAAUAUGAUAAAUUUGGAUUAGUUCAAUUUUGACAUAAUUCAUAAUAAACACAGCUUGCUAAUCUAAAUUGCCACCGUUACUCAUCAUCAGGUACCUGUUUGAAAAAUAAUUACAAACAAUUUUAUUUGUGUUGUUUCUCUAAAAGUUUGAGACACAAAUGUUAUUUCAAAUUGAUAAAAGUACGAAAAUUCCCCCUUGCUCUUCAACUAAAAAUGAAACAUGCAAAUAUACACACUAAUUUAGAUGUGUGAAUAACAAAUAUGGAACGACACAUGCAAAGUCAUCUGUAUAAUUGAAACGCCAUGCACUAGUAGUAGGUAAGAGAAACCAAGGUUGAAGUUGCUCCAAUGGUUACUGUUAAUUUAUUUUUAUUUAUGAUUUUUUUUGUAAAAUGUAAGAAAUAUGUAGAAAUGUUGCCAGCAAUGAUUUUGGAACUUUGCAUAAAAUUUUUAUCAUUAUUGUUUUUGGUAUUAAGAAAUCCGAGGCGGUGAUUAGACGUAUGUUGCAACAAUUAAGAAAUUUCUUAUUGGAGAUAAUUUGGUAGGUUUGCAGCAAUUAGAGAAUAAUUUUCCUGCCAGUUAAUCAAUCAAUAAUAAAUUUCAAAUUGCAGAAAAUAAAAUAAUACAGCCUCACUUAGAAUCAUCUUUUCUAUCUCUUUCAAUUGUGGCAAUCAUUUGCAACAAAUAAAUCAAUUUGAUGCACAUCAUUUCCCCAAUUCAAAGUUCAAGUCACUGCUCAAUUACAGAGUAGUUAGUGGACAUGCAUGCAUGUUUAAUUAAGUACUGCAUUGUAGUAUCGAAAAUCAUAACAUCUCACCAAUAUCAGAUUAUUAACCAUGGAAAUCAUAUCACAAUAUCAUAUAGAAUUCACAAAUCUGAAAAUCAUCACCAAACAAGUACCCAGAGAAAUAAUCUCGUCAUAUCCAGACCUCAACGGACGGGCAAUGACGUACUAUUUGGGUAACGUCACACCCUGGAGCUACACGGAUAAAUAGGAAAAUACCAUCUCAUAUCUCAUCAUAUUUGUGCAUGCAUAAUCUAGUCCCCAAGGGACAAAAGCGCCCAAGCACACGGCCCAAAGCCUCUAUGUGUACUCAGACGGGCCCCAAAGGCCUGUAUCUCAUAUGUAUCAUAUGUAUCAUUUGUAUCUCAAUAUCUGUUUGUAUCUCAUUUCCGUAUAUCUAUAAUCAUCAUACCGCAUGCAUAUGCCCCCAAAAGACAAAAGCGCCCAAACACAUGGCCCAAAGCCUUUAUAUGUGUUUAGACGGGUCCCAAAAGCCUCUUAUCUCAUCUUAUCUGUAUCACUGUAUCUGGAGAGAAGGGUACUGUCUAAUGAUUUAAAAAACAAUCAUUAUACUCAUAUUUACAUACCUCUUAAUCAUAUUUGAAAUCAUAUCACAUUUGAAUCCACUUUUCUAAUCUUUAAAAUAUUAUCAUGCUUUAUUCAAAGUCGAUACGCAAAAUCAAUAACCAAACAUUUUAAAUCAAAUUAUUAACCAUGGAAAUCAUAUCACAAUAUCAUAUAGAAUUCACAAAUCUGAAAAUCAUCACCAAAUAAGUACCCAAAGAAAUAAUCUCGUCAUAUCCGGACCUCAACGGACGGGCAAUGACGUACUAUCUGGGUAACGUCACACCUUGGAGCUACACGGAUAAAUAGAGAAAUACCAUCUCAUAUCUCAUCAUAUCUGUGCAUGCAUAAUCUAGUCCCCAAGGGACAAAAGCGCCCAAGCACACAGCCCAAAGCCUCUAUGUGUACUCAGACGGGCUCCAAAGGCCUGUAUCUCAUAUGUAUCAUAUGUAUCAUUUGUAUCUCAAUAUCUGUCUGUAUCUCAUAUCCGUAUAUCUAUAAUCAUCAUACCGCAUGCAUAUGCCCCCAAAAGACAAAAGCGCCCAAACACAUGGCCCAAAGCCUUUAUAUGUGUUCAGACGGACCCCAAAAGCCUCUCAUCUCAUCUUAUCUGUAUCACUGUAUCUGGAGGGAAGGGUACUGUCUAAUGAUUUAAAAAAUAAUCAUUAUACUCAUAUUUACAUACCUCUUAUCAUAUUUGAAAUCAUAUCACAUUUGAAUCCACUUUUCUAAUCUUUAAAAUAUUAUCAUGCUUUAUUCAAAGUCGAUACGCAAAAUCAAUAACCAAACAUUUUAAUAAAAUACCAAUGCAUAAAUAAAAUUCAUUUCGAGAAAUCAUUAAAUCAGAACAUUUAAAAUACUUAUUUCGCAAACAUGCUUUACUAUCAUCGCUAACUAUGAAAAUAAGUUUUGUAUAUUCCACUUUCAGUGAUGGUGUUCACGGUCGGUUAUCGUCCAUAUCUGCAGACCGAUUCUCGCUCGCGAAUCCUCCUAAAUCAAGGAAACGACAUAAUUAUUUUUUGUAAAUCGGAAUUAUGACUAAAUUUUAUGCAAUAAACUCAAAACGAACAUCUAUUCAUAAUUGACAACUCCUAUAUCCAUAAAAUUACUAAAAUAUCCUUGAGUCCGUAGAUCAUUAACAUGCUCCGAAAUCGUAAAUCACUGAAUUACCCUCGGAAUCGUAAUUACACCCGAUCCUCAAUUAUAGGAAUUACUAACAGAUCCACAGGCUUAGAAAUUACAAAAUUGCCCUCGUAGUGUGAAAUUACCAAAAGCCGGAAGUUGGUCAACAAUGGCUAGGAAGCUCAAAUCGUAAAGUUCCAAUCACGCUGAGUUCAAUGGUACCGGCGGUGAGCUCCAACGCGCGACAACGAUGCCAGAAUCUAGCUCGGCAGCCGUGAAUUCCACCAAUCGACCGGCGGCACAACAGUGACUCUCGGUGCCUAUGGAUGGUCGAAAAUGGAAGAGGGAGCCGUGGGGAACAAAAUCCAACCGGUGGUGUCACCAAAACCGGUGAAAAUCCCGGCGGAGCAAAGUGAAACAGUCGCGGGUUUCAUGCUUCGAUCGCCGGUGUUCCGAUUGGUUUUUGGCGAGGAGGAUGGCAAGGGAACGACAGCCGGCUUCUAAGCUUCAGAUUGGUACCAAGCUCGGCCGAAACGAUGGCCGGAAAUGGGAGAUAUGACCGGGUCAAGGUCGCGGGUUCCGGGUCGGGUUUUUUGGUCUGUAGUUGGGUCGGUUUGGUAGCUUCUCUCUCACUCUCUGUUACACGUGCAUAUGUUUCCUCUGUUUCCAGCUUAUUCUUUUGCUUUUACUAACUUCUUAACCGCCUCAUACUUAUUCAUUUUUAAUUCACAUAUGUUACAAUAAUUCCCGAGUAUUAAAUAACCAGUGGUCAUAAUUUUUGUACAAGAUUCUUUUUUUUUUUUGGAGAUCGUUAAAAGUGGUUGACGAUCCAUUUCGUAAUAUCAUAGAGGGAUCAUCAAUUCCUUUUCUUUUCUGUGGCUAGGCAACACUUUUUGGCCAAAGUAAGGAAAUCUAUUUUAGGUAAUGUAAAAACCAGUUGUAGGAUGUAAUAGUUUAUUAUGCACUGACAAUAACUUUUUGUAUAAUUGUCAGUUUAAUGAAUGCAAGAGGAACUCUGUUGGCAAAUUCAUCCAAGAUAGAUGCUAAAAUUAUUUAUGCAUGCCAGUUGCCUUAACUAAGUUUUCUCAGCACUGGUUUUGAACAGGAAAAUGAAUAUGCAAUUUGUAUAUUGUGCCAUAGUGGAGAAUUUGGAUAUUCUUAUUUAAGUAACAAGGAGAUUAUUUGCCUCAUCUUUAAACAAUGAAUCUUUGAGAGAUGAGGAGUGGGUGAUUGGAUGUGUCUUCAUGUAAUUGUUCAUUUAUUUGUAUUUUGAACUGUUAUGAAAAUCUUUAUAUGCCAAAUUAGUAAUACAAGUAUUCAGAUGAUUUUUCCUAUUGAUCAUGCAUUUGUAUCUGCCCACAACCAUUGUAUAUCACUUUAUUCUGAUGCGCAAGCAUCUGUAAUUUAGAAGAAAAGAAAUAAUAAUCAUAUUUUAUUGCUUGGUUCAUGAUUAUUAACGAUUAUGGCUUUAAAAAUCUACAAAUUUCUUGUGUUCAUGUAUGAAUGUGCCAAGUUUGCUGUAUCUUAGAUUACCUUCUUCCAAGGUAACAAGUUCAUAUAUAUAUAUUUUUUAAAUCAUUUUCCAUUACAGUUGAAUUUCAAGUGUUAGUUUUGUUAUUAGUACCUGGUUUCCUGUUAUAAGGAUCUAAUAAACAGUGUACGGAUAUGUGCUCUACUUUUGGAGGGCUUCCACGUGAAAGAAAAUUACAACAAUUGAAUUCUUCCGGAGGAUAUGGUAAUUAAUUUAUUUUCUCAACUUCUUGUAAGACUAAUAUAUUUCCUUCAGUAGGCACAGCAUGGUGGGAAGGGUUUUUAUUGAAAGAAUUCUGAUAUUUCUUAGACUUUGUUUUGGAAGGGGGUGGAGGAAUUUCUCAUCCAUAUAUGGUUACUUGAUUAGCUUUUGACUGUAUUGUCUCUGUCGUGCAAAGGAAAAUCUAAAUACUAACGAUGGGGAAUUGCUUAGGCACCCAAAAGGCAGAAAUGAAUUACAGAAGGAAGUUUUUGCUGCUUUAUUUAGUGCUGCUGAGAAAUCUGAUGAAUUUCCUGAAAUUACGGUGAAGACCGAGUGGAGGUCCAAAGCAUUAGGAAAGGUGGUGAGUGAACUGCCGGAGGAAUUUGUACCAAAAUACAAGGCUAAUGUGGUGCACUUGCAGCAAGAUAACCAGACCGGUAUGUGCUCUUAUAUUAACUAUAUUGACUGGAUUUGUGAGUGUGUGCAUUUUUUUGUGUAUACUCACUUUUGUAUUUAUGCAUAUUAACAUGUGUAGGAUUCUUGAUUUCUGCCACUUACUGGAGAACUAGUGGAAAGCUUUAUAUUGAUAUAUCUGCAAUAACUAAUGGAAACUAUGAUAUGAAUAUUUUCUCUCACCUGGGGAGCUGUGUAACAGAUAUACUUUGUGGCUCUGGAAUGCUGAAGAUUCUGCAAUAACUAAUGGAAAAUAUGAUAUGAAUAUUUUGUCUCACCUGGAGAACUUUGUUACAGAUACCCUUUGUGGCUCUGGAAUGUCUAAAGAAUGCUUUAGUUAGAUCAAAUAUCUUUUAGUUAGAAAAGAUAAAAUUCUCUGAGUCUGAAAGACUGAAACAUUUUGCAUAUUUUGUGAAAGGGAAAUAUCUGUUGAUACUAGCUCAUGCAUUGAGGUAAUAUCGAUGUUAAAGAAAAACAGCAAUGAUUUAUGAUAUAGAAUUGGGUUCACUUGCUUCAAAUGCUGGUCUGAUCAACCAUAUCAACCUGUAAUGAUUCUGCAGAAAUAUAUAUACAUGGAGAAAGUAGCUAAAUUUUUCUUUCAUUUAUGGGUUCGGUCUUUUUUCCCCUUAUUUUUCAGCUUUCCUUCUCCUGAAGUAUGUUAACAAUUGCAGAUAAUGAUGAAGACGACAGCUUCCGGGCUCUCCUUAGAGCCGUGAUGGAAUAUAGGGGCACAAUGAAGGAAUAUUGUAAAGCUGUAGGUACUUUUUCUCCUUUCAUUUAUGUUUUCUCACACAUUUUGUAUAUGCCCUGAACAUGCACCUUUGUAUGUAUCAAUUGACUUUUAAAUUUUAAAAGCCAUAAAGUAAGAAUACGGUUCCUUGUCAGGCUACUGAUGACAUUCGCUCAGGGGGAUCAUGUUCGAGCAGGAAAAUUUCUAGAACAGGUAAGGUUUCCAUCUACAGCCAUCCAUUGACAGCAGAUACAUUUUCAUUCAGCAGACUCUGUUAGCAUUCAAGAUGCUGGCAGAUUCACUUGAUUCUUAUUAGCUUGUUUAGUGGCAAAGCCUAUAACCUGUAUUUCAAAGCCAAGUUGUGCUAUUGAUUAUGUUAACUUUUUUGUUAACAUAAAAUGAUAUGGAGGAAAUAAUCAGUGUUGGAAAAUUAGGUGAAAAGAUGAUGUCAAAUCUUGAACCUCUUACGAAACUCUAAGUUCUUUACUUGAAGAGGCUACGAAAUUUGAACAGCGUCUACUCGAAGGCCUUGCCAUUCCCUGAUGCAUGCAGAAUUUUUGUAUUUAAAUGCCCAGAGCUUAAGAAGCUGCCACUGGAUCUUGAAGGGGCAGACCAAGGUAAAAAUCUUAUCAAGGGAAAGGAAGAUUGGUGGAAACAACUUAAUGGGAGGAUCAAGUAACUCAGAAUGCAUUGCUUCCAUUUUUUAAAUUGACUGACAAGUGAUUGAACGGGGCAUCAUCAACAUCAUCAACAGGGAUGGAGAGAUACCGGAGCAGAUCAGCAGGGUUUGAAUAUGACCUUUGGCGGUUGCUUUUUUUUUGUGAUUUUUUUUUCAUUUUUUCCUUCCUGUCAUUUUAUCAUUUCUUUCUCUGUUUCUAUUGCGGGUGUUACUGCAUGCUUACUGUUGCUUGACAAAGUUUGCUAGCUUUUUGUUUGCAGUGUUGCUAUACACUCCGAGUCAAGCCUCGAAAAUUUAUUAAACGAAGCCGUUUCGACAGUAACAAUUCUUUUCUUUUCCCUUUGCAUGUCUCUUUCAUCUGCUGUUUCUCUAUCACUUUUCAUUUUUGAUUUCCUUGCUUCUCAGCUGCCCCUAAAUUGUUAUUCUAGCAAUAUACUUUCUCAUCUUUGAAUUUUCAUCCUUGAGUACUCCCACAGCCGUAAUUUCAUCAUCAUAGACUUCACUUGGAAUGCUGUAUUUUUUCGAUUCUUGAGCUACUUCAAUUACAUCUUAGUAUAGGAUCCUCAUCUUCCUUUAUUUCUUCAUCUUAUGAGGUAAUAAAUGGAUUUCACAACUCAUCUACUUUUAAGCAAUUACAUAUUAUACCUUGAAUGAUUCAACUGUUCUGACAGUUAAAGAUUUUAUGCUCAACCUGCAGUGCUACGAACAUUGUCCAUGAAAGAUGAGUUUCAGCAUAUAAAAUGAAAUAUAGAUGUUUAAUCUAAAAUAACCCUUCACUGCCAGAAACCUAGGUCACAAAAUUCACAGAUAAUGAUAAAGAGCUAAAAAAUUUGAAAAACUCUACAGAUCACACAUCAAGCAAGAUAUCAUGUUUUUUUCCCUCAUUCAGUGGUGAUUGAUUCGCUUUUUGAUGAUGGAUAUGGUAUAAAAGUGUUGACCCAAUUUCAAGCAAACACAAAUAGAAACACAAACACAAUCGGGACUAGAGUUGUGGGCGAUUAUCUUAGGUGUACAAGUGAAACGGUGGUGGCUGUCGAUGGUGGUAGUGGGGUGGUUGGGUAUGCGUGAUGGCUAGAUUUUAGGACAAUAAUGAUUGGAGUUGACCUCAAUCAACGAAGGAAAGUGACAACAAUUUUGACAUCAAACGGUGCAUUUUUUAGCUUAGUAAAAUGGAGCCGUUUCGAUUUUGGGGUUUAAUCCGGGGUUUGACUCGGUGCAAGUAUCAUUUUCCUUUUGUUUAUUAAAUUUUUUUAUGGUCACAAAGUAUCACUCGUUCUAUUUGAGAGUCAUGUGAAUCAAUUUUUCAAAUUUUCAAUUUUAAAUUUUGUGGUCAAUGUGAAUUCAAUUUCAUUUGUCUCCUGCAAUUAUGAAAAAAUUAAAUAGUCAUAAUAUGGAAAAAUACACCGGUAAAAACUUUGUAAAAGCUUCGGAGUGAUACGGGGAAUUCACUUACUACUAAGGACAAUUGGUGGCAAGCUAUUCCAUUCAUUUUAUGUCCAUCCAUCUAUUUAGUUAUUGAAGAUAAGUGGUCCAUUUGUAAAUUUCAGAUUGUCUCUCUCUCCCUCUUGAAAUAACAAUAUUUAAUAUAUCUCAUAAAUUAUUAUAAAUUUUAAUUUACUCUCGAUUUAAAAUGGAGCAUGUCGAUAAAUUUUUUUUCUUCUUAAUAAAAUUGACGUAAGUUGUGUUUACAGUAGUUUGAAGUUUGAAAUAUUUUAAAGAUUAUUAUUCUAUAAGGGAGUAAUAUGAAAUGAUAUUUACUUUUCAUGUGUGAAAUGAAAAAGGACGAAGCAAGUGUCCCUGCUUUUAUUUUAUUUCAAGGAGGAGUCAUCUCACAUACUUUAGCUCUUAACAUUACAUUUUUUCUGGUUACAUUUUUUAUUUAUUUAUUUUUUUUUUUUUACACAUGCGUGUGGGUUGCUUUUCUGUAAGCUCCUUAAUAUAUAUUUAAGACAAAUCAUGGAAGAGAUGGGAUUAUAUCAAGAUGAUCAAAGAAUGUUAAAAAAGAAAAAAGAAAAAAAAAAGAAGUAAGACACUGAAAAUGGAGAAGAGAUGGAAGCAAAAGAUAUUCCAAAACAAAGCAAUCUAUCCCCUUUCGAGGGCAGACUUAUCAGGUUUAAAAAAGUACACGCUUUGGAUUGGUAGUUGCAAUCAAGGGAAAAUAAAUAGGAUCCAAUGAAAUUUAAAUCUCGGAGAAAAUAAAUAAUCAUGCAGAUUUUCAAGAUUUUAAUAAGGGAUACUAAUAUCUUAUUUUGAUUAAUAAUAUCCUUUCAUUGUGUUAACUCAAAAAAUAUAUAUUUUAAUGUUUUGCAAUAAACAGAAACGUACUAUUAAAAUGAAUAUAUAAAGAAUUUAGAAAAUUUUGAAUGUUAUAUAAAAUAAUUUUAAGAUAAUGCGUGAGAUAUAUUUUAUUAAUUUAAAAUGUUAUUUUACCUAAAAAAUAUGAUAAAUUAAUAAUUACAUAUUUGAAGUUAUUUUAAAUAUUAAAAAAAUUUAAUAUUAUUAAUCUUUUAGAUAGAUUAAAUUAUUUUUUAUAAGAGAUAGAUUAAAUUAUUUUAAAAUACGUUAAUUGUUUUUACUUUUAACGUUACCGGCCUUUCUUUUAUUUUAUUGCAAAUUAAUGCUAACAAGAAAAAGCUAGAUCAUAUUCCACAAAAGCAAAAGUGACAAACACAACCAGCUGGAAUCUUUUAAUUACUAUUCAAUAAUUCGAGACGAUUAGGGUCUUUUAUUAAACUACAAAUUGUAUAGUCUUUUUAAAAUUGUUAUAAAUUGGUGGCACCUACAAUCCUCAAUAAUUGUACCGAUAUUCACAAGUUGGUGGCCCCUACAAUUCUGUUCGGAUAAUUUAACUGUGCAAGUGCUCAUUCACAAUAAUUGUUUUGUUUUUUUUUUCUGCAUUCCCUUUCAUGCUCUUAAUAAUUGAAGAGCAUACUUUUCAUUUUCAAAUGUGGAGCCGCAGCUAAUGUCGCUAAUUUAAUUUGGGAUUAAAUUAGGGGACCAUUAUAUUGCAGUGUGCACUAAUUUUUGUGUUUAUCUAAACUCCUUAAAUUUAAGACAUAUUAUGGCAUAAAUAAGAAUAUAACAAUAGCAAAAGAGUUAAAAAGUGUAGAGAAGAUCUUGCAGAAAUAUAAAUAAUAUCUAUUUUAAAAUAAUAUCAAUAUUUAAAAUAAUUUUUAAUAUUUUAUGAUUCAUUAGAUAUAUUUUAUUAUAUUAAAGUAAAUUUUAUAAUAAAUAAAAACAUACUAUUAAAAUGAAUAUAUAGAAAAUUUAGAGUAUUUUAAGUAUUAUAUAAAAUAAUUUUAAUAAAAUAUGUGAGAUAUUCAUAUUUUAUUAAUUUAAAAUACCAUUUAACCUAAAGAUUUAUUUAUGAUAAAUUAAUAAUUAUAUUUUUGAAGUUACUUCAAAUAUUAAAAAUAUUAAUAUUACUAAUCUAUUAGAUAGAUUAAAUUAUAUAUAUUAUUUUCUAUUUAUUAAAAAAUUUAAAAUUAUUUUUAAUUACUAUUCAAAAAAUAUAAUGAUAAAAAAGAAUCUUAACAUCUUUAUUAAAAAUUUAAAAAUUUACAUGAUCAAUUCUCUAAAUAUUUAGGGUUAUAUGUGAACAACGGUGGAGAAGCUUUAUUUAAUAUUAUUGAUUUAAAUAAUAUGUCAAUUAAAAAUGUACAGAGAAGGAAAUUUCGGUGGGUAUUUUAGUCUUUUCAGCAAUUAUCAUGAUCAGAUCAGCCUUUAGCCUUGAAUCGUCGGUCAGAAAAGUUUUAAAAUUAACGCUAACAAGAAAAAGCUAGGUCAUAUUCCACAAAAGCAAAACUGACAAAACAACCAGCUGGUUUCUUUUACUAAACUACAAAUUAAAAGUGGAUUCUUUUGAAUGCAAGUGGGACAGACGAUUAGGCUCUUUUUAUUAAAGGCAAGUAAAAACUAGUCGAAUAGUCUUUUUCAAAUUGUUGUUUUAUUAUUUUUCCUUCAAAAGUUAGUGUGGCUCAUGUUUGCAGGUGCGAAUGUGGGUCCCGAAUCAUUACUAAAAUUUCUAUUCCACAGCCCACCGCAGCUUCAGUUAAUCAAACUCAAAUCAAUUUUCUUUCUUAACAAAAUAUUCCAAAGAUGUGUAGCAUUUUUCAGAUCACAUGCGAUGGUGCUCUUUUCAAUCGUUGCUUGGAUUGCUUUCUUGGAAAAGCAGCAUACAUACGUAACCUCCAAGAUAAUGUUGAUACCUUGGGCACUGAAUUGGGAAAUCUGAUCGCUAGAAAGAACGAUCUGAUGAGGAGGGUUGUCGAUGCUGAACGGCAACAAAUGAGAAGGCUGGACGGAGUGCAAGUGUGGGUUUCGAGGGUGGAUUCUGUUAAAACUGAAGCUGAUCAAUUUAUAAGAGACGGCUCUCGAGAAAUUGAAAAAUUAUGUGUUGGAGGCUACUGUUCCAAGAAUUGCAUGUCAAGCUACAAGUUCGGGAAAAAAGUGGCUAAAAAGCUACGGGAUGUGCGGACUUUAAUCAGUGAAGGAGUUUUUGAGGUGGUGGCUGACAGAGCUCCAGAGUCUGUAGCAGAUGAAAGACCUACUGAGCGAACAGUAGUAGGCUUGCAAUCACAACUUGAACAAGUCUGGAGAUGUCUUGUAGAAGAAUCAGCGGGAAUCAUUGGCCUAUAUGGUAUGGGCGGUGUUGGUAAAACUACACUACUGACCCAUAUCAACAAUAAAUUUCUCGAGAGUCCAACCAACUUUGAUUGUGCGAUUUGGGUUGUAGUUUCAAAAGACCUGCGACUCGAAAAAAUUCAAGAAGAUAUUGGGAAAAAGAUAGGUUUGGUUGGUGAUUCAUGGAAGAGUAAAAGUGUAGAGGAGAAAGCUGUCGACAUCUUCCGGAGUUUAAGAGAGAAGAGAUUUGUAUUGUUGUUAGAUGAUAUAUGGGAGCGGGUUGAUUUAACAAAGGUGGGCAUUCCACUUCCCGGACCAAAAAAUACUACCUCAAAAGUCGUAUUCACAACCCGUUUCAUCGAUGUUUGUGGUAGCAUGGAAGUUGACAGGAAGUUUCAAGUAGCAUGCUUAUCAGAAAAGGAUGCUUGGGAACUGUUUCGAGAAAAAGUUGGGGAGGAAACUCUUCAGAGUCAUCAUGAUAUCGAUGAGCUAGCCCAAAUUGUGGUCAAAGAGUGUGGUGGUUUGCCACUCGCACUUAUUACUAUUGGUCGAGCUAUGGCCUACAGAAAGAAAGCGGAGCAGUGGAGACGUGCAAUUGAAGAGUUAAGGAGAUCAGCUUCAGAGUUUGCAGGUUUGGGAAAAGAGGUUUAUCCUCUUUUAAAAUUCAGCUAUGAUAGUUUGCAGAAUGAUACGGUUAGAUCUUGUUUCUUGUACUGUUGUUUAUAUCCUGAAGAUUAUGGCAUUCUUAAAUGGGACUUGAUUGAUUGUUGGUUUGGCGAGGGAUUUUUUGGGGAAUCUGACAGGUCUGGUGCAGAAAACCAAGGAUAUGACAUUUUGGACACUCUUGUUCGUGCGUGUUUAUUAGAAGAGGUGGAAGAUGAUGAAGUAAAAAUGCAUGACGUUAUUCGUGAUAUGGCUAUAUGGAUAACUUGUGAAAUUGAGAAGGAGAAGAGAAACUUUUUGGUUCGUGCAGGUGCUGGAUUAAAAGAUGCACCGGGUGUUAAAGGAUGGGAAAAUGUGAGAAGAUUGUCAUUGAUGCAAAACCAAAUUGAAACUCUGGCAGAGGUUCCCACAUGCCCUCAUCUCCAUACUCUAUUUCUUGACUUUAAUAGGGGGUUGGAUAUGAUCGCGGAUGGCUUCUUUCAAUUUAUGCCUUCUCUCAAAGUUUUGAAGAUGUCAAACUGUUCGAAUUUGAAAUUACCUGUUGGGAUGUCAGAGUUGGGUUCAUCACUAGAACUUCUUGAUAUUUCAGAAAACAGCACAAGAGAGUUACCGGAAGAGUUAAAGAAGUUGGUAAAUCUGAAAUGUUUGAAUUUGAGGUGGACAGAGCAUUUAAAUAAAAUUCCACGGCAACUAAUAUCAAAUUCUUCAAGGUUACGUGUGUUGAGAAUGUUCGCUACUGGCCGGUUCAAUUUUCAUGAAGCACCAGAAGACAGCGUUUUAUUUGGUGGGGGUGAAGUUUUGAUACAGGAAUUGCUCGGUUUGAAAUAUUUAGAGGUAUUGGAGUUGACCUUGGGAAGUUAUCAUGCUCUCCAAAUUCUUUUGAGCUCAAAUAAGUUAAAAAGUUGUAUUCGAUCUCUUUACCUCGAGUUGACCGGAGAUACAACGUCAAUUAUUGAUGCUACGGCUUUCGCAGAUCUAAACCACCUCAAUGAAUUACGGAUUGAUAAUGGUAUUGAGUUGGAAGAGUUGAAGAUUGAUUAUACGGAGAUAGUACGAAAAAGGCGGGAACCUUUUGUUUUCCGCAGCCUUCAACGUGUUACCAUAGCGGAGUGCCAUAAAUUGAAAGAUGUGACAUUCCUCGUUUUUGCUCCAAACCUCAAGUCUCUUCGGCUAUUCUAUUGCGGUGCUAUGGAAGAAAUAAUCAGCGUCGGAAAAUUUGCUGAGACUCCUGAGAUGAUGGGACAUAUAAGCCCUUUUGAAAAUCUCCAAAUGCUUGAUUUACAAGGUUUGCCACAUUUGAAGAGCAUCUUCUGGAAGCCAUUGCCUUUCACUCAUCUGAAAGAAAUGGAGGUACUUAGGUGCGAUCGGCUUGAAAAGCUUCCACUCGAUUCCAACAGUGCAAAGGAGCGCAAAUUUGUUAUUCGUGGAGAAGAAGACUGGUGGAACCGACUUCAAUGGGAGGAUGAAGCCACUCAAAUUGCUUUUCGUUCCUGUUUUAAAAGUGAUGCUUUAUUUAUAUCUUAUUCGUGAAAAGUGAUUUAAUUUCCUGCCAAAAGACGAACGAGAAGAACAAUAGAGUCAAACUAAUGCUCACAUAAAUUUCCCGUAAGAAUAUAUAAUUAGAUUGGAAUGCACACCUCUAGAUUGAACAGAAUUAAAGCUGAGAAAAUAUUGAGUAUAGUAGCCCUCUUUACAGAAAAUGACGUGAAAGUUAAUUUAGAAAGAUAUAUUCUUGAUUAAUCCAUUUUCUGAAGUUUUUAUUUUGUAUGGUCAAUUAUACCUUCAUACUAAAAAUUUCUGAAGUUAUAAAUUAGUGCAACUUGACAAUUUUUACUGAUGAUAUCUUCUAUUUUUCCCUUUUUUUUUUUUUCACUUUCAUAGACUGGCAGCGGAUCCUGCGGCACCAAUUUGAGAGAAUAUACUGACACUACUUCGAACAGCAAGCAGAAGAAGUAAUAUGUCUACGGCAAAGGCAAUGGAGUCCUCAUUUUGGCUCGAGAUGCAGUAAUCAUCGAAGAGAGUUUCCUUGUGAAACUGGGCAACACAUUGAAUCCCUUCACCACUGAGAAGGUUGUGGAGGAAGUAAGCUUUCUCUCCAGUGAGGAAGAGGUGGCAUAUACCUUCCCCAUUUUGUUGAGGGCAGGUAGGAAUCUUUUUUCUAAGAGAUUUACUUCGUUCUCUGUAAGAAAUGCUUUGAACUUCAUCCCUCUGUCUCUAUCCUCACUUAUCAGGAAAUAAGUUGAAAGCACUAUGAAGAGAGAGAGAGAGAGAGAGAGAGAGAGAGAGAGAGAGAAUUAAGAUAUAUAGACAAGAAAAAUAUUUGACGUUGAUCUUACAAACUAAUACUUCAAGCAGUAUCCUAGAAAGCUAAAAACUGCAAGAUGGCUUGAAAUUUGAAAAGAGCACAUGCUUUUCCUCCUUAACUUGAGAAAAUGUUUAAUAUAGUGCACCUUACAGAAGCAUUUAAGCAAUUAGAACUUUGCACAAAAACAUCAAGAAGACUAAACAAGUCAGAUGCAGUGUAUUUGUCCAAGCACAAAUUGCAUUUUUUCCUCAACUUUAAUAUUUAUUGAUGAGAAUCAAUACAGGUCCCUCAUUUGUUAUAGAAAGCUUUCUUUCUUGUAGUCUCACCAGUUAAUUCAGAGGUCUAUAAUCAUCUUGCAAAGUUAAGGGCAUUUCUUUUGAUCUAAAGUCUUUGCAUCACCACCUCAUCACACGCCAAGCCAAUAUUCCAUUUACCUCUACAACAAAAAGUUUUAAUUAAACAAUCCUAAUGCACGCAGCCAAAUAAAAUGCAGUAAGAAUAUUCAACUUAAAAAUCUGAAAGCCAACUUGGUGAAUUGCCUCCUUAGGUGAAGUUCCAUGCUUUACUAUAGUUGACAGAACUCAGCAAAAGCUUCCAUACAACAGAUUUUGAAAAUGAUGAUGCCAACAGAUACUCAUUCAAUGCAUUGAAACUCCAAAGGUUCAUUGUUCAUAGAAGUUUACAGAGUUUUGGUCAUCAAAUAGCUCAGACCUAAUCCCAAACAAAAAAUGAGUGAAAAUUAGAUCACGAGCAGCUAAUUGUAAAUUCUAACUUAACUCUUCAUCUCCUUUGUAAACAAGAAACAAAAUGGAGACACGCAAAAUGAAUAUGGAGAAAAUUUGAACUCAAAUGAAAUGAGGGCAUGAAAGCAAACAAAUGGCAUGCACCAAAAAACCAAGCCUCAAUCAAAAACUAAUUAACCAUUAAGAAAAAAAUUGGUCAGAGAAUGAACUCCAAAUUCAGGAGUCAAGCAAGAAGCUUUCAUUAUUAUCAAAGUCAAUUAUCUUUGUUAGUAUGCGAGUGUGACGACUAUAGGUUGUUCUUUUUCUAAUGUCAUAUGAUUCCAAUUUUAGGUACAGGGCAUCUCUCUCUCUCUCUCUCAUCGCUAAGUGGAUAUUUUUCUCUUUUGUCAUAUACUUUAGUUAUUCUUCAAUUUACUAACUAAAAUGAAGGCCGCUUUAUUAAGAAGUUAUAUCCAGUUAUAUAAUUUGUUGUAUUUAAUAUAUGUUUGGGCUCAUAAUUUUUUUUAAAAAUAUAUAUUUCAUUCUCCAUAAUUUUUUCCCAUCAUAGCUACGAAACGUCUUAGUUUCGACUAAAAUCCUAAAAUUGGUCCUUAAUUGAAUAUGCAUUGCAAUUUGCAAAUGUAAUAUUGUGAAUGGGACACUGGAGAUACCAAAAUGGUCAAAUGCGAAAUAAGUUAGGAUUGUACGAUGUAGUUUGUAUUCAUAUUCAAUGCCUUUUUUUUCAAAAAACAAAUUGAAAUGCCAUUACUAAACGAUUCUUGAUGAUGGGAGCCACCGUGCCAGCUUUGUCGCUGAUUUGGUAUUAUUCUUAACUUGCAGAUAGUUGUGGAUAUGAUAUGCAAAAAGGUAAGGACUAUAUCUUCUUGAUGGAGGCCUCUGAUUUUUUCCCUUCUAUGUAAUUUAGUAAAUCGCAUUUUCCCUUGUGAUUGAUAUAUCAUACCAAAGUCAAGUCUUAAAUACUGCUGUCAUAUGUUAAGGUUCAACUUCCAUUUUGAUUAACGUCCAUUUGCUGCUGCUUCCAAAAGUGAGAAUGAGAUACUUUGGUUAAUUUCAGUAGUUGAACCCAAUAGAGUACUUUAUUUAGAUCUUCAUGGUUCAAAGGCCUGAAAAAACUUGCCGGUAUUUGCAAAAUGACAUUCUGUGCUUUUAUUUAGGCUUAUUAUUUAAGUGAUAAAAACUCCCGUAACCUGCUGUCAAGAAAAUUUCAGAUUGUUAAAAGACAACAUUUUGUUUCAGCCAAAAAUGUUUGUUUCGAUUAAAGACUUGAACCAUUUUCAUUUAACCUUGAUUGUGAUGCUUUACAUUAUGCAUGUUCCUCUCAAUCAAUAAAAGUUGAGGUCAUGAUUUUAUAUUUCUAUUUUGUAACUUGAAAUAAUUGGUCUGCCUGUUUCUGUAGCUUGAUAACAUGAAUUUUUCCUUCUGAAGUUAAUUUGAUCAAUAAAGUAAUUCUUCGGAGAUGAUAUGCCCAUUCUAUAGUCAUUUUCUUAGGUAACAUGUUUUUUCUUCACUCUUCAGAGCAUGUCUAAACUAAUUGAUCGCUCAGCGGAGACUUUGGGUGAGAAGACAAAAUUUCUUGGUAAAUCCUCUAAAAAGGUAUGCAUAAUUCCCGAGUAUUAAAUAAUCAUUGGUCAUAAUUUUUGUACACAACUCUUUUUUUGGAGAUCGUUAAAAGUGGUUGAUGAUCUAUUUUGUAAUAUCAUAGAGGGAUCAUGAAUUCCUGUUCUUUUCUGUGGCUAGGCAACACUUUCGGGCCAAGCUAAGGAAAUCUAUUUUAGGUAAUGUGAAAACCAGUUGUAGGAUGUAAUAGUUUAUUAUGCCCUGACAAUAACUUUUUGUAUAAUUGUCAGUUUAAUGAAUACAAGAGGAACUCUGUUGGCAAAUUCAUCCAUGAUAGAUGCUAAAAGUAUUUAUGCAUACCAGUUGCCUUAACUAAUUUUUCUCAACACUGGUAUUGAACAGGAAAAUGAAUAUGCAAUUUGUAUAUUGUGCCAUUGUGGAGAAUUUGGAUAUUCUUAUUUAAGUAACAAGGAGAGUAUUUGCCUCAUCUUUAAACAAUGAAUCUUUGAGAAAUGAGGAGUGGGUGAUUGGCAGUGUCUUCAUGUAAAUGUUCAUUUAUUUGUAUUUUGAACUAUUAUGAGAAUCUUUGUAUGCCAAAUUAGUAAUACAAAUGUUCAGAUGAUUUUUCCUGUUGAUCAUGCGUGUGUAUCUGCACACAACCAUUGUGUCCCACUUUAUUCUGAUGCACAAAUAUCUGUAGUUUAGAAGAAAAGAAAUAAUAAUCAUAUAUUAUUGCUUGGUUCAUGAUUAUUAAACGAUUAUGGCUUUAGAAAAUCCACAAAUCCUUUGUGUUCAUAUAUGAAUGUGCGAAGUUUGCUAUCUCUUAGAUUACCUUCUUCCAAGAUAACAAGUUCAUAUAUUUUUUUUAAUCCUUUUUCAUCACAGUUGAAUUUCAAGUGUAAGUUUUGUUAUUAAUAGCUGGUUUCCUGUUAUUAUGAUUUCAUAAACAGUGAGAGGAUAUGUGCUCUACUUUUGGAGGGCCUCCACAUGAAAGAAAAUUGCAACAAUUGAAUUCUUCCGGAGGGUAUGGUAUUUAAUUUAUUUUCUCAGCUUGUUGUAAGACUAAUAUAUUUCCUUCAGUACCCAAAAGGACAGAAAUGAAUUACGGAAGGAAGUUUUUGCUGCUUUAUUUAGUGCUGCUGAGAAAUCUGAUGGAUUUCCUGAAAUUACGGUGAAGACGGAGUGGAGGUCCAACGCAUUAGGAAAGGUGGUGAGUGAACCGCCGGAGGAAUUAGUACCAGAAUACAAGGCUAAUGUGGUGCACUUGCAGCAAGAUGACCAGACCUGUAUGUGCUCUUAUAUUAACUAUAUUGGUUGGAUUUGUGAGUGUGUACAUUUUUGUGUGUAUACUCACAUUUGUAUUUAUGCAUAUUAACGUGUGUAGGAUUCUUGAUUUCUGCCACUUACUGGAGAACUAGUGGAAAGCUUUAUACUGAUAUAUGUGCUAUAACUAAUGGAAACUACAAUAUGAAUAUUUUCUCUCACCUGGAGAACUGUGUAACAGAUAUAAUUUGUGGCUCUGGAAUACUGAAGAUUCUGCAAUAACUAAUGGAAAAUAUGAUAUGAAUAUUUUUUCUCACCUGGAGAACUUUGUAACAGAUACAUUUUGUGGCUCUGGAAUGUCUAAAGAAUGCUUCAGUUUAGAUCAAAUAUCUUUUAGUUAGAAAAGAUAAAAUUCUCUGAAUCUGAAAGACUGAAACAUUUUGCAUAUUUUGUGAAAGGGAAGUAUCUGUAGAUACUAGCUCAUGCAUUGAGGUAAUAUCAAUGUUAAAGAAAAACAGCAAUAAUUUAUUAUACAGAAUUAGGUUCACUUGCUUUAAAUGCUGGUCUGAUCAACCAUAACAACCUGUAAUGGUCCUGCAGAAAUAUAUAUACGGGGAGAAACUAGCUAAAUUUUCCUUUCACUUAUGGGUUUGGUCUUUUUUUCCCCUAUUUUUCAGCUUUCCUUCUCCUGAAGUAUGUUAACAAUUGCAGAUAAUGACGAAGAGGACCGCUUCCAGGCUCUUUGUAGAGCUGUGAUGGAAUAUAGGGGCACAAUGAAAGAAUAUUGUAAGGUUGUAUGUACUUUCUCUCUUGUCAUUUAUGUUUUCUCACACAUUUUGUUUAUGCCCUGAACAUGCAGCUUUGUAUGUGUCAAUUGCCUUUUACGUUUUAAAAGCCAUAAAGUAAGAAUACAGUUCCUUGUCAGGCUAUUGAUGCGUUCGCUCAGAAGGGUCAUGUUCAAGCAGGAAAACUUCUAGAACAGGUAAGGUUUCCAUCUACAGCCAUCCAUUGACAGCAGAUAUAUUUUCAUUAAGCAGACACUGUUAGCAUUCAAGAUGCUGGCAGAUUCACUUGAUUCUUAUUAGUUUGUUUAGUGGCAAGGCAUAUAACCUGUAUUUCAAAGCCAAGUUGUGCUAUUGAUUAUGUUAACUUUAUUGUUAACAUAAAGUGAUAUGGAGGACAUAAUCAAUGUAGGAAAAUUAGGUGAAGAGAUGAUGUCAAAUCUUGAACCUCUUACAAAGCUCCAAGUUCUUUACUUGAAGAAGCUGCCAAAUUUGAAGAGCGUCUACUGGAAGGCAUUUCCAUUCCCAGAUGUAUGCAGAAUUUUUGUAUUAAUGCCCAGUUCUUAAGAACCUGCCACUGGAUUUUCAAGGGGUGGGCCAAGGUAAAAUUCUUAUCAAGGGAAAGGAAGAUUGGUGGAAAGAACUUCAAUGGGAGGAUCAAGCAACUCAGAAUGCAUUGCUUCCAUUUUUCAAAUCAACUGACAAGUGAUUGAAGGGGGCAUCAUCAACAUCAUCAACAGAGAUGGAGAGAUUCUGGAGCAGAUCAGCAGGGUUUGUAUAUGAUCUUUGGUGGUUGCUUUCUUUUGUGAUUUUUUUUUUCUUCCUGUCAUUUUAUCAUUUCUUUGUCUCUUUUUUUAUUGCUGAUGUUAGUGUAUGCUUACUGUUGCUUGACAAAGUUCGCUUGCUUCUUGUUUAUUAAAUUUUUUAUCGUCACAAAAUAUUACUUGUUCUAUUUGAGAGUGAUGUGAAUCAAUUUUCAAUUAUAUAUUUUGUGGUCAAUGUGAAUUCAAUUUCAUUUGUCUCCUGCAAUUAUGAGAAAACUGCAGAGUCAUAAUAUGGAAAAGUACACCAGCAAAAACUUUGUAAAAGCUUCGGAGUGAAACAGGGAAUUCACUUACUACUAAGAACAAUUGAUGGCGAGUUAUUCCAUUCAUUUUAUGUCCAUCUAUCUAUUUAAUUAUUAAAGAUAAAUGGUCCAUUUAUAAAUUUCAGAUUGUCUCUCUCUGAAAAUAACAAUAUUUAAAAUAUCUCUUAAAUUAUUAUAAAUUUUAAUACACUCUCGAUUUAAAAUGGAACAUGCUGAUGAAAUUGUUUUCUUCUUAAUAAAAUUGAAAUAAAUUGUGUUUGCAGUAGUUUGAAAUAUUUUAAAGAUUAUUAUUUUAUAAGGGAGUAAUAUGAAAUGAAAUUUACUUUUCAUGCGUGAAAUGUUGAAAAAGGACAAAGCAAGUGUCCCUGCUUUUAUUUUUAUUUUAAAGUGGAGUCAUCUCACAUACUUUAGCUCUAUCAUUACAAUUUUUCAGGUUACAUUUUUAUUAUUUAUUUAUUUUCUUUUUUACACAUGCAUGUGGGUUACUUUUCCGUAAGCUCCUCAAUAUAUAUUGAACCCAGCGAAGAAUGUUAUGGAAGAGCAAAUUAAUGAUAUUUCUGAUAGAGUCUAUUUGAUUAUGUAGCCUGAAUGGAUGUCUUGUUGAAAGAUAUCUCAGUGCAUUAGUUCAUCCUUGUCUGUCAAUGUGUUUUUAAUGGUUUUUCCAAUUGUUUAUUAUUAUAGAUUGAUUGUAAAUUGAUAUGAAAAUUUGAUAUGAAUUUAAUGUUGAAAUGUUUUCUCUUUAGUGGAAUGAAUUUAAAAGUGCAAAAGAUUAUUGCACACAGAGAAAUAAACAUAUAUGCUUUAUAACUUUAGCAAUCGAUUCUUUUACAGCUGGAAACAGAGAUGAUGAUUAUCAUAAGGAUGAAGAAAAGUAGUGCGUUAGACGAUUAGACUCUCUUAUUAAAGGCAAGUAUAAAGUAGUGAAGAAUCCAAUAUCUCUAUUGUCUAGUCUUUUGUUUAAUUCUUCUUUUAUUAUUUUUCAGAAUAAUUUUUGGUGAUUACAAUCGGGUUAUUAUUCAGAGUUAUUGUUAUCUUCUGGGGCAGUUUCUGUUCAUCGAAUUCAUUAAUUAAAAUUUUAGAACUCUUAUCAGAAGAAUAUUUUUCGGUUAUCUUUUUUAUGUUCUAAUUCCAAUUGUAAGAAGUAGCCAUUUUAGAAUUUGGGUCUUGAAUCGAAUUUCAAUGCAUGAAUUAAUAUUAAAAAAAAAAAAUUCACUACUCGCAGUUUAGGUUACAAAUUACUUUUUGGAAAGUUGACUUUGGAAUGUUUGCAAAGAAAGAGACUAACAUAUUUCCAAUUACACUAAAUCUCUAUUAUGAUAAUGUUAAGACUAAAUUAAUUUAAAUAAUUUUUAUUUGAAAAUUAUAUCAAACGCAGUCUAAUUUUAUUAAUUUUAAGAAAUAAUAAUUAUAAAAAUUAUUGUUCUGACUUAAUUAAUACAAGUGAUAUAAAAGUUAAGUGUGCACUAAAUCUGUUUUAAUUUUUUCCAGUAUAACUAACAGAGGUCAUUACUAGAAUUAUAUUACUAGUCUAUUAGAUAGAAAAAAUUACUUAUAUUGUUUUAUAUUUAUUAAAAAAUUUAAAGCCAAUUUUUUUAAUUACUAUUUAAAGAAUAUUAUAAUUUGAAAAAUUUUAAUAUCUUUAUUAAAAAUUUAGAAAUUUACAGUCCUCUAAAUAUUUAAGGCGUAACUGUCAUUUUCUCAAGAAGCUUUAUUUAAUAUUAUUGAUUUAAAUAAUAUCUUAUUAAAAAUGUACUGAGGAGAAAUUUUGGUGGGUAUUUUAGUCUUUUCAGCAAUCAUCAUGAUUAACCUUUGGUUGGCCUUGAAACGUCGGUCAGAAAAGUUUUAAAAUGCUUAAUUGUUUUUCACUGUUAACGUUAGUGGCCUUGAAAUUGCUUAUAUUUUAUUAAAAAUUAAUGCUAACAAGAAAAAACUAGAUCGUAUUCCACCCCCAAAGCAAAAGUGAUAAAACAACCGGCUGUAUUCUUUUAUUAAACUACAAAUUAAAAUGGAUUUCUUUAAUUAAAGUGGAUAUCAUUUAAUUAAUGUUUGAACAUUAAAGUUCUGAUAUAUAACCACUAUGCCGACCACCUAAUUGCUGCUAUUUAAUUUCGUUCCAGUUCUCUCUCUCUCUCUUUUUCUUUUUUUUUUGGGCCAAGCAAUAAAUAGUAAAAAUUCAAUAAAAGCAAUAUUAAUGCUGCAAGUGAGUCAUGUUAUUUAUUGUCAAUUAGGAAAUGUGAACCUAAUUUGAUUGCAUCCCUUUAAUCAUUUAAUAAUUAUGUAAGCACCAUCCCUUUAAUUAUUUAAUAACUAGAAAAUAGAACACUGCGUUUCACGCGGCUUUGAAAAAAGAAUUUAGUAUUAUCUUUUUUUCUUACUUUACACUUGAUGAAACUGAUAAAAAAUAUGAAUUGAUUUUUUUUAAAGAUGAGGCAGCCUUAUAAAAAAUAAAAAAAGCUAUUAGCCAGCAAUACAAAUAAAGAAGGAAUGCAAGAUAAAGAAUAAAAUGAGAGAAUAUAUUAUAGAGUGAUCUUAUUCAUUCUAAUUGUGUGUGUACAAAACAAAAAGAUGAGCUCUCCUUUUAUAACUACAUAAUUACUUCAUGAAAUUAAUGAAAAAUUAUGAAUCAUAAUUUCUUGUGAGAUAGUGGGAGUUAUUGGGAAGCUAAAAGUUGCUAAUGGGAGAUAGUGGGGAGACUAAGAGAUAUAUAUUAUGAACAUCUACAUUUAUUUUAAUAAAUUCAUAACACUCCCCCUUAAAUGUUCAUUACAAAGAAUAUGCCUCAUUAAAAUCUUUACAUAAUUGUUAUUGUGUAAUAACAAUCAAAUUAAUUAUAAGAAGAUGAAAAGCCAAAUCUAACAGAAAAUUUCUCUAUUUAUUAGAUAAUAGAGAAUAUAGCAAGAUGAGAAAUGGUAAUGCCACAUCAUCUCCUCACGUCCCAACUUUAUAUAUAUAUAUAUAGAUAAUAUAUAUUAUUCCUGUCCUACAUUCACAUAUUUAAUUGUCCUUUUGAAAAUAUUCAUGAGUUAGGCCAAGUAAAGUCAAAGAAAUUGGGAAAAAGGAACAAAAGGACAAACCUAAAUUAAUUGAACCUAAUUCAUGAAAAUGCACACUUUUGUGUUGCGGACGGCGGACCCUAAAGCUUCGUUGUUUGCAGCUGCAAUUAAUUCUUUUCCUUCAAAAGUUAGAGGCUCGUGUUUACAGUGGGUCCCGAAUCGGACGUACCUAAUAAAUCUUUUAAAAAAAUUUGCCGUAUAAAGGACAGAGGUCAUUACUGAAAUUUCUCUUCCACGGGCAAUUACAGCAGCUUCAGUUAAUCAAACUCAAAUCAAUUUUCUUUCUUAACAAAAUAUUCCAAAGAUGUGUAGCAUUUUUCAGAUCACAUGCGAUGGUGCUUUUUUCAAUCGUUGCUUGGAUUGCUUUCUUGGAAAAGCAGCAUACAUACGUAACCUCCAAGAUAAUCUUGUAGCCUUGGACACUGAAUUGGGAAAUCUGAUCGCUAAAAAGAACGAUGUGAUGAGGAGGGUUGUCGAUGCUGAACGGCAACAAAUGAGAAGGCUGGACGGAGUGCAAGUGUGGGUUUCGAGGCUCGAUGCUGUUAAAACUGAAGCCGAUGAACUUAUCACAGACGGCUCUCGAGAAAUUGAAAAAUUAUGUGUUGGAGGCUACUGUUCCAAGAACUGCAGGUCAAGCUACAAAUUCGGAAAACAAGUGGCAAGAAAGCUACGAGAUGUGGAGACUUUAAUCGCCGAGGGAGUUUUUGAGUCGGUGGCUGAGAGAGCUCCGGAACCUGUGGCAGAUAAAAGACCCACUGAGCCAACAAUAGUAGGCUUGCAAUCACAGCUUGAACAAGUUUGGAGAUGUCUUCUUGUAGAAGAAUCAGCGGGAAUCAUUGGCCUAUAUGGUAUGGGCGGUGUUGGUAAAACCACACUGUUGACCCAUAUCAACAAUAAAUUUCUUGAGAGUCCCACCAACUUUGAUUGUGUGAUUUGGGUCGUAGUUUCAAAAGACCUGCGACUUGAAAAAAUUCAAGAAGAUAUUGGGAAGAAGAUAGGUCUGUUUGAUGGUUCGUGGAAGAAUAAAAGUGUUGAGGAGAAAGCCGUAGACAUCUUGCGGAGAUUAGGAGAGAAGAGGUUUGUAUUGUUGUUAGAUGAUUUAUGGGAGCGGGUUGAUUUAACAGAAGUGGGCGUUCCACUUCCCAGCCCACAAAAAUACUACAUCAAAGUCGUAUUCACGACCCGUUUCAUUGAUGUGUGUGGUAGCAUGGAAAGUCACAGGAAGUUUAAAGUGGCAUGCUUAUCAGAAGAGGAUGCUUGGGAGCUGUUUCGAGGAAAAGUAAGGCAAGAAACUCUUGAGAGUCAUCAUGAUAUCGUUGAGCUAGCCCAAACUGUGGCCAGAGAGUGUGGCGGUUUGCCACUCGCGCUUAAAACUAUAGGUCGAUCUAUGGCCUACAGAAAGACAGCUAAGGAGUGGAGACAUGCAAUUGAAAUGUUAAGGAGAUCAGCUUCAGAGUUUGCAGGUUUGGGAGAAAAGGUGUAUCGUCUUUUAAAGUUUAGCUAUGAUAGUUUGCAGAAUGAUACGAUUAGAUCUUGUUUCUUAUAUUGUUGUUUGUAUCCUGAAGAUUAUGGCAUUCUUAAAUGGGAUUUGAUUGAUUGUUGGAUUGGUGAGGGAUUCUUAGAGGAAUCUGACAGGUUUAGUGCAGAAAACCAAGGAUACUACAUUGUGGGCACUCUUGUUCAUGCAUGUUUAUUAGAAGAGGUGGAAGAUGAUAAAGUAAAAAUGCAUGACGUUGUUCGUGAUAUGGCUAUAUGGAUAACCGGUGAAAUUGAGAAGGAGAAGCGAAACUUUUUGGUUUGUGCAGGUGCUGGAUUAAAAGAGGCACCGGAUGUUGAAGUAUGGGAAAAUGUGAGAAGAUUGUCAUUGAUGCAAAACCAAAUUGAAACUCUGUCAGAGGUUCCC
rnacentral:lncRNA from 1 species